rnacentral:lncRNA from 1 species
CUCCUCCUCCCGGCACUUCUAUUUUUCCUUCUCAACCGGAAGCGCACCAAGCUUCCCCCUCAGCCCCCCGCAUGGCCCGUGAUCGGCAAUAUCCUCGACCUCGGGACCACGCCGCACCAGAACCUCCACAACUUCCGAGCCAAGCACGGGCCUGUGACGUGGUUGAAGCUCGGUUCCGUGAACACCAUGGUGAUCCAAUCAGCUCAGGCCGCCACAGAGUUCUUCAAGGGCCAUGACUUCGCGUUCGCAGACCGCAAGUGUCCCCAUGCAUUGACAGCUCUCAAUUAUGACCAAGGCUCGCUCGCUGUGGGUCGUUACGGUGGCUACUGGCGCGUUCUCAGGCGUCUCUGCUCUGUUGAGUUCCUCGUGACCAAGCGCGUCAAUGAGACGGCCCAUCUCAGGCAGAAGUGUGUCGACAACAUGGUCGUUUAUUUGGAGGAAGAAAUGGCGGUUAAACAAGUAACAACAGGUUAUUUCUUACGUGCUUCGUGUUACGUUGGACGUUUGCGUUGCAUGUGUAACCUUGAAUGACUGAAAUAAUAGUUUUCUUCUUCAAAGGAAAAAAAAAAAAAAAAGCAACAGAGAGAGAGAGAGAAAGGAACGUUUAAACUCCUUACAAAAAUAUCAAAAUAGGAUGAAGGCCAAUACCCUACACAAUAUUCCCACUAGUGUCACAAGUUCUUCUCAUUAAUAUAUGUAAAAUCAACGGUUAAGAUAUCUUGGGACUUUUGCACCAUUAAGAGUUAAUGAUUCACGCUGUCAAAAGAAUCGUAACCUGCAACUAGAUCUACCUAAGAAAACAUUGGGCCUGCUUUUUACGGAUGAAGGAACCGGCGGUCUUUCUUUUUUGCAAAAUGUACAAUUAAGUUCCAGAAUCUUUUUUUUUUUCUUUUUUCUACUAUUGAGUUCUUAAAUUAUACAUCUUUUAAUUUGAGUUAGCCCUCCUCUUAAAUAUGCGAAUGCAUUGGUUACGAUGAAUAUUGCAUCCCCACCAUAUGUUAGCACUGACUAGACUAACUAAUUAGGGAGACAUGAAUUCUUUUUUACUUAGUGCUAAGAUGGGUAAGAAAGAUUAUAAAAAUAAAGAAAUCUAAAUCCAAGUAAACAUUCACCAACCCAAGCGUUGCCUCAAUUUAUUGCAUGACCCCGGGCGACAACUUACCUCGACCCCUAGUUAUUCAAUUUUUCUAUGUCAUUCUAUUUUUAAGUUUUUUAAGAAGUCACUUAAGACACCAUGUUGGCUUUCAAUGAGGACCUAACCGCCAUGUCAACAUUUAUAUAUACUUCUUUAAUGGAAGGACUAAAUCAAAGAAGAAGUUAUACGGCUCGAGGAUCUAAUUGCACAACAAAUUUAGGAACCUAAUUAAAACUUUUUACAAAAGUUUAGGGACUGCUGGUACUUUUAUCCCUUUGUUUUGUUACUAUAAUUGACGAAUUCAAUAAAAUAGAUACCAGUGUAAAUAAUUCAAGUUGCCCAAGAGCUAUUGGUGUUUAAAGUGCUAUUUAGUCAAACUUGCUUUCAUUCUUCUCGAGUUUGAGUCGAACUAGAGUGGCUCUACUGUUGAAUUAUGCCAAGCUCGAGUAGCUUUACCAUUGAAUUGUGUCAAACUCGAGCAUGAUCAAGUAGUUGGGUUUUAUAUAUCUUCUGAUGCAUUGAUCAAGUAUAUCCCCAUUACUAUGCAAGAGAAUGCAAAAGUAAACUUUCCACUUUAUUUUAUUUGUGCAAGCCAAGUUGGAGUUUUUAAGAGUUCAGAUGCUAAUUUAGUUUUUAUUAGUGAAAAAUAUUCGAAAACAAGCUUAUCAAGAACUUUAUUAAGUUCGACUUGAGCUUGAAAAAUCCAACUUUUGUCUUGAAAGUUGCAGCUUGGAGGUUGAUUCCUCCAUCCCUCCUUAAACUAGUUGUAUAACUUGGUGCAAUAAUUUUUUUUUUUUCAUUUCUAAUUCAUUACGUUCUGCUAUACAUUCUCUAAUUAUAAUUAAUCGUUAAAAAUUUCUAAUUUUUAUGCAGAACAAGGAAUCGACUUAUCCCACUUCCUCUUUCUCAUGGCAUUUAAUGUGGUGGGUAAUUUGGUGCUCUCACGGGAUCUUUUGGACCCAAAAUCGAAGGACGGGCCUGAGUUCUUUGAUGCCAUGAACCGGUUCAUGGAAUGGGCUGGCAAGCCCAACGUAGCCGACUUCCUGCCGUGGUUGAAAUGGUUGGACCCACAGGGGAUCAAGGCAAGCAUGGCGAAGGACAUGGGUCGAGCCAUGAAGAUUGCUGAAGGUUUUGUAAAAGAGAGGUUGGAGGAGCGAAAGCAAAGGGGAGAGAUGAGAACGACAAAUGACUUCUUGGAUGCGGUAUUGGAUUAUGAGGGCAAUGGAAAAGAAGGCCCUCGCAAAAUCUCUUCCCAGAACAUCAUCAUAAUAAUUCUGGUAUCCUCUCUUCCACUCUUGGCAAAAAAGAAAUGAUUAACAUCUUAAGGAUAUUAGGUCCAGUUCGGUUUGUAAAGUGGGGUGGUAAACUUAAUUGACAAUUAACAAGCAGGUCAUAUCACGCGUCAUUUUCUACAAACUUGUGUUUUCGUAGAACAUUCUAGCACUAGAUUUUGUAAUAACUAGCCUUUUCCAAUCAACUAUCUAUGAAAACAUUUUACACUUUAAGUUUGUAGAGAACGUUGCAUAACAAAAAGCUACUACUAUUAUAAAGAUGUUUCCAUUCUUUCCUGAUUUAGCCAAUCUGUGCUCAUUUUGUAAUAACUAGCUAAGAAUGUUCUACAAAUCACAAGAAUGAUUUAUGGUUAUUUUCUUUACAAAAAUAAAAAAUAAAUCUAGUGCUAGAAAGACACAUUGAAUGAUUUGUUAAGUUAAGUUGAUGUCAAUUUCACUAAUUAAUAGAACAUGUUGGGUAUCCACAAUGGAUGAGUGAAUGGUAUGUUGAUCAAAUGUAUGAUAUGAUAUUGACUAAAUAUAAUCGAUGUUCAAACACCAGCAUUGAGUAUAAGAAGCCAAUAAGAUUAAGUUGACAAGGCAUGAACAGUUUUUGUCCAUGGACUUAUAAAUGAAAGUCAAGUUAAUGUCGGUCGAGUCAAGAAGUAUUGACAUUGGCUCACAAAAUUUGGUCGAAUCAAACCGACUGCAAGGAUAAAACUAGCGCGAACAGUUAUUGUAGCCAAACUUCUAGGACGGAACAAUUUUUAAAGUUGUUGACCGGCAGUUGAAGUGAAGCAAUCGUUGUAGCCGAGACUACAAAAAGAGCACAUCUUAAGGGAAAAAGACGCACACACAUAAAAAGAACACACUUCACUUUCUUGCCAUUCAUUUUCAGUUAUUUCUCAGCAACUUAAUUCUUGCCAUUCCAGUUGUUUAUUUCAUUUUUUCCAAUCAAACACCUGCUCUUGCCCUUUUAUAAAUAUUCCUGUUGUCAUUAGUGGAUUCAUUUCGUCAAUUUUAGGAUCCAAUCAUCAAAUUCUUGUUCCUUUCUUUAUGCGCAAUUGUCUGUCAAUUUGAAGCAUAGGAGCUGCUAUGUUUGAUAAGGAUUGUAUCAGGUGAAGCAUGAUGAUUUUUACUGUUAAGCCCACGAUUUGAGGGAGUGAUUUUCGAGCGAAACUGAUUAUCUUAAUUAUAGCAAAAGAAUCAGCAUUGGUGGUAACCCUAGCAAGAAAUGAUCUUGUACUAAAUGUGUCUAAUUCAUGGUGCAGGAAAUGUUUUUCGCUGGAUCAGAGACUACAAGCAGCACCAUCGAGUGGGCAAUGGCGGAGCUACUCCACCAACCCGUGUCAAUGAAAAAGGCCAAAGAUGAGAUUAACCAGAUUGUGGGGUUGAACAGAAAACUCGAAGAAAGUGACACGGAAAAAAUGCCGUUUUUGCAAGCUGUGGUGAAGGAAACCCUGAGAUUGCAUCCACCAUUACCUUUGCUUAUCCCACGAAAUGCUAUAAAAGAAACCAAUUUCAUGGGAUUUGAUAUACCCAAAGAUACCCAGGUUUUCGUGAAUGUAUGGGGCAUUGGAAGAUGUUGGAGAAAUCCUCAUGAAGUGUUUUGAAGUUGACAAAACGUUUCCAUCAGUCUAGUCUGAAGGUCUGCAGACUCUGUUAGUUAAAGUCUGAAGACUUCCGGACAGCCAGACUCAAGACUCAAAGUCUAUCCUCAUUGACAGUCUCUAAUCCGUUGAAGAAAGGUUAUCCAGAACUGGAUGUUUUGUUCAGGAUUUAACCUUAUCAUCUAGAGAAGAUCUCGUGGCUGGAGAAGACGUAUCAGAAUCCUUUGAUUGAUCAAGUUUGAUUCAAUGAAUGAAGAUUCGAUGAUUGUCUAAAUAUUAUUGGAAGGUUCUACUUAUGGAAACCGAGAUCCUGAUUGUAUGGACGAACAUGAUUGAUGGGCUAUCAACACGUUCCUUUAAUAGCUCGAACAAUCUUCCUAAUUGAUUCCGUCCAACGGGUAGAUUGGAGGAAUUCCUUUGGUAAGUGCCAACGGGUAUGAUGGCUUAAAGGAGUAUAUAAGGAAGACGUUCUUAGUUGUUCGAGGUGUGCGCGAUAGAAGAAUUCCAAAGUCUGAAGCUCCUAUUUGUUUAGAUAAUUCCUUUAGCGAUACUUGUAUACAAANNNNNNNNNNNNNNNNNNNNNNNNNNNNNNNNNNNNNNNNNNNNNNNNNNNNNNNNNNNNNNNNNNNNNNNNNNNNNNNNNNNNNNNNNNNNNNNNNNNNGAAUCAAGGCAAAGCUGUGCUGUAACUUCUCUUUUGAUCAUAGUGAAAUCCAGCCGGUGGGCUGUCAGUGCGGAAGAGUGGACGUAGGCUUGGAAUAAGCCGAACCACUAUAAAUCCUGUGUUCAAAUUUCUCUCUCUACCUCGAUCGUAUUUCAUUUUGUUAAGAAUUGCUUCCGUAUUUGGGACAAAUUGUUUGUGCGCCUAUUCACCCCCCCUCUAGGUGUUUAUACUAGCAAUAUCAAUUGGUAUCAGAGCCUGUGUACUUACUUUAUUUGAAGUGUUUUACUUCAUAGUAAAAGAUCCAUGGCUAGUAUGCUAGCAUCAGGGCUGAUGGAAGGGCAAAGCAAUACUAGACCACCCUACUUUGAUGGAAAGGAUUACAACAUCUGGAAGAACAAGAUGAAAGCUUUCCUACGAUCAAAGGAUCCUCUGGAAUGGGACGUUGUAGAAAAAAGAAUUACUCCUACCACUGCAUCAGUCUCUGAAAGAGGAAAAGAAACUGAAGAAACCAGCGGAAUGUCUCAGGAAGAAAUAAUCAAGAGACAAACACUCGAUGCAAAAGCAAUUUACUCCUUAUAUUGUGCUUUAUCACCAACUGAAUAUAAUAGAAUAUCUUCUUGUGGUACAGCAAAAGAAGUUUGGGACAGAUUGCAUAUCACCUAUGAAGGAACAGAUCGAGUGAAGGAAACAAGAAUCAACAUUCUUCUCGGUCAAUACGAAGCCUUCAGAAUGAAACCAGGAGAAUCAAUAUCUGACAUGUUUAGUCGUUUUACAGAUAUUGUGAAUGGUCUUGAAAAUCAAGGUCAACCAACUUCUGAUCCCAUGAAGGUAAACAAGCUACUGCGUGGACUCUCCAGGGAUUGGAAUCACAUAAAGACUUCGAUAAGAGAGACGCAGAGAAUUAUGCCACUAUCUGUUGACGAGCUGAUUUGAACUCUUCAGUCCUAUGAAGUGGAAAGGAUCAAUGAAGAUGAAGAUCCAAAAGGUAAGAAAUCCAUUGCAUUAAAAUCAAAUGAUGAUUCUGAUGAUACAGAUUCUGAAGAUGAUAUGGACGAUGAGGAGCUUGCUCUCAUGAUAAGAAGAUUAAGAAAACUAAAUAGAAAAGGAAGAAGGUUCAACUCAAAGGAACAAAGCUUUCAAAGACAGCAGACCAAGUCUGUUGAUGAUGAGGAACCAAAUAAAGAUGUAGUCUGCUUUGAAUGCAAGAAAAAGGGACACAUCAGACCCAACUGUCCUUUUCUGAAGAAGAAGAGAGGAAAAGCUGAAAAUUUUUGAAAAGCUCUCAAAGCUGAAACCUGGAGUGAUACUGAGUGUGAAGAAAGUGAUAAUGAAUAUGCCAAUCUAUGUCUGAUGGCACAAUCAGACUCAGACUCUGGAUCAGACUCAGGAUCAGACUCAGACAGUGAAUUUGAGGCAAGUAAUUUUAAAAUUUCUGUCAAAGUUUCUAAAUAUAUUGAUGAACUAUGCUUUAGUCUUAAGACUUCUCUAAAAAGAAUUUCCAAACUGAAAAAAGAAAACUCAGCUCUAAAACAAAAGGAAAAUGUUUUAGCAGAAAGAGUUAAAAGUCUAGACUUGUAUGUUUCCAAUCUUAAAGGAAAUGAAGAAAAUCUUUUAAAAGAAAAUGCUUUUUUAAAAACAGACUUAUCAAAUAUAUCAAAGAAAUUUUCUAUAGGGUCUGAAAAACUUGAGAAAAUUCUUUCAGCACAAAGACCUUACUUCAAUAAGUCUGGUCUAGGUAUGACAGAAGAAACAAUUCCCUUGAUUGAUUUUCCCAAAGUAAAAGAAAGAAUUAAGAAAAGACUUUCGAGUGAGGUUUACAAAAAUCACUUCAAGAAAGUUUUUGUAAAACCUGUAGGUAGAAAUGCUCUCAGAUGUUCUAAGUGCAACAGUCCGGAUCACUUUGAAAAAGAGUGUCCUAUGGUAUGGAAACCUGUUAAGAAAGUAUGGGCUAAUACUGUUUAUCUUACUAACACCAAAGGACCCAAGAAAAUUUGGGUACCAAAGAAAGCUUGAGACUUUAUUUUAAAUGCAGGUCUCCGUCAAGAAAUAGGUAAAGUGGUAUCUUGACAGCGGAUGCUCAAGACACAUGACAAGAGACUCAAAUUGCUUUAUAAAGCUUGCUCAAGUAAAUGGUGGAAAAGUUUCAUUUGGAGGAAACAACAAAGGAAGUAUUGUGGGAUUUGGAACCGUGAAAAUUGGAACUCUCACAAUAAGUAAUGUUUCCUUAGUGGAAGGACUCAAUUACAAUCUUCUCAGCAUUAGUCAAUUGUGUGAUACUGGUUUCAAGAUCUUCUUUCAAGAAGGAACAUGUUCUGGAAUCAGUAAAGACUCUACUCAGUCUUUCAUGGGUCGAAGACAUGAAAAUAUCUAUCUUCUAGAUGUGAAACCAAAUGAAUCACAAUACCUUAUCUCAAUUCAAGACGAAGCAAGCUUAUGGCACAAAAAGCUUGGUCAUGUCAACAUGAAGCAAUUAGCCAAAAUCUCAUCAAAACAGCUUGUUCGAGGUCUACCCAAAUUGCCAUACCAAAAGACUGAUUCAUGCACUCCAUGUAUUCUGGGAAAGCAGGUAAGAAAUUCUUUUAAGCCGAUAAAUCAUGUCUCUACUAAUCAUGUACUACAGUUGCUGCAUAUGGAUCUCUUCGGACCAACCAGAACUCAGAGUAUUGGGGGUAAGAAGUAUUGCCUAGUAAUUGUUGAUGAUUACUCCCGUUUUACUUGGGUAUAUUUCCUUGCAAGUAAGUCCGAAACCUUUUCGUAUUUUGAAAAAUUUGCUAAAAAGAUUCAAAAUGAAAAAGGAUGUGUUAUCUCUAGUAUAAGAACAGAUCAUGGAGGUGAAUUUGAAAAUCAAGAUUUUACAAAAUUCUGUGAUGAAUCUAGCUUUAAGCAUGUGUUCUCCUCUCCAUAUACUCCUCAGCAAAAUGGAGUUGUGGAAAGAAAGAACAUAUCUCUUCAAGAAAUGGCUAGAACUCUUUUAAUUGAAAGUAAAUUUUCUUCUCGAUUUUGGGCUAAAGCUGUUUCAACAGCAUGCUAUAUCAUCAAUAGAGUCUUCUUAAGAUCUAUUCUUCAGAAAACCCCUUAUGAGUUAUUCAAAGAAAAGAAGCCUAUUGUUUCAUACUUUCAUGUAUUUGGUUGUAAAUGUUUUAUAUUGAAAAAUGCAAAAGAUCGAAUUGGUAAGUUUGAAGAAAGAUCAAAUGAAGGUAUCUUCCUUGGAUAUUCUACAUCAAGCAAAGCUUACAGAGUCUAUAACAAGAAGAGUCAGUCUGUAGAGGAGUCAAUGAAUGUCAAAUUUCAAGACUCAACGCAAGAUGAAUCAAGUCAGACUCAUCAAGAAGAGUCUGAACCUGCUCCAGACCCUCCAAAGUCUACAACUCAAGAAGCAUCUCAGACUCUGGAAAACCAGCAUCAGGUUGUUAGUGAAGAUCCAAAUAAAGAAAGAGAUCAUCAACCAGACAAAUCAACAAGUAACUGGAAGCAUAAGUCCAGUCAUCCCAAAGAUCUUAUAAUUGGCGAAAUUAAUGAAGGAAUUCGCACCAGAUCCAAAAGGCGAGAAGAGUCUAGUGCUGUGGCACUCGUUUCUGAAAUUGAACCAAAGAGCAUAGAAGAAGCUUUAUCUGAUGAAAGCUGGAUUGAAGCUAUGCAAGAAGAGCUCAGACAGUUCAGCAUAAAUGAUGUCUGGGAAUUGACAUCCAAACCAAAAGGUAAAACUGUUAUUGGAGCUAAAUGGGUGUUCAGAAACAAGAUGAACGAGAAAGGAAAAGUCGUACGAAAUAAAGCAAGACUCGUGGCCAAGGGAUAUACGCAAGAAGAAGGAAUAGACUAUGAUGAGACUUACGCUCCAGUGGCAAGGUUAGAAGCUAUUCGACUAUUACUUGCGUUUGCUUGUUAUAAGAAUUUCAGGUUAUUCCAAAUGGACGUCAAAAGUGCCUUCCUAAAUGGAUUUAUCCAUGAGAAAGUUUAUGUGGAACAACCACCAGGGUUUGAAGACCCAAAGAAGCCAGACUCAGUCUUCAGACUGAAAAAGGCUUUGUAUGGUUUAAAGCAAGGACAUCGGGCUUGGUACGACAGAUUAAGUAAGUUCCUAAUACAAAAUGGUUUUGUCAAAGGUAAAGUAGAUACUACUUUAUUUAUCAAGAAAGAAAAAAAAAAGUUUCUUACUUGUUCAAAUAUAUGUGGAUGAUAUUAUUUUUGGAUCCUCUAAUGAAAGUCUGUGCAAGAAAUUUUCAAAGUCUAUGCAGGAUGAGUUUGAAACGAGUAUGAUGGGAGAGUUAACAUUCUUUCUUGGUCUUCAAGUAAAACAAUUGAAGGAAGGAACUUUUAUUUAUCAAGAAAAAUAUGUUAAUGAUCUUGUCAAAAGGUUUGGACUGGAAAAGUGCAAAAAGACCGACAUACCAAUGUCAAGUUCUUUAAAGAUAGACAAAGAUGAAGAAGGGAAGAAAGUUGAUCAAAAGCUGUACAGGAGCAUUAUUGGAUCACUUCUUUAUCUUACUGCCUCUAGACCUGAUAUUUUGUUGAGUGUUUGCAUCUGUGCUAGGUUUCAAUCAGAUCCUAGAGAAUCUCAUCUCAGUGCUGCGAAACGCAUCAUUAAAUACGUCGCUUCAUCAUCAAGCAUCGAUCUUUGGUAUCCUAAGAAGGGAGACUUUAAUCUUCUGGGAUAUUCAGACGCAGAUCUGGCCGGUUGCAGAGUUGAUAGAAAGAGCACUUCAGGAACUUGCUAGUUGCUUGGAAGCAGAACAGUAUCUUGGUUUUCAAGGAAACAAAGCACUGUGUCUCUUUCAACAACAGAAGCAGAGUAUGUAGCUCUUGGAAGUUGCUGUUCGCAAAUUCUAUGGAUAAAACAACAGCUAAGAGAUUUUGAAAUUGAAGACUCAUGCACGGAGAUUAAUUGCGACAACACCAGCGCUAUCAACCUCACCAAAAAUCCAAUUCUUCACUCAAGAGCAAAGCAUAUAGAGAUUCGACAUCACUUUAUUAGAGAUCAUGUUCAAAAUGGAGAUGUUUCAAUUCAAUUUGUUGACUCAAAGAAUCAAUUGGCUGAUAUACUCACAAAGCCUUUGGAGAAAAAUCAAUUUGAGUCUAUACGGUCCAGACUCAACAUUUUGAGGUAUGAGGAUAUCAAAGUCUAAAGACUUUCAGACUCAGGCUUACAAGACUUUAUUUACAGUCUUGGCUCAACCUUCAGACUGUAAGUCUUUCUCUCUCCAAUCUUAUCUUGAAAAGGUACGAUCAUCAGACUGUGUUUAAAUUGUUGCUAUAUUUAAAUAACGUAAAUAUUGCAUCGAUUCAUUUUCAAAAGGGAAGUUAUUUUUGAAAUAGCUAUUUUUGCGGAUAAAGACAGUUAUUUUGAAAAGGCAUAUUUUUAUUUCCUUUGUGACGAUUUGUUUACUCUUCUUUUUAACCGAUUGUGCACUGUCGAUUCCUCUUCACUUUUCUAUUCACUUUUCUCUCAAAAACCCUAGAAAGCAUCGAUCCUCCAUUCCCAUUUGUCUUCUUCGCUAAAUCUUCAAAAAGUUGUCAUCUUUUCUGGGAAAGUCAAGCAAGGAAUCUUUCAAACACUGAGAAAGAUGUCAUCUUCACGAAAGUCCUCAAGAAUCGCAAGCAAGGGACCACAGAGAAUGAGUGAGGGGCCUACGCACUUCGAUCUUACUGAAGAUGAAGUUACUCCAGAUUAGCAACCGAGCCCACAACAUUCUCAGUAGCGUCAUUCUCCACCAUCUAAUCCUCAAGGCAUUGUUCAUCAGCAUCAGGAAGAAAUCGUCGAGGAUGCAGACCCCGUAAGAGUUCAAAAGCCCGCUUUUAUUUACAAGCUAUAUCGUGCCUUAAAAGGAAUUCGUACUCCUUUGAACUAUGUUGAUGAUUUUGUUAAAGAAAAAGGAUAUAGGAACGAAUAUAUCUUUCUGCGAAAAAUGGAAAGUUUGGGAAUCGCUCGUAAAGGGGUGGCUGAGGAAACCCUUGCGAAUAUCCCAAGUGAUCCUCGUGACUGGGGGCCAAAUCCUGUAGAUGGGAAUGACGAUGAUAAUCUGUUCAGUCUAUUUCAACCGAAAAUGGGUAUUGUGGCUGAAAUUCAAGGAAAAAGGGGAGAUUUGUUCAGAUCAAAGGAACAAAAGGAUCUGUACUCGAAAUUGCUGAAGCGUGGGGUAAUAAACCCUAGGAGUGUGGACUUUGAUUUUCUGGAUGCUGUGAAAGUGAACUUGAGGGAAAAGUUCAGUUAUCUUCAGCUUGAAAAGUUCUACUCUGACUCAACUGAGGCUUAUGCUGAAUUGACUGCAUAUUUCUAUUCAAAUCUUAGCUUUUUAGAUGCGAAUAGAUUCUCCUUCAGCGUUAAAGAACAAGACUAUGUUGUGGAUAUGAAUAUGCUGGCAGAUGUGUUAGAAGUUGAGAGAGGCAGAUAUCAACCAAUCAAAGUUUCCAUUGCUCGGGCCACACUUGAACUGGUGAAGGACAGGAGAACGGAUGAGAAGAUCACCUACUCAAGGAUGAAUGCAUUCAACAUCUUGCUUCACAAGAUUGUGAUUAAUUGCCUUCGGCCGAAAUCAACUUCCAAAACUGAUAUUUCAAGCUCUGAGGCAAAGUUGAUGUAUGCCAUCCUCUGUGGAAAGAAGUUUUCUCUCCCUCAUACUGUUAUGUUUCACAUGUAUAGAGCAGUGAUGAAGGACAGAGGUCAACUCCCUUACCCAAGCCUUGUUACGAAGUUAUUCAGACAUCUGAAUAUUUAGCCUCCGCAAAUCUUUUGUGUUCGAUCAUGCGAUCAUAUAGUGGUAGGACUGAAAAUGGUGACCAAAAUGCGUCUGAAGGAACUGAGCAAGGAAUUGGAGAAAUUCAAGGAGAAGACUCCUGCCAAAUCUCAUCAACUCUCUUCUACUGCUAAGAGAAAAGGGAAGGAGCCCAUGGCUGCUCCAUCAAAGAGAAGAAGAGCUCUCCUCGUUGAGGAUGAAGAUGAUGACGAUGACAUCACCAUCUCUGCAAUGGCUUUGAAGAAUUUAAGUCGUCCUAUUCCACAGAAAGAAUCGGAACAAAAGACGAAAGAAGCAGAGGAAAAGGAAGAAGAAGAAAGAGAAGCAGAUGAGAAGGAAGAAGAAGAAAGAGAAACAGAGCAAGAAGUAGAGGAAGAAAGACCUAAAGAAGAAAGAAGAGAAGAAGGAGAACCUGAGGAAAUCUCUUCUCCACCUGUAGGCAUGGAAACAUGGGGAGAUCAGGAGAAAGGAGUGACGUCCUCAUAUCCUGAUGCAAGUGAAGGAGUCAGUUGCUCACCUGUAGACCCAGAAGAUGUUUAUGCAUCUCAAUUUCCAGAGGAAGGUCAUGAAGCUUCAUCGCCAAACCUGCGAGAUUAUGCUGAUCCACCAUCGUCUGCUUUUACUCCAUCAGAUCGAGCCGAAGCAAGUACUCAGACUGAUAAUGGAGCAGAUUUUCGCAGAAUCUUGGAUAUUCUCAUGGAAAUGCGAGGUCAAAUUUAUGCAUUGGGAUGCGAAGUUCAAAGUUUGAAGAAUGAAAGUCAAGCUUCUUCCUGUUCAUUGAAUGAUAAGAUGCAAGCCCUCUCUAUUUAGAAUCAGGCCAAUGCCAAGAGUGAGGAGGUUGUACAGCUGAAGGAAGACUUCAAAAGGCUGGAAGGCAUCGUUCAGUCUAUGGAAGAUUUCCAGCUUGUCCGCGUUCCCAAGCAAUCUUGACUUCAUCUCAUCCUUUUUAAUGCUGACAAAAAGGGGGAGAGAUGCAUGAUUUGAUCAAAAACUUUCAAUCAUUUUUUAACUAUUUGUUGGAUUGUGUUGUUGUUUAACUGUCUGUUUUUGACAGACUUUGACAGACUUUGACUUUGUUUUGUGUCUGGAUGAGAACUGAACUAGACUUGGACUUGACUGCUUCUAUUAACAAGUAUUGAUAUCUUAUGGAUGGUUUUAUUAUAUAGACUAACCUAUUUUCUGUGGUUGCAGAUUCUAGUGUUAAUCUUUUAGCCAUUCAUCUCUAUAAGAUAUGCAUAUGUGUUUGAGAAAUGUUUUGCAGGUCAAAGUUAUCCAAAUCUGCAGGAAUGUUUUGUCACCAUCAAAAAGGGGGAGAUUGUUGGAGAAAUCCUCGUGAAGUGUUUUGAAGUUGACAAAACGUUUCCAUCAGUCUAGUCUGAAGGUUUGCAGACUCUGUUAGUUAAAGUCUGAAAACUUCCGGACAGCCAGACUCAAGACUCAAAGUCUAUCCUCAUUGACAGUCUCUAAUCCGUUGAAGAAAGGUUAUCCAGAACUGGAUGUUUUGUUCAGGAUUUAACCUUAUCAUCUGGAGAAGAUCUCGUGGCUGGAGAAGACGUAUCAGAAUCCUUUGAUUGAUCAAGUUGAUCAAUGACUGAAGAUUCGAUGAUUGUCUAAAUAUUAUUGGAAGGUUCUACUUAUGGAAACCGAGAUCCUGAUUGUAUGGGCGAACAGGAUUGAUGGGCUAUCAACACGUUCCUUUAAUAGCUCGAACAAUCUUCCUAAUUGAUUCCGUCCAACAGGUAGAUUGGAGGAAUUCCUUUGGUAAGUGCCAACGGGUAUGAUGGCAUAAAGGAGUAUAUAAGGAAGACGUUCUUAAUUGUUCGAGGUGUGCGCGAUAGAAGAAUUCCAAAGUCUGAAGCUCCUUUUUGUUUAGACAAUUCCUUUGAGCGAAUACUUGUAUACAAAAGAGAGUCUAUAUUUGUGAGAGACCUUGAGAAGGUGUGGUAGAACAUCUACACUGUGGAAUCAAGGCAAAGCUGUGCUGUAACUUCUCUUUUGAUCAUAGUGAAAUCCAGCCGGUGGGCUGUCAGUGCGGAAGAGUGGACGUAGGCUUGGAAUAAGCCGAACCACUAUAAAUCCUGUGUUCAAAUUUCUCUCUCUCUACCUCGAUCGUAUUUCAUUUUGUUAAGAAUUGCUUCCGUAUUUGGGACAAAUUGUUUGUGCGCCUAUUCACCCCCCCUCUAGGUGUUUAUACUAGCAAUAUCAGAAGAGACCCAGAUGCUUGGGAGAACCCAUUAACAUUCAAACCAGAGAGGUUUCUAGGAUCUAAAAUUGACUACAAAGGUCAAAACUUUGACCUAAUUCCAUUCGGAUCAGGCAGAAGAAUGUGCGUCGGACUUUCGCUGGCGGAUAGGGUGCUUCAUCUCGGUCUUGCGAAGUUGCUCUACCAUUUCGAUUGGGAACUCAGUGAUGGUUUGACUCCAGAGACCCUCGACAUGAGAGAGCGGGCGGGAAUAGCACUAAGGAAGCUCCAUCCUUUAAAGGUGAUACCUAAAAAACGUAGUGUGUAAGGUUUUUAGAAUAUUAUGGUAACUAGUUAUAUUCAUGACUAGUUAUUUAGGAAAUGACAAGACGUGAUGUCAUGUAUCCAAGGAAGACUUCUUAAGAAUGGUGUUUUUAUUCCACAAAUACCUUAGGAAAAUUACCCUAAAUUUCUUAAACUUAUUAUACUUUUACCAAUUUAGUUAUAAAUAUUCUUAUUAUAAAAAUUAGUCCCAAACAUUUUCACGUUUUGCCAAUUGAGCUCAUAUGAUCAAUUUUGAUUAGAAAUCACUAACACAAAUGUCAGGCAUCCUACAUGGUGCAAUUGUCGUAGAUGUGGAAAAUUUUUAAUAUAUUUUUAAAAUUUUUAAAUACUUUUUCUUUUCUUUUAUUUCUCUGCUAGUUGCUGAGCCUUGAGGAUGACUACUAACCAACCAUAGGCUACAACCGAUGAUGGUCACCCUCGCCAAAAUCUGGCAAGGGAGGACUUUGCUACCUUGCCAAAUUCGACAAGUCACAGCUUCAUGUGAGGCUCGACUUUGCCCAAUCUAGCGAGGGCAAGGCACAACCUCAUUAGUCUUCACAAGGGCUGAUCUCAGGUGAGACUUGCCGAAAGAUCAUGAGGCCAACCUUCCCUAAAGGCUAGCAAGGGACAACCUUGCCAACUUCAAGCAAAGCUCAACCUCGUCAAAUCUGCUUAGGACAAGCCUUACUCAAGGCUAACAAGGGUGACCUCACCUAAUGUGGCACCCCUUGACGGCCCCCGAAUCGUUAGGGUCACCACAGUCAACUUACCCUUUACUUGACUUGAUAAUAUAUCACUCUGAUACCAAAGAGUUAUAAUAAGUCUAUAAGUCCUGGGGGUUUAUAUAUAUUUUCCAUAGGUCCCUGCGUAGAAAUAUGACGAAAGUGUAUCCAACAACUCCCUUCCCUAUAUUCAGAAAACGAUGCACACCAACUAAACAUUUAUAGAUAAAAGCCGAACACUUUUAUUUACUUAAACCAGAUGGACAUCAUUAAUUGGUACAUCAAAAUUCCAUAAUCUUCUGUACUUGGCUAUACUUCAAAAGAUGACCGACAUCUCCUCCAACAGUCGUAUACUCAAAGUCCAUCGUUCAGUGUCGGCGUCCAAAAGUUCCUUUUUUUGCUAUCCUUCUCCUUGCGGUCAUAUCCAACCACUUGAUUCAUCUACCGGUGGUAGUGACAACAGAGGUAUCUUAUCUAGUUUGAAAUGUUAGUCCCCAAACGGGGUGAGUACUGUCGACACCCGAAAUUUCCGUCGACAUUUUAAUCAUCCAUUGUUUGCAAAAAAAAAUAAAGAGCUAAAAAGAAAAAAAAAGAGAGAAAUAAAGAGUUGAAGCAGAAAAGAAAAGAGAAAAAGAAUGGAAACAAGAAAAAGAAAAGAAAAAAAAGAAGGAAACAAAAAGAAAAAAAAUGAGAGAAAAAGAAAAACAUAAAAGAAAGAAAAAAAAUAAUAGAAAAGGGAAUGACGAUUCUCUCUCAUGGGGGGCUCGCUCUCUCACGUUCUCUCGCUCUCUCAAAUACUGGGACGCUGAUUCUCUCUGAAGGGAGGGCUCUGGAUCACGAACUCUGGUUCUCCAGAGGGGAUUCUCUCUUUCUGGGACUCUCUCUCUCUCUGCGGUUCUCGUCGAAGGUUAGGGUUUUUCCUCCGUCGGUGCGGGAUUGGAGGUGUUUCCUCUAUUCGGUGAGGAGUUUGCUCGGGGGAUCCGGUUUCCGAAACUGAUUGGCGUCGGUAGCAGCGACGGCAGCAACGGCGGAGCUUGAUUCGACCUCUCUCGUUCGUUAUUAACCGCCUGCUCGCCUCGGUUCUGACUCCGUGCUCCGAGCUCCGAGGAUAGAGAUCCGAAGCUUGAUCGACGGCGGCGACGACAGCGGCUUCCGAUCAUCUUCUUGUUCAUCAUCUAUCGUCGGGACUCCCUCAAACCUUAGAAGACAGAGCAAUUGCCGAUUGAAGAGUUGGAAGUGCGAGGCUCGGAUCUGCACCGCCUUCAGAGAAGGCUCAACAACGAUUUCCCUCUUAAUCGAGUCAUUUCCGAGGGUUUUUCCUCUCAGAUCUCGGCAAGUUUCAUUCAGAUUAUUGAUUUGUUUUCUCUAGUAAUUUUUUUUUCUAGAGUCAUCUCAAUCCUCCCUCCCCUGCCGUUUUCUUUUGUUGACACUGAGCAUGUAUUUCCUCUCGCCGAUUCACCCAUUGAAAUUGCCGGCCAUUCAUUGCAGUCGCCGAUUCAAUCAAAAUCUCACAAGGAGUUUGGAUCAGUCAUUACUCGAAGAACAGCUUCAAUCAUCUGAAGACAGACGCAGCAAAGCAGAGACAAUUUUUUUCAGAGUUCUUGAAGAGGCUGACUGAUAAAGUUGUUGAGGUAUGAAUAUCUGUACUUGAAUAUGUCAAGAACUUCCUGCUGUGAAAUCCUUCUAGAGCUUAAUCUCCUCAAAUAAUUGAUGCCUUAUGCGAUUGACUGCUGGAUUAUGAUGAAAACGUGAGAAAGCAAGUUGUCACUGUUAUUUGCAAGUGUGGCUUACUUGACUUUUGUUCAACUUGACCUUCUGUUGAAUAUAACUACUAUAUUUUUCUCUUUUCAAAAGACUAAAAAAAAAACCAUUUAUACCUGUUCAUACUGUUCCUCAGUGGCAAGCAACCAUUCGAUCAUACUCAUACCAAAUGUUUGACCCUACUCAGUUAGUCUUCGCAAGCUGCAGAUAGCGUUAUUUGUCUACUGCGUUUUUUCAUCUGGUUUAACUGGCAAAUCAAGAACAAAUUCCAACGGGUCCUUUCUAAUGAAGAGUUGUCCUAGUAACAAAUAUUAAAAAGGUGCUAUGGUCUCGUUCCCCCUUUAGUUUUUAUGUUUCCAUCAGUGUAAAUCAAGCUGCGCAAGCUAGACAUGCACCAGAAGAAAGUUGAUUCAUUUUAGUAGAAAUUGGUCCUCUGUUGCUGCUGUGUUCAUCUUUUUUUAGAAUUCCUUGUUCAUAAUAUUGAAUGUGUUCUUUGCCUGAAAGUUGUGAGUUCAUUGGUACACUUCAAUCUGGAUUGAUGUCUGGUAUUUUGCCCUUUGAUGAGUUUGUAGUUGUCGGUAGACCGGUAUGAGUUGUGCCUGAAGUUCACCUUAGUGGAGAAACAUUUCCUCAGCAGCAAAUGAUUUUAUAUCAGGAAAGGAUUUUAUAUCCUUGGUGCAUGUUGGAUGAUCUGGGAAUCUGGUUCAGCUUUUGUUAGGGCCAGUAACAGCAAUGAUGUUUGAGUUUGUCAAAGAAAUACCUAAACCUGAAACUAAAUGGAGGCUGGACUUCAUCUCUCUUUUAGGCGUAUUUUUCUUUACAUGGGUUAUCAUUCAAUUACUUCCUGUUGUCUUGAUAGAUCUGGCUUAUGAGAAAGAAUAGAUACUUGGGAGUAUGAUGAAAAUAUGUGGGUUUAGUGAUCCAUAUUGGCUGAUUUCCUAUGCUUAUUUUCUCUCUUUAUCUUCAAUCUACAUGCUGUGCUUUGUGACUUUUGGCUUAGUCAUAUAUAGUUAAUCCCUAUUGCGUUAUGUUUACCUACGUUCCAAUGUCCCAUUAAAGUUGCAAUGCUUGUGUCUUACUGCACUUCCUCUGUAAAGUUUUACUAGAAUGAGAUUAUGUGUGCUUUUAGUGAGUUAAAUGCAGAUCACGUGCAAUUGAUGUUUGUUGUUCAUGUGUGAAUUUGCUGAUAUUGAAAGUUGGAAUUUGUCUUGGUCUAGAAUGCAUGCUUUGUUUCUAUAACCUCGAAUACUUGUGAAUUUGGUACGAAUUUUUUGUGUGAGGAGUUUGGGAUUAGGUCCUUCACAUAAAAACUGCAAAAAAUGAUUGUAUGUUUGCCUUGCUGCUCUGUUCUACUUUUGAUGGACCUUGAUCUCUUCCAGGAUUUUGUAAAUUCACGUGCUUUUUUGUUACAAUAUAUAAUGAAAUGCUCAAGUUAGAUCAGAGUUGGCUUUCGAAUGUCUUUUGACCGUUGAUCGGUAGAUAUAAUUGAUUCAUGUCUGAAAUUGAACCAUUGAUGAAAUAAGUUUUGCCAUGGUCAAGGAGUCAUAUGGAUCUUCAUGCCUAUUUGUUUGUCGUCUGAACAUGUAUUGUUAUGUCCUGUUUUGAUAAAGAAAGGUAAAUAAAACAGCAUGUUCUAGAUUAAAAUCAAAUUAGUGCUGUUCAAGUUUCCAUCAGUGAUUGCAGACAUUUGGAAACUCAUUAUGCCUUUGUUCCGCUCCUCAGUGACCUGCAUUACUUGCUGAUUUUCUGUUUCUUUCGCUGAUCUAACCUUCUGUGCAAAUGAAUUGAUAUGAGCUGAUUGUUGUGGUUUUCUGUGUUUGAUGUCCUCAUGAAAGUCGAAGAUGGUUUGAUUAGCUUUCUAACGAGCUAUAAUACACCCUGAUCCGAUAUCAUUAGCCACAUGAAAUCUUCUUUAAAAGUCUACUCCAGAAGAAGUCUACUCCAGAAUUUGGAAAGUUGUUCUGGUCUGUGCGGUUAUUUCUGUUACUGAUCUGACCUCUUUGCUAAAUGUCUUCGUUUGAGCUAGAAAAUGAUUUCAAUUGUGUUCGUGACCUUCUAAGGAUUCAUAGGAGGCUUCUCAAAAUUUCCAUUGACAUAUUAUAUGUGUGAUUUGGUCAUCACUUGCCCUGCCUUUCCUUUUUUCAAAUCGAGCUUUGAAAUCUGGAAUUUGUCUUGAACUGCAAUGCUGUCUUUUCUGUGGCUAGUUGUUGUUAGUCUUAAGAUGAGAUAGUAGAUUUGUCCAAAUUGUUUUCAAUAUGUUGUAGAAUGACGGUGUGACAUGCUACUAUGAUCUAUUCUUGAUUGACUUGUUCAUGUUCUUAAUAUUUUUAGAAAUUCAUGCGUUAGGAAUCUUGAGGUGCUUCCUUCAUGGAAUGACAUCCUUUAUCAAUUGUCUACAAAACGGUUUUAGGUACCAUGUGGGUUACACAUUGAUUGCUCCGUUUGCCUUUAAUACAUAUGUUGAGUGAAUUCAAUGGUGUAUGUUUUGGAAUAAGUGAUCUUUAGUUGGUUCAUUCAUUGUUUUGGGUUGAUUGAGGACCAAGGUCAUGUGGCUUGAAUGUUUGUCAUGUUAUAUGCUUUGUGUGUGAUCGUUAGAUAGAUGAUUUAGGUGUAAUACAUAAUGAUGCUAAAUCUUGGGAUUUCACUUAGAAUUUGGUGUAAGGACUUCAUGACUUUAGUCACCAUUUUUGAACACUAAUAAUGUCCUGUUCUUUGAUGUUUUGAUAUGUUUGUUUGUUCCCUUCCACUGCAUAUACCAAGUUAUAGGUUUAUUAGAUUAGGUUUAGAUUAGGAUCCCGAAGAUGGAGAAGGCGUGAAGAUGGUGAAUGUCGAUUUCCACUCCGACUGUUAUCAUGUAAUGCUCAUUUUCCCGACAUAUGUCUCGGGUUUUAUGCAUUGUAUAAAGCCCGACGAGUUGCGGGUUUCCUUUCUUUCUCGAUUGUUUUCUCUUUUAUAUACUUUAGAAUUACAUGAUUAGGUUUACUGAUUUCUCUUGAUUGUUUACUUCAUGUCUUGUGCUUUCAAUUUCAUUGAUUGUUUUCUUUUCAUUUUUUAGAAAUAGAAUAGAAUGAAAGUAAUCCACCACGCAUGAUCACUUAGUCUAGGAAUUGAUGAUCCUGAAAAAUGUAAAAAGAAACACAUGGACAUGUUAGGAAAAACACAACAUACUGUUUAGGUACCGAAAGGGCGCUAAUAGCAAUAUUAGCGUAACCCAAGUCCCCGAACCUAGAUAUCUGGUUGCGUAGGAAUCGAUGGAACACUCUCGACCCUCGAUUGGGUUUCUAGCUGACCCCGAAAGUUGAGGCUAGUGGCGACUCCUGUAUAUUCUUAGGUUGUUAAAUACCUAGAUCGCAUAAUAAACCUACUGUCACGCGGGGUACGAGCUUCGGAGAGCUCGCGAUCUUGAGAUCAAGUAUCCCUAAACCCGACCUUUCCCAACCUUGGAUACUUUUCGAGAGGGGCGGCGAGAUCGGGUCGCGACAAGUACAACCACUUAGCCGUAAAUAUCCACCAAACUACACGAUGCGUCAGACAGAACAAUCAAGGUAUCACGAAUAAAACACAUACCAUCCAUGCAUUUGAACAUACCUCACCAUACAGCCAUGCAUAUAUCACCAUACAACGUGCAUAUACCACCAUGCACUUGUACAUAUAUCAUCAAGCAGCCAAGCAUAUAUCACCAUGCAACGUGCAUAUACCACCAUGCACUUGUACAUAUAUCAUCAAGCAGCCAAGCAUAUAUCACCAUGCAAUGUGCAUAUAUCACAAUGCAUUUGUACAUAUACCAUCAAGUAGCCAUGCAUAUAUCAUCAUGCAACGUGCAUAUACCACCAUGCACUUCAUGCUUGCAUUUCCAUGAGGUUCAUCCCAUGCCAUAUGCAUACAUCCAUAUGUAUGAUUCAAUUUCAAUUCUUUCUUUUACAUGGAUUUCAUCAUUUUUCUUUCAAGGGACCAGUGUUUGCAUCCCACAUUUAUUGCUCGCAUCCAACCUGGCGUUAUGAGGAGCCUCCAGCACACACUUCCGGGCAUCUCGUAUCCCACCUGGCAUCACGGGGAAUCUCCGAGGUUCGCUAUGAAAAUGGUUACCCCUACCCUUUGGGCAUGCAUCAUAAUACAACCCCUCACCCUCCAGGCAUGUAUCAUAAUACAAUCGGGCAUCCUAACACUCCCGGGAAAAACCUCUGGGCAUGUAUUCAUAAUACAACCAGGCAUCCAAAGGGCAUCAACUCAUUCAAACCUUUGGGCAUCCAGACUCCCGGGAUAUCGUCGGCUCACACCUCCGACGGUAUCAUCAUUAUCACAAUCUAUAUUCACAUAUAUGUCUCAUUUUCAACAUGGCAUUUGAUGCAAAAAUAUCAUAGGUCUAAACCAGCUUUUUGAUGUCAUAUGGUAUGCCAAACAUCACCAUAUAAGCAGUACACAUAACACCCAUGAUAUCAUAUUUCAUAAAGCAGUUCAUUGGUUUUUGAAAAUAGAACCAAUUUUCGGGUAAAACAGAAUGCACCUCUUUAGUAAAAAUUCUUGGAAAAUUUGUAAAAAAUCUCAAUAAAUUCUGAAAAUUUAACAUGAGGUAAAAAAUAUCCAGAUGAAGAUAUUUCGUGAAGAACACCAUGUCAAGAAAGUUCUACAUCAAUCACAUAGAUCCACACAUCACAGCAAAAAAAAUUCCAACACCACUUUUUGCACAGUUUCGGAAAUAAUUUCGAUUAAACCUGUAAAUGAACUUCGAAAAUUAUGAUAUUUUGAUAUGUUAUAGAUGAGAUCUAGAGGUAAACUUCUCAUGAAUAAAUCGAAGUAUAAUUCCUUUUGGAUUAAAAGAAAUUUUUUAUAACUCUCCCUAACUCUCGGUUCACUGUGCAGAUUCACCCUUUUCAAAGAAAAUCAUUUUCCCGAUCAAUGCUUGUCAUUUUAUUUUAAAAUUUUAGUAUGUUAUUCCUCAAGAUGUCACCUACAAUUUUCAUCAAGGACACAAGAUCAAAUUUCAUCCAGAUAAUUUUAUAAAAUUCAUAGAGUCGCACUAGAUCAAAAUAAUUGUUUCCAGAUCUACUUUCUUCAAAGAAAAAUGGUUUCACCGACCUAUACUUGUUCAUUUCCUCUCAAAUUUUUAUAUGUUACUAUAUAAGAAGUUAUUUACAACUUUCAUCAAGAAGUCGAAGUGAGAUUCCAACUAGAACAUCGCAUGCAACUCACGAAAUCACCGGAGAUCAAAUAACAGUUUCCAGGUCUAGUUUCUUAAAAGGAAAAUCAUUUCACCAACCAAUACUUAUCCGUUUCAUCCCAAUUUUUAGUAUGUUAAUCUUCAAGAAGUUCUCUACAACAUUCAUCAAGAAGUCAAAAUCAGAUUCCAACUAAAACAUUGCAUGUAAGUCACGAAAUCACCAAAGGUUGGACUGUUUUUCCAGAAAACAGAAUGUUAGGCUAGAACACAACUUUGAAAUUUCACACUUCAUCCACAUCCGAGAUUCACCAUUCAUCACACACCAAACACAACAAGCAAAGGGUAGAUCAAUGAACUCUGCUUGCCUCUAAUCCAAGCAAAACACAGCAAGCAAACGACGGCUCGACAGCGGGACUCGGCGGCUCGACGGUGGCGACGAACCUCCUCCUUCUUCCUCGCACACUCGCUCUCCCUCUCUCGAUUUCUCUCUCUCUCUCUCUCUCUCAGAGUAACCCUCUCUCUCAAUCGGCCCACUCUCCCUCUCUUUCUUUCCCCUUCUCUCAAUCGGCCCACUCUCCCUCUCUUUCUUUCCCCUUCAUCAUUUGCAAUCAUUUGGUUUGCAUAGCUAAUGCCACUUGGCUCUAGGGGAAAGACACUUGGCAAGCUUCUCUUGCCACUUGGGGAUUUACAUGCAACGAAGAUGGGCCUCAUUUGGCUGGGCUUGGGCCAGCCUUGGUUGACUACUUUAUGGGUUCCUUGGGCCGGGCCUCUUGGCCCACUUUGGGUCCAACACUUUUGGGUCUAAAGUCCAACUUUUAAAUGGCCCAAAAUAAUACUCAAUAAGCCCAUAAUUGCUCUUAACAAUUUACUUUAAUCCCCACUUAAUUUCAUAAUCUCAAAUACUCACAUGGCCAUAAAAUUUUGUAAUAUAAAUCAAUAAAAAUCCAACUUAUAAAGUACAUGGCCAAGAAUAAAAUUUUUAUAUCAAUUUAUCCUUUAAUACAAAUCCUUAAUCAUUCAUGGACAUAGGAAAAAUUUCCAACCAAAUAAUUGUCCAUUAAAAUGCUCGGCCUUAAUCUAUUACAAUUUUUCAGUCUAGUGGCCACAACAUACUUCAACGACACAACCAUUCACUUUUCCAUAGGUCGUAAUGCCUCUAGAAAUUGCCAUGAAAUUUUGGGAUACCACAAUUCUCCCCUCCUUAGAAAAUUUCGUCCUCGAAAUUAGACAUUGCCUAUGUCUCUUUACCCCAGUGAGGGUACCUUUCCCUCAUUUCAUUUUCACUUUCCCAUGUGGCUUCCUCCACAUCAUGAUGUCACCAUAAUAUCUUAACCAAUGGUAUUUUCUUCGUCUAUAGGACUUGUUCCUUUCGAUCCAACACUUGCACAGGCUCCUUAAUGUACCUCACUUCCUCAUCCACUUUGAUGGCUUCAUGAUCGAGUAUGUGACCAGGGUCUUGGCUGAUACGUCCUUAGCCAUGCCUAUACUUUUCUGAAAGCUUUUGUUUUACACAUUCUACCAGGUAUAACUUUUCAUCCCAAUUUCCUUUAAAGUCAAGGAUGCAAGCUCUUAACAUGUCCUCUAAUGCUUGGAUCACUCUUUUCGUUUGUCCAUCCAUCUGUAGAUGAAAAGUAGUACUAAAUGGGAGCUUCGUCCCUAAGGCGGUUUGAAGACUUCGCCAAAGGUUGGAAGUAAAUCUUGAAUCUCGAUUCGACGUGAUAGUUACGGGAACACCAUGUAAGCGUACCACUUGGCUUACACAUAUAACAACAAAUUUACCCUUCGGAUAGUCUACGCGAACUGCUAGGAAAUGGGCAGACUUAGUCAAGCGAUCUACUAUCACCUAGAUAGAAUCAUGGCCACUUGAUGUCCUUGGUAAUCCUUGCACGAAAUCCAUCAUCACAUGAUCCCAUUUCCAUUAUGGUAUAUCUAAUGCUCUCAAUCGAACACACCAUUUAGCCGAAUUAUUCCUGUACCUUUGUCACCAUCAAUUCAAGCAUAGAACCAUCAAAAUCGACACCAUUAACAACUCAUCUAGUUCAGUCCAACAAACACAUUCACUACGCUUUCACUGCAACAUAGAUUCAAGCCUAAAAUAUAGUAUCAUUCAUUCGGUUCAAAUAUUGAUAGUCCACCAAAAUAAAACUUGUCUAGUUUCUAUCAAGUAUAUCUCAUGUCUCACCCUAAGGGAUCAUCACUUGGACUAAUCACUCAUCAAAUCCACAACUUGAACUUUCACCUUUUCACCUUGGAAAGACUAUAACCACAAUUGAUCAUAUCCACUAAUUCCACAAAACCUUCUCAAACUGAGAUCAUCACCAAAAUUCAAAGUUGACCAUCAUCAAUUAAGCCUAUUAUUCCGACAUAUAAACCACAUAUAAUUUCGUGUCUCAUAUGACCACUCAAACUCAUGACUUCCAAGAUCAAUCUAUACAUACUAAAUGCCUCCAUGUAAUGCAUCAAGACUUCCAAUGAGAUCCUCUAAUAGGAAGUCACUACUUAGCUCAAGUGAUCAUAAGUUAAUCCUCGAAUUCAUAACUGCACUCUCCAUAAUUCACUCCUAAGCUUGUUUGCAGCACUNNNNNNNNNNNNNNNNNNNNNNNNNNNNNNNNNNNNNNNNNNNNNNNNNNNNNNNNNNNNNNNNNNNNNNNNNNNNNNNNNNNNNNNNNNNNNNNNNNNNCUUAGAUGCUGCGCAUGUUCUUCAGGUCCUUUAGAAUAUAUCAAGAUAUCAUCAAAUGAAGACAAUCACAAUUUGAUCCAAAUAAGGCUUAAUUAUCCUAUUCAAUAAAUCCAUGAAUGCAGCUAAGGCAUUCGUCAAUCUAAAUAGCAUAAUUAGGAACUUAUAAUGUCCAUAGCGAGUCCUAAAUGCGGUCUUAGGAAUGUCUUCUUUCUUAAUCCAUAGUUGAUGGUAUCCUGACCUCAAGUCAAUUUUUAGAAAAGAUCGAACUUCCUUGCAGUUGGUCAAAUAGAUCAUCAAUUCUAGGUAAUGAGUACUUACUCUUAACAAUUACAUGAUUCAAUUGCCUAUUAUCAAUGCACAAAUGCAUCGACUCGUCCUUUUUCACAAACAAAAGUUCUACAAGCUUAACCAUACUUUCACUGCGCCACUCUGAUAGAAUUAUCCUAGAAACACUAUCUUCCUAGUUCAGUUCGUAGUUCGGUUUAUUCCUGCCCCCUUUUGCCAUCCCAGAAGUCUGCUAGGAGCUGCUCCUUGUUUAGGUCCUCUGACCUCGGUGUCCACUCCCCGCCCUCAAUGGACUGGGUCGUUACAGGUACACUAGCUUUCGCCUGGUUCGAACCCAAACUACACAUCCAUUGGAGGGUCUCGUUUCGAUAGGAACUAACUUACAUAGAUAUUAUUCGCUUUGGCCUAUCCCAUCUUAGCCUCAUAGUUUUAUCCUUAGAGCACGAGUAAGUACUACCUCAGGAGAUAAUUCAUCCUAGUCCAUUGCUUACGGAGUUAGUCCAUUCCUACGAUGAGGUCAAAGUUAUACAUAACUAUCACUAUCAAGUCCAUUUCUAGAUCUCAUUCCCCUAGGGUUAUCUCACACAUCUCACAUGCUAACCUAGAUAACAACAUGUCUUUCAGUGAUGUAGAAAUACGAAGAGGCAUAUCUAAAGAUUUGUUCCUAUUUUUCACAAUCAUCUAUAUUUUUCGAACACAAAUGAAUGUGUGCCACUCAUAUCAAAUAACGCAUAUACCUUCUUAUCCCUCUAUCAAAAUCGUACCUGAGAUAACAUUUUCGGAAGCUUCCGCUUCCUCUUGAGUGACCGCAUACACCAUUCCUUAUGCUGGUGGCCUCUGUGGAUUCCUUGGUAGGUUUGGUCCACCUGUACUUUGUUGUACUUGUCGCACCGAGCCAACACUCAGCUGCGACCUCUCUUGUGCACAAUCUCUAUUAAAGUGACCUCUUUGCCCACAGUCAAAACAUUUCAAUCGAUCAUUACAGGAUCCUGGUCCAAGCAGUUCAUUGGUUUUUGAAAAUAGAACCAAUUUUCGGGUAAAACAGAAUGCACCUCUUUAGUAAAAAUUCUUGGAAAAUUUGUAAAAAAUCUCAAUAAAUUCUGAAAAUUUAAAAUGAGGUAAACAAGAUCCAUAUGAAGAUAUUUCAUGAAAAACACUAUGUCAAGAAAGUUCCACAUCAAUCACAUAGAUCUACAAAUCACAGCAAAAGAAAUUCCAGCACCCCUUUUUGCACAGUUUCGGAAAUAAUUUCGAUUAAACCCUUAAAUGAACUUCGAAAAUUCUGAGAUUUUGAUAUGUUAUAUAUGAGAUCUAGGGGUAAAAUUAUAAUGAAUAAAUUGAAGUCUGGUUCCUUUUGGAUUAAUAGUUAUAAUUUUUUAUAACUCUCCCUAACUCUCGGUUCACUGUCCAGAUUCACCAUCUUCAAAGAAAAUCAUUUUCCCAAUCAAUGCUUGUCUUUUUAUUCUCAAAUUUUAGUAUGUUAUUACUCAAGAUGUUGGCUACAAGUUUCAUCAAGUUUCAUCAAGGACACAAGAUCAAAUUUCAGCCAGAUAAUUUUAUAAAAUUCACAGAGUCGCACUAGAUCAGAAUAACUGUUUCCAGAUCUACUUUCUUCAAAGAAAAUGAUUUCACCGACCUAUACUUGUUCAUUUCCUCUCAAAUUUUUAUAUUUUACUCUCCAAGAAAUCCUAACAACUUUCAUCAAGAAGUCGAAGUGAGAUUCCAACUAGAACAUCGCAUGCAACUCACAAAAUCACCGAAGAUCAACAUAACAGUUUCCAGGUCUAGUUUCUUCAAAGGAAAAUCAUUUCACCAACCAAUACUUAUCUGUUUGAUCCCAAUUUUUAGUAUGUUAAUAUUCAAGAAGUUCUCUACAACUUUCAUCAAUAAGUCGAAGUCAGAUUCCAACUAGAACAUUGCAUGCAAGUCACGAAAUCACCAAAGGUUGGACUGUUUUUCCAGAAAACAGAAUGUUAGGCUAGAACACAACUUCGAAAUUUCACAUUGUAUCCACAUCCGAGAUUCACCAUUCAUCACACACCAAACACAACAAGCGAAGGGUAGAUCAAUGGACUCUACUUGCCUCUAAUCCAAGCAAAACACAGCAAGCAAAUGAUGGCUCGAUGGCGGGGACGAACCUCCUCUUUCUUCCUCGCACGCUCGCUCUCCCUCUCUCGAUUUCACUCUCUCUCUCUCUGUCUCUGUCUCUGUCUCUGUCUCUCUCUCUCUCUCUCGGUAACCCUCUCUCUCAAUCCGCCCACUCUCCCUCUCUUUCUUUCCCCUUCAUCAUUGCAAUCAUUAGGCUUGCAUGGCUAAUGCCACUUAGCUCUAGGGGAAAGACACUUGGCAAGCUUCUCUUGCCACUUGGGGAUUUACAUGCAAAGAGAUGGGCCUCAUUUGGCUGGGCUUGGGCCAGCUUGGUCGACUACUUCAUGGGCUCCCUGGGUCGGCUCUGGCCACUUGGUCACUUUUGGGUCUAAGUCCACUUUUAAAUGGCCCAAAAUAUUACUAAAUAAGCCCAUAAUUGCUCUUACAAUUUACUUAAUCCCCACUUAAUUUCAUAAUCUAAUACUCACAUGGCCAUAAAAUUUUGUAACAUAGAUCAAUAAAAAUCUAACUUAUAAAGUACAUGGCCGAAGAAUAAAAAAUUUCUAUCAAUUUAUCCCUUUAAUACAAAUCCUUAAUCACUCAUGGACAUAGGAUAUAUUUCCAACCAAAUAAUUGUCCAUUAAAAUGCUCGGCCUUAAUCUAUUACAAAUUUUUCGGUCUAGUGGCCACAACAUACUUCAACGACACAACCAUUCACUUUUCCAUUGGUCGUAAUGCCUAUAGAAAUUGCCAUGAAAUUUUGGGAUGCCACACCUAAGGCUAGUAAGGGCAAUCCUCAUUAAUCAUAACCUAUGGCCAAUCACCGGCCAUCACCAAGGCUUGGCAAAGGAAGAAAACGAAAAAAAAAAUGAAAAGACAAGAAAACUAAAAAUAAUAAAUUUUAAAGAUUCAAAAAUAUUAAAAUACUAUUUUAAAAAAAAAAAAAGGUCUGCUGGCAUUCACUUUAACGAUUUCUAGUCAAAAUAGGCUAGAUGGACUCAAUUAGUAAAACUUGAAAAAAAUUUGGGAUUCAAUUGAUACAAUUAAAAAGUUUAUGACUGAAUUAGCAAAAGUACAACAUAUUAUGAUUUUUUUGAUAAUUUUCUCCAAAUAUCUUUGGGCAAUUACAAGUUUUUAUGUCAGCAUUUGGGUCUUGUUUAAAUUGUAUGACUUAAGCAUGUAGCCGGUAGCUCACUUACCUUUUAAGCCAACAAUAAAACUUUACUUGUCAAAAAAAAAAAAAAACAAAUUGCCCUAAAGUUGGUUCUACACAAGAGUCCACAAAAUGGAUGAUUGUGAUGAACUCGAUCCACUAGACACCAAUCCAUAUAAUAUAAUCUCAAAUCAAAGACCAUGAACAAUACUAGUUCCUUGAAUAGGUCGAAGCUUGAUAGGGAUUGAUUUUGAUCCAUCAAAAUUGGAAUCCUGUUAAUGGAUUCAAACAUGACGUUGAACCCAAUAACCCGAUUGCUAGUGCAUUGCCAGCUUCCAGUAGCACAUCGGUGGAAUCUACGGAAGAUAGUGAAACUCCAAUUUGACUCUUAAGUACAUAAGUGAGAUGCUCAAGGAGAGGGAGUUGGAGGAGAAAAACUAAAUGUUUGCUGGAUUGGCUGACCACCCUCUGGGCCAAAGGAAAAAAAAAUAGUGUGAUGUCCUCUACUAGAAGGGUACCCUUCCGACCACCCAAAAAAAAAAAAAAUACUUGCCAACCAGCAAAAAUUUGGCCAACCAGCGAACUCAGGUCUUCAUUUGAGAUUAAUUUAGCCACUUUAGACCCUUAUUUAAAAUAAUGUCCAUCUUAGGCAAUCUUUUGAAAAAAAUAACACCACUUUAGACGCUCAUUCAAAAAAAUUUCUUACUUUGCCAAAAAUUAGUCAUCUGAAGUGCAUGAUGGUAAAUGUAUACAAAUUGUUGAAUCUCUUUGUAUGUUACUAAGGUAAGAUUUUGCUAUAGUGCCAAACAUCCAAACAGGUUGAUAAUUUACUAUUUAUAUUUUCAUCGUUAAAUUCCUUCAAUAGAUGGCAAUUUUUCGCCCACUUGUAAAUUUAGCAAUUUAAUAAAAGCUUGCUGUGUAAUGUACGGGUAUUUUUCACUAAACCAUCCGACUUCGUUGGGCUUGAAUAAGACUCAUUUGAUUUCAUUUGUGUAAUGCUUGCGGAGAUUACUUUCGUUGGUGGUGUUUUUUUUUUUAUUGCUCUAAUUUCUAACACAUGAUAGUAAGGCCGAGUAUCGGUAUAGGGUCAACCCUAGACUAAUCUCGGACUGGCCCAACCCAGCCAAUACUGGGUCUGUGUCCUUAGUCCCAGAACUCAAAUUUCUUGAAAAAAUUUCAAAUAAGAGUCCAAGGUUCUAUCAAUUUCUUAAAAAAAGAUUUAAAGUGUAUCUUUUUGUUUUUUUUUUUUCAAAAAAAGACCUAAAGUUGCCAUAGGAGUUUCAAAUAAAGGUCUACCUCACUGACUGGUUAAGUAUUCUGGUCGAAAAGGACAUUUUUGUCCAAAGACAAUUUUAAACCAAAUUUUAAUUAAAUUAUUUUAAAAAUUAAUCUAAAAGCUUUUCAAAAAAAAAAAUACAUGCAGUGUGGGCCCUCACCUUUGGUCGACAAGGGUUGCGGCUCUCAUCGAGGUACUUGCAACCUCGAUGCCCUCCUUCAUCCUUUGGAAGGUAAACUUCAUCCCAAGCUACCUUAGCACCACCCACCCCUGCCCAGGUUCGGACCUUUCCACAAUAAUUGUCUAAGGAUUUUCUCUAUCUGGUCCACUAUAACUAUAGGCAAAACAAAUACACUAGCCCAAUAGGCUUGUAUAGUGUGAAGAACUAACCUAAUAAGCUGAAGCCAUCCAGCAAGAGAGAGGAAUCGAAGAGUCCAAGACUGAACCCUUGCAGUGAUAUGGUUGACAAGGGCACAAGAGAGAGGAAUUGGUGAGUCCAAGAUUGAUGAUUGAAUUAUUAAUAUAGUAAUUUUGGAAAAUUGACAUGCCAUCUUACUAAAGCAAAAGUGAGUGCAUAAUUAACAUGAAGUAGUCCUCUUUGGGUGCUUUUGCCGUUGUUUUGGCGUUGCCCUCGUUCUUUUACCUUGACACCCUUCCACUCGCUUUGACUUUUGUCUUCGUGAGUGUAAGUUUUUGGUGCCGAGUUCUUGCUGUAUAGCUUUAUAUAGCUCUUUGGUUAAAGUCAAUAUAAUCUUACCUUUUACCAAAAAAAAAAAAAGUUGAUAAAGCGAUCUAUAAAAUUCAAGAUAGAACAAGACAUCAUAAUUUUGAUAGGAAUUUUCGAUCUUUGGUAGCUGGAGAUUACAUUGAGUACUAAACUUAAGUAAUAAGAUUCGGUUGCAUAAUUCGCAUAAGUUGUCGGACCAAUAUUGAAAUUAUUAUAACUAAGAAUCUAAUUUUACCUAAUUCGAUGAAAUGGAUGUACGAGAAUCAACAUGACCAGCACGUUUACUCCAUUUCGUAGCCAAAAGAUUUUUUUUUUCCUUUUUAUAAUGUGGACGGCAUAUAUUUCUUUUUCUUUAUUGUUUUGGGUUGGUUUCUCGUGAAGUGAAGAGGAUAAGAGUGGAUAUUUAUAUCCUGUUUUCCACGCAAUAAUCGCAUAGGUGCAGGGUGAGCAAUAGCUGAAAGCUUGGCCAAUGGAGUACUGCCCUACUUCGCCCUUUUGGCUCGGCCUCCUCCUCUCGGCACUUCUAUUUUUCCUUCUCAACCGUUGGAAGUGCACCAAGCUUCCCCCUCAGCCCCAUUUACAUUUAUUGGCUCAUUUCAUCUUGUGGACUUUAAUGUCAAAAUGUUGACGAAGGAUAUUUUUGCGACUUAUUCGCCAUACAAGAGAUUGUACACUUUGCACAGUAUUCUCCAUUAUGCUCCCACUCAGAUUAGAUAAUAAUGAUAUCGUCUCAUCAUAUAGUUGUAAUUGAGAGUGAGUCGAAUAUAAUUUCUCACUUCUCAUGUUACUCCUAUUUGGACGAACUCUACUAAGUCCAUUAUCUUGAUCUAAUGUUUCUAAUAUGGAGUAAUUCUCACAUAUUUCACCCUUCUUAAGAAAUUCAUUAUUUAAAAAUGUGACAUUCCGUGAUUCAAAUUUAGCUAUACUCUCACUUUUCUGCCCACUUAUAAACACAUACCCUUUCGAGUGUUUUGAGUAUCUUAUGAAAAUACUCUUCUUACCUCCGGGUUCAUGAGUAUAGGCAGUACAAUAUCACAGUUUAAAAAAACUUAAAUUCAAUUUUCUACCUGUCUAUAACUCAUAUGAAGUUAAAGUAACUAGUUUGAAAAGUAUAUGGUUAAGUAUAUAGGCAGCAAUUAAUAAAGCAUUACCCCCAAAAAGUGAUAGGUAAGUUAGCAUGUGCCACCAUGGAUAUAAAUUUUUUAAUAGGGUUCCGUUUCUCCUUUCCGCAACACCAUUUUGUUGAGAAGUAUAGGAAAUGAAAAACUAUCUUUCUAUUCAUUUUUUAUCACAUAAAUUUAUGAACUCAUCAGAUAAAUAUUCAACCUCAAUCGGAUUUCAAUACUCAUGUUUUCUUAUCUAAUUGAUCUUUUACUAAGCUCAUAAAUUUUUUGAAAUAACUCAAUGCUUCAGAUUUAUGAGAAAUCAAAUAGACAUUUCUUAAUUAAGUAUAGUUAUCUAUAAAUAUGAUAAAAUAAAUAGCAAUGUGCAUUCCUCUCACAUUUAUUAGACUAAAAUUGUUAGAAUGAAUUAAUUGCAAAGGAAAUUCAGCUAUUUUACAUUUUCCAAAUUGUUUUCUUAUCAUUUUCUCUACUAGGUAAUGCUAACGUAUAGGCAAAUCAACUUUUUCAAUGUUGCCCAAUAAGCCCUCUUUGGCUAGCCUAUUCAUAUGUUGUUGGCCAAUAUGAUCAAGUUUAGCAUGCCACAUAUUCACAUAAUUAUCAUAUGAAUUAAAAGACGUGAAGAGGGAAUAACAUUAAUAUUACUAUAGUCAACAUUUAAUACAAUAAAAUCAUUUAGAAAAUAGCCAUAACCAUAGAAGCUUGUAUUUAAAUACAAAUCCAUACCAUUAUUUUGGAAGUUCAAACUAAAAUCAAAUUUUACAAAUACUAAAACAGACACUAAAUUCUGACGAAUUUCGGAAUAUAUAAUAUACAUCAUGUUGGAAUAAGGUGUGUUCACCACACAUGUUUAAUUGACAGGUGCCAAUCUCUUUUAUUUAGCUCUAAAGUUGUUUCUUAUAUAGAUCCAUUUAGUUCUAGUUAGUGCUUGUCGGAAUUCUACGAAGAAUUCUCUAUCCUUUGCUACAUGGUUCGUUGCUCCCGAAUCUAUAGUUCACAAAGGAUUAUGUUCAAUUAAGAAUAUUGAAUUUGAUACAUAAGCAAAGUUCUUAAGAAUGCAAGGGGUGUUGUUCUUCUUUGGCUCACAACAGUUGCGAGCAUGGUGAUCGUUCUUAUCACAAUUAUAACACUUCGCCCUUGACAACUUAUUCAUUCGAGGAUGCUUUCCUCUUUCAUAUUGGUUAACUUUUGAUUUAUUUCCCGAAGAACUUGCUUCAUUGCCUUUCUACCUUUUGAAUGAAUCAAGAUGUUUGUGCUUGGAGCUUGAAACCUCUUGUGAGCUAGAAUUGGCAUAAUAAAUGUCAGUUUACGGUUUAGCUGCCAGGAGGCAGUCCUCUUUUAGCUCAAGAUGACGCAUUGCAUCCUCAAAGGUUUUAAUAUUCUCAUUGUGUAUCAAGUGCACUUUCAUAUGCUCCCAACUUGGAGGUAGGGAAUAUAUCACUGCUUGCACUUGCUACUUGUCAGUCAAGACAUAGCCAGCAUCUUUCGACUUAUUAAUCAUGUUUAACAUCUUUUUCAGGUGUUGUUUCAUGUAGAGGUGUGCAACCGGAUCGGGUCAACUCGGUUCCCGGUUCGGCCCACCCGGAAAACAGGGUCGGGAAUUGGUUCCGGUUGAAACCGGUCCGGGAACCGGUUCCCAAAGUUCAUACCUUGUUUGAACCGGUCCGAGAACUGGUUCCGAGGGAAUACCCACUUGGGAACCGGAUCAAUCGGACCAGUUUGGGAACCGGUUUGAGAAUCGAUUUUUGGGCCCCAAAACAAAACCCUAGCCGUUUCUAAAUUUCUAUCUUUACUCUCAGUCUCUCAUGUAGCACGCUCGUCGCUCUCAGCGUCUCAUGAUCUCACCUCCGCCAAUCCAUCUGAGCAGAAGCAGCAUUGCCUUCCUCCAGAUCAGCGCCCCCAUCUUGGUCCCAGCCAUCCUCGCCACCCCGGUGCCGUCGGCCUCGCUGCUCGAGAAGGCUGGGUGCAAGACAUUCGCGGGCCUCCUUGUCUUGACACCAAGGUCGACUCCUCAUGGGUGGCCAACAUGGUGCUCAAGUCCACCCCCGUCGCGAUCUUCACCAUUGACAGUGUCCUCCUCCCCUCUGAGCUGUUCGGCAAGUCCCUGUCCCCCGCGUCAGCGCCGUUGCUGGUAAGCACGAUUUUUACUAUUCGUCUUGAGCUACUGGCUAAUUAGUUCUACUUACCCCCACGCCGGCACCGUCGAUGUUUGCUCUUUUGAUUCGUUCUUGUAUUGCAAGUCUGGUGUUUUUUUUCUCCGUGGGACAAAUCUUGAGAAUUGGUCAGGAGUUGAGCGAACGAGCGAACGAGCGAACGAGCAUUUUAGGUUAUUGUGAAUCACAAUAGUUUGUUUCAUCCUAAUAGUUUGUUUCAAUGCUGUCUAGCAGCUGAUCAAUGACAAAAAUGCACACACACAUGCUCAAAGCGAGAUAUGUAUGGUUAUUACACUUGCUGCAUUUCACUAGGUGUGGUGAUAUAAGAUAGUCAAUAUACCCCAUAGGAUCAAGUAUGUGGUCAAGGGCAUACUUAUACGUGUGAAUUUGGCACGUCGUACAAGUUUGAUUCCCACACCACUGAGUACAAACAUUUUCAGGGGUUUGCCUACCUAAGGUCCUAAGGUUGGUGCCUCAAUCCUAGUUAUAAAAAAAUAUAAGAGUGAUUACCUAGGAGGAGCGGGAAGAAGCUAGCACAAACUUUUACAAAUCAGAAUAUCUGUUUGAGAAUCCAUGUUGUUUCAGUGAAAUAGGAUAGUUUUAGUUCAUUGGAGCCUGUCUUCCUAUCCUCUGGACAUAAUUAUUGUUUUAGCUUUGUGACAGAUGUGUUAAUUCCGCAGAUUUUCUGUCAUUCAUGAAUUUCUGCAGUGUAAUUCUUGUCACGGUUUGGUUGCAGGAUGAGAUGUUAAGACAGAGAUUCAUGGUUUACUAGCAAGAUGUGAAAUGUGCACGUUCAGAAAUUUUUUGCAAAACAAGUUCCAAUAUAAACAGGGUUAACCUUGUUCUUGUUCUUGCUGCUGUUUCUGUUGCUGUUGACAUCAAGUCAAGGAGGGCAAGUGGGUUGUGGUUGGCUUUGUUAGCCUGAUUUAUCGUUAAUUGUUUUGCUGAGAUUGAGGUUAUUAGAAGAGAAAUCAGUGUUAUGUUGCCUAGCAUUGGUGUUUUAUAUCCUAGAAAAUUUGACUUCAAAGAUUGUUCUUUGUUUGGAUACUUCAUUUUAUCCGCAUAUCGGAGUGUUCAUUGUCCUUUGGAUUGGAGUUGUUCUAAGCAUCCGAUUCAAUCUUGCCACUGAAAUAGGACCCUGAAAAGAACUCUUUCAAUUAGAUGUUCUUUGGAGAAAUAGAUUAGCAAAGAUUGAUUGGUAGUCAGAGAACAUGGGUUAUUAAGCUCUAUGACUCAGAGUUUACUGGUUCGCUAAGUUUUCCCUCAGAGGUCAGGAUACAUUAGGCACCAUUUGUUUUAUUUGAUAUGUCGUGAUUUCGAUAGAUCUAUCCUUCACUAGCAAGGAUCCAUAUCAUUUUGGAGUAUACAUUGUCUAUCUCUAGAUUAGAGAUUGUUCUGAGCUUACAUUUGAUUCUUGCAAUCAAAUUAGAAUGCUGAAGAAACACCUUCAUGGUUUACUAGCAAGAUGUGAAAUGUGCACGUUCAGAAAAAUUUUGCAAAAUAGGUUCCAAUAUAAACAGGGUUAACCCUGUUCCCGGACAAGAAAAAUAGGGUGGGUUGGGAACAGAGUCCAAUGCAAACAGGGUAGGGAACAUGGUCCAAAAAAAGAGAACCGGUUAUAACAGGGUUGGGAACAGGGUCCAGGUCUAGACCCUACCCACCUUGGACCCGAUCACCUCUAGUUUCAUGGUCUGACUAUGAGACUUCUUAUAAGAGUCAAAUCUUAUAGUGAGUUAUCUUAGUUUGGUCACUGAUGUAUGACCAAAUAUUGCUACCAAUACUUCCCACAUUUCUUUGGCAUUCUCAAAACGCCUAAACUCUAGCAUGACAUCAUUUUCCAUGCUACUCAGCAAUGUAAUGCAAGUAAGGGAGUUCUUUUUUUGCCAUACAACAAAUGCAUCCUUAUCUCUUUUAUGUUGUGCAAUGUUCCCAUCUUCAGAUUCUUCCAUAAUCAGAUUAAGAGUUUCUAGUGCCUUUUGCUCUUCUAUAUUGGAUUUUCAUAUGUCAUAAUUCAUAAUUAUCGUCGUUUAGCUUCUUACAUUUGUUCAAUUCAGAUACUAUGCUCUUAGAUGUUGAAGCCAUUGGAUCUAAAUAUAUCAGACACAUAUACAUGAAUAAUCCUUUUUUUUUUGGUAAAGGUAAUAAUAGAAUAGAAAGAGGAAAAGCCAAUUAUACAAAAGACUAAAAACUUUCACUCAAAAAGCACACAAGCAAACUGAGUGAAAAGGAGCUGGUGUAAAAGAAAGAAGGAACAACCAAUACAAUCGACAACAACAAGAGCAAACGCCCCCAAGUUCGAAGGAAGCAAAAAGGGUACACAUCCAAAAGCAGCACGAGCGCAACAGGCGCAACAAGGUCCAGGCGAAGGACAAGAGCAAAACCCCAACACCAAUCGAGCUAGUGAAGAACAAACCCAGCAGCCUAUUAGAGCUUAGCUGGGCCAACAAUGAAGAUUGAAGGAUCAAAUCCCCACCCAUGUUGAAGCCUCCUAUUUCUCGGGUUGUCAGGCACCUUGCCAUUGGUUAGUACUUUGUCCCUGACAACUUUUAUGAGAUGAUUCUUCAAAGCCGCAACCUCAAGCACUUCGCCCUAGAAAAAUGAUGCUUUUCCUUUUCUUCCAGAUAAGAUGGCACAUGGCCCUAAAAGAGAAAUGGGCAAUAGAGUGGAAGAAGUCCUUACCAGGUAAAUAUUUCAGAGCCCAAAGGAGAAUCUUUGCCCAUGACCUAUUAUGCCAGGGAAGAUUACAUCUCCCCGCCCAAAAGAAAGCAAGCAUCACGGGAACAUGACACUCGAAGAAGAGAUGGUCAAUCGAAUCAGGAAAAUAAUUGUAGAAGGCACACACUUCAUAAUCAAUUCGUCCAUGAGAAAUGAGUAAAGCCUGAGUAGGAAGGCAGUUCUUGGUAAUAAGCCAAAGGUUGAACUGGUAUAUGGGAGCAAUGGCAUUAUUCCAAAUAAAGUGAGCCCAAGGGACACGGUUCUUUCUAGGUCUUAAUGCCUCCCAGGCUGAGGCCACUGAAAAGGAAUUGGAAGAGGACUCACGCCAAGAGAAGCUGUCAGUAGAAUCAGCCAGGAUUGGCAAGGAGAAGCCCCAACACUCCAAUAGAUAUAUGAACGCACAGUUUGCCGGUGCAAGGAGGUCUGCCACUAUUGCUUUCCUAGAAAGGCCUGAACUAAGAAUAGGAGAGUCUGGGAUAAUGAGGCUCCAAGGGCCUUGCUGGUGCCCAUUGUUGUGCCAUAGAGAGACUGAACGACCAUUGCCUACUCUCCAACAGAAGGAUAACCUGAAAUUUCUUCUACGGUGAAGGAUUUUCUUCCAAGCCCAAGAGCAUACUGUUGGGAUAGUCGUGACCCAAAAAUUCUCUCUUUUAAAGAAAUUUGAAUGGAUCCACCGACAUCAAAGGGACUCUUUAUCUGUGAACAAGAUCCAUAUAUACUUAAGCAUAUACGCUUUAUUGCGGUCCUUCAACCUUCGAAUACCCAGACCAUCUUCCACCUUGGGAACACAGACAUCCUCCCAAGAAACUUUAGCUUCGCCCUAUCCAAGGGUAGGACCCUUCCAAAGGAAUUGCUUUAAAAUACGCUCAAUACACUCUAUAACCGAGUAGGGAAGAGAAAAAACAGUAGCCCAAAAGGCUUGAAUGGAAUGUAGGACUGACCUAAUCAAUUGUAGCCUUCCAGCAAAGAAAGAAACCGCUGAGCCCACGACUAAACUCUAGCCGUGAUCUGAUCAACGAGAGUAGUACAAUCCGCUUUGCUAAGUCUUGAAGUAAUAAUGGGAAACCCCAAAUAACGCACUAGCAGCUUCCCUUCUUGAAAACCCAGUGUCAAGAGAAUAUUCCUUUGCAAAGAAGUGGAACCCCCUGUAAGAAAGACCUCGCUUUUGUUUUUGUUAGGCAACAUUCCGCUCCAUGAAGAGAAGAUACCAAGGCCUCUAUUGAGGAGAGUCAUUGAAGCCCAAUCUGUCUGGCUAAAAAGAAAGACAUCAUCGGCAAAAAAUAGAUGGGAUAGCUUCACAGACUUGCACCUCCAAAAAUACUUGAAGUCCUUAUGAGCUGUGUGAGAGCUCAAGAUCCCAGAGAAAAUCUCCAUAACCAGGGUAAAUAAGUAGGGGGACAUGGGAUCCCCUUGCCGAAGCCCACAACCACCUGAGAAGAAGCCAUGCAGCUCACCAUUGAUCGAGAUAGAAUAUUUAGGUGUACAGACACAAACCAUGAUGAGUCUGAUUAUCCACUCAGGGAAACCAAAAGCCGAAAGGGUAAGCUCAAGGAAAUCCCAAUCCAUAGUGUCAUAGGCUUUCUUGAAGUCCACCUUAAUAGCACACUUAGGUAGAUAAGGCUCAAGGUGGAAUCUUGCAAACAGCUCCUGGGCUAGAAGAAUAUUAUCCCUUAUCCUCCUACCUUUAACAAAGGCGUUCUGGAACGGACUAAUCAAAUCAUCUAACACAACAACUAAACGAUUAGCUAAAAUCAUAGUAAUAACUUUGUAAAUUGUGUUACAGCAAGCUAUGGGUCUGAAAUCAGAAACAGCACAAGCGUUGGGAACCUUAGGCACCAUGGCUAAUAUCGUGUUAUUCACCUCUCUUAGCAACCAGCCCGAAGAGAAAAAUCCUUUACUGCCUCUAAAACUAGAGGCCCUACUACGUCCCAAUUAUUCUUAAAGAAUUCAACAAUAAAUGCAUCUGGUCCAGGGGCUUUACCACAGGCCAAGGAGAAUAGAGUAUCCCGAAUCUUAGAGUCAAAGACUGGACGAGAAAGAAAGCCAACUUGAUCAACCGAGAGAGGCGGCCGAACGAACUCCUUCAACUCCUACAAAGAAGGCUUCGAGAGGGCUGUCUGCAGAGUCAAAAGGUCACUAAAAAAGGAGACAAAUAUAGGUGGAACCAAUUCAGGGUUCAUAAUCAAGGAGCCUAAAGGAUCCUUAAUCGAAAGAAUCCUAUUCCUGAGUUGUCUUCUAGUGACCAAUUGAUGAAAAAACUUGGUGUUCCUGUCACCUUCCUGAAGCCACCUGAUUCUUGAUUUCUGUCGGUAAAAAGACUGCUCCUGAGAAUGCAACUCAACAAACACCCGACGUUGAGAUUUCUCCAAAUCCGCAAGGGCAGAACUGCCUGGGUCUUGCUGAAGACCAACCUGGGUGAUACGAAGAGCAUUCCUCACGUCAGUAGUUCUCACAAAAAUGUCAGAGAAGGCCACUCUAUUAAGUUGCUUUAGACGCCCUUUCAAAAGCUUUAACUUGCGAACAAGUUUGUACAUAGGAACACCUUCCACCAGACUCUCCCAGACUUGCUGAACAAUAGAGGAAAAGGACAGGUGUUUCAUCCAUAGAUCAAAAAAUUUGAAAGGCUUCUUCUUAAAAAUCGGGUUAAGAACCCUGACAACCAUGGGCGAAUGAUAAGAUAUACCCAGGUUUAGAAAGUUAGCUUCAGAAUAAGAAAAUACAGUAUUCCACUUGGCAUUCACCAACACCCUGUCAAUCUUUCUCAUCUUCCUGGCAGCACCAGAAGAAGUAAACCACGUAAAUCGAAGGCCCACAUACCUCAAAUCCUCCAAAUCAGUUUGUGCUAAACAUUGACUGAAAUCAUCAAAACAAGGUAUCCAAGUAGUGGUACUCCCAACUCGGUCGGACGGAUCUUUUAAGGCAUUAAAAUCACCAGCAACCAACUAGGCGAAGUCCUGCACAAAGCUGUUCAUCCGUAUAAGGUCAUCCCAAAGAGGCUGACAACGGGUAUAGGAAUGCUCUCCAUACACCACUGAAAUAUAAGAAGACAUCCUAGACAGAAGAAGCUCCAAGUGGCCAUGGAUAGCCUGAUCAUUAACAGAAGAGACUUCAAAGAGAACCAACUCCGGGUUCCAACCGACCCAGAUUCUACCUCGAGGGGAAUAGUCAUAAUUUGCAAUCCAGUUCCAUCCCAUCAAAAAAGUUAAGGAGAUAGAGUGAAAAAGAGACUCAGGAGCCCUAGUCUCAAGCAGCCCAACAAAACAUAAAUUGUUCGAUGACACAAACUUCUUCACUUUAGCACGCCUAAUGGGGUUAACCAAACCCCUUAUAUUCCAAAAACCUAUACACAUUGUUGAAAGGUAAGAAGAUUACCUCUUCUUGGUGGUCCUACACCGACCAAAGGCUGGAGUAGGUAGAGCCGACGGGGAAGGGUCAGGAUGCAACUUGAGAAGUUUGUCUUGCAUGGAUUCAUUAUUCCCAAGAGUUGGAGGCGCUCUCGAAGAAGGCAUAGAGAGCAAAUCGUCAUCCGAAUAUCCAUCUAUGUCUUCGCCCGAACUAGGAGGAACCAAAGAAGGUUCAACAAGAAUAACUCCUAUGGAAGACCGCCCUUCUUGAGCUUGCGUCUUCGUGCCAGGAUUCGGAGCCUUCGUUGGAACAGGCUCUUUCAGCUUCAAAGAUUGACUUUUAUCUCCAGAGGGAACAUCGUCUUUAAUCUUCAAAGAUAUCCCACCACCUGCGGAAGAAGAAAGCCUAAACGAGGCAUCAACCUUACCUAGUGGAGGCUUAUUCUUUUUACUUUUAACUUGCUUCUAAGUCGUUUUAGUCCCUUGCGAAGGAAUAACCACAGGGGCAGCAAGCUUCUCCGAAUUCUGGACCGAAUCAUCACCAGAAGCAGAGCAAAUAACGCUUUGAUGAAUAAUUUGAAAUAAGGUUUCAGAAUUAAAAGGUCACUAUGUUUCCAAUUAUCAUCCAAAAAUUCUAACUUGAAAUUCUCAUUAAUAUAGUCUUCUAUACAAAAUAAGUUCUUUGAAACUACAGAAUCUUCUAUGAACUACCUCAAACAAUUAAUGAUAACAGAAGCAAUUGACAUUGAAUAUCCAUUAAUGAUGAAUAAAAAUAUUUCCACAUAAUAUAACCAAUACAUCAAUUGCUACAACGACAUCAAUAUGGUAGAAAUUAUCUACAUAAGAUAUUCAUAAAACAUACUAAAUAAAUGCUACUAGAAACAACUAACACUAAGUCAACCUAUGAAUAGGGAAAUAUUCUUUUAAUUUCUUGGAAAUUUCCUUCGUAAAUUCUUUAGGCACAUUUGGCAACCACGGAAAAACAGAUGAAAAUCCCUUAGGAUUUCUCCUUCACAUAUUCAUUCCCCCAUGGAUUGAACUCAUUCAUUGGGUUGAAGUCUUUGUGGCUUCAAUCUUAUAAUAUUCCUUUUUAAAAAGCCACUAUAAGUUUCUUAUAAUCAGGAACCACAUUGACCUCCCAUAGGCGAUUGAACACUCAUUGCCAUUCAGAUGGAAGAAUGUCAAUGAAGAAUCGCACCAUCUUAAAAGCUGGCAUAGGGUAACCCUUGCAAAUGACUUCUUGUAUCUUCUUAUUGACCUUGUAAACAUGAUCAAAUAAAUCACCAUUUUCCCAUCAAUAAUCAGCCAACUUAACUAUCAUCCUUACAAGCCUUGUCCUUUGUCUUUUUGACUGUGCACGAAUAGGUGUACGCAUACGAAGGGGAGGCAUUGUUCUUGCAACGAAUGCAGAACAAAAAAUGAUUACUUAUAAUCCAUAGGGACAUAAUUGAAAAAGAAACAUAUUCUUCAUUUUUUUUGUCAACGGUCAACAAUCAACAGUCAACGCGGUUAACAAAGUCAAUGGUCAACGGAGAUCGGGUCGGCUCAGACGGGUCAAACAUGGGUCGGGUCAAACUGACUAACUUGACUAGGUGACGUCAUCAUGACUCACCAACACGUGCCAUGUGCAUGCAUGGGCAACUGCCAACUAACGUCACCAUGACGUUAGCUGGCACGUGUGGUGCCGCAAGUGCCCUAGAAACCAUUGAUGCACACGCCGACAAGGCCUUUUCUUCUAGUCGCACGUGGUGGCAUGUCUAACGGCAUCGAUGGCGGGCAACUUGUGACAUCCAGAUUUUUGUUGACCCUCGAAUACGUGACGGUCCGUGACAGAUCGACAGAAUUAUCGUUGGACUAUGUCAUUGGUACCAUUUGUGGACACUGUUUUGUUAUUAUCGUUGGACCAAUACGUUAUGUUUAGUAAUGGUCUGAUCAUAGAAUAAAUUAUAGUCCCGUCGAAAAUCUUUCUUACGUUCUAGCAAGACCGAGGCUCAUUCCAAAUAAUAUGUCGACAAGUUACCUAUCAUUCGAACUUUAGCCGUCUCCAUUGAGUAUGUACCCUAGGCGAUGAAGCCGAGAGACACCAUUUCACGCCCAUGCAGCCACGUCCAUCUACUUUCUUCCAUUAAGACAAAAAACUAUGGAUUCCAUGGCCAUGCAUGAGGACCAUGCACGUCUCUCCAUUGUGCGGAUCAAUAAACAAAUAGGAAAUUGACCCAUGCAGCCCAUGCUGCUCGAAGACCCUAUUUCCCCGGCCAUGCAUUCACGUCACACAUCUUCCAUGCACGUUCGUGGAGAUUCCAUGCAGCUGGUCAACUAUGGGUGAUGAUUGUUGACCAAGAGCCACGUAGCUCGUCCUUCGGUGGACAGCAAAAAGGGAGAAUGUGGCUUUGCUGAGGAUACAUCCCUUGCAUGAGGAAGUAAGGUGGCUGCAGCAAAAAGAGACCCUUACGCAUGGACACGGUAGGUGCAGCUGUCCGUUCUUUCCGCGGCCAUCGAGAAUUUACCUUUGUUGACCCAUAAAGUCAACCAACGAAGGAACAAAAUGGCUCGGAAAUGAGAGCAAGAGAGAGAAAAAAACCGGGCGAAAUAAGGCAGAGAGAGAGAGUAGCGAGUGAGAGAGAAAGCAGCGAGCGUGAGUGAGAGGAAAAGAAGGAGGUCACCCCCUCCGCCCGUGCACACGCGCUGCCGACGCCACUUGCUCGCACUUGCUGUUGCCGAGCUGUGUCUAUGACCGCGAGCUUCUCGAUUUCUCGCCGUCGACACCAUCGGAUUUAAGGCAAGUGAAAGUCUACUAGCCUAUGUAAUGCAAUGCUGUUGUUGUUUGAUGUAGUGCAGUUAAUUUUGGAAAUAUUUGAGUUUGUAUGUUGGAUAUUGAAUUUUUGAAUGAUUGAGGUAGAUUGGGAUUAGGGGAUUGAGGAAAUGCUCGGGUUUUCUUUGUGUGUUUUUGGUUCCUUUGAACCUCAAUCGAAAAUAGAUUUUGGUGGACUUUUGGAAAUAAGGUAGCCAAGGUGUGGGCGUGGGUUUCUACUGAAUCCAUACUGCCAAGAACAACUCGUGUGUAGCUCUGUAGCUUUGUAAAUUUCUACAGAGAUUUCUAGUACGAAUUUGGUCCCGACUUCUUCAUGGAAGUUGUGAGAAAUUGUUUAAACUAGGACAUAUAUUUUUGUCAGAUUUUUGGGAUCAAUAUAGUUGGCACAAACUUAUUUUAGUGUGCGGUGCUUUUCUACUAGAGUGUGAAUUUUGGUCAAUGGAAGAAAUAUGGGGCUAAGUUGUGUGAUUUACUGCUCUUUGUACUUGACUAAUGCGGCUUAGUGUCCUUCAUGAAAUUAUUUCCCUUAGGUCUUACUUAUAACAUACUAAAAAUUUAGAAUUUUCUGAGUUCAUUUAUUGGUUCUUUCAAAAUUAUUACUGAAACUAUACAUUUGAUUUCGGUUGCCUUUAUUCCGAGUUUGCUCAAAUUUAUCUCAAGGGUGAAGGAAUCUUGGUUUAUUACCUAGUAACGAUGGUUUUGGCAUUCAGUAAAUCAUUCAAUACUGAAAUUUCAAUAAAAAUUCAAGGGAUUUCAUAUGUCGAUGAUUUGAAAAUGUUUUGGUAUUGAAAUAAUUUGAUGUGUCAUUGCUACCGUUGGACCCUUGGGUCAAUGAUGCCCUGGGAGUCGGGCUGCCCAUAGGAUCGUAGGGGUCGAUGCCUUUGGAUGCUUGGAGACCGGUGAUCCCCAGAGGUUCCUUGGGAGUGUCGGGAUGCCCGAAUGUAUGACGAUACAUAUUUCGGAGGGUAGGGGCAACCAUUGCCGUGGUUAGUCCCGGAGAUUCCUCGUGAUGCUGGGUAAGGUGCGAGAUGCAAGAGGUGAGACAUGACAUGCUCUGGUUGCCCGGUGAUUGAAAAAUGGAACCAGAGGCUUUCGUGACGCCAGGUUGAGUGCGAAUGCCUAGAAGGACGCAAACACUGGUCCUCCAGGAGAAAAAUCUUUUGAGUUUUAAAACUGAAUGUGCUACUAAGUUGCGCCGAAUUAUGAGACAAAAUUGUGUGGCACAGAAUGAGACAUGUCAUGACAGUUUGGUCUUAUAAUCAGGACUCAUGUGAUUGAAAUGAUGUGUUCUGGUUUUGAAACUGCACUUGUUAUCACUUGGAAAAGUUCCAUUGAUUUGAUGCAUACUCAUUCCUUUGGUUAUGUGUUUUAUGAAUUUUGCAUGAAAUUAUAUUGUGAUGGUUCUGCAAGAUAUAGUUUAGUAGAUCUUUUGUUGUCGGGUGGUUGUAGGGACUAACAUUUUAGACUAGACAAGAUGCUUCUGCCACCCGCACCUCCCAGUACAUUCAAUGGAUUCCCGAUCGAAUUAUAGUUGGAGCGGUCGGAGUAUCAGGACCCUAAGGUGCGAGGACUGACGUUCGUACCGAUGAGAGUCAUUAUGGUGUUUAAUACCGGUCUUCCCAUUGGCCCUGUACUUCAAGAGUACAUCGUCGUAUUUGUCCGUCGGUAUAGACGAACGCUGGGGCCAUUGCCGUCGCCACUAGCAAAUGGACCAAGUGGCUAGGUGUGAUCAUGAGAUGNNNNNNNNNNNNNNNNNNNNNNNNNNNNNNNNNNNNNNNNNNNNNNNNNNNNNNNNNNNNNNNNNNNNNNNNNNNNNNNNNNNNNNNNNNNNNNNNNNNNNNNNNNNNNNNNNNNNNNNNNNNNNNNNNNNNNNNNNNNNNNNNNNNNNNNNNNNNNNNNNNNNNNNNNNNNNNNNNNNNNNNNNNNNNNNNNNNNNNNNNNNNNNNNNNNNNNNNNNNNNNNNNNNNNNNNNNNNNNNNNNNNNNNNNNNNNNNNNNNNNNNNNNNNNNNNNNNNNNNNNNNNNNNNNNNNNNNNNNNNNNNNNNNNNNNNNNNNNNNNNNNNNNNNNNNNNNNNNNNNNNNNNNNNNNNNNNNNNNNNNNNNNNNNNNNNNNNNNNNNNNNNNNNNNNNNNNNNNNNNNNNNNNNNNNNNNNNNNNNNNNNNNNNNNNNNNNNNNNNNNNNNNNNNNNNNNNNNNNNNNNNNNNNNNNNNNNNNNNNNNNNNNNNNNNNNNNNNNNNNNNNNNNNNNNNNNNNNNNNNNNNNNNNNNNNNNNNNNNNNNNNNNNNNNNNNNNNNNNNNNNNNNNNNNNNNNNNNNNNNNNNNNNNNNNNNNNNNNNNNNNNNNNNNNNNNNNNNNNNNNNNNNNNNNNNNNNNNNNNNNNNNNNNNNNNNNNNNNNNNNNNNNNNNNNNNNNNNNNNNNNNNNNNNNNNNNNNNNNNNNNNNNNNNNNNNNNNNNNNNNNNNNNNNNNNNNNNNNNNNNNNNNNNNNNNNNNNNNNNNNNNNNNNNNNNNNNNNNNNNNNNNNNNNNNNNNNNNNNNNNNNNNNNNNNNNNNNNNNNNNNNNNNNNNNNNNNNNNNNNNNNNNNNNNNNNNNNNNNNNNNNNNNNNNNNNNNNNNNNNNNNNNNNNNNNNNNNNNNNNNNNNNNNNNNNNNNNNNNNNNNNNNNNNNNNNNNNNNNNNNNNNNNNNNNNNNNNNNNNNNNNNNNNNNNNNNNNNNNNNNNNNNNNNNNNNNNNNNNNNNNNNNNNNNNNNNNNNNNNNNNNNNNNNNNNNNNNNNNNNNNNNNNNNNNNNNNNNNNNNNNNNNNNNNNNNNNNNNNNNNNNNNNNNNNNNNNNNNNNNNNNNNNNNNNNNNNNNNNNNNNNNNNNNNNNNNNNNNNNNNNNNNNNNNNNNNNNNNNNNNNNNNNNNNNNNNNNNNNNNNNNNNNNNNNNNNNNNNNNNNNNNNNNNNNNNNNNNNNNNNNNNNNNNNNNNNNNNNNNNNNNNNNNNNNNNNNNNNNNNNNNNNNNNNNNNNNNNNNNNNNNNNNNNNNNNNNNNNNNNNNNNNNNNNNNNNNNNNNNNNNNNNNNNNNNNNNNNNNNNNNNNNNNNNNNNNNNNNNNNNNNNNNNNNNNNNNNNNNNNNNNNNNNNNNNNNNNNNNNNNNNNNNNNNNNNNNNNNNNNNNNNNNNNNNNNNNNNNNNNNNNNNNNNNNNNNNNNNNNNNNNNNNNNNNNNNNNNNNNNNNNNNNNNNNNNNNNNNNNNNNNNNNNNNNNNNNNNNNNNNNNNNNNNNNNNNNNNNNNNNNNNNNNNNNNNNNNNNNNNNNNNNNNNNNNNNNNNNNNNNNNNNNNNNNNNNNNNNNNNNNNNNNNNNNNNNNNNNNNNNNNNNNNNNNNNNNNNNNNNNNNNNNNNNNNNNNNNNNNNNNNNNNNNNNNNNNNNNNNNNNNNNNNNNNNNNNNNNNNNNNNNNNNNNNNNNNNNNNNNNNNNNNNNNNNNNNNNNNNNNNNNNNNNNNNNNNNNNNNNNNNNNNNNNNNNNNNNNNNNNNNNNNNNNNNNNNNNNNNNNNNNNNNNNNNNNNNNNNNNNNNNNNNNNNNNNNNNNNNNNNNNNNNNNNNNNNNNNNNNNNNNNNNNNNNNNNNNNNNNNNNNNNNNNNNNNNNNNNNNNNNNNNNNNNNNNNNNNNNNNNNNNNNNNNNNNNNNNNNNNNNNNNNNNNNNNNNNNNNNNNNNNNNNNNNNNNNNNNNNNNNNNNNNNNNNNNNNNNNNNNNNNNNNNNNNNNNNNNNNNNNNNNNNNNNNNNNNNNNNNNNNNNNNNNNNNNNNNNNNNNNNNNNNNNNNNNNNNNNNNNNNNNNNNNNNNNNNNNNNNNNNNNNNNNNNNNNNNNNNNNNNNNNNNNNNNNNNNNNNNNNNNNNNNNNNNNNNNNNNNNNNNNNNNNNNNNNNNNNNNNNNNNNNNNNNNNNNNNNNNNNNNNNNNNNNNNNNNNNGACCAGCUAAAUUGUAGUUAACGCUUCCAACAUAGGUUGUACAAGGACCUAGGGAAAGGACGUGGCCCCAGAAACUCAUUGAUAUAUUAAAAUCCUUUUCUUUCAGAGUUUUUGACUCUCAGAUUCAGGGAAACUUUGUGAUAGGAGGCAACCCUAAGGCCUCGGGGGCCAUCGGGGGUGCCACAGAGCUAUGGGUCGCCACAUAUCACUAAUUUUCUCUCAACCUGAAAGUCUAACACUCUAAUACCAAAGGAUUUUGAUAAAUCCAUGAGUUCUUGGGGUCUAUAUCAUUUCCAUUGGUCCUUGCGCAAAAUAUGGCGGAAGCGUAUCCAACAUCUCCUUUUCCUAUAUUUAGAAAAUGAUGCACACCAACUAAACAUCUUUAUAGGUAAUAGCCGGACACUUUUAUUGACAUAUAACUAGAUGGACAAUUGUUAGUCAGUACAUCAAAAUGUCGUAGUUUUCAAUACUCGGCCAUACUUCAAAAGAUACCCGAUAUUUCCAAUAGUUACAAACAUAAAGUCCAUUGUUUAGUGUUGGUGUCCAAAAAUUUCUUCCUUUGCUGACCCCAUCUCACGAUCACACCCAGCCACUCGGUCCAUUUGUUCAUAGUGGCAGCAGUGGCCCCAGCGUUCGUCUAUACCGACGGAAAAAUACAGCGAUGUACUCUUGGAGUAUAGGGCCGGUGGGAAGACUAGUAUUGAAUAACAUAAUGACUCUCACCCAUACAAACAUCAGUCCUUGCACCUCAGGGUCCCAAUACUCCGACCGCUCUCACUGUAAUUCGAACGGGAAUCCAUAGAAUGUAACGGGAGGUGUGGGCAGUAGAGACAUCUUGUCUAGUCUAAAAUGUUAGUCCCAAAAGGGGUGAGUACAACCACCUAGUAGCGAAAGAUCUACUAAACUUUAUUGUGCAAAACCAUCACAAUCUAAUUUCAUGCAAAAUUGAUAAAACACAACCAAAGGAAUGAAUAUGCAUCAAAUCAAUGGAACUUUUCCAAGUGAUAACAAGUGCAGUUUCAAAACCAGAACACAUUAUUUCAAUCACAAAUGUCCCGAUUAUAAGACAAAACUGUUAUGACACGUUUCAUUCAGUGCCACACAAUUUUGUCUCAUAAUCUGGCACAACUCAACAGCACAUUUAGUUUUAAAACUCAAAAGUUUUUUCUCCCGGAGGACCAGUGUUUGCGACCUUCUAUCAUUUGCACCCAACCUUGUGUCACAAAAGCCUCUGAUUUCAUACUUCAGUCAUCGGGCAACCGAAGUGUGUCAUGUCUCACCUCCAGGCAUCUUGCACCUCACACAGCAUCACGGGAAAUCUCCGGGUCUAACCACGGCAAUGGUUGUCCCUACCCUCCAAAAUACGUAUCGUCAUACAUUCGGGCAUCCCGACACUCCCGGGGAACCUCUGGGGCUCACUGGUCCCUAGGCAUCCAGAGGCAUUGACCCCUAUGAUCCUAUGGGCAACUCGACUCCCGGGGCAUCGUUGACCUGAGGGUCCAACGGCAGCAAUGACACAUCAAAUUAUUUCAAUACCAAAACAUUUUCAAAUAAUCGACAUCUGAAAUCCCUUGAAUUUUUAUUGAAAUUUGAGUAUUGAAUGAUUUACUGAAUGCCAAAACCAUCAUUACUAGGUAAUAAACCAAGAUUACUUCACCCUUGAGAUAAAUUUGAGAAAACUCGGAAUAAAGGCAACCAAAAUCAAAAUGUAUAGUUUCAGUAAUAAUUUUGGAAGAACCAAUAAAUGAACUCAGAAAAUACUAAAUUUUUAGUAUGUUAUAAAUAAGACCUAAGGGAAAUAAUUUCAUGAAGGACACUAAGUCUAAUUAGUUAUGUACAGAGAGCAGUAAAUCACACAACUCAGCAGCAGAUUUCUUCCAUCGACUAGAAUUCACACUCCAGCAGAAAAGCACCGCACACUAAAAUAAGUUUGUGCCAACUAUAUUGAUCCCAAAAAUCUGACCAAAAUAUAUGUUCUAGUUUAAACAAUUUCUCACAACUUCCAUGAAGAAGUCGAGACCAAAUUCGUACUAGAAAUCUCUGUAGAAAUUGACAAAGCCACAGAGCUACACAUGAGUUGUUCUGGGCAGUAUGGAUUCAGUAUAAAUCCACGCCCACACCUUGGCUACCUUACUUCCAAAAGUCCACCAAAAUCUGUUUUCGAUUGAAGUUCAAAGGAAUCGAAAACACACAUAGAAAACCCGAGCAUUUCCUCAAUCCCCUAAUCCCAAUCUACCUCAAUCAUUCAAAAAUUUAGUAUCCAACAUCCAAACUCAAAUAUAUCCAAAUCUAACUGCACUACAUCAGACAACAACAGCAUUGCAUUAUAUAGGCUAGUAGACUUUCACUUGCCUUAGAUCCGACGGUGUUGACGGCAAGAAAUCGAGAAGCUCGCGGUCAUAGACACAGCUCGGCAACAGCAAGUGCGAGCGGGCGUUGUCGGCAAUGCGCGUGCACGAGCGGAGAGGGGGACUUCCUUCUUUUCCUCUCACUCACGCUCGCUGCUUUCUCUCUCACUCGCUGCUCUCUCUCUGCCUUAUUUCGCUCGGUUAUUCUCUCUCUUGCUCUCAUUUCCGAGCCAUUUUGUUCCUUCGUUGGUUGACUUUAUGGGUCAACAAAGGUAAAUUCUCGGUGGCUACGGAAAGAACGGACGGCUGCAUCUACCCGUGUCCAUGCGUAAGGGUCUCUUUUGACUUUGCUAUUGCCACCUUGCUUCCCCAUGCAAGGGAUGUCCUCAGCAAAGCCACAUUCUCCCUUUUUGCUGUCCACCGAAGGAAGAGCUACGUGGCUCUUGGUCAACAAUCAUCUCCCAUAAUUGACCAGCUGCAUGGAAUCUCCACGAACGCGCAUGGAAGAUGGGUGACGUGAAUGCAUGGUCGGGGAAAUAGGGUCUUCGAGCAGCAUGGGCUGUAUGGGUCAAUUUCCUAUUUGUUUAUUGGUCUGCACAAUGGAGAGACGUGCAUGGUCCUCAUGCAUGGCCAUGGAAUCCAUAGAUUUCAUGUCUUAAUGGAAGAAAGUAGAUGGACUCGGCUGCAUGGGCGUGAAAUGGAGUCUCUUGGCUCCUUCGCCGAGGGUACAUACUCAAUGGGGACGGCUAAAGUUUGAAUGAUAGGUAACUUGUCGACAUAUUAUUUGGAAUGAGCCUCAGUCUUGCUAGAACGUAAGAAAGAUUUUCGACGAGACUAUAAUUUAUUCUAUGAUCGGACCAUUACUAAACGUAACGUAUUGGUCCAACGAUGAAAAUGAAACGGUGUCCACAAAUGGUACAAAUGACAUAGUCCGACGAUACUUCCGUUGAUCUAUCACAGACUGUCACAUAUUCGAGGGUCAACAAAAAUCCGGAUGUCACAAUUCUCCCCUCCUUAGAAAAUUUCGUCCUCGAAAUUGGACAUUGCUCACGUAUCGUUAAAAAGAUGAGGGUACCUUUGCCGCAUUUCUUUAUUCACUUUCCCAUGUGGCAUCUUCCAUAUUAUGAUGUCGCCAUAAUAUCUUAACUAGUGAAAUUUUUUUUGUCCAAAGGACUUGUUCCUUUCGAGCCAGUACUCGAAUCAGCUCUUCCAAGUAUCUUACUUUCUCAUUCACUUUGAUGGCUUCAUGAUCGAUUAUGUGUCUAGGGUUAGGCUGAUACUUCCUCAACAUUGACACAUGGAACACAUCAUGUAAAUUUGCCAGCUUAGGAGGUAAUGCUAGCCGAUAAGCUACGUCUCCUAUUCUUUCAAGUAUCUCGAAGGGUCCAACAAAUCUAGGGCUCAACUUGCCCUUCCUCUCAAAUCGUGAUAUUCCUUUCAUCUGGGAUACUUUAAGAAAUACGUGAUCUCCUACGUUAAAUUCCAAGGGUCCUCUAUGAUAUAGCUAGUAUAAGUACCUAGAGGGGGUGAAUAGGUAUAUAAAAGAUUUUUCUUUGAUAAUUGCACAAUACUAGACAGUUGAUGGAUUUGAGACAAACAAUAAUCAAAGUAAGACUGAGAGAAGAGAAAAUUGAACACGCGGUUUAUAGUGGUUCGGCUUAUGUCAAGCCUACGUCCACUCUUCUGCACUGACAGCCUAUUGGCUGGAUUCCACUAUGAACAAAAGAGAAGUUACAGCACAUCUUUGCCUUGAUUCCACAGUGUAGAUGUUCUACCACACCUCCUCAAGAUUUCUCACAAAUAUAGACUCUCUUUUGUAUACAAGUAUUCGCUCAAAGGAAUUGUCUAAACAAAAAGGAGCUUCAGACUUUGGAAUUCUUCUAUCGCGCACACCUCGACAACUUAGAACGUCUUCCUUAUAUACUCUUUUAUGCCAUCAUACCCGUUGGCACUUACCAAAGGAAUUCCUCCAAUCUACCCGUUGGACAGAAUCAAUUAGGAAGAUUAUCCGAGCUAUUAAAGGAACGUGUCGAUAGCCCAUCAAUCCUGUUUGCCCAUACAAUCAGGAUCUCGGUUUCCAUAAGUAGAACCUUCCAAUAAUAUUUAGGCAAUCACCGGAUCUUCAAUUAUCGAGUCAAUCUUCGAUCAAUCAAAGGACUCCGUUAUGUCUUUUCCAGCCACGAGAUCUUCUCAAGUUGAUAAGGUUUAAUCCUUAACGAAACAUCCAGUUCUGGAUAACCUUUCUUCAACGGAUUAGAGACUGUCAAUGAGGAUAGACUUUGAGUCUUGAGUCUGGCUGUCCGGAGGUCUUCAGACUUUAAAUAGCAGAGUCUGCAAGCCUUCAGACUAGACUGAUGGAAACGUUUUGUCAGCUUCAAAACACUUCAAGAAGAUUUCUCCAACAAUCUCCCCCUUUUUGAUGGUGACAAAACUUUCCUGCAGAUUUGGAUAACUUUGACCUGCAAAACAUUUCUCAAACACAUAUGCAUAUCUUAUAGAGGUAAAUGGCUAAAUGAAUAACACUAGAAUCUACAACCACAGAAAAUAGGUUAGUCUAGUAUACGAUAAAGCCAUCCAUAAGAUAUCAAUACUAGUUAAUAGAAGCAGUCAAGUCCAAGUCUAGUUCAGUUCUCAUCCAGACACAAAGUCAAAUAGAGUUCAAACAACAAAACAAUCCAACAAACAGUCCAACAAACCACACGAUUAAAAGUUUAAUGAUUGAAAGUUUGUUCAAAUCUUGCAUCUCUCCUCCUUUUUGUCAGCAUUAAAAAGGAUGAGAUGAAGUCAAGAUUGCUUGGGAACGCGGACAAGCUGGAAAUCUUCCAUAGACUGAACGAUGCCUUCCAGCCUUUUCAAGUCUUCCUUCAGUUGUGCAAUCUCCUCACCCUUGGCAUUGGCCUGAAUCUAAACAGAGAGGGCUUGGAUCUUAUCAUUCAAUGAACAUGAAGAAACUUAACCCGCAUUCUGCAAGUUUUGAACCUCACAACCCAAGGCAUAAAUUUGACCUCGCAUCUCCAAGAGAAUAUCCAUGAUUCUGCGAAAAUCUGCUGUAUUAUCAGUCUGAGUACUUGCUUCGGCCCGAUCUGAUGGAGUAAAUGCAGACGAUGGUAGAUCAGCAUAAUUUCGCAGGUUUGGCGAUGAGACUUCAUGACCUUCUUCUGGAAACUGAGAGGCAUAAACAUCCUCUGGGUCUGCAGGUGAGCGAUUGACUCCUUCACUUGCAUCAGGAUAUGAAGACUUUCCUCCUUUCUCUUGAUCUCCCCCUAUUUCCAUGCCUACAGGUGGAGAAGAGAGUUCCUCAGGUUCUCCUUCUUCUCUUCUUUCUUCUUCAGGUCUUUCCUCCUCUGCUUCUUUUUCAGCUUCUCUUUCUUCUUCUUCCUUCUCCUCUGCUUCUUUCGUCAUUUGUUCCGAUUCUUUCUAUGGAACAGGACAACUUAAAUUCUUCAAAGCCAUUGCAGAGAUGGUGAUGUCUUCCUCAUCAUCUUCAUCCUCAACGAGGAGAGCUCUUCUUCUCUUGGAUGGAGCAACCAUGGGCUCCUUCCCUUUUCUUUUAGCUGCAGAAGAGAUUUGAUGAGUUUUGGCAGGAGUCUUCUCCUUGAAUUUCUCCAACUCCUUGCUCAGUUCCUUCAGACGCAUUUUGGUCACCAUUUUCAGUCCUACCACCAUAUGAUCGCAUGGUCGAACACAAAAGAUUUGCGGAGGCUGAAUAUUCAGAUGUCUGAAUAACUUCGUAACAAGGCUUGGGUAAGGGAGUUGACCUCUGUCCUUCAUCAUUGCUCUAUACAUGUGAAACAUAACAGUGUGAGGGAGAGAAAACUUUUUCCCAGAGAGGAUGGCAUACAUCAGCUUUGCCUCUAAACUUGAAACAUCAGUCUUGGAAGUUGAUUUCGGUCGGAGGCAAUUGAUCACAAUCUUGUGAAGCAAGAUGUUGAAUGCACUCAUCCUUAAGUAGGUGAUCUUCUCCUCUGUUCUCUUGUCCUUCACCAAUUCCAGUGUGGCCCGAGCAAUGGAAACUUUGAUCCGUUGAUAUCUUCCUCUUUCAACUCCUAACACAUCUGCCAGCAUAUUCAUAUCCACAACAUAGUCUUGGUCUUUAAUGCUGAAAGAGAAUCUAUUCGCAUCCAAAAAGCUAAGAUUUGAAUAGAAAUAUGCAGUUAAUUCAGCAUAGGCCUCUGUAGUGUCAGAGCAUAACUUUUCAAGUUGAAGAUAACUGAACUUUUCCCUCAAGUUCACAUUCACAGCAUCCAGAAAAUCAAAAUCCACACUCCUAGGGUUUAUUACCCCACGCUUCAGCAAUUUCGAGUACAGAUCCUUUUGUUCCUUCGAUCUGAAGAAAUCUCCCAUUUUUCCUUGAUUUUCAACCGCAACACCCAUUUUCGGUUGAAAUUGGCUGUACAAUUUGUCAUCAUCAUUCCCAUCUACAGGAUUCGGCCCCCAGUCAUGAGGAUCACUUGGGAUAUUCGCAAGGGUUUCCUCAGCCACCCCUUUACGAGCAAUUCCCAAACUUUCCAUUUUUCGCAGAAAGAUAUAUUCGUUCCCAUAUCCUUUGUCUUUAAGAAAAUCAUCAACACAGUUCAAAGGAGUACAAGUUCCUUUUAAGGAACGAUAUAGCUUGUAAAUAUAAGCGGGCUUUUGAACUCUUACAGGGUCUGCAUCCUCAAUGAUUUCUUCCUGUUGUUGAUGAUCAACGCCUUGAGGACUAGAUGGAGGAGAAUGACGCUGCUGAGAAUGUUGUGGGCUCGGUUGCUAUUCUGGAGACACUUCUUCUUCAGUAAGAUCGAAGUGCGUAGGCCCCUCACUCAUUCGCCGUGGUCCCCUGCUUGCGAUUCUCGAAGACUUUCUUGAAGAUGACAUCUUUCUCAGUUUUUGGAAGAUUCCUUGCUUGACUUUCCCAGGAAAGAUUACAACUUUUUGAAGAUUAAAGAAGACAAACGGGAAUGGAGGAUCGAUGCUUUCUAGGGUUUUUGAGAGUAAAGUGAAGAGGAAUCAACAGUGCACGAUCGGUUAAAAAGAGAUAAACGAACCGUCACAAAGGAAAUAAAAAGAUGCCUUUUAAAAAUAACUGUCUUUUUCCGCAAAAAUAGCCAUUUAAAAAAUAACUUCCUUUUUGAAAAUGAAACAAUGCAAUAAUUACAUUGAUUAAAUAUAGCAACAAUUUAAACACAGUCUGACGAUCGUACCUUUUCAAGAUAAGAUUAGAGAGAGAAAGACUUACAGUCUGACGGUUGUACCAAGACUAUCUUACAGAUAAAGUCUUGUAUCUCUGAGUCUGAAAGUCUUUAGACUUUGAUUUCCUCAUACCUCAAAAUGUUGAGUCUGGAACGGAUAGAUUCAAAUUGAUUUUUCUCCAAAGGCUUUGUGAAUAUAUUCGCUAGUUGGUUCUUUGAGUCAACAAAUUGAAUUGAAACAUCUCCAUUUUGAACAUGGUCUCUAAUAAAGUGAUGUCGAAUCUCUAUAUGCUUUGCUCUUGAGUGGAGAAUUGGAUUUUUGGUGAGGUUGAUAGCGCUGGUGUUGUCGCAAUUAAUCUCCGUGCAUGAGUCUUCAAUUUCAAAGUCUCUUAGCUGUUGUUUUAUCCAUAGAAUUUGCGAACAACAACUUCCAAGGGCUACAUACUCUGCUUCUGUUGUUGAAAGAGACACAGUGCUUUGUUUCCUUGAAAACCAAGACAUUGUCCUGCUUCCAAGCAACUGGCAAGUUCCCGAAGUGCUCUUUCUAUCAACUCUGCAACCAGCCAGAUCUGCGUCUGAAUAUCCCAGAAGAUUAAAGUCUCACUUCUUAGGAUACCAAAGACCGAUGCUUGAUGAUGAAGCAACGUAUUUAAUAAUACGUUUCACAGCACUGAGAUGGGAUUCUCUAGGAUCUGAUUGAAACCUAGCACAGAUGCAAACACUCAACAAAGUGUCAGGUCUAGAAGCAGUAAGAUAAAGAAGUGAACCAAUGAUGCUCCUGCACAGCUUUUGAUCAACUUUCUUCCCUUCUUCAUCUUUGUCUAUUCUUUCAAGUAUCUCGAAGGGUCCAACAAAUCUAGGGCUCAACUUGCCCUUCCUCUCAAAUCGUGAUAUUCCUUUCAUCUGGGAUACUUUAAGAAAUACGUGAUCUCCUACGUUAAAUUCCAAGGGUCCUCUAUGAUAUAACUAGUAUAAGUACCUAGAGGGGGGUGAAUAGGUAUAUAAAAGAUUUUUCUUCGAUAAUUGCACAAUACUAGAAAGUUGAUGGAUUUGAGACAAACGAUAAUCAAAGUAAGACUGAGAGAAGAGAAAAUUGAACACGCGGUUUAUAGUGGUUCGGCUUAUGUCAAGCCUAUGUCCACUAUUCUACACUAACAGCCUAUUGGCUGGAUUCCACUAUGAACAAAAGAGAAGUUACAGCACAGCUUUGCCUUGAUUCCAUAGUGUAGAUGUUCUACCACACCUCCUCAAGAUUUCUCACAAAUAUAGACUCUCUUUUGUAUACAAGUAUUCGCUCAAAGGAAUUGUCUAAACAAAAAGGAGCUUCAGACUUUGGAAUUCUUCUAUCGCGCACACCUCGACACUUAGAACGUCUUCCUUAUAUACUCUUUUAUGCCAUCAUACCCGUUGGNNNNNNNNNNNNNNNNNNNNNNNNNNNNNNNNNNNNNNNNNNNNNNNNNNNNNNNNNNNNNNNNNNNNNNNNNNNNNNNNNNNNNNNNNNNNNNNNNNNNCUUACCAAAUGAAUUCCUCCAAUCUACCCGUUGGACGGAAUCAAUUAGGAAGAUUAUCCGAGCUAUUAAAGGAACGUGUCGAUAGCCCAUCAAUCAUGUUCGCCAUACAAUCAGGAUCUCGGUUUCCAUAAGUAGAACAUUCCAAUAAUAUUUAGGCAAUCACCGGAUCUUCAAUUAUCGAGUCAAUCUUCGAUCAAUCAAAGGACUCCGUUAUGUCUUUUCCAGCCACGAGAUCUUCUCCAGUUGAUAAGGUUAAAUCCUUAACGAAACAUCCAGUUCUGGAUAACCUUUCUUCAACGGAUUAGAGACUGUCAAUGAGGAUAGACUUUGAGUCUUGAGUCUGGCUAUCCGGAGGUCUUCAGACUUUAAAUAGCAGAGUCUGCAAGCCUUCAGACUAGACCGAUGGAAACGUUUUGUUAGCUUCAAAACACUUCAAGAAGAUUUCUCCAACACUCUACAUUUAUUUGCGUAGCUUUUCUUUUACCCAUUUCGUUUCAAUAAACGGGAAUUCUAUGAGUUUAACCGUGCUUCCGCUGCACUACUUUGAUAAAAUUAUCCUAGAAACAUUGCCCAUUCCAGUAUGAUGCAUAGUUCGGUUCAUUCCUAUCCCCUUUUGCCAUCCUAGAAGCCUGCCAGGAGCCACUCCUUGCUCAAGUCCUCUGACUUAGGCGUCCACUCCUUGCCCUCAUCGGACUGAGUUGUUAUAGGCCCACCAGCUUUCGCUUGGUUCGAACCCGAACUACACAUCUAUUGAAGGGGUCUCGUUUCGAUAGAGACUAACUUAUAGAGAUAUUAUCCGCUUGGCCUAUCCCGCACUAAGCCUCAUGGUUUUAUUCUUGGCACAUGGGUAAGUAUUAUCGCAAGAGAUCAUCCAUCCUAGUCCGUUGCUUACGGAGCUAGUCCAUUCCCACGAUGAUGUCAAAGUCAUACAUAACUAUCACUAUGAAGUCCAUUUUUAGAUCUUGUCCCCUUAUGGUUAUCUUAUGCUUCUUACAUACUAAAGUGGACAACACCAUAUUCUUUAACGGUGUAGAAACACAAAGAGGAGUCUCAAGAGAUGUAGUUUCUAUCUUACUUAAUUGUCCAUACCUUUCAGACAUAAAAAAAAAUGCGUAGCAUUUGUAUCAAACAACACAUAUGCCUUUUUGCCAUUUAUAGAAAUCGUACUUGAGAUAACAUUUUUGGAAGCUUCCACUUCCUCUUGGGUGACCGCGUACACCCGUCCUUGUGUUGAUGGCCUCUGUGGAUUCCUUGGUGGAUGUGGUCCAGUUGCACGGUGCUACACUUGUCACAUCGAGCUGACAUUCGGCUACGACUCAUCUUGUGGACAAUUUCUCUUAAAAUGUCCUAUUUGCCCACAACCAUAACAUCUCAGUUGGCUAUUGCAAGGUCCUGGCCUAUGUUGUCCACCACACCUCUGACAAGUAUUACUUUGGUAGGGUACUUUCCCUAAAGUUGGGCCACUCUUGACUUUUCCAAAAUUCCCAAAGUUACUCUUUUUCUUAGAUUCCUAAGGCUGACCUUGAUCAAGAUAGGGUCUCUUAGCUCGUCAGACAUCACUAAAGGUCAAUUGCCUCCUACACUCUGAUUACUCUCUUGUUAAUUCCCACUCCACCAACUGUGCCAUUUCAUAAAUUUCAUUAUAAUCCCUCAUAUUCAGAGGCACUAGUUGUUUCCUAAUAUCAGUUCUUAGCCCCUUCAAGAAUCUCUUAGCCUUUUCCUCUCGAUCCUCAAUCAAUCUAGGAGCGUACCUAAACAAUUCAUAAAAUUUGGCUUCAUAUUGGUCUACCGUCAGCUCCCUUUGUUCUAAUUAAACAAAUUCUGUGAUUUUCAUCUUUGGCACAAUCAGAGAAAUGCUUUCUAUUGAAAGCUCUAACAAACUCAUCCUAAUUUAUGUUAGUACCAGGUGGAAAGAUCAUGUCUCUUGAAGCUCUCCACCAAAAUUUUGCAUUUCCCUCCAAUUAAUACUCUGCCAAAAUUAUCUUCUCAGCAUCAUUAUAGUUCAACAACCAGAAAAUCUUUUCUAUUCCCUCAAUCCAUUGUUCCGCCUCCUCAGGAUUUCCCAUUCCAGUAAACUUAGGUGGUUUCAACUUCAGGAAUUGUUCCACCAAUCCUUGAGUACGGUGUUCUGCUCCGAGUUGUUGCUAAGCUUGUCUUUCCAUCAAAUUUCCUAUAUUGGCCAAUGCCUGUAGGAUAUCUUCCAUAUGGGGUUUAGCCCUUGAAGCAGAGGCUUCGGCCCUUGGUGGGUGAGAACUCCUAGUUCGCACCAUAUCUUCCUGCAGUUUACCCAACAUUUGCCUUAGGAACAAUUAGUGAUCCAAUGUCACUAGUCAAGUAAUAAAAUAAAGGUGUUUCUAAAGUCACAUAAGUAACAUAAAAUGUUACUUGCACGCAAAGGUAACUCACAAUCGUUACCUGUAUUUUUACGAGUGAAAAUCAAUCACCCGUUGUUCAUAAUUAGUCAACUACCCUUGGUUAGUAUCUUAUAGUGUGCAUCAUUAUCUCCUCAUUUCCUAUUAAUGCACCUUAUCACUCCAAAUAAAACCAUAGCUCUGAUACUACUCGAGCUACCCCCCCCCCCCCCCAACGACCCCUGAUCUGUUAGGGCCACAUAUCACCAACUUUCUCUCAACCUAAAAGUCUGAUACUCUAAUACCAAAGGAUUUCGAUAAAUCCAUGAGUUUUGGGGGUCUAUAUCCUUUCCAUUGGUCCCUGCGCAAAAUAUGGCUAAAGCAUAUCCAAUAUCUCCCUUCCCUAUAUUUAGAAAACGAUGCACACCAACUAAACAUCUUUAUAGGUAAUUGCUAGACACUUUUAUUGACAUACAACUAGAUGGACAAUCGUUAGUCGAUACAUCAAAAUGCCGUAGUUUUCUAUACUCGGCCAUAAUUCAAAAGAUACCCAACAUUUCCAACAGUUACAAACAUAAAGUCCAUUGUUUAGUGUCAACCUCCAAAAAUUUCUUCCUCUACUAACCCCAUCUCAUGGUCACACCUAGCCACUCGGUCUGUUUGUUGGUGGCGGUGGCAGUGGCCCCACCGUUCGUCCAUACCAACAGACAAAGACGACGAUGUACUCCUAGAGUACAAGGCUGGUGGGAAGACCGGUAUUGAACAACAUAAUGACUCUCACCCCUACAAACAUCAGUCCUCGCACCUCAGGGUCCUAAUACUUCGACCGCUCCCACUAUAAGUCGAUGGGGAAUCCAUAGAAUGUACAGGGAGGUGCGGGCAGCAGAGGCAACUUGUCUAGUCUGAAAUAUUAGUCCCCAAAAAGGUGAGUACAAUCACCAGUAGCGAAAGAUCUACUAAACUAUAUCGUGUAGAACCAUCACAAUCUAAUUUCAUGCAAAAUUCAUAAAACACAUAACCAAAGGAAUGAGUAUGCAUCAAAUCAAUGGAAUUUUUCCAAGUGAUAACAAGUGCAGUUUCAAAACUAGAACACAUCAUUUCAAUCACAGGGUCCCGAUUAUACGACCAAAAUAUUAUAACACGUCCCAUUCCGUGCCACACAAUUUUGUUUCAUAAUCCGGCGCAACUUAGCAGUACUUUCAGUUUUAAAACUCAAAAGAUUUUUCUUCCGGAGGAUAAGUGUUUGCGUCCUUCCAGGCAUUCGCACCCAACUUAGCAUCACAAAAGCCUCCGGUUCCAUAUUUCAAUCACUGAGCAACCGGAGCGUGUCAUGUCUCACCUACAGGCAUCUUGCACCUCACCCAGCAUCACGAGGAAUCUCCAGGACUAACCACGGCAAUGGUUGCCCCUACCCUCCGAAAUAUGUAUCGUCAUACAUCUGGGCAUCUCGACACUCUCGGGGAACCUUUGGGGCUCACUGGUCCCCAGGCAUCCAGAGGCAUCGACCCCUACGAUCCUAUGGGCAACCCGACUCCUGGAGUAUUGUUGACCCGAGGGUCCAACAGCAAGAAUGACACAUCAAAUUAUUUCAAUACCAAAACAUUUUCAAAUCAUUGACAUCUGAAAUUCCUUGAAUUUUUUAUCGAAAUUUGAGUAUUGAAUGAUUUAUUGAAUGCCAAAACCAUCGUUUCUAGGUAAUAAACCAAGAUUCCUUCACCCUUGAGAUAAAUUUGAGAAAACUCGGAAUAAAGGCAACCAAAAUCAGAAUGUAUAGUUUCAGUAAUAAUUUUGGAAGAACCAAUAAAUGAACUCAGAAAAUUCUAAAUUUUUAGUAUGUUAUAAAUAAGACCUAAGGGAAAUAAUUUCAUGAAGGACACUAAGCCUAAUUAGUCAUGUACAGAGAGCAGUAAAUCACACAACUCCGCAGCAGAUUUCUUCCAUUGACCAGAAUUCACACUCCAGCAGAAAAAGCACCGAACACUAAAAUAAGGUCGGAAAAUCUGGCAAAAAUAUGUCCUAAUUUAAAUAAUUUCUCACAACUUCCAUCCAUGAAGAAGUCAGGACCAAAUUCAUACUAGAAAUCUCUGUAGAAAUUUACAAAGCUACAGAGUUGCACACGAAAUGUUCUGGGCAGUAUGUAUUCAGUAGAAACCCACGCCCACACCUUGGCUACCUUACUUCCAAAGUCCACCAUAAUCUGUUUUCGAUUGAAGUUCAAAGGAAUCCAAAAAACACAUAGAAAUCCCGAGCAUUUCCUCAAUCCCCUAAUCCCAGUCUACCUCAAUCAUUCAAAAAUUCAGUAUCCAACAUCCAAACUCAAAUAUUUUCAAAUCUAACUGCACUACAUCAGACAACAACAGCAUUGCAUUACAUAGGCUAGUAGACUUUCACUUGCCUUAAAUCCGACGGUGUUGACGGCGAGAAAUCGAGAAGCUCGCGGUCACAGACACGGUUGGCAACAGCAAGUGUGAGCGGGCGGCGUCGGCAGCGCGUGUGCACGGGCGGAGGGGGCAACCUCCUUUUCCUCUCACUCAUGCUCGCUGCUUUCUCUCUCACUCGCUGCUCUCUCUCUCUCUCUCUCUCUGCCCUAUUUUGCUCGGUUAUUCUCUCUCUUGCUCUCAUUUCCGAGCCAUUUUGUUCCUUCGUUGGUUUACUUCAUGGGUCAACAAAGGUAAAUUCUCGGUGGCUGCGGAAAGAACGGAUAGCUGCAUCUACCCGUGUCCAUGCGUAAGAGUCUCUUUUGACUUUGCUGGUGCUACCUUGCUUCCCCAUGCAAGGGACGUGUCCUUAGCAAAGCCACAUUCUCCCUUUUUGCUAUCCACCGAAGGAAGAGCUACAUGGCUCUUGGUCAACAAUCAUCUCCCAUAGUUGACCAGCUGCAUGGAAUCUCCACGAACGUGCAUGGAAGAUGGGUGACGUGAAUGCAUGGCCGGGGAAAUAGGGUCUUCGAGCAGCAUGGGCCGCAUGGGUCAAUUUCCUAUUUGUUUGCUGACCCGCACAAUGGAGAGACGUGCAUGGUCCUCAUGCAUGGCCAUGGAAUCCAUAGUUUUCAUGUCUUAAUGGAAGAAAGUAGAUGGACGUGGCUGCAUGGGCGUGAAAUGGAGUCUCUCGGCUCCUUCGCCUAGUGUACAUACUCAAUGGGUACAGCUAAAGUUCGAAUGAUAGGUAACUUGUUGACAUAUUAUUUGGAAUGAGCCUCAGUCUCGCUAGAACGUAAGAAAGAUUUUCGACGGGACUAUAAUUUAUUCUAUGAUCAGACCAUUACUAAACGUAACAUAUCGGUCCAACGAUGAUAAUGAAAUGGUGUCCACAAAUGGUACCAAUAACGUAGUCCGACGAUACUUUCGUCAAUCUAUCAUGGACUGUCACGUAUUCAAGGGUCAACAAAAAUCCAAAUGUCACAAUUGGCCACUAGUUGUUUUUAUCGUCUCAAUGAGAACUAUGACCCUGCACUAUCAUAAAUGAGUUUUGAUUCACUGAAAAUCAAAAAGGGGGGCGAACAGUGCGGGCGUGUUGGGAUUUCCAUCCCCGAGCAUCCGACUGUAAUGUUUCUCAAAAUUUCAACCAAAAACAAUUUAUAAACAUCGACAUUGAUCAAGAAACAUGAACAUCAUUACUCUGAUACCAAUGUAGGAAACGAAUUUCUAUAAAUCGAACUGAUACUCGAAUGAUCAAAUACUGAAAAAUGAAUGUGGAAACGAGCCUGGGAAACAUGUAAGAUUGAUCAAAAGUAUAUCACGGAGACAGAUAUACCUUGGUUGCUAUAGAUUAAGUACCAUCGCAGUCUCAGAGGAAUCAUUUGAAGCCUUGGAGUUCCGUUCUUUAAGAGGAAGUAUAUUGUUUCAAGAGGAAGAAAAAUGGAGAAGCGUAUUUUUUCUGCGUAUUUUUUCUUUGGAACACUACGGGUAAUGUUAUCCCAUUUUAUUUUUUAUUUUUUAUAUUGUAGUUAUUUUCACUUAGAAAAUAACUGUCCUUUCAUCUUAUGAGCCCUUCACUUACGGGCCAGAUUUUGACCCAACAUAAGCGAACGGGCUUAACUUGGUUCAUCAAAUAAAAAACCAUCCGAUGCUAAUUUAGUUUUGUUAGUGAAGUAGAGUUGAAAACAAGCUUAUCAAGCACUUUAUUAAGUUCGACUUGAGCUAAAAAAAGGACCUUUCGUGUUGAAUCAAGUAGAACUCACAAGCAGUUUAGAGGUCAAUCCCUCUCAAUUCGACUAUAUCCCUCUUUUAACUAGUUGCACAACUUGAUGCAAUAAAAAUUUUCAUGUCUAAUUCGUUACGUGCAGCUAUACAUUCUCUGAUUAUAAUUAAUUGUAGAAAAAAAUCAUUUUAUGAAGAGUAAGGAAUUGACUUAUCCCAUUUCCUUUUUCUCUUGGGGUUUAAUGUGGUUGGCAACACGGUGCUCUCGCGAGAUUUGUUGUACCCAAAAUCGAAGGAUGUGCUCGAGUUCUACGAUGCCAUGAACCGGGUCGCGGAGUGGGCCGGCAAGCCUAACGUAGCCGACUUCAUGCCGUGGUUGAAAUGGUGGGAUCCACAGGGGAUCAAGACAAGCAUGGCAAAGGACAUGGGUCGAGCCAUGAAGAUUGCGGAAGGCUUCAUGAAAGAGAGGUUGGAGGAGCGAAAGCUAAGGGGAGAGAUGAGGACGACGAAUGACUUCUUGGACGCGUUAUUGGAUUAUGAGGGCGAUGGAAAAGAAGAUCCUCACAAAAUCUCCUCCCAGAACGUCAACAUAAUCAUUCCGGUAAGUUUGCUCCUCCCUUGCACGUCCAACACGGCCUCACAGUUUUGAUUAUCGAUUACCAUCUUAGAGAUAUUAGGUCAAAUUCAGUUUAUUAAGUGGUGCAGUUAACUUAAUUGACAUUGAAACAAGAUCACAUCACACGUCAAGGACACGUUUUAGUAUUUAAUAUUAAAGUAAGGGUGGCGCUAUUGUCACCCCUCAUAUGAUUAAAUUCACUCACUUUGCACCAAAAAGACAAAAUUGCUCUUAAUCAUUCAAUUAGUAAUUUAAGGUGGUAGCUCAAACUUAUUUAUUUUCCUUCUUUUUCUUGUUUUUCUUCUUUUACGUAGGAUCUAUUUAUCAUAAUCUAGAUUUAACAUGUUUCAUUUUGGUUUAUUGUGGGUAUCCCAUGUAUAUGAAAGGCACUAAGUUUUCACUUUAUUAUUACAAUUUACUUAUGUAGACAUUAAUUUAUUCAUGAAGAAAAUUUUCCAAUAAAUCAAAUUCUUUUUAACGUUGUCUAACAAUUUAGUUGAUUAAUUGACUAGAAAAAUUUUAACACAUACACUUUCUUAACGCAAUAACUUAUUUAUAAACUUUAACAUUUGUUGUGCAUGUCACCAUUAAAUCAUUUAUUGUCAGUUUGCACACAUAUACGGAUAAUGGGAUGGUUGAUGAAAAAAAGAAGAAGAAAAAGCCCCUGUAAUUUUUUUUUGAAAUAAAUUCAUGAUCGCAUUCUCCAAUGUGAAACUUAAAAAGAUAAAAUGUAAUUAAAUCACAGUACUAAUUAAAUAAGAAAUUUUUUUUAUAAAAAUUCAAGUGAAGUCUCAUCAUAUUGGAAUAACAAAAAUUAAUAUCAUCCAUUAAGCUUAGUUUGGGAAAAUGACAUCCCAUUCUGGCAGGCAAUAAGAAAAUAACUCUUUCUAUAUCACCAAACAAAUGAAAACUAAACAUUUUCCUUGAAAAUACUUUUCCAAGAAAGUAUUUUCCUUCAUCAUGAAAUUUUUGGAGAAACAGCGGCACCCUAAAUGUGUAUCAUGGAGAUGGCCCAUCUGGGCUCUUAUCACAUCCUGCUAAGCUGUAAUUCGCAGUAGUAUCACUCGAAAAAGAAGAUCACGACUAGGAUUCUUCAGUCACUAAUACAACAAAAUUUAGACUUUAAAGACCGAAUCAGGAAGUGAUAAGAUUAAGGAACAUAUGGUGAUUGAUGAAUUAACUAAAACACGACAAUUUGGCAUCCUUGAAUUCAACAAUGAGAAAUUUCACGCAUCCGUUCAAAUAGCAAACCUUUGAUUUCAUUCAAUGAUAUCCACUCUAUACAAUGACCAUAGAGAGGAAGAGGAAAGAAAGCAAGAGACUGGGGUUACUGGCCUAGGAAAAAUACCAGAACAAAUAUUAAUUUCCGUUGUGACUGCACUAAUCACUUGCACAUAUUUUCUGGUCAAAGAAUAUGACAUGCGCAACUCAUAUUUUGACCAAAGCACACAUUAGUACAGCCAAAUGGGUACUUUCUAAAAUAGUUAAGACUAUUUCACCAUACUCUUUGCAAUGCACUAGAUCCACUACACAAAAUCAUAUAUAGAAGUGCAAGCAUGCAAAAGAACAAAAUGCAGAGUCACAGCCACUAGCCUCAAGCUUUAAGCUUGAUCAAACUACUUGAACCAAACUUCAGCAACGUAAACAUCUUCAUGCACAGAAAUGUAUAUUACUUUGCUUUUUAUUACACGGUGGCUCUCUCGAGCAAAUUGGGGAAAAAAUCAAUUUUAAGUUUUUGGAAAGAAGAGGACUGCUACCUGAAUUGAGAACUGUUGGAGAAAUCUUAGUGAAAGUGUUUUGAAGUUGACAAAACGUUUCCAUCAGUCUAGUCUGAAGGUCUGCAAACUCUGUUAGUUAAAGUCUGAAGACUUCCGAACAUCCAGACUCAAGACUCAAAGUCUAUCCUCAUUGACAGUCUCUAAUCCGUUGAAGAAAGGUUAUCUAGAACUGGAUAUUUUGUUCAGGAUUUAACCUUAUCAUCUGGAGAAGAUCUCGUGGCUGGAGAAGACGUAUCAGAAUCCUUUGAUUGAUCAAGUUUGAUUCAAUGAUUGAAGAUUCGAUGAUUGUCUAAAUAUUAUUGGAAGGUUCUACUUAUGGAAACCGAGAUCCUGAUUGUAUGGGCGAACAAGAUUGAUGGGCUAUCAACACGUUCCUUUAAUAGCUCGAACAAUCUUCCUAAUUGAUUCUGUCCAAUGGGUAGAUUGGAGGAAUUCCUUUGGUAAGUGCCAACGGGUAUAAUGGCAUAAAGGAGUAUAUAAGGAAGACGUUCUUAGUUGUUUGAGGGGUGCGCGAUAGAAUAAUUCCAAAGUCUGAAGCUCCUAUUUGUUUAGAUAAAUCCUUUGAGCGAAUACUUGUAUACAAAAGAGAGUCUAUAUUUGUGAGAGACCUUGAGGAGGUGUGGUAGAACAUCUACACUGUGGAAUCAAGGCAAAGCUAUGCUGUAACUUCUCUUUUGAUCAUAGUGAAAUCCAGCCGGUGGGCUGUCAGUGCGGAAGAGUGGACGUAGGCUUGGAAUAAGCCGAACCACUAUAAAUCCUGUGUUCAAUUUUCUCUUCCUCACUCUCUCUGCCUCGAUCGUAUUUCAUUUUGUUAAUUAAGAGAGAAUUUACUUUCUAUCAUAUGUUAAGAAUCGCUUCCGUAUAUCAAUAAAUUGUUUAGGCACCUAUUCACCCCCCUCUAGGUACUCAUACUAGCAAUAUCAAGAACUCCACAGGUGCUUUAACAGAAAAAUAGAUGCUCACCUGCAUUUAUGGAAGACACGGUAACAAAGAGAAAACAUAGUGGCUGUUUCUUAUGCCUCACAAUAUUGAACAGGAUAACCUACUAUUUGACUAAAAUUAGACAAGAGUUUUGAGCUGCUAAUUCUGUAAAGUUCUAUAUGAUUGUAAGAGAGAAUAAAAGGAAUAUUUAGAAGUCCCUUAUCUGCAAACAGCAGUAAAACUGAAGUGCCAGUCUUCUCAUAUAAUUGAAAACUACAAAUGGGCAGAUAAAGUCAGCUUUUCCAAAUUGAACAGCUGCCUAUUGAAUAAUAUGAUUCAGAUUCAUUCAGAGACAGCCCAUUCCAGUCUCACAUUGCCUCAUAGAAAGAAGAACAUGUAUAAGACAGACAUACCAAGCCAGGCAAUCUCUCAAAUUGAAAGUUCAACUAUUUAGUACAUGACGACCAUAAAAGAAUGAAAUAUACAUUUUGAAGAGGUAUUCAAAAAGCACACAUUACAUUUCUGCACCUCUCUCCGAAACUAAAGUCUUACAGGUACAGCAAACUAUUUGCAGCAGGAGAGCAACAAAGUCACUUUUCUACUGUAAGCCAAAAGGACUUUAGCAAGUUGUAGGAAAGAAACUUACAGAUUUAGGAUCAAUGGAUAUCCCAGACAAUGACGCCCCAGCAAUUCUAAAAGACACCUACAAUCAUGCAAACAGUAGCUCAUAACAGAAUUUCCCACAUCAGUUAUGAGAGAUAAAAAUGUGAAGCACUAGUUGAAAUGGGAAUGUAAAACCAAGCACUAGUAGUGCAUCAACAGUAAACCUAAUAAAACAUCUCGAGUAAUCCUCUCUAGAACAUUUGCUAUCUUGCAACCAAAUUGCUGAUGCCAAACUAUUUUGUAGCGUGCCGACUCUAAGACAUCUCUAACAAAGGUCCUCUAUGAUAAUUACCCACCUGACAUAUCAACCAACAGAAGACACAUGGGAUUGGCUGUAUAAGUAGUUCAUGAUGAAUGGGUUUCCUUUUCCAUUCACACUACGAACAAGUAUAGUUAGUUGAACAGUCCAGUACCAUCAAGAGUGCACCAACAUAGUUUCAAGUAGACAAACAAUACUAAGCUAAGAAAACCAUUUCAUGAAUACCUAUCCUGGGAAGAAUGACUAUGGUUUCUCUUGGCAGAAGAAAGACAACCAGUGAACUCCACUUUGUAAGAAAGGUACAGCUUUUGUCUAUACCCACAGAACCACAUACAUGAAGCCAUAAAUGCAUGAUGCAUCACAAGAAAAUAAACUAUGUACUAACACCCAAGUGAGCUCAGACAUUCAUACUUUAGCAUAAUUGUAUGCCUGUCAACAAAAUGGUUCCUCUAAAUCAACUGGAGGGAGAUCCUUGGUCAUUUUCCCCAUCAGAAAUUAUCAUAUUAUUGCUGUGUCAACAUCACUGUCUUCCUCUGCCAUGCUUCCGAAAAAUGAUUUUGUAAAAGGUAACCUUUGGAUUUGCCAUGGUGCAAACUUAACUGUCCCCGGGAAGGUAGCUUCAAUGCUUUUUCUAACAAGACCCCGUCCACUUACCAAAAGUUUCCACUCAACAGAAUGCUCUGUAGUUGAAAUAGUUCCGACUGAAGGAGUUCCAUCCACAGCAAUAAUCCUCCUAGGAAAAGGCAUUGUUAGAGUACAGAACUCCAUUGUCAAAGGACUUUACCAAAAAAGAAAAAAAAUCCAUUGCCAAAGGAGCCUUGUAACCUUCAAUCAAGCUUAGUCUGAACAAAAAUGCAUCUUCAUCUUCAAAAACCAUUGACAAUUGAUAGAAUCCCUUUAUGGGAAGUCCAAGCCCACAGGAUGCUUGAUAAUGCAUCAGGACAAAAUUACCUAACAGUGGUGAAAACAUCACUGACUGCUUAUCCGCCCCCGGUUCUGGAACUUGAGCAGAUGGAUGGAAUGAUAAAGAUUCAAUGUGGCUGCUAUUCAGUCCUGUCAAAGGAAGGGACACAUCAGGCAGUCCUUCUAAUUCUGCUCGACAAUUAACCUGACCUGAAACUGAAAUGCUGUCUGGAAUUUCAUCACGAUCAUACAACGCAGCAGCAACAGUUUCAUGAAUAGUAAAAAGUAUUUUCUGCUUCCCCUGGUAAAGAUAUGGCUUCCAUGCAGGCUGUUUGACAUCUGCAGGAGGCAGAUCUGCUGAAGAAAACCCAUUAAGCUUGAUGGAGAAAAUAUUGGAAGCAUUGAGUUCCAAAGGGGUACAUAUAUUUAAAGAAUAGAAACAAAUAAACCAUUAGUCUAUCCUAGAAAGAGGAAAAGCACAGGUCAGAAGAAAAAGGCGAUAAAAGCAGCUGCCAUAAGCGGGGUAAACAUCACUGACCAAAGGGCAUUGAGCUACUAAUAUAAGUCCUUAUUGCAUCCUUAUUCAAUGGCCUUGAACCAACUUUCAAAGCAUCUGAUGAGACAGCACCAACAGAAGUGUAAAUGAUUGUUCCUGGAGGCUAUCUACAUCAGACACAUCAGCAAAAAACAUGCAAAUGCAGUUUUGACAUAGGGAAUUAAUAGAAGUAUUCAAUAUGUGUAGAAAUAUAAGCAAAAAUACAAGUAAACUCAUCAAGCGAAACACCAAGAGGCUCUCAACUCGUUGUAGUGACAUCUUGACAAACCUCUUCUUUCUCUCUGCAAAUGAAGACACCAACCCUGAAUCAGACGGCAAAUACGGCGAUGCCAUGCCAUCAACACUGCCACCAUUGUGCUCAAUCUCACUUUUGCAAGCCGCCCGCCACUGUUUCGAACACAAAAACGAAAACCCACGAGAGAGAGCGACCUGGAGAAGACGACGGCGUCGUGGCUGUUGAGGAUCCAGAGAGCUCUGAUGCCGCAACCGGUGGGCAUGGUUUCGGUAGCCUUCUUCUACGACUGCGGUCAGCUUUCGCCGGAUCGGAAGAGAAAGGGAAAGAAACUUGGACGACGUUGAGAUUGAAACUUUGAUUGAAGAACGGUUAAAUGACAAGCCGUUGCGCUGAGCAGAGGGACUCGCGCGACUCGGUAGCUCUUUGUUGUUUUCACCAUUUUCUUUGGUUAAGGAUCUGAUCCGUUUCCCUUUGCUUGGCCAGGUGGUGUCUUGGUAAAUUUUCUCGCACCAGGGGUUAAAUAUAUCUUUUCGAUUUAGUCAAAAGACAAAUUAUCAAGGUCGGGAUUAGGAAAUUUUGGAAGAAUUACUCUUCUAUGGUACGGCCUAAAUAGUUAUUUUGAUGGAGAAUUAAACUUGAGAUUUCACGCUUUUUGAGACAUAACAUAUUGAUCGCUCUUAUGAUACAUAUUUAACUUUUUAAUUAAAUUCAUGAUUUAAAAGGCACGGGUGCAUCGCAUUGAAUAAGCCGAUUCAUUCAUGGGGCUUGAAUAUGACUUAGCUCGCCUUAUGAAAGUUUGCUCAAGCAAAUAAUGCUAAAGGCAUUUAAAUGCUCGAACAAUUAUCAGAAUGAGCGUCAUAAAUCGAGGGGUAAAAAAUAAAUAUCCAAAGGUUAAGUUAAGAGCAAUAACAAUUGAACAUUAGACGGGUAUGAAUCUAUGUAGUCAUGUUGCAAAUAAACUAAAGGGACAAAUGCAUGAAGUCCGACAAUGACCAAAGGAUGGGAGAUAACUACACAGAAUAAUCGAGGUACGAAAUAUGCUUGUGCCAUAUGAACAUAUUUUAUUUCCUUUAUGUGAUGCUUUUGUUUGUUUGACUUGAUCUCUCAAUAUAAUGAGAUGCAAGCAAGAGGAACUCUCUUCGUCGCUUGAACUUCGGCAUGCACGUCUAUUAGCAGUGGACCAUUAUGUGAAAAGUAUCUUACAAAAUUGGCCCGAUUGUUUGGGAUAUGAGGGGCUUAUCAGCUCAAAAAUUGUCACUAUCCAAAUCCUAUCAACUACAUGCAACUACUUUUAGUCAAGGCCACCUGCAUAGGCUAAAAGUCUAAGCUUUUAGGAUAUUUCAUGGGUCUUUAAGUAGCCGAGCUCUAUGCUUGUGUACCUGAAUUGUGAAAAAUGGUAUGCAGUCGCCCUAAACAAUGUUUUGAUAUGUCUGUAUCUAGUGGAGAGAACUACACUUUUAUCAUUUUGAUGGAUUACUGGUAAUGUAGAAGCUCCAAUCACAUGAUGAUGUAUAGUUAAAACUAGAAGUGAUAGGCCAAAAUAACAAGACUUCCUUAAGGAUUACUUAGGAGUACAUCUUGUGCAAGCUUUGGUCUUUUAGGGGGUGCCUGACAAACUACAAUUAUUAUUCCAAAAACAAUUUAACUAUUCUAGACUUGUUUUUCGAUAAAAUUAUUUCAUUUUUCUAUUUCUGAAAUAGAUUUUUAUUUCAGAAAUAGAUUUAGAAUAGAAAUUAGAAUUAAAAUUAGAAUCAAAAGUAUUUUUUUUUUUUACUUUUCUAUUUUUGGAACAGAAAUGAGAAAUAAAAAUUAUUUCUAUCGUUCAUCCUUCGUCCAUCCGUCGCCGCCGACCAUCGUUCGCUGGUUGCCGUCCAUGGCCACCGCCGUUCGCUAGUCAUCGGUUGCCGCCAUCCGGCGAUUGUCGCCGCCAUCCGACAAUUGCCACCGUCAUCCACCGGUAGCCUGCCGUUGGCCGCCAUCCCAAAGAAAGAAAUUUUGUGUUGUUAUCAAACAAAUUUCUAUUUUUAGAGUAUAAAUUUUGUGUUAUUAUCAAACAUAUAUUUUUGUUUAAAAACUCAUCUAAAAAUAGAAAUAAAAAAAUCUAUUUCUAUUUCAAAUAUCAAUUUCUGGCAAGAAUGGUUAUCAUUCGCAAAACCUUUUGUGUAUCUCAUUAUUCUUUUUUAGCUAAUACAAGGCAGUCAAAAUAUCGACAUAGUAUAUUUACAUAUUUUUUGUAGAUAUAAUAUACUAAUGAUUAUUUCAUAACAUGGAUUUAUUCUGAAAAUCCAUGUUUGAUUACUUGAUCCCAAUUAAAAUAAUUGUUUCUAUUACAGUAAAUUUUGAUUUGUUAGGCAACAUUUAGAAUGGGACGAAAAAAUAUACCCAGACAAUAAUAGAGCAACCAUAAUGGAAGACUAAUUGUAGAUUGAUCAGAGCUGGCCCCAAAUUCAUUCACACUUAUUUUUUUUUUUUUGGUAAGGUAAUUCAUUCACACUUUUAGGACCUUGAGCCUUCGCUAAUGCCCAAUUGGAGGAGAAAUUCUUGCUUUUAGGAUGGAUUUGCCUACGCCGGUUAUCACUUUUUUCCAGUAAUUAUCAUCAUAAAAUAUACAAAACUUAGUUAAAUAAAUUAAUGAGUCAUUUGAUAGACGCUAUAUAUAAGUUAGUGUUAGAUUAAGAAUUGACGUGAGUAGGGCAACCGCUUGUUACGAUGUGUAGGGCAACCGCUUGCUUCCUUUCCAACGGUAACUAUAAUUUUAUGCGGGAUUAAAGUAAUUAAAGCUACUGAAUAUCUUGACGAAGUAAUUACUCGCUGAAAGAAUAACCAAGGCAACCUGAAAACAGAUGCCUUUGUCGAAGUUAUAUCAAGUCCAAGCAGGCUAAACAACCAAACAAGCAAAUCCCUUCCUUUAAGCCGGGAUCGGAUGAUUUUUCAGAUUCUAUGUGAACACAAAGUUCAAGAAAUAUAGAUCUUGAAGGAACAACGUCGACAUCAAAUUUUCCUCACCUUGCAAAUACCUGCAUAUGGGGUACAAACAAGGAUAUGUCCCAAACUAUCAGCGAUUUGUCCAUGUUCCCCAAUAGAAUCAAUUAUCGAAGCCCAAUUUGAACGAAAUUAUACAUGUAAAUUCUGGGAAAAAGGGUCCACAUACCUACAGAAACAAAAAGUGGAAAAUUUCUAGUCAAGGUAUAGGAUUUGCUCGUAAUAUUCAAGCUGGUGAGUCAUGUGCGGGAUAUGAGCAAUCUUGUACUAGUCCUUGCCUGCAUCUUUUUCCCACCUCUCCUCCAAAUCUGGGCAAGCUGCAAUUUUUAGGUGACUAAGGGAUUCAAACCUUCGCAAUUUUUCAAGUAAUGAUGCCAAUGAGGGACAUUGGAUGAUUUCAAGCCAUUGAAGUGAUUAUAGGUCAGCAAUCAAGCUUCUCACAACCCUCUAAAUUGAGAUGCACAAGGUUUGAUAGAUGUCGCGUGCCGAGUGAGAGGGAAGUUAACUGAGGACAAUCAUAGAUAUAAAGAAUUUCAGGUGACAUGAGACUUUUCAAACACUUCUCAGGCAAACAUUCUAGAAACUGCAUCUCCAAGAUAGACAGAGCCUUCAACUUAUAAAGGCAAAAUAUAUGAUUUAUCAACUUUAUGUUGACUUUAAUAAGCAUUAAAUCCUCAAGCUGUGGAAUUAGUGGCAUGGCUUUCAAGUUUUCACAAUCACUAAUCUGUAAGCUCAGUAGACUAGGAAAUGAUGCUAUUAAAGUAGAUGAAUGGUUUGACUCAAUAUAUUCCGAUGCAGCCAGCCCAAAAAUCUUUAAUGACUUAAGGUGAGGUAGUUGGCCCAGUUAUGGGAGAUGUUUACAUCUUGCAUAGUCCUCCAAGCAAAUGUCAACUAAAUUUGGCAAGGAAAACACAAUGCUAUCACAACCCCUCACAACCCCUUUACUCAGAGGUUGAGUUGUGGGUUAUUUUGCGACAUCCCAGGCUUUGUCAUUGUCUCGAAUUCAUUUACUUCUUAUUUAUGCACAUGCGGAAAGUGUAAACAUACAAUCCCUGACACAAAUAACAUGGAAACAUGAGAUACAAACACCACUAACAUAUUUCAUAUAUUUAAUGAGUAGUGAUGAUUACAAGCCUAUCUUACAUACAAAAGUGGCUUGGGGUAUCCCUGUCUCUGCUACGACUGGUACUAACCAAAAUUGGGAACAUUUCUUCUAUUACAUAGGGCCGAUACACUUAACUUAGUCUGAAUCCUCGGGCGGUUCAUCCAUAUUUGUGGCAUCCUAGAAUUUCUUGUCAAUCCUUAGAGGUGCUUUAAUUCAUGUUUUGCAUUGAGAUUUUGGCCAAGCUUUUGAUGGGUAAUUAUUUGAUAGGAAAAUUCUAUUUUUGGCCAUGUGAUUUAUGGGUUGAAUUUAUUAAAUUAGGUCACAAAAUUUUGUGAAUUAUAAAUUUCAAUUAGGUGUUUAUAUAAUUAAGGUUUAAGGUGGAUUAUUAGGAUAAGGGUGGGCUGGACAUUUAAAGACCAAACCAGCCCAUAGCCCCACCCCUUUUUCGACCGGCCCACGAAGCCAAGGAGGAGGAGUUGCUGUGGACCAAGGCUGGCCCAAGCCCAGCCGGAUGAAGCCCAUCAUGUGCAUGGGAGAAUUGACAAGUGUUAUUCCCCUAAGUCCAAGCGUCUUGCAUGCAAUCAAAUGAUUGCUCAUCAUUGAAGGGAAGAAAAUAGGAGAACCGGCUUGAUGAUGAGGGGGGAGUGUCGACCGAGAAGGAGAGAGAGAGAGGGUUACCGAGAGAGAGAGAGAGAAAUUGAGAGAGAGGGAGAGUGAGCGUGCGGGAGAAGAAGGAAGGAAGCCGAUUGCCGCCGUUUGCUCAGUUUGGAGGCAAGUGGGAUCCCUUGAUCUACUCUUGCAUGCUGUGCUUAGUGUGUGUGAUUGAAUGGUAACAAUUUCGGAUGUAUAGAAUGUGAAAAAUUGAAGAUAUAAGAGUGGUGUUCUAGUCUAGUAUACUGUUCUUGAGAAAAACAACUCGACCUUGGAUGUUCUAGUGACUUGCAUGUAUGUUCUAGUUGAAUUUUGACUUUGACUUCUAAAUGAAAGUUGUAAAGGACUUCUUGGAGUAUAACAUAAUCAAAUUUGGGAAAAAAAACAAGUAUAAGUGGGUGAAAUUGUUAUAUUUUGGAAAGACUGGAUCUGGAAAUUUUGGUACUAGGAACAGGGGUUUUAACCGUCCAUAUUUAAUUACCUAGGACGAUGGUGUCUUGAUGAAGUAUCUACCUUAUGGUCUUAGCUAUCACAUAGUCAAAUUUUAUAAUUUUUGAAGGUCAUCUGGGUAUUUAAUCGGAAAUGUUUCUAAAACUGUGCAAUCUGAUGUGUUCGGACUUUGUAAGUUGCAAUGCGUGGACUAUAUCGUUUUGUAUGAGGUUCUUUUGGAAAUUUUUUAUGAAUAAAAUAUCUCUAUUCAUGUCUUCCCUACAACAUAUUCAAAUUUCGUAAUUUUUGAAGUUCAUUUGUCUAUUUAACCAAAAAUGUUUCAAAAACUGUGCAAGUUGAACUGUUAAAAUAGUAGUGCUGUGAUGCAUGGUCUAUACCGAGUUAUAUGGGGAUCUUUUGGUGUAGUGUUCUUCAUGAAAUAUCUGCCUUUAUGUCUUGACUAUCACAUGUCAAAUUUCAUAAUUUUUUAAGGUCAUUUGGGUAUUUAAUUAAAAUGUUUUCUAAAACUGUGCAAGCUGGAUUGUGCGAAUUUCAAAAGCUGUAAUGCAUGGACUAUUCUGUUUUGUAUGAAAUUCUGGUGGUGUUGUGUUCUUCAUGAGAUAAAUGCCUCUAGAGCUUGUCUAUGAUGUCUUAAAUUCUUAGAAAUUAUUAGGGCCAAUCACUAAAUUUUAAGAAGUGUAAAUUAAAAGAACCCAUUCCGUUUCUAAAAUAAUAGCAAUAAUCCAUGAGUUUGCCCCAUGAAUUAUAUUGUUUUUAAGUGAUUGAAUCUUGCUGCACAUGUGAUGAUAUUUGGCAUUACAUAUAAAAUAAAAAGCUGAAAUUGACCUUGUUGCCAUCACAUCAUGUGCCAUGUUGAUAUUGAGACACAAUUGUGAAUAUGAAUUAUGAUAAAUGAGGAUACCGUCGGAGGUGUGAGCCGACGAUACCCUGGGAGUGUCGGGAUGCCCGAAGGUGAGUGCCGGAUGCCUGGAGUGUUUGUGCCGGAUGUCCUCGGAAGUUUCGAGAUGCUCAGAGGUGUGUGCCGGAAGCCUCGGAGGUGUGUGCCGGGGGAUACCUCGUGAUGCCAGUCGGGGUACGAGAUGCCCGGAGGUGUGUGCCGGAGGUUCCUCGCGAUGCCAGGUUGGAUGCGAGCGAUAAAAUGUGGGAUGCAAUUACUGGUCCCGGGAAAAAAAAAGUGGUGACCCAAUUGAAAGAUAAAAAGCUAAAAUUGAAUCAUGCAUGGUAUGGUGACAUGUAUGCAUGGCUAUAUGAUGUAAUAUGUAUUAAGUGUAUGGUGGUAUGUGCACAUAAGGCAUGGAUAUGCAUGAAUGCUUGAUGAUGAGUGCAUGGUGGUAUGUGCACAUAAGGCAUGGAUAUGCAUGAAUACUUUAUGAUGAGUGCAUGGUUGUAUAUGCACAUAUGGCAUGACGGUAUAUGCAUGAAUGCUUGAUGAUGAGUGCAUGAUGGUAUAUGCACAUAUGGCAGGAUGACAUAUGCAUGGCUGCAAGGUAAGUUAUGCUUGGACGCAUGAAGGAUAUGUGCUUUGUUUAUGAUGUCAUGAUUGUUCUGUUUGAUGCAUUGAGUGGUUUAAUGGAUUUUUUACUUGUUGAGUGGUUGUACUCAUCCCUUUGGGGACCAACAUUUCAGAUUAGAAAGAUGCCUAUCCCGGUCACGCGGGGUACCUUUUACGGCCUUCCAUCUGACGUGGAGGUCGAGUGUAUGGAGCUUGAUUGUGUCACCAUCCCUGGUUUGACGUUCAUACGGGUUUGUGUGCUCGUGAUGUAUGAUGUGGGCCUAGCUGGGGGCCUGGUCAUCUAGGAGUUCUUGUCUGUACACGUCCGCCGUGACGGAGUGAUGCGGGGGAUGUUGCCGCCGCCACUGCCCGAUGCACCAGGGUGGGUGUGAUGGCCCGCGUGAGGAGUGGGAGCUGACACUUUUUGGGGAUAGCCGACACUUGUAGAUGGAGGGUUAUACGUGAUCGAUAUAGGGGGUCGAGAUCUCUUUUUGAGCUGUAGCCAAGUUUAGCUAAAAGUCUUGGCUUUUUGGUUGUACCGACCCGAGAUGUCCAUCAUGAAAAUAUAAAUAAGAGUGAAUUAGCAUUAUCUUUUCUUAUGGUGCGUAGUUGGUGUGCAUCGUUUUCUGAAUAUAGGGAAAGGAGUUGUUGGAUACGUUUCCACCAUAUUUCUACGCAGGGACCUAUGGAAAAAAAAAUGCCUAUGAACUACGGUUCUUCUUUAACCCCAAAACAAAGAUAUGUAACUGGUAUUCAUUAGGUGGAGCGAUAGGUAUCUGUGGUGGCCUUGCCAGAUCGGGGGUGCCACAAUAUCACUAAGAUUCAGGUUCAGGUUGUCAAACCCACGGAGAGAUCCUAUCCAUAUGUCCUCGCAUUUCCUAUAACAGGCUUCGAAAUGCAUUGAGACAAGCUCACCUAGGCCCUUUUCUAUACAUACAAUGGAUGACGCUUUACAACAAGUAAUAUUAGUUUUUACAUCUACCACGUCCGUAGUAGUGAUAUAUAUCUUUAUAGGGCAACCAAAAUGCACAGUAGCCACGAUUCUAAGUACUUGUAAAAGAAACAAGGGUGAGUACUUGGAAUACUCAGUAAGUAUAGCCUCUGGCCUUCGUAUAGAACAUCGAUUCAUCAUCAACACUAGUUAAUCAUUUCAUGCAAACCAUGGCGGAGGCAAAUCAAUUGCAAAGAUGCAACCAAGCUUCAAGCACAAAUGAAUGACAAUUCUUGCAAUCAUUCGUACAUAUGAUGCAUGCCUUGAGCUCAUGCACUCUAGCCUUUCUUUCAUGCUCAUACAUGCCAUGCUUAUUUGGCUUUUCUCUUGUGUUCGGAACUCGAACCCAAGUCUUCCCAGAGUCGUCUCGGGACUCGAACCCAAUUCAAUUCAGGCUUUUAAAUUGGGCUUCCUGGAGCCGUCUUGGGACUUGAAUCCAAUUCAAUUCGAGCUUUUUAACUGGGCUUCUGGCUUUUUGCCGGUUUUUGGGACUCAAAUCCAGUUAAUAUGCUAUGGACUCGAAUCCAAGUCUUAUGCUAGCCUUUGGGACUCAAACCCAAUUUUUGCCAGGAAUUCAGAGAUUCAAACCACAUUCUUAUAUUUUCUUAUCAUUACUCAAGCACGAAUCCCUUCUUGAGGAUGUACUCGAGCCCUAUGCAUGUGCCAUGAACUAUGCACUUUAUGCUCAAACAUGAUGCAAGUGUUAUGAAAUCAUGAAUUUUCUCAUAAACAACAUCACGAAUGAGCCUAAGCCCAAAGCCCCGCUUGAGUAACAAGCAUAAAGGAACCCCCACACCAAUUCAAGACAUGAAUUCGGUAAGCCUUAAUACCGAAUCACAUCUUAUGGUUAUGAGCGAACCUUGACUUAUAUCGAACAAAAGCUAUGAACCAUGACUUCAUUCUAAUCAUACAAGAAAUUCAAGUACAUGAACAAGUCAUAGAAUACAUCAAUCAUCCAAGAAUCAAUCGACCUACCCUCGGCUUGUUCGCAAGAUGAUUUCUUAAAGUCGAAGACGUCUCGAAUGUUACUAAAAGAAGGGAGAAACUACACUUACUUGGAUGAACCUUGAACUAAAGCUCAAACUACACAAGAUGGGCGGCUUGCUUUGAAGUCCGAAGGAGAGAGGGUGUGAGGAGGAGGAAGGAAGAGGAAAUGGGAGCAAGGUGGUGGAAAUGAGAAGGGGCACCUCAUAGUUAUAGCCCUUAGUGUCAUCAUUACUAAGCCAAGCGGUCCAUUCUAGUGAUCUCAAGUGUCCCGCCUAAUUUUCUUGGGUGGCAAGUCUACUUUACCUCAUGAUUACACCUAGAAGAUGAGUUGGCCAAGCUAAAGGCCUUGCUUGGCAAUCUAAACUCCGAGGCGUCAUCGAUUAUGGCCCGAUUUUCGCUCUUCCAUUAGUCCACCUAUAUGCCACAUUUAAUAGACAUUUAAUGAAGUUUGAUAAUAAUUGUACUAUAGUUGCCAACUCGGCAAUUCUAGAACAUUCAAUCAUUAAUGAUGGCUUGUAUGUCGUUCUCUAAUUGGUCCACUUAUGUGCUGCCUUUUUCUAUAAUCUUCAAAUAUAUUUUGGCCACCAUCAUGACUUUUGACUAUUCAAAGAACAACUCACCCCUUCAUUUAAUGAGGGGAUUCUAGAAUUUUCCUUACUUUUGUCUUUUUCUUCAUUAAUAAGGCGAUCUAGAGAAUUCUAUCAUCCAAGUUUGUUCCAGGGUCGAAGAAGGGAUCAUUAGGUAUACCUCGAAAAUCCAACUCACGUACACUCGAGAUUCGGCCAUCACGUCUCAUAUUCGCUUAAACCGUUCCUUUGGACGGUCGGUCGGCCAAUAGGGUCGGUUGUCCUUUGAUCACUUCAAGACCAAUUCUAAGGCUACCCAUGUCCUAACACUAAGCUAAGGCACUCAUGGACCUUAGAAUUAGUGAUGGAAUAGCCAAGUCCAUCCCUGGACUCAUUCCGGUCAGCAUCCGAUCCACCGGUAGGGUUCAUGAUCAGUGCAUUAUCGAUCCAUGAUCGGACAUCACCAAUUUGAGAUUCUGCUCCAAUCGCUAAGAAUUAAAUAGGGAAUGAUGCAUUUUUGGUCGAAAGAUAAUCGCAUUUGAUCAAUUUGGAUCGUCUAUGUAUUGGUGCAUAACCGAGCGGAAUCACCCGCAACCAGAAACUACAACCGGUUGAUCGACCCAUGACCACCUGCCAUCCAAAACCAUCUCGUGAUCAAUUCUCAUAUCAAAAGUUCAUCGUAUGAGCUGGUGAUCCUAUCUAAUUGGUAUGGUUGGUAGGAAAUUCACGGCCGACACCUUGAUCAAUUUGUGAUUGGUCGGUCGAUCGAUCGAUCGGUUAGUCAAACCAUGACCGAUCCAUGAUUCCUUGCUGAUUGAACCGAUCGAUCCAUGGCCAAUGGCCCAUGAUCGAUCGUUUUAGGAUCUUAUGGCCAAUCUUUAUGGGAUUGGAAUCGAGGAUGUUACAAUGCUCCCUCCCUUUAAAAAUUUCGUCCAUGAAAUUUCAUAACGUACUUGGGUACUCAAAAUAAGUAAGGGUACUUGUGCUUCAUAAUUUCUUCACUUUCCCAAGUAGCCUCUUCCUGUUCCAUGGUGUUUCCGUAGGACCUUAACUAAGGGAAUGGCCCUAUUUCUAAUUACUUGCUCACGUCUGUCCACGAUCCGCACUAGCUCCUCAACAUACGACCCUUGGUCGUCUACCUCGAUCUCUUCGAAGUUGAGCACAUGUGCCAGAUCUGGCUCAUACUUUCUUAACAUGGACACAUGGAAUACAUCGUGUACCUAAGCAAGUUUUUGUGGCAAUGCCAACUGAUAAACCAUAUUCCCUAUCCUUUUUAGGAUUUCAAAAGGUCCUAUGUACCAUGGACUCAACUUACCUUUCUCACCAAAACGAGACAUGCCUUUCAAUGGAGACACCUUGAGGAAUACAUGGUCUCCUACCUGAAAUUCUAAAGGCUUUCGUGUCUUAUCUACAUAACUCUUUUGCUUACUCUGGGUGGCUCUAAGUCUCUUUCCAAUUACUUACAUUGCCUUGUAGUAAGCUGCACCAACUCAGGACCAGUAAGCUUCUUUUCCCCGACCUCAUUCCAACAAAUUGGAGUUCUACAAGUUCGACCAUAUAAUGCUUCAAAUGGAGCCAUACCAAUGCUUUGCUGAUAACUGUUAUUAUAAGCAAAUUCAACGAGAUGCAAGUGCUCGUCCCAGCUUCCUUUAAAAUCAAUUACAUAAGCUCUCAGCAUAUCCUCUAAUGUCUGGAUAGUUCUUUCUGUCUAGCCAUCAGUUUGGGGAUGGAAAGCCGUAUUGUACUGCAGUAUUGUUCCCAAUGCAGCUUAAAGACUUUGCCAAAACAUUGUCGUGAAUUUAGGAUCUCGAUUAGAAGUGAUUGUCACUAGUACUCCAUGGAGACGUACUACUUGUCGUACAUACAAGUGCGCAUAAUCUUCCGAUGAUAAAUCCUUCUUUACCACUAGAAAAUGAGCCGACUUUGUCAAUCGGUCGACUAUUAUCCAAAUCAAGUCAUUUCCUCUUGGACUCCUUGGUAGUUCUAGAACAAAAUCCAUGGUAAUGUGUUCCCAUUUUCAUUUGGGAAUUCCAAGUGGUUGUAAUAAUCCACCAAGCUUGCAACGUUGAGCUUUCACUUGUUGACAUGAUAAGCACUUGGCAACAUGCUUAGCAACAUCCGCCUUCAUGCCAUUCCACCAGUAGUCUAGUACAUCUUCGUAUUACCAAGGUAGAUACUAUAAUUUCUUCGGUGCACUUCCGCCAAAAUUUCUUCCUUGAGCUUAUUGUCAUUGGGUACACACCAAUGUUCACAUAAUUUCAAGGUUCCGUCUUUCGCAAUGCGGAAAUCAUUUCCUUUCUUAUCCCUGGCUUAUUUCUGAAGCUUUUGAAUCUGCAGAUUGACUUGCUGUAAUGUUUUUAUCUUCUGCAUUAUUUCUUGCUCAAUUCUAAGUGUUGCUAGUAAGCUUGAAGUCAGAAUCUUGGACUUCUUCUAAGAGAUUCCAUUCUCGAGCCAUCAUUCGUGCAAGGCAUCCGCAACUCGAUUUGCUUUGCCAGGAUGGUAUAAUAUUUCACAAUCAUAGUCUUUCAGAAAUUCCAUCCAUCGCCUUUGCCGCAUAUUCAACUCCUUUUGGGAGAAUAAAUACUUCAAGCUUUGAUGAUCAGUGUAUAUUACGAACCUUUCUCCGUAGAGAUAAUGUCACCAUAUCUUCAAAGCGAAAAUAAUCGCAGCUAGCUCCAGGUCAUGAGUUGGGUAAUUCAACUCAUAGGGCUUCAAUUGCUUGGACGCAUAGGCCACCACUUUACCAUGCUGCAUUAACACACAACCAAGUCCCUUAUGCAAGGCAUCACUGUAUAUUUUAAAACCUCAUGAUCUAGACGAAAUUGUGAACACCGGAGCCGUUGUAAGUUUCCGUUUUAAUUCUUGAAAACUCCGUCCACAUUUAUCCGUCCACUCGAACUUCACAUCCUUCCUUAGUAAUCGAGUGAGGGGAGCAGCAAUGCUAGAGAAUCAUUCCACGAAUCUCCGAUAAUAUCCAACCAAACCACGGAAACUUGAAAUUUCGACAACCCUAGUUGGUCUUGGCCAAUUUAUUACUAUUUCCACCUUGGCAAGGUCUAUUGAUAUCCUUUCACCAGUCACCACAUGGCCCAGAAAUACCACGCUAUUUAACCAUAACUCGCACUCACUGAAUUUUGUGUAUAGUGCGUGUUCUCGAAGCGUUUGCAACACCAUUCUCGAGUGUUGCUCAUGUUUUGUCGUAUUCUUUGAAUAGAUCAGAAUGUCGUCAAUAAAUACUAUGACGAAGUGAUCCAAGUACAACUUGAAUACUUGGUUCAUGAGAUCCAUGAAAGCUGCUAGGGCAUUUGUCAAACCAUAUGGUAUAACGGAAAAUUCGUAAUGACCAUACCGAGUUCUGAAGGCCAUCUUCAGAAUAUCUUCUUUCUUGAUUCUCAACCGAUGAUAUCCUGAGCGUAAAUCAAUCUUAGAAAGUACCACCGCUCUUUGAAGUUGAUCGAACAAGUCAUCGAUAUGUGGCAAUGGAUACUUGUUCUUGACGGUAACUUAAUUCAACUGUUGAUAGUUGAUACAGAGACAUAACGACCCAUCUUUCUUCUUUACGAACAGGACUGGCGCACCCCAAGGUAAGGUACUAGGGCGUACAAAACCCUUAUCAAGUAACUCUUGUAAUUGCACCUUCAACUCCUUAAGCUCCACCAAAGACAUUCGGUAUGGUGCUUUAGAAAUAGGUUUCGUUCUCAGAACUAGCUCAAUAGUGAACUCUAUCUCCCUUUCAGGUGGUAAUCCCCGUAGCUCCUUUGGAAAUAUGUCAGGAAACUCCCGCACCACGGGGAUAUCAUCCAACUUUGGUUCUUCAACUAACUUAUUUUCUACGGUUGCUAAGUAACCUCGGCAACCCUUCUUAAGAAGUCGUACUGCUUUUGUUACAGAAAUCAGAGGCGUUGAGGGUCCUCCUCCAUUUCUGAUAAAUUGAUAGUCGAUUCCAUUUGGUGGACUAAACUUGAUUAUCUUGCCAUAGCAGUCCACUUUGGCUCGUUGUUUACGAAGCCAAUCCAUUCCAAUAAUAGCAUCGAAAUCACACAUAUCUAAUACGGCUAAAUCUAUUCUUCCCUCUUGUCCACUUAUGACAAUUCUACACUCCUUACAUUCCAUAGUGGACAACAUUUCAUGUCUCAUCGGGGUGGAUAUACUAAGAAUUAUCGUAAGGGGUUCGAGCUUCAAUCCUACCGUACACACAAAUCUCUCCGAUACAAAGGAAUGCGUUGCACCCGUAUCAAACAAGACAUAAGUCGGAUGAUUGUGUAAAGAGACCAUACCUGUGAUAACGGUCUUGGAGUUCUCUACUUCUCUUUGUGUCACUGCAUACACUUGUCCUUGAGCUAAAGGACAAUUAUGUUGCGUAGAACUCCAUUGGAUGUCAUCGGCUGUUGUUGUGAUGGCAGUAAAAUUUGUCGCCUUUGAGGGCAAUCCCUCAACAUAUGGCCGGGUUGGCCACAACCAUAACAUACUCCUUUUUCUAGCUAAACAAGGGGCAUUACCAUGCUGUUUUCCAUAGUUACAGCAUACUUCAGACAACACCACAUUCACUUUUUGCUUCUUACUCUUUUUAAACAUGUGCUUUCCUCCUAGCGCGAACCUUUUGCCUUGUCGUUGAUUAGGAUGGAAGGUCAAAUAAGAAGACCUCCCUUGGAAAUUUGAUGCCGCGACGCGUUCUUGUCAAUCCUUUUUCAACCAACUAAGCCCGUUCAUACAAUUCAUUAUAAUCUUUAAGAUUUAAGGGUACCAGCUAACUUCGAAUGUCAGGUUUGAGGCCAUAUUUGAAUCUUUAGCUCGAUCAAUUGGGUUCUCAAUCAAUCGAGAAGCAUACUUUGAUAAUUCGGUAAAUUUGGCCUCACGCUAAUCCACUAUCAUGUUUCACUAGUGCAAGUGCAAAAAUUCGGCCAUCUUUCUAUCUCGAGCACUUUCAGAAAAAUACUUGUUGUUAAAGGCCGGCACAAAGGCAUCCCAAGUCAUAGGAGCACCUUUAGGAAAUAUUAUCCUCUUAGUGGCUCUCCAUCAAUGACUGGCAUUACCCUGUAAUCGAUACACUACCAAGGUCACUUAUCCUCAUUAGAACACCUUAAAAGAUCAAAGAUUUUCUUGAGCUCUUCAAUCCAAGACUCAGCCUCAUCAAUGUUUCCGGUUCCAGCAAACUUUGGAGGCUUUAAUUUUAGGAACUGUUCGACCAAUCCACUCUUUGGACGGUCUCCAAAUUCAUCUCCAUUUGAGGUGUUAGUGGAAACAGAGGCUUGCUGCUAUUGAACUUGCUAUUCCAUCAAGCUCCCAACAUUAGUCAGAACUUGCAGAAUUCCAUCAAGUCGGGGGUCCUACCUUGAUUUUCCUUUCAAAGCAUUUGGGUCUUGAGCUGAUUUUCCAUGGGUAGUCACUGGGUCUUGGGAACUCAUACUAGUUACUAAGGAAUACGGCUAUAGAGUUCUAGAGGAUUUAUCUACAAUACAAUCAAAAUCAAUAACUUUCAUAAAAAAGAAAAAAGAAAAAAAAAGAACAUCAAGCAAACAAUCAUAUAUCAUGCAUGUGAUCUUCCUAAUUUUUUAUCCCACGCUUCCCAGCGCACCUUAUGACUCCUGGUAAUAACCCCUACUCUGAUACCACAACCUGUCACAACCCCCUUUACUCAGAGGUUGAGCUGCAGGUUAUUUUGCAACAUACCAGGCUUUGUCGCCAUCCUGAAUUCAUUUGCUUCUUAUUUAUGCACAUGUGGAAAGCGUAAACAUACAAUCCCCAAUGCAAAUAACAUGGAAACAUGAGAUACAAACACAAAACACAACUAACAUAUUUCAUAUAUUACAUGAAUAGUGAUGAUUAUAAGCCUAUCUUACAUACAAAAGUAGCUUUGGGUAUCCUUGUCUCUGCUACGGUGAGUUCUAACCAAAAUUGGGAACCCUUCUUCUAUUACAUAGGGCUAGUACGCUUAACUUAGUCCGAAUCCUCGGAUGGUUCAUUCAUAUCACUGAGAUUCGGGUUCAGGUUGUUAAACUCGCGGAGAUUUCCUAUCCAUAUGUCCUCGUAUUUCCUAUACUAGGCUUCGAAAUGCAUUGGGACAAGCUCACCCAGCCCCUUCUCUAUCCAUACAACGGAUGACACUUUGUAAUAAGUAAUAUCAGUUUUUAUAUCUACCACGUCCGUAGUAGUGGUAUAUAUCUUUAUAAGGCAACCAAAAUACGUAGUAGCCAUGAUUCUAAGUACUUGUAAAAGAAACAGGGGUGAGUACUUGGAAUACUCAGUAAGUAUAGCCUCUGGCCUUCGUAUAGAACAUCGAUUCAUCAUCAACACUAAUCAAUCAUUUCAUGCAAACCAUGACGGAGGCAAAUCAACUACAAAGAUGCAACCAUGCUUCAAGCACAAAUGAAUGACAAUUCUUGCAAUCAUUCGUGCAUAUGAUGCAUGCCCUGAGCUCAUGCACUCUAGCCUUUCUUUCUUGCUCAUGCAUGCCAUGCUUAUUUAGCUUUUCUCUUAUGCUCCCAAGUCUUCCCGAAGCCGUCUUAGGACUUGAACCCAAUACAAUUCGGGCUUUUUAACCGGGCUUCUGGCUUUUUGCGGGCUUCUGGGACUCAAUCCUAGUUAAUAUGCUCGGGACUUGAACCCAAGUCUUAUGCUAGCCUCUGGGACUCGAACCCAGUUCUUGCUAUGAAUUCAGGGAUUCAAACCCCAUUCUUAUCUUUUCUUAUGUUUGCUCAAGCACGAAUCCCUUCUUGAGGAUGUACUAAAGUCUUAUGCACAUGCCAUGAACUAUGUACUUUAUGCUCAAACAUGAUGUACGUACCAUGAAAUCAUGAAUUUUCUCAUCAACAAUAUCACGAAUGAGCCUAAGCCCAAAGCCUUAUUUGAGUAACAAGUAUAAAGAAACCCCGCACCAAUCCAAGACAUGAAUUUAGUACGCCUCAAUACCGAAUCACAUCUUAUAGCUAUGGGCGAACCUCAACUUGUACUAAACAAAAGCAAUGAACCAUGACUUCAUUCUAGUCACACAAGGAAUUCAAGAACAUGAACAAGUUAUAGAAUAUAUCAAACAUUCAAUAGUCAAUUGACCUACCCUCGGCUUGUUCAAGAGAUGAUUUCCUAGAGUUGAAGACGUUCCGAAUGUUACUAAAAGAAGGGAGAAACUACACUUUCCUGGAUGAAUCUCGAACUACACAAGAUGGGCGGCUUGCUUUGAUGACCGAAAGAGUGAGAGAGUGGGCGUGAGAGGAGGGGCGACUAAGGAGGAGGAAGAAGGAGGAAAUGGGAGCAAGGUGAGGAAAUGAGAAGAGACUCCUCCUAUUUAUAGCCCUUGGUAUCAUCAUUACUAAGCCAAGUAGUUCAUUCCAAUGUUUUCAAGUGUCCCACCUAAAUUCUUUAGGUGGCAAGUCUACCUUGCCUCAUGAUUACACCUAGAAGAUGAGUUGGCUAAGCUGAAGGCCUUGCUUGGCAAUUCAAGCUCCUAGGCGUCAUCGAUUAUGGCCUACUUUUCGCUCUUCCAUUGGUUCGCCUAUAUGCCGCAUUUAAUGGACAUUUAAUGAAGCUUGACAAUAAUUGCACUAUAGUUGCCAACUCGGCAAUUCUAGAACAUUCAAUUAUUAAUGAAGGCUUGUGUGUCACUCUCUAAUUGGUCCACUUAUGUGCCACCCUUUUUAGAAUCUUCAAAGAUAUUUUGGCCACCAUCAUGACUUUUGAUUAUUCAAAGAAAAACUCACCCCUUCAUUUAAUGAGGGGCUUCUAGAAUUUUCCUUACUUUUGUGUUUUUCUUCAUUAAUAAGGCAGUCUAGAGAAUUCUAUCAUCAAAGUUGGUUCUGGGACUGGAGAAAUGAUUAUUAGGUACACCUCAAAAAAUCAAAUCACAUACACCCGAGGUUUGGCCAUCACGACUCAUACUCGCCCAAACCGUUCCUUUGGACGGUCAGUCAGCUAAUAGGGUCGGUUGUUCUUUGAUCGGUUCGAGACUAAUUCUAAGGCUACUCAUGGCCUAGCACUAAGCCAAGAAACAUAUGGACCUUAGAAUUGGUGAUGGAAUACCCGGGUCUAUCCUUGGGCUCAUUUCGGUUGGCACCCGAUCACCAGUAGGGCUCAUGGUCGGUGCAUUACCGAUCCAUGAUCGAACAUCACCAAUUCAAGAUUUUGUUCAGAUCACUAAGAAUUAAAUAGGGAAUGAUGCAUUUUUGGUUAGAAGAUGAUCACAUUUGAUCAAUUUGGAUCAUUCGUGUAUAAGUGCAUAAUUGAGCGGAAUCACUCGCGACCAGAAACUAAACUGGUCCGAUCAACCCAUGACCAUCCGUCAAUCCAAAAUCAUCCCGUGACCAAUUCUCGUGAUCAAAAGGUCAUCUUAUGAGCUGGUGAUCCUAUCCAAUCAAUAUGGUCGAUAGAAAUUCACGGCCGACACUUCGACCAAUUCAUGACUGGUCAAUCGGUCGGUCAAUCAGUUAGUCGGACCAUGACCGAUCCCUAAUUCCUUGCCAAUCGAACUGAUCGAUCCAUGGCCGAUGUGUGGUAUCCGGAAAUUUUGACGACCCUCGAAUAUGUGACGGUCCUUGACUGAGCGACGGAAGUAUCGUCGGAUGAUGUUAUCGACACCACAACGGACAUCAUUUUGUUAUCGUCAUCGGACCAAUGUGCCUUGUUUAGUAAUGGUCCGAUCAUCGAAUAAAUCAUAGUCUUAUUGGAAACCUUUCAUAUGUUCAAGCGAGACCAAGACUCGUUCCAAAUGAUUCUUGACCCUGCCAACUCGGGUAUGCCAAUGAAAAAACACCCAAGGAUCGGCCAUCGGGAGCUGCCCAUUUUCUCAUGUGCAUGAGAAAUAGGAAACCUCGAAUACUUCAUGCAUGUUUAUAUUUUUCUAUAGGCAGCUAACAAAAGGAAGAUUGGAUCACGCAUGGGGGCUGUUUUCUCAUCCAAGCUGCCCUACGAAUUUGUGUUUAUUGACUAAAGAAGUCAAUUAACUUAAGAGAACGUCCAAAAGCGUGCAUGCGGACGUGAGGAAUCGUAACCACCGAAGGACAGCUCCAUAUUGCUUUUCUUUUAUAUGGCCGGUCAAUUAUGGAAGAGGAUUAUUGAUUAAACGCCAGGUUGCUCUUCUUUCGGUGGACAACAAAAAGGGAGGAUGUGGCUUUGCGGAAGACACGCCCUGCAUGAAGAGUCGAGUUGGCUCGGCAAGGAGAGGGACUCGCAUGCAGGAGGCCACGUACACCCCAGCUGUCUUCGGUUCCUGCACCCACCGAAAGAAGCCCCAUGCAGUUGACUAAAUUGUCAACAAAGUGAGGAACAAAACCCUCGUACACAGAGGGGAAGAGAGAGAAGGAACCGAAUGAAACUUGGGCAAAGAGAGAAACCGAGAGUGAGCGGGUGAGGGAGUGAGAGAGAGAGAGAGUUUGGGCGAGAGUGAGCAGCGAGUGGGUGAACGGCGAAGAGGAAGAAGGGACCGCCUUCUGCCGUGCUCAAGCUGCCGCUGUCGAUGCCGCUAGUCUCCGCGCCGUUGAGCCAAGCCCGAGAUCCACGAGCCCCUGUUUUUGGCCAGCAAUCAAGUAGAGAGGUUUAAAGGCAAGUAGAAGUUCUUCAAUCUAUGUUUUGCUUGCUGUUUUAUCUACCUAAGAGUUGGUAGAUGUGAGAAAAUGUGGAAUUUGGAGUUGCAUGUCGAUUUGUGAUGAAGGAGAUGAAGCUGGACUAAGAAACCGAGCAAAAACAGAGCAUGCAUUGUGGAUUUCGAAUUUGAGAUGGAACAAGAAUUUAAAAAUCUGACUAUGGAGGGUUUUUGGAAGUGAUAAGGCUGUGUUACAGUGUAAUACACUUGUAUCUAUUUGACUGUGGAUGUUGGAGGUCGAAAUUUAAGGAGUAGGAGAAACUCUCAUUAGGUUAAUGGACUGUUUUGUGGAGAACAGUGUGACCCUCGGUGACCUUUUGAUUUUUCUGUAAUUAUCUAGCCACAAUUUGAUUUCGAGUUCUUGAUGAAAGUUUUAGGGAAUAUCCUCAUGAAAAACAUAUAAAAAAUUCAGAGAAAAAUAACAAGGUAUGACCAUCGAAAUAAUUUUCCUAUGAAAAUAUCAAAUCUGAAAUUUUUACAGAAUGAUGGUUAAGAAGAAAAUAGAGAUUUUACCCUCGUUACAUAAGGAAUAUGACCUAGUGGAAUUCUUGAGAUUUGUUCCUCUAGGUUUCAUGGAUAACGUGUCAAAAUUUCAUAAUUUUCUGAGCCCGUUUAGUAAUUAAUUCGGAAUUGUUACCAGAACUGCGCAAUUGUAGAAAUUAAGCUGCUAUUUCGAGAUUUCCACAGAAAUUGUCCUAUAAGAAGUAUGGUUUUCGAAUUGCUAUGUGACUCGGUGAUGCUGAUGGUGGGAUAUUGUGAUUGAUAAAAGGUUCAUGAGAUAUCUUGUUUGACACAUGAUGAUGCAUUUGUGAAUUAAAAUGCGAUUUGUUUGAUAAAAGGUUCAUGAGAUAUCUUGUUUGAUAUAUAUGAUGCAUUGGUGAAUUAAAAUGCGAUUUUUUACCCAUCGAACCCUCGAGGUUCCUCGUGAUGCCAGGUGGGGUACGAGAUGCCUGGAGGCGUGAUUCGCUCCAGAUGCCCGGUGGCCCUAAGUGGUUGAAUGCCGGAGGCUUUCGCGAUGCCUGGAGGGAUGCGAAUGCCGGAGGGACGCAAGCACUGAUCCUCCGGGAAUGAAACCCUUUUGAAUGAUAAAUUGAAUGAUUCUACUAUAAAUGUGUGGGGUCUGGAUAUAAGACCGAGUGUAUGGCAUGGAACGGAACAUGAUAUUUUAGUUUGGCCCUAUGAUUGAAAUUUGUCUAUCUUGGAUAUGUUAUCAUCACAUGGAAGGAUUUUAUGAUUUUGGUGCAUACCUAUCCUCUAUUUCUUGUCUUGUCUACUAUACUUGAAUCUGGAUAUUAAUAGUAAUGCUUGAUAUAGCUUGAUGAAUCUUUUAUUGCCGAGUGGUUGUACUCACCCCGUUUGGGGACUAACAUUUCAGACUAAGUCAAGAUACCUUUGCUACCACCGCCACCAGUAGAUGGACCGAGUGAUUGAAUAUGACCAUGAGGAGGAGGACAGCAGAGGAAGGAACUUUUGGAUGCCAACACUGAUCGAUAAACUUUAAGUAUACGACUGUUGGAAAAGAUGUUGGUCUUCUUUUGAAGUAUAGCCAAGUAUAGAAGAUUAUGGCAUUUUGGUGUACCAACUAAAGAUGUCCAUCUAGUUUUAUGUGAAUAAAAGUGUUCGGCUUAUUACUUAUAAAUGUGUUUAGUUGGUGUGUAUCGCUUUAAUUUAUGAAAGGGGAGUUGAUGGAUGUGCGUCCGUUAUAUAUAUACUGUGCAGGGACCGAUUGAGUGAUAUAAACCCCUAGGACUUAUGGACCCACUAUAAUUUUAUGGUAUCAUAGUGACAUAUUAUCAAGACAACUGAAAGGAAAUCGAACUGUGGCGACCCUGACGGAUCGGGGGCCGUUCGGGAGGUGCCACACGAUGGCCCAUGAUUGAUCCUUUUAGGACCUUAUGACCGAUCCUUAUGAGGUUGGAAUCAAGGAUGUUAUAGGUACACGAUGUAUUCCAUGUGUUUAUGUUGAGAAAGUAUGAGCCAAACCGGCACAUGUGCUCAACUUUUAAGAGAUUGAGGUAAAUGACCAAGGGUCGUAUAUUGAGGAGCCAAUGUGGAUCGUGGAUAAACAUGAACAAGUAAUCAGAAACAAUGCCAUUCCCUUAGUCAAGGUCCUAUGGAAACACCAUGGAACAGAAGAGGCUACUUGGGAAAGUGAAGAAAUUAUGAAGUGCAAGUACCCUCACUUAUUUUGAGUACCUAGGUACGUUAUGAAAUUUCGGGGAAGAAAUUUUAAAGUGGGGAGAAAUAUAACAUCCUUGAUUCCGACCCCGUAAGGAUCAGCCAUAAGGUGCUAAAAGGAUCGAUCAGAGGCCAUUGGCCAUGGAUCGAUUGGUUCGAUUGGCAAGGAAUCAUAGAUCGAUCAUGUUUCGAUUGAUCGACUGACUGAUCGACCAGUCCUGAAUUGGUCAAGGCAUCGACAGUGAAUUUCUACUAAUCAUAUCGAUGGGAUAGGAUCACCAGCUCAUAAGAUAACUUUUUUAUCACGAGAAUUGGUAAUGGGAUGAUUUUGGAUUGGUGGAUGGUCAUGGGUCGAUCCGACCAAUCAUAGUUUCUGAUCGCGGGUGAUUACGCCUGGUUAUGCAUUGAUACACGGACAAUCCGAAUUGAUCAAAUGUGACUGUCUUCCAACCAAAAAUGCAUCAUUCCCUAUUUAAUUCUUAGUGAUUGAAAUAGAAUCUCGAAUUGGUGAUGUUCGAUCAUGGAUCAAUAAUGCAUCGACCAUGAGCUCUAUCAGUGGAUCAAGUGCCGAUCGGAAUGAGCCUAGGGAUAGACCCAACUAUUUUGUCACUAAUUUUAAGGUCCAUGAGUGCCUUGGCUUUGUGCUAGACCUUAGGUAGCCUUAGGACUGGUCUCAAACCGAUCAAAGGACAACUAAUCCUAUUUGUCAACCGACCAUCCAAAGGAACGGUUUGGGUGAAUAUGGGGUGUGACGGCAGAACCUCAGGUGUACGUGAUUCAAUUUUUUGAGGUGUACCUAAUGAUCCAUUCUUCGGUCUCGGAACCAGCUUGGAUGAUAGAAUUCUCUAGACUGCCUUAUUAAUGAAGAAAAAGACAAAGGUAAGGAAAAUUCUAGAACCCCCUCAUUAAAUGAAGGGGUGAGUUGUUCUUUGAAUAGUCAAAAGUCAUGAUGGUGGCAAAAAUAUCUUUGAAGAUUCCAGAAAAAGGCAGCACAUAAGUGGACCAAUUAGAGAGCGACAUACAAGCUCUCAUUAAUGAUCGAAUGUUCUAGAAUUGCUGAGUUGGCAACUAUAGUACAAUUAUUUUCAAACUUCAUUAAAUGUCUAUUAAAUGUGACAUAUAGGUGGACCAAUGGAAGAGCGAAAAGCAGGCCAUAAUCGAUGACACAUAGGAGCUUAGAUUGCCAAGUAAGGCCUUUAGCUUGGCCAACUCAUUUUCUAGGUGUAAUCAUGAGGCAAAGUAGACUUGCUACCCAAAGAAUUUAGGCAGGACACUUGGAAACAUUGGAAUGGACCGCUUGGCUUAGAAAUGAUGACACCAAGGGUUAUAAAUAGGAGGAGCCCUUCUCAUUUCCUCACCUUGCUCCCAUUUCCUCCUCCCUCCUCCUCCUUAGUCGCCCUCCUCCUCACACCCUCUCUCUCUCUCCUUCGGCCUUCAAGCAAGCCGCCCAUCUUGUGUAGUUCAAGCCUUAGUUCGAGGUUCAUCCAAGUAAGUGUAGUUUCUCCCUUCUUUUAGUAAUGUUUGAGAUGUCUUUGACUCUAGAAAAUCCUCUUGUGAACAAGUCGAGGGUAGGUUGAUUGAUUCUUGGAUGUUUGACAUAUUCUAUGAUUUGUUCAUAUACUUGAAUUUCUUGUAUGACUAGAACGAAGUCGCGGUUCAUAACUUUCGAGCGGUACAAGUCGAGGUUCACCCAUAGCCAUAAAUGUGAUUUGGUAUUGAGGCAUACCGAAUUCAUGUCUUGGAUUGAUGCGGGGUUCCUUUAUGCUUGCUACUUGAGUGGAGCUUUGGGCUUAGGCUUGUUCGUGAUGUUAUUGAUGAGGGAAUUCAUGAUUUUAUAGCACACACAUCAUGUUUGAACAUAAAGUGCAUAGUUCAUGGCAUGUGCAUAAGACUUGAGUACACCCUCAAGAAGGGGUUUGUGCUCGAGCAAAGAUAAGAAGAGAUAAGAAUGGGGUUUAAGUCCCUGAAUUCCUAGCAAGAACUGGGUUCGAGUCCCAAAGGCUAGCAUAAGACUUGGGUUCGAGUCUUGAGCAUAUUAAUUGGGUUUGAGUCACAGAAGCCGGCAAAAAGCCAGAAGCUCGAUUAAAAAGUCCGAAUUGAAUUGGGUUCGAGUCCCAAGACGACUUUGGGAAGACUUGGGUUUGAGUCUCGAGCACAAGAGAAAGGCUUAAUAAGCAUGGCAUGCAUGAGCAAGAAAGAAAUGCUAGAGUUCAUAAGUUCAGGGCAUGCAUUAUAUGCACAAAUGAUUGCAAGAAUUGUCAUUCACUUGUGCUUGAAGCUUGGUUGCAUCUUGCAAUUGAUUUUCCUUCGCCAUGGUUUGCAGGAAAUGAUUGACUAGUGUUGAUGAUGAAUCGAUGUUCUAUUCAAAGGCCGGAAGCUAUACUUACUGAUUAUUUUAAGUACUCACCCCUGUUUCUUUUAUAGGUACUUAGAACCAUGGUUACUGUGCAUUUUGGUUGCCCUGUAAAGAUAGAUACUACUAUGACGGACGUGAUAGAUGUAGAAACUAAUAUUACUUAUUGUAAAGUGUCAUUCAUUGUAUGGAUAGAAAAGGACUUGGGUGAGCUUGUCCCAAUGCAUUUUGAAGUUUGGUAUAGGAAAUAUGAGGACAUAUGGAUAGGACUCUGCGGGUUUGACAACCCAACCUCGAAUCUUAGUGAUAUGGAUGAACUAUCCGAGGCUUCAGACUAAGUUUAGGUGUAUCGGCUCUAGGUAAAAGAAGAAGGGUUCCUACUUUUGGUUAGUACCUAUCAUAGCAAAGACAGGGAUACCCCAAGCCACUUUUGUACAUAAGAAAGGCUUGUAAUCAUCACUACUCAUAUAAUAUAUGAAAUAUGUUAGUGGUGUUUGUAUCUCACGUUUCCAUGUUAUUUGUGUUGGGAAUUGUAUGUUUACGCUUCCCACAUGUGCAUAAAUAAGAAGCAAAUGAAUUCAGGACGGCGACAAAGCUUGGGAUGUCGCAAAAUAACUUGCAGUUCAACCUCUGAGUAAAGGGGGUUGUGACAUUAGUGGUACGGAUUGACAUAGGUGCACCGAAGUAGAUCUCUCAUCAAUUUGUUGCCUAGUACACCAACAUUGAUGGGGAGUUGGUUGGAUCACUUAGGAACUUCGAUGGUCCUCCCAGUUUCGACAACAAUAGCAUGCCAAUUGGCAAAUUUGUCGAUCUGUAGUAUAGUAGCAUGGAUGUGACCUGACCUUCUUCUGAAAGUUAUUGUGUUGUAUUAUGCUUAUUAUUAGUACUUGUACUAAUACUUGGAAAAGGUUUAUGAAAGGAAAAUUUGUCUUUGUGAAUCAUUCAACUCAUGAGAUUUCUUGUAGGGGAUGUUGUGAAAAUUCCAUUGUACUUCCACAUGUUAAUAAUAAAUAUAAUUUAUAAAUUGGAAAAGACACAUCGCGUGACGUUUUGGAACGUCACAAAUAGUCCCCAUAACAAACACCAUAGAAGGAUCAUUGAUAACCCUUCAUUUUUAUCUCUUGAGUUUCACGGAUUUUCUUGAAUUCAUUUCUAAUUGGGCAAAUACCAAUAAAAAAACUCAAAUUGUACUCACUAUGACAUAAAUAUCCUAAUUUUUUGUCACCAAAAAUUCCAAACAUGAUACAAAUACUCCCAACUUUUUUUUAUUUCACAACAAAAUUCAAACUUACACACGUAUGAAUUGUCACAUUGGUAUAAGAUUUGGGCUUUUUAUGACUAAAAACAGUUUAGAGUACUUGCAUCAUAAUUGGCAAUUUUAGAAUUUUUAGUAACAAAAAGGAAAGUCUGAUAUUUGUGUAUACUGAACACAAUUUAGGUUUUUUUAUUAAUUAAUCUUUUCUGAGUUGUCGCUUAUUAAAAAGAAACAGCGGCGGCAGCAUCAAUGCUGAUGUCCACACGUUCUGUUUCUCACGCUCGUGGGAUCCAAUGUCCAUGGAGUACCACAUGAAGAGACCUUUCAGACACACGAAUACUUCUAUUUCAUAAGAAAUCAUGCGCGCUUCCGUUCCUUCCCAGGCGUCCGAUGGAGCCUGCGAACCGAACAACACCGCUAGUUCAUCGAAAGAAGAUGGUUCAAAAAAUCGCGCAAAUAAAGAAUAUGGAUAAAACCAGAACAGCCAAACAUCAUCCCGCGUACAAUGCACAACCUUCGUGCAUGUUUAUGUCCUUUAUAAGUCCGAGUGAAUAGGAGGCAGGGAAGUGAAGUUGCAGAAAUGGUAGGCGUGGACAGGUACUAAAGUACCACCUAUGUAUGUCCUUAUUGUGAUCCCUCACUUGUUAGAAUAAUAUAAAAUUGAUUGUUGAAGAUUUGAGCAUAUUGGAUUUGUUGUUAGUAUUCUUCAAAAUGCUUGAUCUCUGGUGAGUGUCAGAAGAAGAUUGAAGACGAAAGAAUAUUGGCACAAUUUAUGGUGGGCUAUAUUUGAGUAGCCCCUCUACCAUUCAACGAGUAAAUGCUUUCAUAUUGAAAAGGAAGGGUCUUGUCUUUUUUUUUUCUUUUGUCAAAGAACAUGAGGUUUCUUCGUAAGAAGCAAGGACUUCAUGUCUCUGUCUCAUUUGUUCUUCAUGUGUUUUUUCUUCACUUUGUGGACUAUCGGCACGAUUUAAGGUGGGCCAUGUUUGAGUAGCCCCUCCACCAUUCAACAAGGAGUGAAUACUUUUAUAUUGAAAAGGGAGGGUCUUGUCUUCUUUUUUUCUUUUGUCAAAGAAAAUGAGGUUUCUUCUUAAGAAGCAAGGACAUCAUGUCUCUGUCUCAUUUGUUGUUCAUGUAUUUUUUCUCCACUUUGACAAAAGAAAAAAAAGAAGACAAGACCCUCCCUUUUCAAUAUGAAAGCAUUUAGUCGUUGAAUGGUAGAGGGGCUACUCAAAUAUAGCCCACCAUAAAUCGUGCCGACAUUCUUUCGUCUUCAAUCUUCUUCUGACACCCACCAGAGAUCAAGCAUUUUGAAGAAUACUAACAACAAAUCCAAAAUGCUCAAAUCUUCAACAAUCAAUUUUAUAUUAUUCUAACAAGUGAGGGAUCACAAUAAGGACAUACAUAGGUGGUACUUUAGUACUAGUCCACGACUACCAUUCUGCAACUUCACUUCCCUGCCUCCUAUUCACUCGGACUUAUAAAGGGCAUAAACGUGCACGAAGGUUGUGCAUUGUAUGCAGGAUAAUUUUCAACGAUGGUCAACGCUAGAUUGACUGGGUUGACUUUUUGUUUGAAUUUUGUUCUAUUUUUUUUUCUAGUUUUGCCCAAUUUAAACAAAACCAAACAUUUCUUCAUGAAUUGGAUCAAAUGAGAUGCAAGUGGGCUAUCUCAAGUCGAUUAAUUGUGCACAAAAUUUUUAAAUCCAUUGAAUUCUUAUUGAAGGGAGGCCACAAGCUAAACUCAUAUUUUUAAUUGAACCUCAAUUGGCCAAAUUGAAGCUCAAUUAUUUCAAUUACAUUCUAGUCUAGAAUGGGCCAAGUCAAAUUAUAUCAAUUGAAGCAUCUUAGUAGGGUUUUCUAAUCUCUGAAUAGGUCAAAUCAACCAAACUAGAAUGUACCCAAGUGAAUCUCUCAAAAUUGACCCUAGAUUUGGACUUAUCUCAAGAAUAUGAGUGAAAUGCAUACGUUCGUUCGUAGGUCAUGAAUAAUCGAUUUUAGUCCCCUAAUUAAGGCUCAAAACGGCAAUUCGUAUUUUGACUCGAUAAAUUGCGCAAUUGAAUGCUCAAAUAGGUUUUAGAUAGUCCCUAAACCAAAUGUCAAAGAAUGAACCAUACCUAAUUAUGACUAGAAUAAAAGUAAUUUUAUUUUUGAUCGAUUUAGAACCUAAAACUGAAAAAUUUAGAAAUCACGAUUCUUAAUCGAAUUUUGUGAAAUUUUUGACACAAAAGUCAAAUUAGCAUUAAAAGAAAUAUAUUUGUGUAUUUUUUUUUUGUCAAAGGUUUGACAAAAAGUCAACCGUUUAGUUGACUUUUGUUAAAAAGUUGAUUUUUUGGUCAAAUCUUUGAAUCUUCAAGAAAUUCAUUUGAAAAAAGUGAAAUUAAAGCUAAGUGGAAUUUUUUUGGGAAAAAGUCAAUUUUUGACCUGAGGUUAACUUUUUGUUGACUUUUGGUCAAAGGGCUGACCAAAAAGUCAACCUGAAAGUCAACAGUUUGACUUUUUGGGUUUUUCUUGAAAAUGAACUAAAAACUGUUUAAAAAUGACAAUGCAAAAGAACGAAAUGAAAAACGACAUUUUUUUGGUCGAGAGAACAGAAGGCAGGGAAGUGAAGUUGUAGAAAUGGUAGUCGUGCACGUUUAUGUCCUUUAUAUAAUGCACAACCUUCGUGCACGUUUAUGUCCUUUAUAAGUCCAAGUGAACAGAAGGCAAGGAAGUGAAGUUGCAGAAAUGGUAGGCGUGGACUGGUACUAAAGUACCACCUACGUAUGUCCUUAUUGUGAUCCCUCACUUUUUAGAAUAAUAUAAAAUUGAUUGUUGAAGAUUUGAGCAUGUUGGAUUUGUUGUUAGUAUUCUUCAAAAUGCUUGAACUUUGGUGGGUGUCAAAAGAUUGAGACGAAAGAAUAUCGGCAUAAUUUAUGGUGGGUUGUGUUUGAGUAGCCCCUCCACCAUUCAACACGGAGUAAAUGCUUUCAUAUUGAAAAGGGAAUGUCUUUUUUUUUUUCUUUAGUCAAAGAACAUUAGGUUUCUUCGUUCGUAAGAAGCAAGGACUUCAUGUCUUUGUCUCAUUUGUUGUUCAUGUGUUUUUUCUUCACUUUGUAAAGUUUCUUGUUUUCUAUCUGAUCUUAGUUAAGCUAUGCACACAUCUAACCACUUUAAAAGGCUGUGGACUUCAAAUCUGUGGCUAUACAGAAGCAAAGAGCAUUCUCAUUUCCAUUAUUUCUCUCUCUAGUCUUCAUUUGUGCCUUGUUCCAAACUUCCAAAAUUUGUCAUAUUCUUUUUGGUUCCACCAUCACUAUUGGAGGGAUCAUCAACAAUAAAUCUCUCUCGCAUUCAAUUUCUGGGUGCGCAUAAUCUACAUACUGGCCAAAGCCGUUUCCUACUCGAGCCUCUCUAGAGUCACCAUCGAUAAAAAUUUUAGCUGUCAAGCCCGCUGUUCUCAUGCUACUUCAUCCCUAGUUGAAGAGUGUAGGAGAUACCUAAUCUCCAUGAGAUAAACGGAUAACUCACUUGAAUUGACACCUAAUUAUUAAACUAUCAUGCCUCUAGUUUAUAUGUGUAGGAGGAACGCCACGAGAAAAAUAAAUUGAUAAAGCAAUCCGUGAAAUCCAAGUAAGAACAAGACAUCAAUAUAUUGAAUAUUGAAUUAAAGUUAUACGGCUUGAUUGCACAAAUUAAGAGUUAGAAGAUUAGAUUGCAUAAUUUAUGUAAAUUUUUGGACCAAAAAUGAAAUUAUUAUGAUGAUGUAAGAAUCGAGUUUUACCUAUUUCGAUGAAAUGGAUGGAUAACAAGAAUCAACGUGACCAGCAUGUUUACCCAUUUUCAUUGCCAAAAGAUAAAUUAAUGUUUUCUCCUGUAUUUCUUUUAUUUAUUGUUUUGGGUUGCUUUCUUGUGAACAGGAUAAGAGUGUAUUUAUAUCGUGUUUUCCGUGCAAUAAUCGCAGAAGUGCAAGGUGAGAAAUAGCUCAAAGCUUAGCCAAUGGAGUCCUGCUCUAUUUCGCUAUUUUGGCUGGGCCUCCUCCUCCCGGCACUUCUAGUUUUCCUUCUCAACCGUCGGAAGCGCACCAAGCUUCCCCCUCAGCCCCCAGCAUGGCCCGUGAUCGGCAACAUUUUCGACCUCGGGACCAUGCCGCACCAGAACCUCCACAACCUCCGAGCCAAGCAUGGGCCUGUCUUGUGGUUGAAGCUCGGUUCCGUGAACACCAUGGUGAUCCAAUCAGCUCGAGCGGCCAUGGAGUUAUUCAAGGGCCAUGACUUCGUGUUCGCAGACCGCAAGUGUUCCCAAGCGUUUACUGCUCUCGGCUAUGACCAAGGCUCGCUCGCUCUUGGUCGUCAUGGUGACUACUGGCGCGCUCUCCGGCGUCUCUGCUCCGCGGAGCUCCUCGUGAACAAGCGCGUCAACGAUACGGCCCACCUCAGGCAAAAGUGUGUCGACAGCAUGAUCAUGUAUAUAGAAGAAGAAAUGGCAGUCAAACAAGCAACAAAAGGUUAUUUCUUAAGUACUUGGUGUCAUUGCUGACUCUGUGUCCUAUGUGUCGCCUCGAAUGGUUGAAGUUAUAGCUUUUAGAAAAGUAAAAAAGCAACAGGGAGAGAUAGAUGAACUUAUCUUAAAUUCCAUAUAAAUAAGAUCAAGGUCCUAUACCCUACCCAAUAUUUUUACUAGGGUCACAACCCUUAAUUAUUUAUUAAUAUGAAGAAAAAGCUAAGAAGACGGUCCGAUCACUAUUUAGGAAACCACGAGGACACGCUGACCACAAAUCUCCGUUGUGGGAUAUUAGCAACAAGAAUAUAACAUUUUCAAAAUUCAAUUGCCAAAAAAUGACUUUCAUAGAGUAAAAUCAGAAAAAGUUAGACCAUAUAAACAUAAUAUACAUUGAGCCCAUGACUACACACCUGUAGGAAACCAAAGCUUGUUUAAGAUUUGUCAAAUUAGAAUUUCUAAGGUUUGUGUUUCAUUAUUAUUACUAAAUUAUUGUAAUAGGUAAAAUAUAGCAUCUUCAUAUCCCUUCUCUAAUAUGUCACUAGCACGAAAUUAUCUACUCUCUCAUGAUGAUCGAUGUCUACACAAAUUUAAACUAUGUGCUACUAGUUUCUGGUUUAGGUGUGACUAGGGCUACCGAAGCAAUAACUCGAACGUGAGCAACAUGAAAGCAGAGAAAUGAUGGGGAAUCAAAACAUUCGUAGUUUUUAUUUAAGAAAACAUUCUAUCUUGCCUUUUAGGCGAUGGUUCUUCAUUUGCCAUCUUGAAGUGUACUACCCCUAUAUAUUUGAAGUCGUUUUCUAGAUAGCAUUGGAUUCAUAUAAUUUUUUACUUCUAAAUUUCGAUUAAAAUUUUUAUUUUCCUUUUAGAGUCAUUCAUGACAUUCUACAAAUUAAUUUUGGUACAAGCACAUAAUCUAAAAUUGAUAAGAAAAGUUGGUGUUGCGUUAACUUUGGUUUCUUAUUAUGCUAAAUGAUUAUACUNNNNNNNNNNNNNNNNNNNNNNNNNNNNNNNNNNNNNNNNNNNNNNNNNNNNNNNNNNNNNNNNNNNNNNNNNNNNNNNNNNNNNNNNNNNNNNNNNNNNNNNNNNNNNNCACACUGACAUAUGUGAUCAGUAUAUCUGUCAGCUGACAACGCUGUCUUCUUAGCAUGGCCUAUUCAUAUAGGUAAAGAAAGCAACCUACAACUAGAUUUAACUUCUGGCACUUCCGCAAAAUGUUCAGUUAUAUAUUUUUUAGUUCAAGUGGGCCCUCGUCUUACAUAUGUAGAUUGAAUAUCUACGAGGAAUGUCGCGCCAGCGUUAUACGUUGGCACUAACUAAGCUAAUUUAUUUGGUGAAUUUUUUUUUUUUUCUAAACAUAGUUCUGAUAUGGGUAAGAAAAAUAAAUAAAAUAUUUAAAAAAAAUCUAACUAUAGUUCUGAUAUGGCUAGCUGGCUAGGGUAGACCGCAGUUUCGAGGCACGACGUGGAUCGUUGGGUGCUCGCCGUUCGCGAACGCCACCUCCCGUGCAAGCACACCCUUGCCACCUUAGCGACGAGUCGCCUCUAUCCUUAAUUCAGCAUAGCCUCCAUUCACGAACGUCUCCCCCUAGUUCACUCGCGACACUUCUGUUUUUCAUUUCUUCUUUUGCAAAUUUCCUUAUUUUUGAUUUGUUGAUAUUUAUGUUAUUUUUUAAUUUCCUUAUUUGUGAAUUUUUUGUUAUUCUAUUUUAAGUUUUUCCAAAAGAGAAAUAAUUGCGUGACAGUCUUUAAUAUACUAUAAGAAUAACAGUCAAUUCUAAAUCACAAAAAUCAAAUCAUAAAUAAUUAUAAAUUAUUAUAAAACUCAUUUUUUAAAGAAUUUAUGAUUCGCAGUAUAUUGUUAUUCUCAUAAUCCUUUCAAAAACUUAUGUAGGUUUACCGUGUUGACAUUCAACGAGACCUAAUUGCCAUUUCAACAUUUAUGUUUCCUUUUAAAUGGAAAGACCAAACCAAAUAAGAACGUAUAUGAUUUAGGGAUCUAAUUCCACCGAAAAAAAAGGGACCUAAUUAAACCCUUUGUAAAAGUUUAGGGAUUACCUAUACUUCUAUCUUUUUUUUUUCUUUUUUUGUGUACUGUAAUUGACAAAGUCAACAAAUUAAAUACUAGUGUAAAUAACUCAAUUUACCAAAGAGCUACUGGAAUUUAAUUUGUUUUUCAGUCGAACUCGCUUUCUUUUUUUGGGGUUCGAGUCGAACUAGAGUGGCUAAACUGUUGAAUUAUGUAAAGCUCGAGUGGCUUUAUCAUCGAAUUGCGUAGGUAAACUUUCGUGUUGGACAUUGAAGCAUACACAGUAAGUCAAGGAGCUUACGAGCAGUUUAGAGAUUGGUUCCUCUUGAUUUGACUGCAUCUUUCCUUUAACUAGUUGCACGACUUGGUACAAUCUAUUUUUCUCAUGUCUAAUUUUGUUAAGUGUGGUUAUACAUCAUCUGAUUAGAAUUAAUCAUAAAGAAAUUUUAUUUUUAUGAAGGACAAGGAAUCGACUUAUCUCACUUCCUCUUUCUCCUGGCAUUUAAUGUGGUGGGCAACAUGGUGCUCUCACGGGAUCUAUUGGACCCAAAAUCGAAGGAUGGGCCCGAGUUCUACGACGCCAUGAACCGGUUCAUGGAGUGGGCUGGCAAGCCCAACGUAGCCGACUUCAUGCCAUGGUUGAAAUGGUUGGAUCCGCAGGGGAUCAAGGCAGGCAUGGCGAAGGACAUGGGUCGAGCCAUGAGGAUUGCCGAAGGCUUUGUGAAAGAGAGGUUGGAGGAGCGAAAGCUAAGGGGAGAGAUGAGAACAACGAAUGAUUUCUUGGACGCAGUAUUGGAUUAUGAGGGCGAUGGAAAAGAAGGCCCUCACAAAAUCUCUUCCCAGAACAUAAAUAUAAUCAUUCUGGUGAGUUUGCUCCUCUCUUCCACGUUUAACAUGACCACACUUUGAGACAUUAGGUCGAAUUCGGUUGAUUAAGUGGCGCGACAAACUUAAGUGACCUUUAUUUCUUCGUAGAUUAACAACUAGGGUCACAUCACGCAUUACGGAGAAGUUUUAGUAGCUUACUUAAUAAAUCAAUCAUGGUGCUGUCUAAGCACUGAUUUUUCUUUUCAUUAAAAUAAACUAAAAUCAAUCUUAUGUCUUCGUCAAGCAAUUUAACUAGUUAUUAUAAAAUUACCAGGUUAGUCAAGUCAAUGUCAAUCAAGUCGAGAAAUUUUGACAUUGGCUUACAAAAUUUGGCUGAAAUCAAAUUGAUUGCAAGGAUAAAAACCAGUGCAAAUAAUUAUUGCAAUCAAACUCUUAGGCAGGAAUAAUUUUCAAAGCCGUUGACGGACAAUUGCAGUAAAGCAAUUAUUGUAGCUGAGACUAUAAGAAGCGCACAUCUUAAUGGAACGCGCAGACAUAAGAAGAACAAGCUUUACUUAUGUUAAUCCAUUUUGCUCUCUUGCAAAUCUUUUUCAGUUAUUUCCCAGCAACCUAUUUCUUGCCAUUCCAGUUGUUUAUUUCCUUUUGUCAAUCAAGCACUUGCCCCAUCUCUUUCAUAAAUACUUCUGUUGUCACUGGUGGAUUCAUUUCGUCAACUUCAAGUUCUUGUUCCUUUCUUUGUGUGCCAAUCAUCUGCCAAUUCGAAGAAUAGGAACUGCUGUGUUUGAUCAGGAUUGUUGAUCAGGUGAAGCAUGAUAAUUUUUACUAUUGAGCUGACGAUUCGAGGGUGACCUUUUCCAGCCAAAGAGAAUCUCUUAAUUAUAGGACGAAACUCGGACACUUGUGGUAUCCAAGACCUAAUCUUUGUACUAAAUGGGUCUACUUGAUGGUGCAGGAAAUGUUUUUCGCCGGAUCGGAGAGUACAAGUAGCACCAUCGAGUGGGCGAUGGCGGAGCUACUCCGCCAACCCGAGUCGAUGAAAAAGGCCAAAGAUGAGAUUGACCAGGUUGUGGGGUUGAACAGAAAGCUCGAAGAAAAUGACACGGAAAAGAUGCCAUUUUUGCAAGCCGUGGUGAAGGAAACCCUAAGAUUGCAUCCCCCAUUACCUUUACUUAUCCCACGAAAUGCUCUAAAGGAAACCAAAUUCAUGGGUUUUGAUAUACCCAAAGAUACCCAGGUUUUCGUGAAUGCAUGGAGCAUUGGAAGAGACCCCGAUGCUUGGGAGGACCCAUUGGCAUUCAAACCAGAGAGGUUCGUGGGAUCUAAAAUUGACUACAAGGGUCAAAACUUUGAGCUAAUUCCAUUUGGAUCAGGCAGAAGAAUAUGCGUCGGACUUUCAUUGGCGGAUAGGGUGCUUCAUCUUGGUCUUGCAACACUGCUUUACCAUUUCGAUUGGGAACUAGGCGAUGGUUCAACUCCAAAGACCCUCGACAUGAAAGAGCGGGUGGGAAUAACACUUAGAAAGCUCCAUCCUUUGAAAGUGAUACCUAAGAAAUGUAGCGUGUGAGGUAUAAUUACCCUAAGGUUAUUAUAAUGUUAUCGUGUCAAGGAUUAAAAAAGCUGUCCAAGAAAGACUUCUUAAGAACGAUGUCAUCCCUGCACAAAUAUCUUAGGGAAACUACAAGUUCUUAUGUUAGCAUUUGGGUCCCGUUUGAAUUGUAUGACUUGAGCAUGUAGCAGGGUAGCUCCCCUGCCCUUUAUACCAUCAAUAAAACCUCACUUGUCGAAAAAGAAAAUUACUCUACAUUUGGCUCCACACUUAGAGUCCACAAAAUGGACAUUUGCGAUGAACCGGAUUCACUAGACGCAAGACUGUACAAUAGAUUCCCGAAUCAUAUACUAUAAGCGGUUUCUAGUGGGUGAUGGUGGAGCGAUCAAAGAGAGCAAUAUAAAAGAAAAGUAACAGGAAGAUACUGUAUGAUCUUGUCGGAUCUUGUCAAAUCCAUAUGGACAAUUGAUCACGUGGACUCUGCAGUAGGACCCAGUCGGUGUUGGUUCACAUGUUUUGUCACUAUUGCAAAUUAUUCUAAAAUAAACACAAGAUUGCAAAUUUGCUGAAGAAGGCUGUAGAUACGUCUUGAUUCAUUAUCAUGAUCCAUCCGUAUAUAAUCCAAAAGCAUAUAUAUUUGGGCACCCCUCGAAUACCCCUUUGAACUUCUGACCAAUUAAUUUACUUUAGUAAGUUCACCUUUUACUUUUCCGUGGCGGCUACUUAAUUAAAUUCUUGCUAGGACCGAUCGACUACAUGUAAAAUGAAUGCAUCAACAAAAUAUACUUGACCAAAACAAAGAAAAUCAGUUAAAAAUCACGGUUCCAUUUAUGUCCAUCAUCUUAAAUCAUUUGCAAGCUUAGACUUAGCUCAAUAAUAAACGCCAUUUGGAAUGAUUCACUAAAAACAUUUCCUCAACAAAGAUGUUCAAAAUCAUUUGCACUUCAUGGACCUAGUUCAUGAUAGAUUUAGAAUCCACUAUCUUGAGUUCAAGAAUUUGGCUACCACAAAUUUCUCAGUUUUGUAUUUCUUUUCUAAGGAUUCCCAUAAUUGUCUAAUAGUUUCAAUGUUACAAUAAACAUGAUACAAGGAAUUUGCUAGAUAGUUAAGGAUAUAGUUUCAGCAUAGGAAAUCCUUGUGCUUCCAAGGCUCCAGCUCCCCAAGCGUCGUGACAUCUUUUGCUCAUCUGGACUAAUUAUUGAGCACACCUCUAAUGAGUACUUGACUAAAUUCAGUGUGGUCAAUAAAAGAACAUCUUCUAUUACCGUUGCUUAAAGCCCACACUAGUUAACUCACACGGUUUCUCAUUCGGUGUUAUUGGAGAAGGUAUCAUCAUAUUAGGCAAAGCUUGUUAAACCAUCUCUCCAGAAAUUGAACCAUACACCAUUAGAUAUGUACUUUUUUGAAAAAUAGUCCCUAGUGUAUCGGUCAAGCGACUUCUACUGGUACCACCAUAGAUGGUUUCGGCCUGAAAGUUUGCAGCAUUUGUUGUCACAACACUAGACCAUGAGGUUUGAACCUCCCUCAUUGAAACACCAUAUGAACGUCUCACAAACAUUCCAACAUUAUUGGGUACUUGAUUGUUAUUAGUCAUCUCGAUUUUUUGAUAAACCCAACAAAAACAGUAAAAGAUAAUCGCCUUAAGAUUGUGGGAAAUAUUAAUACGUAUUGGAGAAAAUAAUAAUAAUUUUAAGAAAGCAAUAUCAAAAUAAACAAGAGGUGAGGCACGGCUAAUCAAAUCUCCUUAAGGCGAUUAGUUCAUGUCAACCAAUUAGUUUCGCGAACUAUGCCUAUCAAAAUACAACACCUCAAACCCGUUUGUAUAAGCACUAUAUGAACAAGAUUUUAUCGAACACUUCUUUAAAUCAGCACACUUAAAGAAACUACCAAGAAACUAGAGGAAUACUUUGAGGAUUUUUUGUUGUUAUUUUGAAUUAAGAAGACGUGUCUAUUUAUAGACAAGGGAACUAGCUGUAGAAAACUGAAAGGACAUGAACUCAAGAGUCACACUGAUUAUGCUCACAUUAGUUGAGCCAUUAACCCUUAAUAACAACAUUAUUAGAUCAGAAACUACAGGAGAACAAAGAGUCAUGAACCCAUAAUUGCAACAAUUAGGGCAUGAUCCAAAGAGACAAACUGGUUGCAUGUGAAUUGAAAAAGGCGUGAAUUGAAGAGACGUUUCAUUAACGUUGAGCCAUUAAAACCUAUGAUUACAAUAAUAAUUACAACACACUGUGCCUCCCUUAGUUCUUGUCCCAAGAGCUUCUAAUUUGAAUUCAUCAAGUACGCUAUGUGCAUCAUAAAAGCAUCUUUCAGUUUCUCAAGCCAAAAUUAGGUCACAUAAACUUGUUAUACAUGUGUCCCUGAGCACCCCGAUCUCAUGCUUGAUGCCCUCUAAAUUUCCAACUUUUUCUAGUGCUUGUGGAGCCAUAGCUCUAGCAAUGCUAACGAUGACAGAUGCCAUCUCUCUCUCAUAAUAUAUUAGUCGAGUCAUUCCAAGGCCAGAGACUGCAGGUAAGUAUAAUAAGUUUAUGUGACCUGAUUUUUAACUUCUUCGAUGGAGUCGAGUUGUUGAAGGUAGGAUUCUCAUCAUCCACGCAAGCCUAUAUCAAUAAUGCAUAUAGGACGCACCGAUUUGGUUUGUCUAAGAUAUUUUGUGCUUCAAGAGUUUACUCGUUUAACGUGCUUGCAAGUCGUAAAGGCAAUGAAAAGGCUGGCGUUGAAUUGAAAUCCAUGUUUAUUUUGAAUAUUAAAUUAACAAUAAAAAAAUUAACAGUAAUAAAUUAGAAGGAUAGAACUAAGUUCCCUAUGUUCACUUUUUUUCCAUAAAAAUAGCCGCCUCCUUGGAAAGUCCUAACCACGUGAUAUAUGCAAUACCAAUCAAAUGUAAAAAAUCAUAAUUGAAUCUAUUUAAAAUGGGUAUAAUUAUUGGUGCAUCAUUUUCUAAUUAAAUCACUGUCCCCACAUAUCAAUCUUUUAAGAAGAAUAUGGCCAUUUUCAUCUAUUCUUUUCUUCAGGCUUAUUUGGAAACUGUUUCGAAAACUAUUCUCCAAAAUUUUCAAACAUUGCGCUGAUUCUCAACUUUUAUUCUUGACACAAGUGGAGAGCGAUCUGAAGAGGGUUAAUGCGUUUCUAGUUUUUGGUUACUUCAUGAUACAAUGGAUGUUGUUAUAAUUAUCAUUCAAUGAAAUAAUUUGCUUAGUCAAUAUAUAUGCUUACUGCUGUUCGUGGAAGGCUUCGUUCUUUAUUUUUAUUUUUUUCCAAAUAAUGGGGAAUCAUUAUCUAAAUUCUUGGGAUGAAUUUUGGGUAUGACAAGUUUGGAAUCAUAACUUAGGUUAUAAAACCAGUUUAGCUAGCAUUAAUUCGGGCACCGUGAUGUGCGAUGAGUUAGUAACUAGAUGUGUGUGCGUGCGCACGUCACACACAAUAUGCACUCAUGCAUUACAUGUAGCUACUCUUUCAAUGGAUAUAGAAAGUUCUAUAUGCAUAGGUAGCAUGAUCGAUUUGUUAGCAUUCUGAUGCAAAUGUCAUUGCUCUUGGCUUGAAACUAUUCUUCAUAUUGUCAUGAGACAUUAGUACUAUUAUUUUACUAAAACAUUACAAUUUGGAUAGGGAAGUUCACUCUCCUUGCUAAUCUCUCAGAUUUAUUUGCUUCCUAUGAGUAAAAUGCUUCUAUAUAGUUUAUUUCUUUCUUUAGCUUUCCUAUUCUCUAAGUAAAUGAAUAAUCUCUUCCCAUACUAGGCAAUAACAAAACUUGCACAUUUUGCAAACUCCUAACAUUUAGACAUUUUAUGCAUGUCACUCCUUUUCAUGAAAGGGAUGUCUACUUUUUUUUUUUUUUUUUUGAGAAGAAAGAGAAGCCUUUUUUGCCGCAAAUUGCAGGUAUUCCGAUUUGAGAUAUUUACUCGCGGGAAACAUGCAAACGAAGAACAAGUCUUAUGGGGGAAUCUACUCCGAGCACUGAAAGUCCAAUCAUUGAAUUUAAUGGACAAUCCGGGGAGGACACAAGUCAACCGCAUUCCAAGCACAGCCCCUAACAUGACUGUGACACAUCUCAUUUGACAAAUCACCUGCGAAGAGUACAUAUAUCGCAAUAACGGGGGGCAUUCUAGUUCAUUUACCCUGAACGCUACAGAUAUUCUUUUUAACUUACUUAAGAUAAAAGAAAGUGAAUUUGAAACUAUCCCGUCAAGAACCACACCACAAAGGGAGAAAAAUGAAGGUCAGAAUGAAACAAUUAUGAAGAUGUGGAGAAACAAAACUACCUUGUUUCGCUUACAUCAUUCUCUGAAUAAGCAAACUGGAGAAUGGGUUUUUGUAUUGAGUUGGAAGUCCUUGAAAGUUCCUCAAAUUCUUGAUCUGGGGGCACAAUUGGAGAAAUUUCUAUAUUCAUUCCCAGCCGGUAACGAAAAAUAUGAAGUUCUGCAUGCUCUGAAUCGGGUUUCAAGAGUGCAAAAAGGUGAUUAACGUUAAAGAGAAAACGAACAAGAAAAAACAAAAAAGAAGAGAUCAUUCCCAUCAAGGUUUUUCUGUCUGCUCAAGCAAUUUAUUUAUCAAUUUGAUAGUGUUACUUUCUUGCUUCCAUAACUGUAUGAUCAUUCAUCGCAUGUUAGUGGUUUAAGACCAAUCAAUCAAGGCUACUUGCAAAACAUUUUGUGAAAUAAAGUGAAGAUGCCAAAGGGAGAUAGAUUUAUCUAGCAUAAUCAAGUUCCUUAUUCAUGAAAUCUCUAGUUCAUAAAGUAAAGUGUUCUCUCACAUUUUACUUGGGUUUUUAAUCAACCAAAGUAGACUAAUGCCAAUUCUUAAAUGAAUUGAAUUGGAUGUCUAAAUAAUGUAAUUAAAACCCCAAAGUUGUGAUUGUCGGGGGUUUGAGAGAACCCACAUUAGACAAUGGUACCAUCUUUUUAAUGAGUAACCAUUCGCACUUGCAUAAUAAUCCAUUAGCUUUCUCUUAGUGGUCCACCUCUAAGAAGGUCAUGACAGUUGGCAAUUAGAGAGUGGCAACUAAAUUAAAGAAGGAAAAGUGAGCUUGUUGGAUUAGACACGAGUUGACCGAGCAAUCGCAUGGAAACGAUGAAUACACACUCCUCAUUUAUCCGAUUGCACUAAAAUGUCGAGGGGAGUUAGUCAACAAGCCGACGAAGCUUGUGUAAAAGUUUUAGACCAAACGGAUAUUGAAAAGUUUAGUUUUGAAGGCUUGACAUCAUUUUUUUUCCAGGCAUCCUUGUGUAAGAUCAUCCAGCAUUCCUUGAAAAAAUGCAAAUUUAGGAACUAUUCUUGGAACUAGCAUGUGAGCCAUAUAUUGUUUGAAAAUAGACGUAAAGACACUCGUCGUGAUACGUUUUUUUUUGUCAAAAUUGUUGUGAUACUUAUCUUGCAAUCGUUUUGAGCUUGUUUGGGUCUACAAUUAAUCAAGAGAAGUUGGGUAUAAAUUACUAGGAAGAAAAUUGAGUCCAAGUGUGAAUUGGUGCUGUUAAAGCUCUUUGGAGUGAUCAUAAUUUUAGCCGUGGGGCUUGAGGUUCUCAUACUACAUUGUCCCUAGUUGAAGAGUGUAGGAGAUUCCUAAUAUUCAUCAUAUGCACAGAUGACCUAUGUGAACUGAAACCUAACUAUUAAUGAACGAUCAUGCCUUUGGUUUAUAUGUGCAAAAGGAAUGCUGCGAGAAAAAUGAAUGCAAUGUUGUAUAAACUGAUUGUUUUGUUUUUAUCGUGGGUCAAAUUUAUGAGAUGCAAAUGUAUGAUAAAUUCAUCAGUGAAAUUCACGUGUUAGCAUCAAAAAGUCCUUUAAAUAGUGAAGAUUGGAAAUUUCGAUCAAAUUAAUGAUUGGACUUAAAUAUAUGAUGUUUUCGAAAAAGACAAGCCAUCUUACUAAGGCAAAAGUUGUUGGAGUUAUCCCACAUCAAUUAUGGAAUUGUUUGGUGGUUAGUUUAUAAAUAUGAAGGAAAGUUUCACCCUUUGAAUAAACGUUUGAGGUGAGAGAAGCCCAAGACUACCAAACAUUGGUGUUAGAGCCAAUGGUAGAUUGGUGGCCCCAAUCUGUUCUAGAUAUCUCAAUAAAAGGAAUCUAGUGACCAACCCAAUUUAUGGGCAAUGUGUGUUGUGGUAUAAUGCAAUCCCAAUGGUAGUCUUCAUGGUUCAAUUCAAAGAAAAAAAACAUGGAUAAAGGUGGGUGUUGGAGAUUCAAGUUAAGAUUAGUUAAUAUAGAAAGAUACCUAAAUUCAGGGGAGCAAACCUAACAUUGAGCUCAAAUGUGAUGGGGAGAUUGUUGAGAUAUACAUGUGAAUUAUCUUAAGGAAAGGAAUCUAGUGACCAACACAGUUUCUGGGCAGUGUGUGUGGUGCUGUUGCAACACAAUCCCAUGGUAUUUUUCAUGGUUCAAUCCAAUGAAAAAGAACAUGGACAAAGGAUGGAUGAAGGUGAAUGUUGAAGAUUCAAGUUGAGAUAAGUUAAUGUAGAAAGAUACUUGAAUUAAGGGGGAACAUACCUAACAUUAAGCUUACACGUGAUGAGGAGAUUGUUGAGAUACAUAUAUAAGUUGUGUUUGGGAAGUCCCACAGUGGAGAAUUGGUGUAGUGUGAAGUAAUUAAUUUAUCUAGUUGGUCAAUAACUCAUUACUUUAAGCUUUUGAGUGAAGAUGGGUUCAAUUAGAUAUGUUGAUAGACUUAGACUUCGGCUCCCUCUUAGCAAUCUCCUAGGGUAAAGAUAUUGAACAUCUGUUAUACACUCCCAACAAAAGUAAAUACAUAACUAUCCUAUUUUGAUAGGACAAAUUAGUUGAUAAAUCAAUCCAUGAAACCCAAGAAAGAACAAGGCAUCAUAAUUUUGUGGAAACCAGAGGAUUAUAUUGAGUACUAGAGUAAAGUUGUAAGAAUUAAAUGCACAAAUUAAGAGUUAUGGAUUUGAUUGCAUAAUUCAUGUAAGUUGUUUGACCAAAAAUGAAAUUAUUCCAAUGAAAUAAGAAUCGAAUUUAACCUAAUUCGAUGAAAUGGAUGAAUCACCAGACUCCACGUGACCAGCAUGUUACUCCUAUUCAUAGCCGAAAGAUAUAUUAAUGUUUUCUCCUUUUUAUUUUGUGGAUGGCAAAUAAUAGCAUCUCCUGUUUUUUCUUUAUUGUUUUGGGUUGCUUUCUUGUGAACAGGAUAUAUUAUAUCAUUUUUUCCACGCAAUAAUCGCAUAAGUGCAAGGUGAGCAAUAGCUCAAAGCUUAGCCAAUGGAGUACUGCCCUACUUUGCUCUUUUGGCUCGGCCUCCUCCUCCCGGCACUUCUAUUUUUCCUUCUCAACCGGAAGCGCACCAAGCUUCCCCCUCAGCCCCCCGCAUGGCCCGUGAUCGGCAAUAUCCUCGACCUCGGGACCACGCCGCACCAGAACCUCCACAACUUCCGAGCCAAGCAUGGGCCUGUGACGUGGUUGAAGCUCGGUUCCGUGAACACCAUGGUGAUCCAAUCAGCUCAGGCCGCCGCAGAGUUCUUCAAGGGCCAUGACUUCGCGUUCGCAGACCGCAAGUGUCCCCAUGCAUUGACAGCUCUCAAUUAUGACCAAGGCUCGCUCGCUGUGGGUCGUUACGGUGGCUACUGGCGCGUUCUAAGGCGUCUCUGCUCUGUUGAGUUCCUCGUGACGAAGCGCGUCAACGAGACGGUCCAUCUCAGGCAGAAGUGCGUCGACAACGUGAUCGUGUAUUUAGAGGAAGAAAUGGCGGUUAAACAAGUAACGACAGGUUAUUUCUUACGUGCUUCGUGUUACUUUGGACGUUUGCGUUGCAUGUGUAACCUUGAAUGACCGAAAUAAUAGUUUUCUUCUUCAAAGGGAAAAAAAAAAAGCAACAUAGAGAGAGAGAAAGGAACGUUUAAACUCCUUACAAAAUAUCGAAUAUUCCCACUAGUGUCACAAGUUCUUCUCACUAAUAUAUGUAAAAUCAACGGUUAAGAUAUGUUGGGACUUUUGCACCAUUAGGAGUUAAUGAUGCACGCUGUCAAAAGAAUAGUAUUUCAGUAAAGAACGCAACCUGCAACUAGAUCUACCUAAGAAAACAUUGGGCCUGCUUUUUACGGAUAAAGGAACCAGCAGUCUUUCUUUUUUGCAAAAUGUACAAUUAAGUUCCAGAAUCUUUUUUUUAUUUUUAUUUUUUCUACUAUUGAGUUCUUAAAUUAUACAUCUUUUAAUUUGAGUUGGCCCUCCUCUUAAAUAUGCGAAUGCAUUGGUUACGAUGAAUAUUGCAUCCCCACCAUAUGUUAGCACUAACUAGACUAACUAAUUAGGGAGACACGAAAGAAUUACUUAGUGCUAAGAUGGGUAAGAAAGGUUAUAAAAAUAAAGAAAUCUAAAUCCAAGUAAACAUUCACCAACCCAAGCGUUGCCUCAAUUUAUUGCAUGACCCAACUCACCUCCAUCCUAGUUAUUCAAAUUUUCUAUGUCAUUCUAUUUUUAGGUUUUUUAAGAAUUCACUUAAGACACCAUGUUGGUUUUCAAUGAGGACGUAACCACCAUGUCAACAUUUAUAUAUACUUCUUUAAUGGAAGGACUAAUUCAAAGAAGAAGUUAUACGGCUCGAGGAUCUAAUUGCACAACAAAUUUAGGAACCUAAUUAAAACUUUUUAUAAAAGUUUAGGGACUGCUGGUACUUUUAUCCCUUUGUUUUGUUACUGUAAUUGACAAAUUCAAUAAAAUAGAUACCAGUGUAAAUAAUUCAAGUUGUCCAAGAGCUACUGGUGUUUAAAGUGCUAUUUAGUCAAACUUGCUUUCAUUCUUCUCGAGUUUGAGUCGAACUAGAGUGGCUCUACUGUUGAAUUAUGCCAAGCUCGAGUAGCUUUACCAUUGAAUUGGGUCAAACUCGAGCAUGAUCAAGUAGUUGGGUUUUAUAUAUCUUCUGAUGCAUUGAUCAAGUAUAUCCCCAUUAUUAUGCAAGAGAAUGCAAAAGUAAAUUUUCCACUUUAUUUUAUUUGUAGAAGCCAAGUUGGAGUUUUUAAGAGUUCAGAUGCUAAUUUAGUUUUGUUAGUGGAAAAUAUCCGAAAACAAGCUUAUCAAGAACUUUAUUAAGUUCGACUUGAGCUUGAAAAAUCCAACUUUUGUCUUGAACAUUGCAGCUUGGAGGUUGAUUCCUCCAUCCCUCCUUAAACUAGUUGCAAAACUUGGUGCAAUAAUUUUUUUUUUCAUGUCUAAUUCAUUACGUUCUUCUAUACAUUCUCUAAUUAUAAUUAAUCGUUAAAAAUUUCUAAUUUUUAUGAAGAGCAAGGAAUCGACUUAUCCCACUUCCUCUUUCUCAUGGCAUUUAAUGUGGUGGGUAAUAUGGUGCUCUCGCGGGAUCUGUUGGACCCAAAAUCAAAGGACGGGCCCGAGUUCUUCGAUGCCAUGAACCGGUUCAUGGAAUGGGCUGGCAAGCCCAACGUAGCCGACUUCCUGCCGUGGUUGAAAUGGUUGGACCCGCAGGGGAUCAAGGCAAGCAUGGCGAAGGACAUGGGUCGAGCCAUGAAGAUUGCUGAGGGUUUUGUAAAAGAGAGGUUGGAGGAGCGAAAGCUAAGGGGAGAGAUGAGAACGACAAAUGACUUCUUGGAUGCGGUAUUGGAUUAUGAGGGCGAUGGAAAGGAAGGUCCUCGCAAAAUCUCUUCCCAGAACGUCAUCAUAAUAAUUCUGGUAUCCUCUCUUCCACUCUUGGCAAACAAGAAAUGAUUAACAUCUUAAGGAUAUUAGGUCCAGUUCGGUUUGUAAAGUGGGGUGGUAAACUUAAUUGACAAUUAACAAGCAGGUCAUAUCACGCGUCGUUCUCUACAGACUUGUGUUUUCGUAGAACAUUCUAGCACUAGAUUUUAUAAUAACUAGCCUUUUCCAAUCGACUAUCUAUGAAAACAUUUUACACUUUAAGUUUGUAGAGAACGUUGCAAAACAAAAAGCUACUACCAUUAUAAAGAUGUUACCAUUCUUUCCUGAUUUAGCCAAUCUGUGCUCAUUUUGUAAUAACUAGCUAAGAAUGUUCUCCAAAAACACAAGAUUGAUUUAUGGUUUUUUUAUUUAUUUUAAAUCCAGUGCUAGAAAGACACAUUGAAUGAUUUAUUAAAUUAAGUUGAUGUCAAUUUGACUGAUUAAUAGAACAUGUAGGGUAUCCACAAUGGAUGAGUGAAUAGUAUGUUGAUCAGAUGUGUGAUCUGAUAUUGACUAAAUAUAAUCGAUGCUCAAACACCAGCAUUGAUUAUAAGAAGCCAAUAAGAUUAAGUUGACGAGGCAUGAAAAGUUUUUGUCCAUGGACUUAUAAAUUAAAGUCAAGUUAAUGUCGGUCGAGUCAAGAAGUAUUGACAUUGGCUCACAAAAUUUGGUCGAAUCAAACCGACUGCAAGGAUAAAACUAACGCGAACAGUUAUUGUAGUCAAACUUCUAGGACGGACCAAUUUUUAAAGUUGUUGACCGGCAGUUGCAGUGAAGCAAUCGUUGUAGCCGAGACUACAAAAAGAGCACAUCUUAAGGGAAAAAAGACGCAUAAACAUGAAAAGAACACACUUCACUUUCUUGCCAUUCAUUUUCAGUUAUUUCUCAGCAACUUAAUUCUUGCCAUUCCAGUUGUUUAUUUCAUUUUUCCAAACAAACACCUGCUCUUGCCCUUUUAUAAAUAUUCCUGUUGUCAUUAGUGGAUUCAUUUCGUCAAUUUUAGGAUCCAAUCAUCAAAUUCUUGUUCCUUUCUUUAUGCGCAAUUGUCUGUCAAUUCGAAGCAUAGGAGCUGCUAUGUUUGAUAAGGAUUGUAUUAGGUGAAGCAUGAUGAUUUUUACUGUUAAGCCCACGAUUUGAGCGAGUGAUUUUCGAGCGAAAAUGAAUAUCUUAAUUAUAGCAAAAGUAUCAACAUUGGUGGUAACCCUAGCAAGACAUGAUCUUGUACUAAAUGGGUCUAAUUGAUGGUGCAGGAAAUGUUUUUCGCUGGAUCAGAGACUACAAGCAGCACCAUCGAGUGGGCGAUGGCGGAGCUACUCCGCCAACCCGUGUCAAUGAAAAAGGCCAAAGAUGAGAUUAACCAGAUUGUGGGGUUGAACAGAAAACUCGAAGAAAGUGACACGGAAAAAAUGCGGUUUUUGCAAGCUGUGGUGAAGGAAACCCUGAGAUUGCAUCCACCAUUACCUUUGCUUAUCCCACGAAAUGCUAUAAAAGAAACCAAUUUCAUGGGAUUUGAUAUACCCAAAGAUACCCAGGUUUUCGUGAAUGUAUGGGGCAUUGGAAGAGACCCAGAUGCUUGGGAGGACCCGCUAGCAUUCAAACCAGAGAGGUUUCUAGGAUCUAAAAUUGACUACAAAGGUCAAAACUUUGAGCUAAUUCCAUUCGGAUCAGGCAGAAGAAUGUGCGUCGGACUUUCGCUGGCGGAUAGGGUGCUUCAUCUCGGUCUUGCGAAGUUGCUCUACCAUUUCGAUUGGGAACUCAGUGAUGGUUUGACUUCAGAGACCCUCGACAUGAGAGAGCGGGUGGGAAUAGCACUAAGGAAGCUUCAUUCUUUAAAGGUGAUACCUAAAAAACGUAGUGUGUGAGGUUUUUAGAAUAUUAUGGUAACUAGUUAUAUUCCUGACUGGUUAUUUAGGAAAUGACAAGAUGUGAUGUAAUGUAUCCAAGGAAGACUUCUUAAGAAUGGUGUUUUUACUCCACAAAUACCUUAGGAAAAUUACCCAAAAGUUCUUAAACCUAUUAUAUUUUUACAAAUUCAGUUAUAAAUAUUUUUAUUAUAAAAAUUAGUCCCAAACGUUUUCACGUUUUGCCAAUUGAGCUUAUAUGAUCAAUUUUGAUUGGAAAUCACUAACACGAAUGUCAGACAUCCUACAUGGUGCAAUUGGUGUAGACCUGGAAAAUUUUUAAUAUAUAUAUUUUUAAAUUUUUAAAUACUUUUUCUUUUCUUUUCUUUUCUUUUCUUUCUCUGCUAGUUGUUGAGCCUUGAGGAUGACUACUAAUCAACCAUAGGCUACAACCAAUGAUGGUCGUUGCCAAGAUCUAGCAAGGGAGGACUUUGCUACCUUGCCAAAUUCGACAAGUCACAACUUCAUGCGAGGCUCGACUUUGCCCAAUCUAUCGAGGGCAAGGCGCAACCUCGUUAGUCUUCACAAGGGCUGGUCUCAGGUGAGACUUGCCCAAAGAUGGCGAGGCCGACCUUCCCUAAAGGCCAGCAAGGGCCAACCUUGGCAACUUCAAGCAACGCUCAACCUCGUCAAAUCUAGUUAGGACAAGCUUUACUCAAGGCUAACAAGGGUGACCUCACCUAAGGCUAGUAAGGGCAAUCCUCAUCAAUCAUAACCUGUGGCCGAUCACCGGCCAUCACCAAGGCUUGGCAAAGGAAGAAAACAAAAAAAUAAAUGAAAAGAAAAGAAAAUUAACAAUAAUAAAAUAUUAAAAAUUCAAAAAUAUUAAAAUACUAUUUUUUUAAAAGGUCUACUGGCAUUCACUUUUCGUUUUCUAGUCAAAAUAGGCUAGAUGGACUCAAUUAAUAAAAAUUGAAAAAAUUGGGACUCAAUUGAUACAAUUAAAAAGUUUAUGACUGAAUUAAAAUAAGUACAAUAUAUUAUGAUUUUUUUGAUAAUUUUCUCCAAAUAUCUUUGGGCAAUUACAAGUUUUUAUGUCAACAUUUGGGUCUUGUUUAAAUUGUAUGACUUAAGCAUGUAGCAGGUAGCUCACUUGCCUUUUAAGCCAACAAUAAAACUUUACUUGUCAAAAAAAAAAAAAAAAAACAAAUCGCCCUAAAGUUGGUUCUACACAAGAGUCCACAAAAUGGAUGAUUGUGAUGAACUCAGUCCACUAGACACCAAUCCAUAUAAUAUAAGCUUGAAUCAAAGACCAUGAACAAUGCUAGUUCCUUGAAUGGGUCGAAGCUUGACAUAGAUUGAUUUUGAUCCAUCCAAAUUGGAAUCCUGUUAAUGGAUUCAAACACAACGUUGAACCCAAUACCCCGAUUGCUAGUGCAUCGCCGGCUUCCAGUAGCACAUCAGUGGAAUCUGUGAAAGAUAGUGAAACUCAUUUGACUCUUAAGUACAUAAGUGAGAUGCUCAAGGAGGGGAAGUUGGAGGAGAAAAACUAAAUGUUUGCCGGAUUGACUGGCCACCCUCUGGGCCAAAGAAAAAAAAAUCAGCGUGAUGUCCUCUAUUAGAAGGGGACCCUUCCGACCACCAAAAAAAAAAAGUACUUGCCAACCAGCAAUAAUUUGGCCAACCAGUGAGAUCAAGUCUUCAUUUGAGAUUAAUUUAGCCACUUUAGACCCUUAUUUAAAAUAAUGUCCAUCUUAGGCAAUCUUUUGAAAAAAUAACCCACUUUAGAUGCUCAUUCAAAAAAAUUUCUUACUUUGCCAAAAAUUAGUCAUAUGAAGUGCAUGAUGGUAAAUGUAUACAAAUUGCUGAAUCUUUUUGUAUGUUACCAAGGUAAGAUUUUGCUAUAGUGCCAAACAUCCAAAUAGGUUGAUAAUUUACUAUUUAUAUUUUCAUCGUUAAAUUCCUUCAAUAGAUGGCAAUUCUUCGCCCACUUGUAAAUUUACCAAUUUAAUAAAAUCUUGCUAUGUAAUGUACGAGUAUUUUUCACUGAACCAUCCGACUUCGUUGGGCUUGAAUAUGACUCAUUUGAUUUCAUUUGUGUAAUGCUUGCAGAUAUUACUUUCGUUGGUGUUUUUUUUUAUUGCUCUACUUUCUAACACAUGAUAGUAAGGCCGAGUACCGGUCUAGGGUCAACCCUAGACUAAUCUUGGACUAGCCCAAUCCGGCCAACACUGGGUCUGUGUCCUUAGUCCCAGAACCCAAAUUUCUUGAAAAAAUUUCAAAUAAGGGUCCAGGGUUCUAUCAAUUUCUUAAAAAAAGAUUUAAAGUGUAUUUUUUUUUUCCCAAAAAAAGACCUAAAGUUGCCAUAGGAGUUUCAGAUAAAGGUCUACCUCACCGACUGGUUAAAUAUUCUGGCCAAAAUUUUUUUGUCCAAAGACAAUUUUAAACCAAAUUUUAAUUAAAUUAGUUUAAAAAUUAAUCUAAAAGCUUUUCAAAAAAAAAUAUAGAUGCAAUGUGGGGCCCUCACCAUUGGUCGGCAAGGGUUGUGGCCCUCAUCGAGGUACUUGCAACCUCGACGCCCUAUCGGCUAGGGGUGAAAGAUUUUAGGUUCAGUACAUAUUCCACUUAAGACUUGAAACUUACACAUUGGAACACAUUCCUUAUUUUUUGGAACUUGAAACUUAACUUGCAUAUCCUAAAACCUAAAACUUACCAUGUCACAAGUUCUAAGGUCGAUCCUAUGGUCUAUCUAGGUUCCAUCUAUAUUAUCAAUUGACCGAUUGCAAUGAAUUAAACCUUUAAUAAUCACCACUUGUUGCUACAAUUUACUUCAUAACUUAUAUUCAAACACACGAAAAAUAUGGACAUUAAUAUAAAAUGGAAGCUCAGACUAGUGCUUUUAGAUUAUACAUUCAUCAUCGAAUGACAUGGAAUAUCACAAAAUCGCAUGAAGAUAUGGACUAAGAAAAAUAUUAAAACUUGUUCUAGAUUAUAGGUUCCAAUUUCAAGUUCCAAGUUCCUCUAAUCAAGAGCCUAAAACCUACUCGUCGAAAUAGAUUCCUCAUUUUUGGGAGACUAGAAUCUAUCUUGCAUAUAUUGGAACUUGGAAUCUACAAGUUCUCAUCGAUCUAAUUCUCAAGUUACAAGUUCUACUUUAAAACCAUGCUCACCUCCACUACCAACAAUGGGUCAGCAAUCACAACCUUGGGUUUUUAUUUUUUUGUGUAAGUUUCUUUAUUUUUUUUUAUUUCUUUUUAUGUUUUUACCUCUUUUUUUUUCUUUUUUGAUUUUGUCUUUUUAUGGAAUUUUUUUUGGAGUUUUUAAGCCUAAUUUAAUUAAGAUUUUGUGUGAAAAUUAGGAUUCGGAUUAAAACGAUAUCGUUUUAUCACUUUAGUUAACCUUAAAGUACGUAGAACGCUACGUGGAAGAGAUAAGAUAUUUAAAAAGUUAGGUCAACAUUUUUCGUUAGUUAAGUUAAAUGGAGUUAGUGGAAAAACUCAAUUUUUAAACAAAAUUGAGUCUGCCUGUGGCUUUCAAGGGUAGCCUUGCUCGAGUAAGGUGAGGGCGACCCUCACCUGGCCCUCUCCACGUAUGGUUGGUGGCCUUCAAACCAGCCACUGAUGAAAAAGAAAAAAUAAGAAUAAGGAAAAAAGAAAAAAGGAAAGAAAACAAAAAAGAAAAUAAAGAGGGAAAUGCCAUUGACUAGCCAAUAAGGUCGUGCCCUUUUUUGGGGCACAUAUUUGCAAUAACAUUCACUUAAUUCCUUUAUUUAGAACCUUUCCUAAUUUCUUUUUUCACCAACUCUUAAAAAAAGAAAAAGGAAAUUCCCUUUUGAAGGCCACACGUGAUCGAUGCCCGUCCUUAAGAUUGCCGUCUCUAAUAGUUUUGCGUUCAUUAUCCUCUUUUCUUUUCUCUCUUUCUUCCAGCACGUUCAGCUCUGUCAUUUCAGACAAUUCAGCGGAGCCUUUUCCUAGGGUUGUUGAGAAAAAUAUCAAAUACAAUGUCAAGUCAUUGAGCCCUCUUUUGUCGAGAAUAGCAGCUGUCAAAUGGCCUCAUACGCAUCUCACUUCAGACCCAACAGGCUGCCUACGGUGGGCCCAUUCCAGUUUGAUCCCCGCAAAUUUUCAGCAAAAACCGGUCCUCUUCCUUUGCUGAAACCAGUCCCACUUCUAGCUCUGACAGCCCUUUUCUAGUUUUGUUUACAUUAAAAUAAGGCCUUGAGUUUGAACCAGUUAAUUAACACGGUCCAAAGCAAGUCCGAUCGAAUUGAUGAAAUUCGACCGCCUCUUCGAUUUGGUUCGAACCUGCAAUAGAUUCCUUACAUGUGUGUUCAACCGCUACACAUGAAGUUUGUCGUCUACUUUCGUUGAAUUCUCUUCACAAGCAGCAGCAACAUCUAAUGAAGAGCCUUCUUCUAGUAGUAUAAUUUUAUAGAGGAGGAGCUAAUGAUUGAGUAGAAAUAGGGGAGCUUGUUGGAAAAUCUUGUCAACACGAGAAGCAAAUACAAAACAAAAGAAAGAGUAAUCAUUGGUUCUGGUGGCCCCUCGGUCUUUUUAUUUUUUUAUUUUUUUUUUAUUUUGUCUUUUCUUUUUCUUCCGUUUAUCUGACCGGAAGGGAUUCUCUCUCUUUGGUGUAUAUUAUGAAAUUUGUUCCAUAAACACCGUGGGUAUUUGGUGUAAUUAUGGGACUGGAAAUUACUUAAAAGUGUGUCAUCAAUUGUAAUCGUGUGUUCUCCAAUUUACUAGUAGGUCAUUAACAGCUUACUCUUUUUACUAAUACAAGUUUCAACAUUUGUAUCGUAUGACAAUAAUUUCUUGUGUCAUUUAUUAUUUCUCAUUUUAUUUUCUCUGAAAAUUUUCAUGUGUCCAUAUAAUUGUGAAGGUUAUGCAUAUUCAAUGACCCUCCAAGAAUAACCUAAUAUGGGGAUGAAUUGAAGUAAAGAGUUGCCAAUGUUCAGUUCUUCUUUAAAGUAAAAAUCAUUGAUAUUCCCUAUAUGGAGGAAAGAAAAAUAUACACAUGCAAUUAGAGAAUGCAGGACGUGUAGGCACUGGCAUGUCAAAAUAAGGAAUGCAGCCCUACUAAGUACCACACAAGAUGGGACCAUCGUUUAUCAUUCCUCAUUAUAUUUUCUUUGAAAAUUUUCGUGUGUCCAUAUAAUUGCGAAGGCCCGGUCCCUUCUCUGACGGUUUACUGCAACCUCCAGCUGUAUUCACGCCAUUCUAGGUGGACAUUGAUAUAGCUAGUAUAAGCACCUGGAGGGGGGUGAAUAGGUGUAAAAAUAAUUUCUUGAGAUAUGAAAACAAUACUAGACAAAUCAGAAAGGAAGCUCUCCUUUAGUUAACAAAUCGAACUAUGAUUAAAGUAAAGUAGAGAGUAGGGAAGAGAAAAUUGAACACAAAGUUUAUAGUGGUUCGGUUUAUUCCAAGCCUACGUCCACUCUUCUGCACUGACAGCCCACUGGCUGGAUUUCACUAUGAACAAAAGAGAUGUUACAGCACUGCUUUCCCUUGAUUCCACAGUGUAGAUAUUCUAUCACACUUCCUCAAGGUAUCUCAAAAUAUAGACUCUCUUUUGUGUACAAGAUUUCGCUCAGUAAAUAAAUUGACUAAAAAUCAAAAAGCUUCAGACUUUGGAAUUCUUCUAUCGUGCACACCUCGAACAACUGGAAUGACUUCCUUUUAUACUCCUUUGUGCCAUCAUAUCCGUUGGCACUUACCAAAGGAAUUCUUUCAAUCCUCCCGUUGGACAGAAUCAAUUAGGAAGAUUAUUCGAGCUAUUAAAGGAACAUGUCGAUAGCCUAUCAAUCCUGCUCGCCUAUACAAUCAGGAUCUUGGUUUCCAUAAGUAGAACCUUCCAAGAAUACUUCGUCAAUCAUUGGAUCUUUAAUCAUUCUUGAUUUGAAUAAAGGAAUCCGUUAUGUCAUAUCCAGCCAAGAGAUCUUCUCCAGUUGAUAAGGCCAAAUCCUUAAUGAAGCAGUUUUGGAUAGCCUUUCUUCAACGGAUUAGAAACUGUCAAUAAGAAUAGACUUUGAGUCUUGAGUCAGGUAGUCUGGAGGUCUUCAGACUUUAAUAGAAGAGUCUGGAAAACUUCAGACUAGACUGAUAGAAACGUUUUGUCAGCUUCAAAAUAUUCCAGAAAGAUUUCUCCAACAAUCUCCCCCUUUUUGAUGGUGACAAAACUUUCCUGCAGAUUUUAAUAACUUUGACCUGCAAAACAUUACUCAAGCAAAUAUGGAUAUCUCAUAAAGAUUAAUAACUUAAUGAUAACACUAGAAUCUGCAACCACAGAAAAUAGGUUAGUCUUGCAUGAGAGUAAAUCCAUUUAUAAGAUAUCAAUAGUACUUAAUAUAAACAACAGUCAAAUCCAAAUCCACGUUCAGUCAAUCCUCAUCCAGACACAGACACACAAGUCAAACAUCAAAACAAACUAAAAAUUCAACAAGUUUAAGUUCAAAGAUUUCAAAUUUCACAUCUCUCCCCCUUUUUGUCAUCAUAAAAAAGAAGUUGAGAUGGGAAUAGAAUGAAGUCAAGUUUGCUUGGGAAUGCGAACAAGAUGGAAAUCUCCCAUGGACUGGAUGAUGCCUUCCAGCUUUUUCAAUUCUUCCUUCAGUUGAUCCACCUCUUCACCUUUAGCAUUGGCUUGAAUCUGAAGAGUAAGGGCUUGGAUCUGCUCAGACAAUGAAACGGAAGAAGCUUGACCAGCAUUCUUCAAGUUCUGAACUUCGCUUUCCAAAGCAUAUAUCUGACCCCGCAAUUCCAAAAGAACAUUAAUGAUUCUGCAAAAAUCUGCUGAGUUAUCAGUCUACGUAUUGGCUUCGGCAUGAUUUGAUGGAGUAAAGGCAGACGAUGGUAUAUCAGCAUAAUCACGUAGAUUUGGCGAUGAAGCACCAUGUCCCUCCUCAGGAAAUUGAGAGGCAUGAAUGUCUUCUGGAUCUGCUGGAGAGCGACUGACUCCUUCACUGGUAACAGGAUAUGAGGACAUUCCUCUAUUUUCACCAUCUCCCCCUGUUUCCAUGGCUUCAAGUGGAGAAGAGUUUUCCUCAUGCUCUCCUUCCUCUUGAUUUUCUCUUUCUUCUUCUUCUUCAAACCUUUCCUCGUCUGUUUCUUUUUCUUCAGCUUCUUUCUCCUUUUCUUCCUUCUCCUCUGCUUCUCUCUCCUUUGCUUCUGUUUCUUCUUCUUUCUCCAGUUCUUCUCUCUCCUCUGCUUCUUUCUCCUGUCGUUCCAUUGAUUCAGGAACAGAAUGACUCAGCUUCUUUAAUGCUAUAGCAAAAAUUGUGAGGUCAUCCUCAUCAUCUUCAUCAAUAAUGAGAGCUUUUCUUUUCUUAGAUGGAGCAACCAUGGGUUCCUUCCCUUUCCUUUUCGUUGCUGAAGAGACUUGAUGAGAUUUGACAGGGGUUUUCUCCUUAAAUUUCUCCAACGCCUUGUCAAGCUCUUUCAGACGCAUUUUGGACACCAUUUUUAGUCCUACCACCAUUUUGUUAUAAGGUCGAACACAGAGAAUUUGUGGAUGCUGAAUAUUCAAAUGUCUGAAUAUCUUUGACACAAGACCUGGAUAAGGAAGUUGGCCCUUGUCCUUUACCACUGCUCUAUACAUGUGAAACAGAAUAGUGUGAGGAAGAGAACUUUUUCCCAGCAUUGAUGACAUACAUCAGCUUUGCCUCUAAGUUAGAAACAUUAGUCUUGGAAGUUGAUUUCGGUUUGAGGCAAUUGAUCACAAUCUUGUGAAGCAGAAUGUUGAACGCAUGCAUCCUUGAGUAGGAACUUCCCUUUGUCAUUCUGUCUUUAACAAGUUCCAAUGUGGCACGAGCUAUAGAGACACUGAUGGGUUGAUAUCUCCCUCUCUCAACCCCAAUAACAUAUGCCAACAUAUCCACAUCCACUACAAAGUCCUGAUCUCGGACACUGAAAGAGAUUCUAUUUGCAUUAAAGAAAAUUGAACUUUUCCCACAAAUUGACAUUCAUAGCAUCAAGGAAAUCAAAAUCUACACACAGAACUGUUCAAGUUGAAGAAAACUAAACUUUUCCCGCAAAUUGACAUUCACAGCAUCAAGGAAAUCAAAAUCUACACUCCUAGGGUUUAUCACCCCACGCUUCAACAAUUUGGAGUAUAGAUUUUUUGUUCCCUCGAUCUAAACAACUUUGUUCUUUUUCCUCAAAUUUUCGCCGCAACACCCAUUUUCGGUUGAAAUUGGAUGUACAAUAUGUCAUCAUCAUUUCCAUCUAUCGGAUUAAAUCCCCUAACACACAGAUCACUUGGGAUAUUUGCAAGGGUUUUUUCUGCCAACCCCUUAGGAGCAAUUUCCAAACUCUCUAUUUUUCGCAAAAAUAUGUACUCAUUCCCAUAUCCCUUGUCCUUAAGAAACUCAUCGAUGUAGUUCAAUGGAGUACCAAUACUCUUUAAAGCACGGUAAAUCUUAUAAAUAAAAGAGGGCUUUUGAACUCUUAUAGGAUCUGCGUCUUCGACGAUUUCUUCCUCUUGUUGAUGAACAGCAUUCUGUGGACUAGAUGGUGGAGAAUGACGCUGCUGAGAAUGUUGUGGGCUCUGCUGCUGACUUGGUGACUCCUCUUCCUCGGUGAGAUCAAAGUGAGUAGGCCCCUUACUCAUUCGCCGUGGUCCCCUGCUUGCGAUCCUCGAAGACUUUCUUGAAGAUGACAUCUUUCUUAGUCUUUGAGAGAUUCCUUGCUUGACUUUCCCAAGAAAGAUGUCAACUUUUUCGAAGAUUAAACAAGAGAGAAAGACAGGAAUGGAAGAUCGAUGCUUUUUAGGGUUUUCGAGUUAAGUGAAGAGGAAUCGUCUGUAUAUAGUUUAGUCGAAGAGAGGCAUACCAAACGUUGUAAACGAAAGUAAAAGAUGCCCCUUUUAAAAAUAACUGCAUUUAAAAAAAAUAGAUAACUGCCAACUUUGAAAUAUUAACUCCUUUUUGAAAAAGAAAAAUUGCACUUUUCACAGAAAUUGAAGAUAGCAUAGAUCAAUUAUAAAUAGAUAAAUGAUCGUACCUUUCCGAGAUAAGAGAAAAUAAAAUAACUUACAGUCAAGAACCAUGAUUGUCUGAGACUGUGAGUCUCUAGACUUUAACUUCUUCAAGCUUCAAGAUGUUGAGUUUGGAACAGAUGAUUUCAAAUUGAUUUUUCUCCAAAGGCUUCGUAAAUAUAUUCGCCAGUUGAUUCUUUGAGUCAACAAACUGAAUCGAAACUUCUCCAUUUUGAACAUGAUCUCUAAUGAAGUGAUGUCGAAUUUCUAUAUGCUUUGCUCUUGAGUGAAGAAUUGGAUUUUUGGUAAGAUUGAUUGCACUGGUGUUGUCACAGUUAAUCUCCGUGCAUGAAUCUUCAAUUCCAAAGUCUCUUAAUUGUUAUUUUAUCCACAAAAUUUGUGAACAACAACUUUCGAGAACUACAUAUUCUGCUUCUACAGUAGAAAGAGCUACUGUAUUUUGCUUUCUUGAAAACCAAGACACUGUCCUGCUUCCAAGUAAUUGACAAGUACCCGAAGUGCUCUUUCUAUCAAUUAUGCAACCAGCUAGAUCUGCGUCUGAAUAUCCAAGGAGAGUAAAGUCUCCCUUUUUAGGAUACCAAAGGCCGAUACUUGAAGUUGAAGCAAUGUAUUUGAUAAUACGCUUUGCAGCACUUAGAUGAGAUUCUUUAGGGUCUGCUUGAAAUUUGUCACAAAUGCAAAUACUAAACAAAAUGUCAGGUCUAGAAGCAAUAAGAUAAAGAAGUGAACCGAUGAUACUCCUGUAUAGCUUAUGGUCAACUUUCUUUCCUCCUUCAUCUUUGUCUAUCUUCAAGGAACUUGACAUUGGUAUAUCAAUCUUUUUGUAAUUUUUCAGUCCAAACUUUUUGACAAGAUCAUUAGGAUAUUUUUCUUGAUGAAUAAAAGUCCCUUCCUUCAAUUGUUUCACUUGAAGUCCAAGAAAGUAGGUUAGUUUACCCAUCAUGCUCAUUUCAAAUUCAUCCUGCAUAGACUUAGAGAAUUUCUUGCACAAACUUUCAUUAGAGGAUCCAAAAAUGAUAUCAUCAUAAUAUAUUUGAACAAGCAGAAAAAUUUUGCUUUAUCUUUUGAUAAACAGAGUAGUGUCUACUUUAUCUUUUUCAAAGCCAUUUUGAAUUAAAAACUUACUCAGCCUGUCGUACCAAGGUCGAGGUGCUUGCUUUAAUCCAUACAAGGCUUUUUUCAGUCUGAAUACUGGGUCUGGCUUCCUUGGGUCUUCAAACCUAGGUGGUUGUUCCACAUAGACUUCCUCAUGGAUAAAUCCAUUUAGGAAAGCACUUUUGAUGUCCAUUUGGAAUAACCUGAAAUUCUUAUAACAAGCAAAAGCAAGUAAUAAUCGAAUUGCUUCUAAUCUUGCUACUGAUGCGUAAGUCUUGUCAUAGUCUAUCCCUUCUUCUUGCGUAUAUCCCUUGGCCACGAGUCUUGCUUUGUUUCUUACGACUUUACCUUUCUCGUUCAUCUUGUUCCUGAAAACCCAUUUAGCUCCAAUAAUAUAUUUACCUUUCGGUUUAGGAGUCAACUCCCAGACAUUAUUAAUACUGAAUUGUCUAAGUUCUUCUUGCAUAGCUUCAAUCUAGCUUUCAUCAGAUAAAGCUUCUUCUAUGCUUUUUGGUUCAAUUUCAAAAAUAAGAGCCACAGCACUAGACUCUUCGCGCCUUUUGGAUCUUGUGCGAAUUCUUUCAUUAAUGUCGCCAAUAAUGAGGUCUUUGGGAUGACUGGACUUAUGCUUCCAGUUACUGGUUGAUUUGUCAGGUUGAUGAUCACUUCCUUCAUUUGAAUCUUCAAUAACCAUUUGUUGCUCGUCUUUCAGAGUCUGAGUUGCUUCUUGAGAUUUAGACUUUGUAGAGUCUGGAGCAGCUUCAAAUUUUUCAAGAUAAGUCUGAGCAGAUUCAUUUUGCAUAGAAUCUUGGAAUUUGACAUUUAUUGAUUCCUCCACAGAUUGACUCUUCUUGUUAUAGACUCUGUAGGCUUUGCUUGAGGUAGAAUAUCCAAGGAAGAUUCAUUCAUCUGAUUUUUCUUCAAACUUACCAACUCUAUCAUUUGCAUUUUUCAAUAUAAAGCAUUUGCAUCCGAACACAUGAAAAUAUGAAACAAUAGGCUUCUUUCCUUUGAAUAACUCAUAGGGGUUUUUUUUUUUUCCAGAAUAGGCCUUAGAAAAACUCUAUUGAUAAUGUAACAUGCUGUUGAAACUGCUUCAGCCCAAAAACGUGAAGAUAUGUUACUUUCAAUUAAAAGAAUUCUAGCCAUUUCUUGAAGCGAUAUGUUCUUUCUUUCCGCAACUCCAUUUUGCUCUGGAGUAUAUGGAGAAGAGAACACAUGCUGAAAACCAGAUUCAUUACAGAAUUUUAUAAAAUCAUGAUUUUCAAAUUCACCUCCAUGAUCUGUUCUUAUACUCGAGAUAACAUACCCUUUUUCAUUUUGAAUCUUUUUUGCAAACUUUUCAAAGUAAGAGAAAGUUUCAGACUUACUUGCUAAGAAAUAUACCCAAGUAAACUGUGAGUAAUCAUCCACAAUUACUAGGCAAUAUUUCUUACCUCCAAUGCUCUGAAUUCUGGUUGGUCCGAAAAGGUCCAUAUGCAGAAGCUGUAAUACACGAUUAGUGGAAACUUGAUUUAUUGGUUUAAAGGAAUUUCUUACCUGCUUUCCCAAUACGCACGGUGUACAUAGAUCAGACUUUUGGUAUGACAAUUUGGGUAGACCAUGAACAAGCUUCUUUGCUGAAAUUUUGGCUAUUUGCUUCAUAUUGAUGUGCCCAAGCUUUCUGUGCCAUAAGCUCGCUUCAUCUUGAAUUGAGAUUAGACAUUACGAUUCAUCUGGUUUCACAUCCAAGAGGUAGAUAUUUCCAUGUCUUCGGCUCAUGAAUGACUGAGUAGAAUCUUUAUUGGUUCCUGAACAUAUUCCCUCUUGAAAGUUGAUUUUGAAACCAGUAUCACAUAGCUGACUGAUACUGAGUAAAUUGUAGUUGAGUCAUUCCACUAGGGAAACAUUGCUUAUAAUGAGAUUUCCAAUCUUUACAGUUCCAAAUCCCACAAUUUUUCUUUUGCUGUUUCCUCCAAAUGAGACUUUUCCACCAUUUACUUGAAUGAGUUUUAUGAAGCAAUUUGAGUCUCCUGUCAUAUGUCUUGAGCAUCCACUAUCCAGAUGUCAUUUUACCUUUUUCUUGAUAGUAACCUGUAUUUAAAAGAGAGACUCAAGCUUUCUUUGGUACCCAUAUUUUCUUAGGUCCAUUGGUGUUAGUAUGGUAUGCGGUUUUUGCCCAUACUUUCUUAACAGGUUUCCAAACCAUAGGACACUCUUUUUCAAAAUGAUUUGCACUAUUGCACUUUGAACAUCUGAGAGCAUUUUGACCCACUGGUUUUACAAACACUUUUUGAAAAUGAUUUUUGUAAAAUGUCUUUGAAUGUCUUUGCUUAAUUCUUUCCUUCACUUUAGGAAAAUCAAUUAAAGUGAUGGUUUCUACUGUCAUUCCUAAACCAGAUUUAUUGAAAUAAGGUCUUUGUGCUGAAAGAAUUUUUUCAAGUUUCUCAGAUCCUAUUGAAAAUCUUUUUGAAAUAUUUGAUAAGUCAUUUUUUAAAAAUGCAUUUUCUUUCAAGAGAUUAUCUUCGCUUUCUUUAAGAGUAGAAACAUUCGUGUCUAAAUGUUUCAACUUUUCUUUCAAAACAUUUUCCUGUUGUUUUAGUGCAGAGUUUUCCUUUUUAAGUUCGGAAAUCCUUUUAAGAGAAGUCUUAACACUAAAACAUAGCUCAUCAAUGUAUUUGGAAACUUUAACAGGGAUUUUAAAGUUACUUACCUCAAAUUCACUGUCUGAAUUUGAGUCUGUCUCGGACUUUGAUUCAGAAUCCGAUUGUGCCAUCAGACAUAUAUUGGCAUAAUCAUCAUCACUUUCUUCACACUCUGUAUCACUCCAGGUUUCUGCUUAAGAGCCUUUCGAUACUUUUCAGCUUUUCCUUUCUUCUUUUUUAGAAGAGGACAGUUGGGUCUAAUGCGUCCCUUUUUCUUACAUUCAAAGUAGACUACAUCUUUGUUUGAUUCAUCAUCAUCAACAGACUUGGUCUAUUGCUUUUGAAAACUCUGUUUCUUUGGAUUGAAUCUUCUUCCUUUUCUGUUAAGCUUUCUGAAUCUUCUUAUCAUGAGAGCAAGCUCCUCAUCAUCCAUAUCGUCUUCAUAAUCUGUGACAUCAGAAUCAUCAUUGGAUUUUAAUGUAAUGGAUUUCUUACCUUUAUGAUCUUCGUCUUCAUUAAUUCGUUCCACUUCAUAAGACUGAAGACUUAAUGUAAUGGAUUUCUUUGUGUCUCUCUUAUUGAGGUCUUUAUGUGAUUCCAAUCCUUGGAGAGUCCACGUAGUAACUUGUUUACAUUCAUGGGAUUAGAAAUUGGUUGACCUUGAUUUUGAAGACCAUUCACGAUUUCUGUAAAACGACUAAACAUAUCAGUUAUAGAUUCUCCCGAUUUCAUUUUGAAGGCUUCAUAUUGACCGGGGAGAAUGUUGAUUCUGGUCUCUUUCACUCGAUCAAUUCCUUCAUAGGUGAUAUGUAAUCUAUCCUAGACUUCUUGCUGUAACACAAGAAGAUAUUCUGUUAUAUUCAUAAGAUGAUAAAGCACAAUAUAAAGAAUAAAUUGCUUUUGCAUCAAGAGCUUGUCUCUUGAUUAUCUCUUCCUGAUUCAUUUCACUUGACUCAACAGUUUCUUUUCCUCUAUUUGUGACAGAUGCAGCUUUAGGAGUGAUUCCUUUUUCUACAACGUCCCAUUCCAGAGGAUCUUUUGAUCGUAGAAACGCUUUCAUCUUGUUUUUUCAGAUGUUGUAAUCCUUUCCAUCAAAAGUAAGGUGGUCUGGUAUUGCUCUGCCCUUCCACCAGCCUUGGAGCUAGCAUACUAGCCAUGAAUCUUUAACUCUGAAGUAAAACACUUCAACCAAAGUGAGUACACAGGCUUUGAUACCAAUUGAUAUAACUAGUAUAAGCACCUAGAGGGGGUGAAUAGGUGUAAAAAUAAUUUCUCGAGAUAUGAAACAAUACUAGACAAAUCAGGAAGCUCUUCUUUAGUUAACAAAUCGAACUAUAAUUAAAGUAAAGCAGAGAGUAGGGAAGAGAAAAUUGAACACAAAGUUUAUAGUGGUUCGGCUUAUUCCAAGCCUACGUCCACUCUUCUGCACUGACAGCCCACUGGCUGGAUUUCACUAUGAACAAAAGAGAUGUUACAGCACUGCUUUCCCUUGAUUCCACAGUGUAGAUAUUCUAUCACACUUCCUCAAGGUAUCUCAAAAUAUAGACUCUCUUUUGUGUACAAGAUUUCGCUCAGUAAAUGAAUUGACUAAGAAUCAAAGAGCUUCAGACUUUGGAAUUCUUCUAUCGUGCACACCUCGAACAACUGGAACGACUUCCUUUUAUACUCCUUUGUGCCAUCAUACCCGUUGGCACUUACCAAAGGAAUUCUUCCAAUCCUCCCGUUGGACAGAAUCAAUUAGGAAGAUUAUUUGAGCUAUUAAAGGAACAUGUCGAUAGCCCAUCAAUCCUGCUCGCCCAUACAAUCAGAAUCUUGGUUUGCAUAAGUAGAACCUUCCAAGAAUACUUCGUCAAUCAUCGGAUCUUUAAUCAUUCUUGAUUUGAAUAAAUGAAUCCAUUAUGUCAUAUCCAGCCAAGAGUUCUUCUCCAGUCGAUAAAGCCAAAUCCUUAAUGAAGCAGUUCUGGAUAGCCUUUCUUCAAUGGAUUAGAAACUGUCAAUGAGAAUAGACUUUGAGUCUUGAGUUUGGUAGUCCGGAGGUCUUCAGACUUUAAUAGAAGAGUCUGCAAAACUUCAGACUAGACUGAUAGAAACGUUUUGUCAAUUUCAAAAUAUUCCAGAAAGAUUUCUCCAACAGACAUCACUAGGGAUGGUGCUAGUUUGGAAGCUAGUUUGGUUCUUUAAUUCUCUAGUUCAAUUCUUGUUUGCUUCUAGUCCAGUUGGGAUUAGAUGGUGGCUGGCUUAGGGGCUUAACUAUGGGCAAUUAGAAGAUGGCAAUGGGAAUUAAAAAUAAAAAAAAGGAAAAGUGAGUUUCUCGGAUCAGACUUGAGCUGACCGCGCAAUCGCGCGGAAACGGAAAAUACAUGCUCAUCGUUUAUUCAAUUGAGCUGAAAUGUGAGUUAGUCAACAGGCUGACGUAAACUUGCGUAAAAUUUUUAGGCCGAACAACUAUUAUGAAAUCCACUUUUGAAAGUCUGACAUCACCCCGACAUCACCAUUUUUCAUUUAGGCGGCCAGUACAGGAUCAGCUGAUGUUUCUUAGAAAAAUACAAAUUUAGGAAACUAUAGUUAGAAUUAGUCCAUGAACUAUAUCAUUAGAAAAGAGACUCGAAAACGCUGACCUUGAUACUUAGCUUGCAAUCUUUUGAGCUUGUUUGGGUCUUUAAUUGAUUAGGAGAAGCCAAUUCAAAAUUAUUGAGAAGAAAAUUGAGUCCAAGUAAGAAUCAUAGACUCACUGUCAAUCAAAAUAAUAGCCAUCGGCCGGUGGUUCUCAUGAGACAUUGUCCCUAGUUGAAGAGCGUAGGAGAUCCCUAAUCUUCAUAAGAUAAAUGGAUGACUUAGUCAUAUUGAAACCUAACUAUUAAUGAACUAUCAUGCCUCUAGCUUAAAUGUGCAUAAGGGACGUUGCAAGAAAAAUGAAUGUAAGGUCAUAUAAAAUGAUUGUUUUUAUAUCAAGGAUCAAACUCCGUUCUCAUUGGUGAAUUUGAUUGCUGAAAUAAUUUUCUUUGAAAAUACAUGAUGAUUUCAUCGGUGAAAAUCAUGUUUUAACAUGAUCGUGAGGAAUGUGUGGGCUUGAGAAGUAAGUGGGCCACACGAAUUGGACUUAAGAAAUUGAAUGAGAGAUUAUGGGUUUGGACUUGGCUUGAAGCGGGCCAAGGUUCAGAAUUAUUAGAUUUGUAGAUUUAGUUUAGUGGGCCGGGAUUGUUAUAGAUUAAGCCUAUUGGGCCAAGAAUGAAUAUUUAGGCCCGAAUGAUUUUAUUUUAUAGAUUAUAGUUAUGAUGACUUAAUUAUUGUUUACAAUGCUAAUAUAAAUUUCUAACUUUAGCAUUUUGUGAUGAAUUCUUUAUAGACUAACGUUGACUAGUCGAUUUGUUAUAUAUAUGUUAUGACUUUGUAUAAUUGGGAUUAAGUAGAAACAAAAGGCAAUUAGAUGAAAAUAUUAGAAGCUAAUGAACUAACGAAUGAUAUCGAUAAAUUGUUAAUUAGCGACGAUCGACAGAUGGCGAAAAUCUUCAUGCAUGAAAGCCAUGACACUUUACUCUCUCUCGAUUCUCUCAUCAACACCCACGGUUUUUCUCAAUCCAUAGAACCGAAGAUGGCAACUCCAAGGAAGCAUAAUCAUUAGCCAAACUAAUCAUUACACUAGCCUAGGGAUUAGUUUGUAGACCUAUUUACCCCGGGAUAAGUACACUAAUGAUGCCAUAAGUUGUGUACGGCGCUCACUUUGGUGCCAAAAGUUUCCGUCGGAUCACUUAAGUGCCAAAAAAUUUGAAAAAUGCUCACUUUGGUGCCAACUCCGAUCCGGUUGGCCGGAAAUCCGACGUGGCACUUUUUUAUUAAUUUUUUAAGCUAAUGUGGCUCACCGGGGGAUAAGUACACUAAUGGUGUCAUAAGUUGUGUACGGCGCUCACUUUGGUGCCAAAAGUUUCUGCCGGAUCACUUAAGUGCCAAAUCGGCGGAAAAACGCUCACUCUGGUGCCACCGACGAAAGAUUCCGGCCACCGGCGAAAGAUUCCAGCCAAAAUGAUUUUAAAAAAAAAUCGAUAGGCCUUUAAAUGACGUCGUUUUCGGUCCUCCUUAAGAAAACGACGUCGUUUUGCCCUCCUACAUGGAUGGCUUCAUGGAAACGAUGCCGUUUAGCUCACAUAAGGAUUGAAAUUAGGGUUUCCGCCGCUCGGCCACCGUCGCUCGGCCACCGUCGCUACUCGGCCACCAUCGCUCAGCCACCAUUGUAGUUGCUCGACCAGGUGAGUGAGGAGAGACUGAGAUUGUUGCAGGAAAAAUCGAAGGCGAGGGGGGAGGAGGAGGAGGAAGAAGAUGGGUCGAAGGGCUGUUGGUGCACUGCUGCUGCUGGUGCGUUGCUGGUGUCGUUGCUGGUGUGCUGCCGUUGCUAGUGUAGGUCUUCGAGGAAGAAGAAGACACAAAGACAAGCCUUCCCUCUCUCUCAAUUUGGGGAUUAGGGUUUCAAAGUUGGGGGAAAGAUGCCAAACGGCGUCGUUUUGGUGUUUGGAUGCUGACUCAACUCUCCAACGAGCCACGUCAGCUUCAAAAAUUAAUAAAAAAAGGCCACGUCGGAUUUCCGACCAAUUUCGUCGGUGUUGGCACCAAAGUGAGUGUUUUUCAAAUUUUUUGGCACUUAAGUGAUUCGACGGAAACUUUUGGCACCAAAGUGAGCGCUGUACACAACUUAUGGCACCAUUAGUGUACUUAUCCCACUCACCAGAGAAUGCACCAUUAGUGUACUUAUCCCGCUCACCGGAGAAUACAGUCAGCAUCCUAACACCAAAACAACACCGUUUGGUGUCUCCCCCAAUUCAAAACCCUAAUAUCCGGCCGUCGCCGUCCUCGACGGUCCUUGCGCUCGGCGGCCAUGGCUUCGACCCCGACCUCGACCUCGACCCCAACCUUGACAAUGGCCACUCAAUGGCAGCGGCUCUGACCUCGACCCUGACCCCAACCCCGACCCCAACCCCGACAAUGGCCACUCAAUGGCAGCGGCUCCUACCUCGACCCCGACCCCGACCCCGACCCCGACGAUAGCCACUCGGCGGCCGUAACUCCAACCCCGACGGCGACGAUGGCCACUCGACGGCCGCGGCUUAGACCCUGACCUCGACACCGACCAUGGCCACUCGACGGCCACAGCUUCGACCCCGACCCCGACCUCGAUGAUGGCCACUCGGCGGUCGCAGCUUCGACCCCGACCCCGACCCCAACCCCGACGACGCCACUCGAAAGCCAAGUUGAAACCCUAAUUUCAUCCCCAAUGAGUUAAACGGCGUCGUUUUUGUGAGGCCUUCCAUGUUGGACGGCAAAACGACGUCGUUUAAAGUCUUGUCGAUUGUAAAAAAAAAAGCCACGUAAAGUAUAUUUGGCCGGGAUCUUUCGCCGGUGGUCGGGAAUCUUUUGCCGGGUGGCACCAAAGUGAGCGUUUUCCCUCCGAUUUGGCACUUAAGUGAUCCGGCGGAAACUUUGGGCACCAAAGGUGAGCGCCGUCCACAACUGAUGGCACAGGAGUGGUACUUAUCCCUAUUUUCCCCUCUCUCUCUCUCUCUCUCUCUCUCCAUAUAAAACCGAGAAACCCUCAUCUUCAUCUUCUUCUUUCUUUUUCUCUCGGCUGAGCAGCAAAAAACCAGAAGCAAACCAGCGAUGUCUCCUUCUUGCAUGCUGAUUUUGAGUGUUGAUCUUUAAGCAUCUCUGUGUUGUUUAGUAGCUGAAGCAAGGUAAGGAAAGAUCAAAUCUAAAUUGAAAGUUAUCCAUUGUUUCAUCAAGGGAGCUUGAGGAUCUAACCAAACAGUGAUGGAUAUAGUUUGUAGUUGUUGUUUUGUGAUUGAUCUAAGCUUAGUGAGUGUUAGAUUGAAGGUAGGAGCUAUUGCAUGUCACUCUUGAGUCUUGCAUGUCUCGAAAUCCAAGUGUGAGUAUGCUUUUUUGUUGAGCGAAGUGAUGAAAUGGAUGCCGAGUGUGUUGUUUUGGUAGAAAUCAUGAUAAGUGGCUUACGGAUGCAACGACACUUCGAGCCGAGUUGUGAAAUUGAUCAUUUGUUAGAGAAAGAUAUGCUGAAGUUGCUUUGAGUUGCUGUGAGUAAGCAUUGGAGUACUGUAGAAGAUAUUUGUGGAUAGACAAGUUGUUUUGUUGAGUUAGAAGUGAGAAAAUUUGUGUAUCUAUUCUGUUCUAAGUGAAAACAGUUAUGGAGUCUUCUGCUUGUGUUUAAUUUUCUUUAUGUAUGCUAAUAGAAAUAAGAAAGAAACCAUUCUACAUGAUAGAACGUCUAUAAUAUCAAGUUAUACACGUAGCUAUAAUCAUAUGACUAUAAAAACAUAGAGACAGAAGUGUACUUAGGAAAACCAGUAAACUGUUCUUGUGAGAAACGGUUUGACCUUUACUGAUUAUGCGAAUUUUCUGUAUUCACCUAGUUAGAUUUGGACUUCGAAUCCUUAAUGAAAAUUGUAUAAAACAUCUUAAGGAAUGACGUGUCAAAAUUUGAGACUAAAUCGAUAAGAAUUGGCUAGUGAAACAAUUUUCUUUGUAAAUACGAAAUUUGGACGUCGAUACAGGGUGCUAGUAAAGAUUAUGGCAAUUGUUACUCUUAAUACAGUGAGAAUCAGACUUAAGUUUCUUCACGGGAAUUGUUAGUCUAUGUCUUAAAUAUAACAUACUAAAAUUUGGUAGUAUUUAGACAAGAAUUGAUAUACCUUUUGUAUCCGAAACCGAAACUGUACAUUUAGUUAGGAAACUGUCUAGACCCGAGAACAUAUAUUAGAGGUUGUGUCUUUUAUAUUAGGCUUUUGUGAUGCACGUAGAGUCUAAUAAACCUCAUAAUAGCAGUUAUUCAUAUAAGAGUAAGUCUCAUAUAUCGUGUGAGAUAUAAGUGCAUAUAGUAUCAUGUGUGUGCAAUGAGUGCGGUGCAUAGUGCUUGAUUAUGGGAUAAAUAUCUGUUCGCCAUGGAAUGGGAAAUGACGUAAUGGGUUUAAUCUUAUAAUUUGGACAUGCACGUGUGCUAGUUUCAUGAGAGUUAGUUAUAUACUUUGGAGUCUUUUCUUUUGCAUAAGAUAAAUGCAUUAAUCAAAGGUGUGGUGGUGUGAAACGUGUGCUUAAGAUGAAUGAACCCACCGGUACCGAGAUACCGGUGAUGCCCCUGGAAGUUUGGGAUGCCCCUGCUGCGUGGUCUUGGAUGCCUCGGUAGAGAGAUAUUGAGAUGCCUCAGAGUGAGAUGCCCUUGUUUGUGAUCAAGGAUGCCUCGGUUGUGUGAUACCGGGAUGCCUCGGAGUGAGAUGCCCCUUGCUGUGUGGUCUUGGGAGGACCUCAGUUGUAUGAUGCCGGGAUGCCUCGGAGUGAGAUGCCCAUAAUUAGAGAUAUUGUGGAAGUCCGGAUAACGUACUUUCCGGAAGUGACUCGAUCGGCUAGUUGAAUUCCGGUUAGUGAUUGAUCGAGGGUGGAUUUUAUGCACACUAAAUAUAAUUCUAUUUGGUGAGUGAGUUCAUUUAUUAUUAUUGUUGCAUUACAUCUUGAUAUGAGAUUGAGUUUGAGAAAGGUAAGCAUAUAAAUGGAUGCUCAUAAGGUGAUUAUGUACAUAUUGUGUUAUUAUCCAAUUGUUUAUGCUGGUGAUAUACUUCCUUUAGCAUCCUAAAUUGUUUGAUGAUUCACUUGUAACUUUGAUGGCUAUGGAUUGUUUAAGUUAGAGUUUUAUCAUUCUUUACUGGGCAAUGUUGUUUGCUCAUACCUUACAUUUUCAAAUUGAUAGCAUGGAUGUACCGCCAAUAGCUCGAUACAAGGUGGUAGUGCAUCUUGAUGUUUCUCUUCAUGACGUGUAUGAUCCUGACAUUGACAUGGUUUUCUCCAAAUAUGAGGCGACUUUAUGGCUGGAUGACGGUAGAGCUGAGUUAUUACCGAUGACGUUCGUUGCAUGGUUUAUCAACCAUGAAGGGGAGAUGUUCGGACCUUUACCCUUUGGAGCUGGAGGACCUGGAGCGGGGAUGGAUGGCGCCUAGACGCCUUUGAUCUUGUUGUAGCUGACUGACUUUUGUUUUUUGUUAGACGUGGGCUUGUGUGGGAAGCUCAUGGAGUAGAUAACGUCACCCAUAUCCCUGGCUUUUGUUAUGCCUUACUUUUGUUUUGUAUAUGAUGUAAAUAUAUAGGUGAAGAACAUGGAAUGAGUCCAGGUUGAUAAUUUUGUAUGUACUGAUGAUGAUAAAAUGAAAGGAAGCCUUUUAUGAUCUUGUCUAUGUGCAUUGCAGGAUAACCUUAUAAUAUAAAUUUAGGAUUUUAAAUAAUCCAUGUUAUACAUGCUAACCUUCAAUGGUAAAUACUAUGGGUUAUUUAAAGGAGAUUACUAGUUAGGAAGAUAAUAAUAAUAAUAACUAUAAUUCCGCUUGCGCUUUGUACGUGACACCCUGGGACGUCACAGCUGCUCGUUACAUCUUGUUUACAAAAACACUGUAACAAGCAGCUGUGAUGUCCUAGAGCGUCACGUACUAAGCACAAGCGGAAUUAUAAUUAUCAUUAACAUCUUACCUAACUUAUAAACUCCUUUAUAUAACCUAUAGUGUUUACCAUUGAAGGUUAGCAUGUAUAACAUGGAUUAUUUAUAUCUCAAGUUUAUAUUAUGAGGUUAUCCUGCAAUUCACUCUACCUUCAAUUCAAGUAUUGGCCAAAUCAUUCAUGCACAUAAAAAAGAACACAAGAAACUUCAUUACUUCUUUUCAUCAUCGGGGCUUACAAAAUUUAUCAACCUGGACUCUUUCCACGUUCAUCGCCUAUAUAUACAACAUAUACAUUACAAAAGUGAGGCGUAACACAAGCCAUGUAUAAAGGGGUGAGGGAAUCUACUCCAUGAGUUCCCAUACCAGCCCGCAUCUAACAAAAAACAAAAGUUAGUCAGCCUCUACACGAUCCAAGGCGUCUAGGUGCCGUCCAUCCCCGCUCCAGGUCCUCUUGCUCCGAAAGGUAAAGGUCCGACCAUUUCCCCUUCAUGGUUGAUAAACCAUGCAACGAAUGUCAUCCGUAUCAACUCAGCCCUACCGUCAUCCAUCCAUAAAGUCGCCUCAUACUUGGAGAAAAUCAUGUCAAUGUCGGGAUCAUACACAUCAUGAAGAGAAACAUCAAGACGCACUACCGCCCCGUAUCGAGCUACUGGCGGUACGUCCAUGCUAUCAAUCUAAAAAUGUAAGGUAUGAGCAAACAACCUUGCCCAGUAAAGAAUGAUAAAACUAUAACUUAAACAAUCCACAGUCAUCAAUAUUGCAAGAGAAUCAUCAAACAAUUUAGGAUGCUAAAGAAAAUAUAUCACAAGCAUAAACAAUUGGAUAUUAACACACUAUGUACAUAAUCACCUUAUGAGCAUCCAUUUCUAUGCUUACCUUUCUCAAACUCAAUCUCAUAUCAAGGUGCAAUGCAACAAUAAUAAAUGGACUCACUCGCCAAAUAGAAUUAUAUUUAGUGUGCACAUGAUCCACCCUCGAUCAAUCACUAACCGGAAUUCAACCGGCCCGAUCGAGUCACUUCUGGAAGUUACCUUAUCCGGACUUCCAUAAUAUGGGGUAUCAUGGGCAUCUCACUCCGAGGCAUCCCGGUAUCACACAACCGAGGUCCUCCCAAGACCACAUAGCAAGGGGCAUCUCACUCCGAGGCAUCUCAGUAUCACACAACUGAGGCAUCCUUGAUCACACACAAGGGCAUCUCACUCCGAGGCAUCUCAGUAUCUCUCUAACGAGGCAUCCAAGACCACGCAGCAAGGGCAUCCCAAACUUUCGGGGGCAUCACCGGUAUCUCUCUACCGAUGGGUUCAUUCAUCUUAAGCACACGUUUCACACCACCACACCUUUGAUUAAUGCAUUUAUUGCAUUUAUUGUAUGCAAAAGAAAAAGACUCUAAAGUAUCUAUCUACUCUCAUGAACCUAGCACACGUGUGUGUCCAAAUUAUAAGAUAAAACCCAUUACGUCAUGUCCCAUUCCAUGGCGAACAGAUAUUUAUCCCAUAAUCAAGCACUAUGCACCGCACUCAUUGCACACACAUGAUUCUAUAUGCACUUAUAUCUCAAAUGAUAUAUGAGACUUACUCUUAUAUGAAUAACUUCUAUUAUGAGGUUUAUUAGGCUCUAUGUACAUCACGAAGACCUAAUAUAAAAGACACAACAUCUAGUAUAUGUUCUCAGGUCCAGACAGUUUACUAACUAAAUGUACAGUUUCGGUUUCAGAUACAAAAGGUAUAUCAAUUCUUGUCGAAAUAUUACCAAAUUUUAGUAUGUUAUAUUUAAGAUAUAGAAUAACAAUUCCCAUGAAGAAACUUAAGUCUAAUUCUCACUGUAUUAAGAGUAACAAUUGCCAUAAUCUUUACUAGUACCCUGUACCGACGUCCAGAUUCUUUAUCUACAAAGAAAAUUGUUUCACUAGCCAAAUAUUAUCGAUUUAAUCUCAAAUUUUGACACGUCAUUCCUUAAGAUGUUCUCUACAAUUUUAAUUAAGGAUUAGAAGUCCAAAUCUAACUAGGUAAAUAUAGAAAAUUCGUAUAUUCAGUUAAGGUCAUACUGUUUCUCACAAAACAGUUUACUGGUUUUACUAAGUUCACUUCUAUCUCUACAUUUUCUAUAGUCAUAUGGUUAUAGCUACGUGUAUGACUCAAUCUUAUAGAUGUUCUAUCAUGUAGAAUAGUUUCUUUCUUAUUUCUAUUAACAUACAUAAAGAAAAUUAAACACAAACAGAAGACUCCAUAACUGUUUUCACUUAGAACAGAAUAGAUACACAAAUUUUCUCACUUCUAACUCAACGAAACAACUUGUCUAUCCACAAAUCUCUUCUAAAAUACUCCAAUGCGUACUCACAGCAACUCAAAGCAACUUUAGCAUAUCUUUCUCUAACAAAUGAUCGAUUCCACAGCUUGGCUCGAAGUGUCGUUGCAUCCGUAAGCCACGUAUCACGACUUCUACCAAAACAACACACUCGGCAUCCAUUUCAUCACUUCGCUUAACAAAACAUCAUACUCACAAGGAUUUCGAAACAUGCAGUCCUCAAAAACAACAUGCAAUGGCUUCUAACUCUAAUCUAACACUUACUCAGCUUAGAUUAACCACAAAACAACAACUACAAACUAAAUCUUUCAUCGUUUGGAUUGAUCCGCAAGCUUUCUUGACAAAACAAUGGAUAACUUUCAAUUUAGAGUUAUAUCUUUCCUUACCUUGUUCAGCUGUUAGACAACACAAAGAUGCUUCAAGAUCAACACCAAAAUCUCGCAUGCAAGAAGAAGAAAUCACUGGUUUGCUUCUGUUUUGUUUCUGGUUCUACCGCUCAGCUGAGAGAAAAGAAAGAAGAAGAUGAAGAUGGGUUGCUGGGUUUUAUAUGGAGAGAGAGAGAGAGGUACAAAACUUAAGGGGGAAAAUAGGUCUACAAACUAAUCCCUAGGCUAGAGUAAUGAUGAAAUUUGCUAAUGAUUUUUUUCCUUGAAGUUUACAUGUCUCGGUUCGUGGGUAUCAAAACCGUGGGUGAAGAAAAACAAAGAGAGAAGAGAGGUGUCGAGAAUCGAGAGAGAGAAAAGUGUCAUGGCUUUCAUGCAUGAAGAUUUUCGCCAUCUGUCGAUCGUCGCCAAUUAACAAUUUAUUGAUAUCAUUCGUUAGUUCAUUAGCUUCUAAUAUUUUCAUCUAAUUGCCUGUUGUUUCUACUUAAUCCCAAUUAUACAUAUCGAAUGACAUAACAUAUUGACUAGUCAAUGUUAGUCUAUAAAGAAUUCAUCACAAAAUGCUAAAGUUAGAAAUUGAUAUUAGCAUUAUAAACAUUAAUCAAGUUAUCAUAACUAUAAUCUAUAAAAUAAAGUCAUUCGGGCCUAAAUAUUCAUUCCCGGCCCAACAAGCUCAAUCUAUAACAAUCUAGGCCCACUUAACCAAAUCUACAAAUCUAAUAAUUUCGAACCUUGGCCCGCUUCAAGCCAAGUCCAAGCCCAUAAUCACUCAUUUGAUUUCUUAAGUCCAAUUCGUGUGGCCCACUCACUUCUCAAGCCCACACGUUUCUCACGAUCCAUCGGGUUCACUUUCUGGCCCAAUCUAAUUAAUCUAAGUUCCUAAUGAUCUAAUUACACUAAUGAAAGUCAAUGAAAUUUGGGAUGUCACAACUCUCCCCUACUUAGAAAAUUUCGUCCUCGAAAUUGAAGUCUUACCUUAUUCACUUGAAAAGCUGAGGAUACUUUUGUAUGAUCUCUUCCUCAUUUUCCCAAGUUGCUUCCUCUGAAUCAUGGCAUCGCCACAAAAUUUUGACUAAAGGUAUAGUCUUAUUCCUCAAUACUUGCUCUCUUCGAUCCAAAAUUUGCACAUGCUCUUCUACAUAUCUAGUUCUUUCAUCUAUUUCUAGUACCUCAAAAUCUAACACAUGAGUUGGAUCCGGCUCAUAUUUCCUAAGCAUAGAUACAUGAAAAACAUCAUGAAUACUGGAUAGCUUUGGUGGUAAUGCUAUUCUAUAUGCUAACUCUCCAAUCCUUUCUAAUACUUCAAAAGGUCCUAUAAAUCUUGGGCUCAACUUUCCUUUCUUCCCAAAUCUUGACACAUUCUUCAUAGGUGAUACUUUCAAAAAUACAUGAUCUCCUACAUUGAAUUCUAAAGGUCUACGACAUUUGUCUGCAUAACUCUUUUGUCUACUCUGAGCUGUCCUGAGUUGUUCAUGUAUAGUCUUCACUGCUUCCAAUGUGAUUUGAACUAUUUCUGGUCCUGUCAACUUUUGCUCUCCAACUUCAUUCCAGCAAAUAGGGGUUCUACAAUUUCUACCAUAUAGAGUUUCAAAUGGAGCCAUACCAAUACUUUGCUGAAAACUAUUGUUAUAAGAAAAUUCCACUAAAUGUAAUUUCUCAUCCCAAUUUCCUUUGAAAUCAAUGACAUAAGCUCUUAGCAUAUCUUCCAAUGUUUGUAUAGUCUUCUUUGAUUGCCCGUCUGUCUGUGGAUGAAAGGCAGUACUAUAUUGGAGUUUAGUUCCUAAGGCAAGUUGAAGACUCUUCCAAAAAUUUGACGUAAAUCGCGGAUCUCUAUAUGAUGUUAUGGUUACAGGAACACAAUGUAGUCAUACUAUUCGUCUAACAUACAAUGUGGCAUACUUCUCUAGUGAAUAGUCUAUCCUGAUAGCUAAAAAGUGUGCUGACUUUGUUAAUCGGUCUACUAUUUCCCAGAUUGAGUCAUGACCGCUUGAAGUCCUUGGCAAUCCUUCUACAAAGUCCAUGGUUAUAUGUUCCCACUUCCAUUCUGGAAUUUCCAAUGGUUUUAGCAAUCCUGCAAGCUUUCGAUGUUCAGCUUUCACCUGUUGACAUGUCAGACAUCUUGCAACAUACUUAGCAAUAUCAGUCUUCAUUCCGUUCCACCAAAAAUAUUGACGAAGGUUCCUAUUCAUCUUUGUACUUCCUAGGUGAAUACUAUAACUACUAUGAUGAGCUUCAGUCAGAAUUUCUCUCUUCAAUUCGUCACUACUAGGCACACAAAAACGUCCAUGAAAUUUAACUAUCCCAGAAAAUUCAAAUUUGAUUGGUCAGAGGAAUGUGAGCAAAGUUUCCAAGAACUCAAGAGGAGAUUGACGACGGCACCAGUGUUAACAAUACCCAUAGGAUCUGGAGGUUUUGUGGUGUAUAGUAAUGCUUCUCAUAAAGGAUUAGGAUGUGUUCUUAUGCAACACGAGAAAGUUAUAACAUAUGCAUUGAGACAAUUGAAACCACAUGAAUUGAAUUACCCUACCCAUGACUUAGAGCUAGCUGCCAUUGUUUUUGCUUUAAAGAUUUGGAGACAUUAUCUUUAUGGAGAAAGAUUUGAAAUUUUUACGGAUCACAAGAGUUUAAAGUAACUAUUCUCUCAAAAGGAAUUGAACAUGAGGCAAAGGAGAUGGAUAGAUGAGAUGGAAAAGAUAUUUGCAUUACUGAAUUGUACUGAUGUAGAGAAGGUAUCAUUAGUAGAAUAUCAACUUCAAGGAAAUGCUGAUUAUUGGUGGAAAGCGACAAAAGGAACAGUAUUCACUGAAGGUGUAGAUGUGACUUGGACUGGAUUUGUAGGAGUCUUCUAUAGUAAGUAUUUUUCAGACUGUGCAAGGGAUAAAAAGGCAAUGUAAUUUAUGCAGUUGACCCAAAAUAACUUGACUAUAGAUCAGUAUGAGGCGAGAUUUGCUGAGCUCUCUAGAUUUUCCUCUAGAUUAAUAGAAUAUCCAGAGGAUAAGGCUAAGAGAUUCUUGAAUGGGUUAAGGUCUAAUAUAAGAGGAUGAUUGGUGCCUUUGAAUUUGAAGGAUUAUAGUGAAUUGUAUGAAAGGGCACAGCUAAUGGAAAGAGAUUUGAUGUCAAGAAACCAGACAUCGGCAUAUCAGGUAAGACCACAAUCUCGAGGAGACUCAUCAUCGGCAUAUCAGGUAAGACCACAAUCUCGAGGAGACUCAUCGAAUUUUCGUUAUAAUAAGAGAUCUCAUUAGGUUGGAAAGUGUGGAAUAAUCAACCAAUGGAACGACCACAGUAUGGUAACAAUGAGUGUCGUCGGUGUGGUAGAUCACAUGGGUUUGGACCAUGUUAUAGAACAAAUGUUUGUUUUAAUUGCGGACAGUUAGGGCAUUAUAUGAGAGAUUGUCCUCAGAAAAGAAUGCAGCAGCCACAACCACAACAGAAUUCAGGUAGACCAUUACCACCAAGAGAUAACCAACAACCCCCAGCUCAAUGAAGAAUUUAUGCGAUUACUCAGGAUGAGGCUGAAGGGUCUCAAACAGUUAUUACAGGUAUCAUUUCCUUGCCCAAUCAGAAUGCUUAUGCUUUGUUCGACACUGGAGCAACUCUCUAUUCCUUUGUAUCUGCUCAAUUUGUGCGACUGAAUAGGAUGGAACCUGAAUUGUUAGAAGUGCCUCUUAGUGUCUCUACUCCAUUAAAGGAUGUCAUUUUAUCUAAUUCAGUGUGUAGGGAUUCCACUAUCCAUAUAGGUGGACAACACUUGUUAGCUGAUUUGAUGGUGUUAGUUAUGUAUGACUUUGAUGUAAUUCUAGGAAUGGAUUGGUUGCAUAGACACCGAGCUAGUGUGGAUUGUUAUAGGAAGAUGAUUCGAUUUGACCCACCAGAUAGGCCAAGUUUUGAAUUUUAUGAUGGAAAGACAACUCCCUCUAUACCUCUUAUUAAUGCAUUAGAAGCCCACAUAUUUCUUAGAAAUGGUUGUUAAGGGUAUUUGGCAUAUGCAAGUGAACAAACCAAGAAGGAAGUACAACUUGAGGAUAUCCGUGUAGUACUAGAAUUUUCUAAUGUAUUUCUCGGGGAAUUGAUAGGAUUACCCCUAGAGCAAGAGAUUGAGUUUACUAUUGAAUUGGCACCUGGUACAAAACCCAUAUCGAAAGCUUCUUAUAGGAUGACGUUGACAGAAUUAAAGGAAUUGAAGGUACAAUUACAAGAAUUACUUGACCAAGUAUUUAUUAGACCAAGUGUUUCCCCAUGGGGUGCACCAGUGUUAUUUGUUAGAAAGAAGGAUGGAUCAUUAUGCCUUUGUAUUGAUUAUAGGCAAUUGAAUCAAGUGACAAUUAAAAAUAAGUACCCAUUACCAAGGAUUGAUGACCUAUUUGAUCAAUUACAAGGAGCGUCAGUUUUCUCAAAGAUUGACUUAAGAUCAGGAUAUCAUCAAUUACGGAUAAGGAAAGAAGAUAUUCCUAAAACAACUUUUCAAACUAGAUAUGGACACUAUGAAUUUUUGGUUAUGCCAUUUGGAUUGACGAAUGCCCCAGCAUCUUUUAUGGACCUUAUGAAUAGAGUAUUUAAGUCUUUUAUGGACCAAUGUGUGAUAGUCUUUAUAGAUGAUAUUUUGGUGUAUUCAAAGAGACAAGAUGAACAUGAAGAACAUUUAAGGAUUGUGCUCCAAACUCUUAGAGAACACAAACUGUAUGCUAAAUUUAGUAAAUGUGAAUUUUGGUUGGACCAAGUGACAUUUUUAGGACAUGUGGUGAUCGGUGAAGGAAUAUCGGUGGACCCAGUUAAAGUUGAGGCUAUGAUUGAUUGGCCUAGACCAUCGACAGUGACAGAAAUACGAAGUUUUCUAGGUUUAGCUAGAUAUUACCAAAGAUUUGUAGAAGGAUUUUCUUGAAUUGCAGGACCUUUACCCUUUGGAGCAGGAGGACCUGGACCAGGGAUGGACGGCGCCUAGACGCCUUGGAUCGUGUAGAGGCUGACUGACUUUUGUUUUUUGUUAGAUGCGAGCUGUGUGGAAACUCUGGAGUAGAUACCCUCACCCUUUAUCCCUGGCUUGUGUUACGCCUUACUUUUGUUAUGUACAUGUUGUAUAUAUAUAGGCGAUGAACAUGGAAAGAGUCUAGGUUGAUAAAUUUUGUAAGCCCUGAUGAUGAAAAGAAGUAAUGAAGUUUCUUGUGUUCUUGUUUAUGUGCAUGAAUGAUUUGGCCAAUACUUGAAUUGAAGGUAGAGUGAAUUGCAGGAUAACCUCAUAAUAUAAACUUGAGAUUUUAAAUAAUCCAUGUUAUACAUGCUAACCUUCAAUGGUAAACAUUAUAGGUUAUCUAAAGGAGUUUAUAAGUUAGGUAAGAUGUUAAUGAUAAUUAUAAUUCCGCUUGCGCUUAGUACGUGACGAUUUGGGACGUCACAACUGCUCGUUACAGUGUUUUUGGUAUCAAAGCAUAAGAUUUAUCUGGAGUGAUAAGGUGCGGUAGUGACUAUGCGUUAGGAUAAUGAUAUUUUCUUUGUAAGGAACAAGUAACUUAUGUUACUCAUAGGAUAUCAAUAACAAUUGUUGCAGUUGUUACUUAUUUGUUUUGUAAGGAGACUCGGUAGCCUAAUGAGUAGUGACCGAUGUGCAGAAACCAGGAAUUGUCAGGAUGAGUAGAAAUGGACGAGGAAUGACCAUGGAUCCCUGUGUGGAAGGAAUCUUGGAAGCACUUGCUAAUGUAGGAACCUUAUUGGAAAGGCAAGCCCAACAACAGGUAGGAGGUGACCGUAGAAUGCAAAGCUUAGUAGAACAAUUUCUGAAACUAAAACCCUCUAGAUUUGCUAGAUUAGGAGAUCCCGUAGAGGUAGAAUUAUGGAUAGAUGAAGAUGGAUAGUGUUGCUGUUAGUCCUUUGGAUAGUGAAGAUCAGAAAUUUCAAUCAAAUUGAUGAUUGAAUUAUUUUUUAUUUUUACUUUUUUGGCAAAAUGUAAGAAUAUAUUGAGGAAAUGUCAAAUGUACAAAAGAUCUCGUCACCAGAAACUUACACUCCAGAUACAGGAACAAAGGAAGUGGAAGGGUGACAAGAUGUAAAAGUCGCAAAGCGCGGCACACACACUACAACACCAAAACCAAAAGAAGCACGGCAUGGACAACUAGCUACCAAACACGCCACAGGCGAGGAAGAGGUCAUCGUUGAAUUGAACUACCUAUGAGUCCCCAGUGAAAAUAAUCAGUAUCUAGGCCCCAACUUCUCUGCAACCUUCUAUUUCUGAAAUUAUCUUCGAUGUUCUUGAAGGUAAUAGCCUUGUCUCGGACCACUUUGAAGAGGUGGUUCUUCAUGGCCAGAAUUGUCAGGGGCUGGUCUCUAAAGAUGAUACUAUUCCUGUUUUUCCAAAUGAUAUGACAAAGUGCGCCAAAGGAAAAAGGGGCAAAUCUUUACCCACUAAAUAGGUAGCGGCUCAGCAGAGGUUCUCCCUCCAAGUUCUGUUGCGCUAAGGCAAAUUGCAUCUAGAAACCCAAAAGAAAGCAAUGCCAGUUAUGACACGGCAAUAAAAAAAUAGGCGAUCAACAAAGUCGGGCAUACUCUUGCAAAAUGCACAGGCAGCUCUUUCAAUUCUACCAUAAGACAGAAGGAGAGCCUAGGUUAGAAGUUUGCGCUUGGCAAUGAGCCAAAGAUUAAGCUGAUAGCAAGGCACUAUGACGUUGUCCCACACGAAGGAGUACCAAUGGACUCUCGUUCUCUUCUUCAUGAUAGAGUUCCACACCAUUGCUACCAUGAACCGACCCGAAGAGCUUUCUCGCUAGCAACAACGAUCCAGGUCACUCGACAGGAUCGGGAGAGGAUAACCCCAUGAUUCAAGCACUAUCCUAAGAGCUUAGCCAACAUCUGAGAAAAGGUCAGCAACACAGGCCUGCCAAGAGAACCCUGAGCUGUAGAUAAGUGAAUCCGAGAAAAGCAGGUUUAGGGGCCCCUUAGGGUGCCAAUUAUCAAACCGAAUAGAGAUUGUUUGGCCAUCGCCAUUUUUCCAGUAGAAAGCCAUCCAGAAAUCACUCAUUAGGUUCAACAAGCUCUUCCAAGCCUAAGAGCCAAAGGUUGGCUUCCUAACAACCCAAAAGUUCUUGUUCUUUAAGAAAGUGGAAUGGACCCACCUACACCACAACGCUUCCUUGUUAGAGAACAAGAACCAGGUAUGCUUCAAUAUGACGGCUUUAUUGCAAUCUCGAAGCCUCCUGAUACCUUGCCCUCCUUCAUCCUUUGGAAGGCAAACUUCAUCUCAAGCUACCUUAGCACCACCCACCCCUGCCCAGGUCCGGACCUUUCCAUAGGAAUUGUCUAAGGAUUUUCUCUAUCUGGUCCACUACAACUAUAUAUAAAACAAAUACACUAGCCUAAUAGGCUUGUAUAGUGUGAAGAAUUAACCUUAUAAGCUAAAGCCGUCCAGCAAGAGAGAGGAAUCUGUGAGUCCAAAACUGAACCCUAGCAGCGAUACGGUUGACAAGGGCACAAGAGAGAGGAAUUGGUGAGUCCAAGAUUGAUGAUUGAAUUAUUUAUAUAGUAAUUUUGGAAAAUUGACAUGCUAUCUUACUAAAGCAAAAGUGAGUGCAUAAUAAUUAUGCAAAAGUGAGUGCAAAAAUUAACAUGAAGUAGUCCACUUUGGGUGCUUUUGCCGCUGUUUUGGCUUUGCCCUCGUUCUUUUACCUUGGCACCCUUCCACUCGCUCUGACUUUUGUGUUCAUGAGUAUAAGUUUUUGGUGCCGAAUUCUUGCUGUAUAGCUUUAUAUAACUCUUUGGUUUAAAGUCAAUAUAAUCUUACCUUUUACCCCCCAAAAAAAAAGUUGAUAAUACAAUCUGUGAAAUUCAAGAUAGAACAAGACAUCAUAAUUUUGACAGGAAUUUUCGAUCUUUGGUAGCUGUAGAUUACAUUGAAUACUAAACUUAAGUAAUAAGAUUCAAUUGCAUAAAUUAAGUACAAGAUUUAAUUGCAUAAUUCGCGUAAGUUGUUGGACCAAUAUUGAAAUUAUUAAAACGAAGAAUCUAAUUUUACCUAAUUCGAUGAAAUGGAUGUGCGAGAAUCAACAUGACCAGCACGUUUACUCCAUUUCGUAGCCAAAAGAUAUAUAUAUAUAUAUAUAUAUAUAUAUUUCCUUUAUUAUAAUGUGGACGGCAUAUAUUUCGGCAUAUAUUUCUUUUUCUUUAUUGUUUUGGGUUGGUUUCUCGUGAAGUGAAGAGGAUAAGAGUGUAUAUUUAUAUCCUGUUUUCCACGCAAUAAUCGCAGAAGUGCAAGGUGAGCAAUAGCUGAAAGCUUGGCCAAUGGAGUACUGCCCUACUUCGCCCUUUUGGCUCGGCCUCCUCCUCCCGGCGCUUCUAUUUUUCCUUCUCAACCGUUGGAAGCGCACCAAGCUUCCCCCUCAGCCCCCAGCAUGGCCCAUGAUCGGCAACAUCCUCGACCUCGGGAUCAUGCCGUACCAGAACCUCCACAGCUUCCGAGCCGAGCACGGGCCUGUCACGUGGUUGAAGCUCGGUUCUGUGAACACCAUGGUGAUCCAAUCAGCUCAGGCCGCCGCAGAGUUCUUCAAGGGCCAUGACAUGGCAUUCGUGGUUGACGGCUCUCGGCUAUGACCAAGGUUCGCUCACCGUGGGUCGUUACGGCUGCUACUGGCACGUUCUCCGGCAUCUCUGCUCUGCAGAGCUCCUCGUGACCAAGCGCAUCAACGAGACGGCCCAUCUCAGGCAGAAGUGCGUCGACAGCAUGAUCGGUUAUUUAGAGAAAGAAAUGGCAGCUAAACAAGUAACAACAGGUUAUUUCUCAUGUGCUUGGUGUUCCUUUUGACUUUUUUUUUUUGAAGAGAGAGUAGGGAGGGGGACGUCUCUUUAGCUCCUUAUAAAAUAUCAAAGCAGAAUCAAGAUCAUAUACACUACAAGAUAUUUCCACUAGUGUCACAACCACUUCUCGAUUAUUAAUAUAGGUAAAAUCAAUGAUUAAGACAUGUUAAGACUUCUACAAAAGUGCGGCUAAGAGGAAUGAUCCCUUGCGUCAAAAUAAUGCAUUUCAGUGAAGAAUACAACUUGCAACUAGAUUUAACUCAAAAAAAUAAAAUAAUGGGACCUGUUUUUUAGGGAUAAAGGAACGACGGUUUUUGAACUUUUGUAAAGUGUUCAAUCAGGUUCCAGAAUCUUUUUUGUGUGUGAAUUUGGUCCUCAAAAUUAUACAUCAGCUGACCCUCCUUAUAGAUGUGUAGAUGGAAUGAUAAUGAGGAAUGUCGCCCCAGCACUAUAAGUUAGCACUGACUGUACCAACUUAUUUGGUGACAUUUAUUUAUUUUUAAACAUAGUGCUGAUAUGGACAAGGAAAAAAAAAUCUAACUAAUAAUUACGCACAAGGGAAUAGAGGGCUGGCUGGCCAGUGUGGGCGGCAGCCUCGCGGCACGACAUGGGUCGUUGAGUGCAUGCCGUCCGCGACUCCCACCUCCCAUCCAAGCACGUCCCCCCUACUUUAGUAACGAUACUUCUUUUUAUCGUUUUUUUUUUCAAAUUUCCUUACUUUUCAUUUUUUAAUAAUUAUUUUUUAAAAUUUCCAUAUUUAUGAAUUCUGUGUUAUUCCAUUUUAAAAAUUUUAAAUGCCACACAGAAUAUCAUAUUUGCAUUCUGUAAGACUUAAAAGUGUCACGUCAUUACUUCUAUUUCCUUUUUUAAUGAAAUGACCAUGUCGGAUAUGAAAGUAUAUGAUUUAAGGAUGUAAUUGUACAAAAAAAAAUUUAGGGACCUAAUUAAACCUUUUGUAAAGGUUUAGGGACUGCUCAUACUUUUGUCCCUUGGUUUUGUGUACUGUAAUUGACAAAGUCAACAAAUUAACUAGUGUAAAUAACUCAACUUACCCAAGAGCUACUGUGAUUAAAUAUGUUAUUUAGUCCAACUCACGUUCAUUCUUUUCGAGUUCGAGUCUAACUAGAGUGACUCUACCGUUAAAUUACUGCAAGCUCGUGCAGCUUCAUCAUUGAAUUGAGCCAAACUCGAGCGUGAUCAAGAAGUUGGGUUUCAUAUAUCUUCCGUUGCAUUUAUCAAGUGCAUCUCUAUAAAAUUAAAAAGCAUGCAUAAGUAAACUUUCCACUCAAUUUUAUUUGUAGAAGUCAACUUGAAGUUUUCAGAGUUUAGAUGCUGUAGGAAAUGGAUUCCUAAAAAUCGAACCGAUACUCGAAUGAUCAAAUAGCAAAAAAUGAAUAUGGAAACGAGUCCAGGAAACAUGUAACACUGAUCAAAGGUAUAUUACGGAAAUAGACAUACCUUACUUGCCACAUAUUAAGUACCAUUGCAGUCUCAGAUGAAUCAGUUAAAGCCCUAGAGUUCCAUUCUUUAAGAGGGAGUAUACUAUUUUAAGAGGAAGAAAAAUGGAAAAGCGUAUUUUCUCUCUGAAACGCUAUAGGUAAUGUUAUCCCAUUUUAUUUUUUAUAUUAUAUAUUGCAAUUAUUUUCAGUUAGAAAAUAACUACCCUUUCCUCUUAUGAGCCAUUCACUUAUGGGUCUAGUUUUAGCCCAACAUGAGCAAAUGGACUUAACUUGGCCAAUCAAAUAAAAAACCAUAAUCUCUCACUUGCACAUGGUGGGUCAAACAUAACAUUUUCUUCAUCUUUCUGUAACAUUCAUAUCAGUAAAUAAUCCGUGCAACCAGUAUAUUUUAAGAGCUCGUUGCCAUACAUCUGUUGAUAAUAUAUAAUAGCUCAUAAUAGGUAUCACAUUUUUUGAGUAAAUAUAGUAUACAACAUCAUAAAUCAAUUAAUCACAUUUAUAUCUCUCUUGAUUUCUUUUUAAUAAUGAUAAAUUGUAUUCACAAUUAUGAUUAUCUCAAAACAAUCAUAAUUUGUCAACUAGUGAAUAUAAAAUUAGAAUGUAAUUUUCCAAACUUGAUAUUCUUCUUUCCUUGAAACUCUCAAUUUUAAUUCAACUUGCUUUUCUAGAAAUAUCCCAUUAGAUUGAAUCAAUUCAUGAUAAUUGAAAACAUUCUAAAAUAACAAACACUAAAUAGAAAUAUUGAGAAUAAGAAAGAAUCAUGAGGGUACUUAAUUGAGGAACUCUUUUCCUUAAGAGUCUCACAUGGCAUAAAAGUUAAGAUAAAAACUUUUACUACUCUUGUUGAUCAUCUCAUGCAUACGUAGUAUGAAAUAUGUAUUAUAGUAUUAACUCCUUUCCACAGAGUAUAUAUUUAUACUUUCAAUAUCGUACAAAUGAUAGUUCAAACAAACCUAAUGUCUAAUUUGAGUUCACGUAUCUAUUCUUUCACAAAAUUCAUUAGAACUCACAUUUGGCAUUAAAGACAGAUAUAGUAAAAUAUGUGGAUUAUUUUACUUUCGGACAUAGUAAAUAUUAUGUCAUUAUCUUAAUACUCAGUUAAGGUGACAUUUAUAUUUUAAGUUUGAACUCUCGAUUAUCACAUAGAUAAUAAGCUUAAAAAAUUGUUUCAUUUCUAUUUAUCACAUAGUAAAUAAAUGUGAUUACUUGUGUGAGUGGGCUACUCUCUUAUCUGACCAACAUACUUUCUCAAUUUUAUAUGAUGCACUAAGCAUUAAGAUGCAUAAACAUCAAAUAAGACUCAUAAGCAUUAAUAAUAAAAAUACAAAUUCAUUAAAUGUGAACAUUUAAGGGAUAUUACAAUAUUCAAUACAUCAGCAUCUAUGUAGUCCUAGAAAUUUUACAUAGCCACAGAACACAUCCCUAGGUACUAGCUUCAUCAUAAGAUCUACUAUCACUCUAUAGGUAGAUAUGUACUGUAAGUUUACAUCUUUUUGUGCAACUAUAUCUUUUACAAAAUUAUAUUUGGUAUAUACAUGUUUGAUUCUGUCAUGAUAUUUUGGUGUAUGCUAUUGUUGUUUGGUUAUCACAGUUAAAUAAUGAGUUUGCAACAUUCUUAAUAACACCUAAAUGAUCCAAAAAUUUCUUAAAUCAAACCCUUUCUUGUAUUGAUAUUAAUAAUGCCACGAACUCAACCUCCAUCGUGGACAAUAUUAUAUAUGUUUGUUUCUUACUACUCCAAAAUAUGAUACCAUCAUUUAAUAAGAAAACAAAUCUAGAGGUAAAUUUCAUUUCAUUUAAAUCUCCUCCUUAGUUAGUAUCUGAAUAGCUUUCAAGUCGCAAAUUCUUUCCUUAAUAACUCAACGUAUAAUUAACAUAUCCUUUCAGAUACCUCAGUAUCCUUUUGACGGCUUUCCAAUGUGCUUGACUUGAAUUGGAUAUCUAUUUAUCAUUCAAAUUACAAAACAUAUGUUAGGUCUUGUGCACAUCAUAGAGUACAUUAAAUUUCCAGCAACACUACCAUAAGGAAUAUGUUGCAUUUGUUCAUUCUCUCGUUGAGCCUUUGGAUAUAUUCUAUAGCUUAAUCAUUCACCUUUUACAAUGGGAAUAUGUAUGAGUUUACAAAAUUGCAUACGAAAUCGUUCAAGAACCUUAUUAUGUAUUUUUCUUGUGAAAGAGACAAUGAUAUUCUCGAACAAUCUCUUGAAAUUUUAACUUCGAGAAUAUAUGUAGCCUCACCCAUGUCUUUCAUAUCAAAGUUGGAAGAUAACCAACUCUUGACAUUAUUAACAAACUCCAUAUUGCUUCCGGCAAUCGGUAUAUCAUCAACAUAUAAUGAUAUAAUCACAAAUUGAUCUUUGGAUAUUUUGAUAUAUACACAAUGAUCCACAUCAAUCAUUGUAAAAUCAUAUGUCAUUAUGGUAUUAUGAAAACAUAUAUAUUAAUGUCUCGACGACCGCUUAAGGACAUAUAUAGAUCCCAAAAGUCAACAAAUCUUUUGUUUUUGGCAUUUCAAAAUGAAACUAACAGGUUGUUUCAUAUAUAUUUUUUCUUCUACUUCUUCAUUGAGAAAAGCAGUAUUUAUAUCCAUUUGAUGUAACUUAAGAUUCAUACUAACUACUAUUGCCAGAAUAAUGCAAAUCGAAGUAAAUCUAAUUACAAGAGAAAAUGUUUCGUUAUAAUCAAUUCAUUUCUAUUGGUUAUACUCAUUUGGCACAAAAUGAGCCUUAUAUCUUUCUAUUAAACCAUCGGUUUUAUGCUUUUUAUUUUUUUAUUUUAUUUUUAUAAUCCACUUGUUUCCAAUGGCUUUGUGUCCUUUUGGAAGGUUAAUCAAUUCCUAAAUACGGUUUAACUUCUUUGACUCCAUUUCCUUUUUCAUUGUAUGCAUCCAUUUUUUCUUACUAGGGAAAUUUAAAGCCUUAUUUACAUUUAUUGACUCAUAUUCAUCUUAUGGAGCAACCAUAAAAACGUCGACGUGGAAUAUUUUUGUGACUUAUUUUCCGUACGAGAGAUAGUACACUUUGCACAUUAUUCUCUAUUAUGCUCAUACUCAAAUUAGAUAAUGACGAUAUCGUCUCAUCAUAUAACUAUAAUUGAGAGUAAGUCAAAUUUAAUUCCUCACUUCUCAUGUUACUCCUACUUUGACAAACUCUACCAAGUCCAUUAUCUUGAUUCAAGGUUUCAAAUAGUGAGUAAUCCUCACAUAUUUGCUUUUCUUAAGAAAUUCAUUCUUUAAAAAUGUGACAUCCCGUGAUUUAAAUUCAGUUAUAUUCUCACUUUUCUGCUCACUUAUAAAUACAUACCCUUUCGAAUGUUCUGAGUAUUUUAUAAAAAUACUCUUCUUGCCUCUAAGACCCAAUUUCUCAUACUUGUGAGAAGGCUCAUGAGUAUAGGCAGUACAAUCCUACGGUUUAAGAAAACUUAAGUUCGGUUUUCUACCUGUCUAUAACUUAUAUGAAGUGAAAGUAACUGGUUUGAAAAACACACGGUUAAGUAUAUAGACAGCAGUUUAUAAAGCAUCACCCCAAAAGGUGAGAGGUAAGUUAGCAUGCGUUAUCAUAGAUACAACAAUUCUCAGUAGAGUUCUAUUUCUUCUUUUCAUAACACUAUUUUGUUGAGGAGUAUAGGGAAUAGAAAAUUGUAUUUCUAUUCAUUUUUCGUCACAUAAAUUUAUGAAUUCAUCAGAAAAAUAUUUUCGACCUUGAUCGAAUCUCAAUACUUUUAUUUUCUUAUUAUAUUGAUUUUCUACCAAGCUCAUAAACUUUUUAAAACAACUAAAUACUUCAGAUUUAUGAGAAAUCAAAUGACAUAUAUGAAUCGAGUAUAAUUAUCUAUAAAUGUGAUAAAAUAAAUAGCAUCAUGCCUUCCUCUCACAUUUAUUAGACCACAAAAAUUAAAAUGGAUUAAUUGCAAAGGAAAUUCAGCUUUCACAUUUUCCAAAUUGUUUCGUUGUCGUUUUCCCUACUAGGCAAUGCUUAGAUAUAGGCAAAUAAACUUUUCUAAUGUUGCCUAACAAGCCUUCUUUGACUAGCCUAUUCAUAUGUUGUUGGUCAAUAUGACUAAGUUUAGCAUGCCACAUAUUCACAUCAUUAUCAUAUGAAUUAAAAGACGCGAAGAGGGAAUAAUAAACAUUAAUAUUACUAUAGAUUGCAUUGAAUACAAUAAAACCAGCUAAAAAAUAACUACAACCAUAAUAGUUUGUAUUCAAAUACAAAUCCACACCAUUAUUAUGGAAGUUUAAAUUAAAAGAAAUUUUUACCAAUACUAAAACAGACACUAAAUUCUAAUAAAUCUCCAUAACAUAUAAUACAUCAUGUAGAAAUACGGUGCGUUCACUACACAUGUUUAAUUGGCAAGUGCCAAUCUCUUUUACUUUAGCAUUAAAGUUGUUUCCUACAUAGAUCCAUUUAGUUCCAGUUGGUACUCGUCGGAAUUCUACGAAGAAUUCUCUAUCAUUUGCUACAUGGUUCGUUGCUCCUGAAUCUAUAGUUCACAAAGGAUUAUAUUCAGUUAAGAAUACAAAAUUUGAUGCAUAAGCAAAGUUCUUAAGAAUACAAUGGGUGUUUUUCUUCUUUGGCUAGUGAUAGUUGCAAGCAUAGUGACUAUUCUUGUCACAACUAUAACACUUCACCAUUGACAACUUAUUCAUUCGAGAACAUUUUCUUCUUUCAUGUUGGUCAACUUUUGGUUUCUUUCUCGAAGAACUUGCUUCCUUACCUUUCCACAUUUUGAACGAAUCAAGACGUUUGUGCUUGGAGCUCGAAAUCCCUUGUGAGCUAGGACCAUCAUAAUAAAUAUCAGUUUACAAUUUAGUUGCCAGGAGGCAGUCCUCUUCUAACUCAAGAUGGCGCACUACAUCCUCAAAGUUUUUAAUAUUCUCGUUGUGUGUCAAAUGCACCUUCAUAUGCUCACAACUUGGAGGCAAGGAACGAAUCACUACUUGCACUUGUUGCUUGUCAGUCAGGACAUGGCCAACAUCUUUAAGCUCAUUAAUCAUAUUUAACAUCUUUCUCGCGUAUUGUUUUAUGAUCUGACUAUGAGGCUUAUUAUAAGAGUCAAAUCUCAUAAUGAGCUGCCUUGGUUUUGUCAUUGAUGUAUGACCAAAUCUUGUUGCUAAUACUUCCUACAUUUCUUUGGCAUUCUCAAAACGCAUGAACUCUCACAUGACAUCAUUUUCCAUGCUACUCAGCAAUGUAAUUCGAGUAAAGGAGUUCUUUCUUUACCAUGUAGCAAAUGCAUCAUUAUCUAUUUUAUGUUGUGUAGUGUUCACAUCUUCAGGUUUUUCCAUAAUCAGGUUAAGAGCUUCUAAUGCCUUUUGCUCUUCAAGCACAUAUUGGAUUUUCAGAUGCCAUAAUUCAUAAUUAUUGUCGUUCAGCUUCUCACCUUUGUUCAAUUCAGCGUCUAUGCUCUUAGUUGUCGAAGUCAUUGGAUCUAAACAUAUCAGACACAUAUGCAUGAAUUAUUAACGCCUCUCAUUUAUGCAUUCAUUUUGCAUAAAGUCAUCAUAUUAAUGAAUAAUUUUAAAUAAGGUUUUAGAAUCAAAAUGUCACUAUGUUUCCAAUCAUCAUCUAAAAAUUCUAAUUCAAAAUUAUCAUUAAUGUAGUCUUCUAUGCAAAAUAAGUUCUUUGAAGCUACAAAAUUUUCUAUGAACUACCCACAACGCUUAAUGAUAACAGAAGCAAUUGACAUUGAAUAUCCAUUAAUGAUAGAAUAAAAAUAAUUUCAUAUAAUAUAACAAAUACAUCAAUUGCUACAACGACAUCAAUAUGGUAGAAAUUAUCUAUAUAAGAUAUUCAUAAAACAUACUAAAUAAAUGCUACUAGAAACAACUAAGGCUAAGUCAACCUAUGAACAGGGAAAGAUUCUUUUAAUUUCUUGGAAAUUUCCUUUGUAAAUUCUCUAGGCACAUUUGGCAACCACAGAAAAAUAGACGGAAAUCCUUUAGGAUUUCUCCUUCACACUUUCAUCACCCCAUGGAUUGAACUCAUUCAUUGGGUCAAAGUCUUUGUGGCUUCAAUCCUAUAAUAUUCCUUCAAAAAAGCCACUAUAAAUUUCUUAUAAUCAAGAAUCAAAUUGACAUCCCAUAGGCGAUUCAACAUUCCUUGCCAUUCAUAUAGAAGAAUGCUAAUGAAGAAUCGCACCAUCUCAAAAGCUGACAUGGGGUAACCCUUCCAAAUGACUUCUUGUAUCUUUUUAUUGACCUUGUAAACAUGAUCAAAUAAAUUACCAUUUUCGCAUUGAUAAUUAGCCAACUCAGUUAUCAUCCUUGCAAGCCUUGUCCUUUGUCUUUCCGAAUGUGCGCGAAUAGGUGUACGUAUACGAAGGGGAGACGUUGUUCUUAUAACAAAUGCAAAACGAAAAAGGAUUACUUAUAAUCCAUAGGGACAUACUUGAAAAAGAAACGAUCAAUGGUCAAAGAGUCAACUGUCAAUGUGGUCAACAAAGUAAAUGGUCAACGGAGAUUAGGUCAGGUCAAACAGGUCCAACAUGGGUCAGGUCAAACUGAUUGACCCGACUAGGUGAUGUCAUAGUGACAUCACCAACAAGUGCCACAUGUGUGCAUGGGCAACCUCGGCUGACGUCACCAUGACGUCAGCUAGCGAGUGUGGCGCCGCAAGCACCCUAAAAAUUGUUGUUGCAUGCGCCAACGAGGCCUUUUCUCCUAGCUGUGCGUGGCAACAUGUCUGACAACCCACAGUGGCGAGCCACUACUUAUUUUUAUCAUCUCAAUGAAAACUACAACCCCGCACUAUCAAAAAUGAGUUUUGAUUCACCAAAAAUCAAAAAGGGAGGCGAACAAUACGAGCAUGUUAGGAUUUCCAUCCUUGAGCAUCAGACGGCAACCUUUUUCAAAAUUUCAUCCAAAAACAAUUUAUCAACAUCAACAUUGAUUGGGAAACAUGAACAACAUUACUUUGAUACCAAUGUAGGAAACAAAUUCCUAAAAAUUGAACCGAUACUCGAACGAUUAAAAACCCUAAAACGAAUGUGGAAAUGAGUCUGGGAAACAUGUGUGACAUCCUGAAAUUCGAUCCCGUUUCGAUAAAAUGAAAUGCGCAUAUUGUCAGCGUGCCUAUCCUCAUUUUUCUUUGAGCUGAUCACUCACGGGUUAACUAAUCUAUUGGGUGAAGCCGUUAAGGGAUAUAUCCGCGGUAAAAUCCCUAAAAGCUACCUAAUUUGUUAGAUUGGACUAAAAUCACGUUCGAUCGAUUUUAAUCAUGAAAUUUAAUUCGGUUUUGGGAAUCGAAUAUCCGAGCGUGUCACAAUUCAUUUUUAGGACCUCGUCUCAUUGUCCGUCAAAUUAUCGACGAGUCCGAAAUUUCAUGAAAGAAAUUAUUGGAGGAAAAAAUCGAAAACUGGAAGAAAUUAGAAAGGGAAAUGGAAAGAGAAAAGAAAAUAUAGAAUAGUAUUAUUCUUUUUCUUUUUCUCUCUCUCUCCCUUUUCUCUCUUUCUUUUCUCUCUCUUCUCUCUCCUCUCCCCUCCCCCUCGUACGAAAACCCUCCCCACCGACCGCCCCUUGCUGUCUUCCACUUUGCUUUCUUUUAUUUUAUUUUAUUUUUUUGACCAAUCAAAUCUCUCUCUCAUCUCUCAUCCCUCUCUCUCUCGUCACUCUUUCUUCUUCCUUCUUCUCCGUGCAAACGAACGGAACCAGAAGCUGAAGAAGAUCGAAAGCAGCAGCAGCCACCAUUGUCGCUUGUCCCGCCGCCGCACCGCACGCCCGCGCACACCGCACCUCCACCGAUCGCCGCCCGUGCGCCGCCUGUGCUUGCCGUCCCUGCCGCACGAUCCAACCUCUGUUCGGCCUCUGUUCAACCGCCGAGAGCGGCUGAGCAGGCCGCUGGAGCCACCGUCCGGCCUCACCGGAGCUCCGCCCGCUCUCCUGACCUCUUGCCGCCCCCAACCCUCUCUGUUUCUCUCUGUUUUGCAGCUGAACCAGCAAACCCACAAGUGGGUUUCCAGCCGGUUCGUGGUUGGUUUUGGGCCGUUUCCGGGCCUCGAACCCGAGCUGUGCUUUGGGAAGAAUCGUUCCUCGCGUCGCCCCCGUCGGAUUGAUUCGAUUUGCGCGCGAUUUGGUGAGUAAUCUCACUAAUCCCGGAUUAGUUGGCUAAUUAUGCUUAAGGUUGGUUUAGUUUUAAUUAAUUAUGUUAGGUUGUUAGAUUAAAAUAAAUUAGCAAUUAUUAGUCAAUUGUGAUGCGAUUUAGAUAAAUUGAUUGUGUAAUUAGCAAGUAGACGUGGUCUACUAAUUAUUGGAAGUGUCUCGGGAUUUUUCCCGACCCUUAGUGGGCUCCAAUUAGGCUUUUCGGGCCUAAGGGGAAUUUUUAGUAUUUAAAUAUUAAUUUUCGGAAUUAAAUUAAAUAAUUAUUUAUUUUCCGAAAAUUCAACUGGGAUGGCCCGAAACCGGAAUAUUAUACUGAUGACUGUGGUGAAGUCUGUUUAUUUAAUCGGGCUUUAUUUUGAGCAGAAUCGAAUUUUUAAUAUUAAUUAUUUAAUUUUCGAAUUUAAUUAAUUAAUUAUUUAUUUCCGAAAAUUCAAUUGAGAUGGUAAAUGACCAGAAUAUUAUGCUGAUGACUGUGGUGAAGUCCGUUUAUUUAAUUGGGCUUUAUUUUGUGUUAAAUUGAAUUUUUAAUUGUUAUUAAUUAAUUAUUUUUCGGAAAUUAAGAUUUUGAUGGCCGACGAUCGAAAUCUCGUGCUGAUUGUCGUGGCGCAGUUUGUUUAUUUAAUUGAGCUCUACAUUGCAUGAAAUUAAAUAAAUUGCGAUAUUUUAGGGAUUUACCCUAAAUUGGUUGAAAUUGAAUUAUUGAUUGGUAGUUGGAUGAGUAUGGCUAUUUAGCAUUUUGAAUGCCUUGUUGAGCUGUAAGUGGAGAGAGUGGUGAGAACUAACUGAGAAUUCUAUUGGCUGAGACCGAUCAAGUACGAAGUAUAGACAAGCAUGGUUCGGUGAUAAAGUACAUCACUGUGCGAAAACGACGCCUUAAAGAACGCACGUAGACUGUCUAUGACUUAUGGCAGGCAUGGUUCGGUGAUUAGGGAGAUCACUGUGCGAAAACGGCGCCUUAAAGAACGCACGUAGACUGCCUAUGAAUAGUGACAGGCGUGGUUCGGUGAUGAAGGACAUCACUGUGCGAAAACGGCGCCUUAAAGAACGCACGUAGGUUGUCAGUGAUUUGUGACCUAUGACGGGCGUGGUUCGAUGAUGAGGAAUAUCACUGUGCGAAAACGACGCCUUAAAGAAUGCACGUAGACCAUUUGUUACUUAUGUCACCUUGGCGAAAAGAACAUUGAUGGAGCUCUAUGACUAAGUGUACUAUUGGAGGUUAUGUGGGACGGAGUGAAUGACCUAGAAAUGAUUCGACUGACUUGUAAUCGACUAGGUCGAUUAAUCGAUGAUUUAAUCUGAGUGUGAUUCAAUGUGAUUGAUCAUUGCCUUGAUUUGAUGUUGCGAAUUGAUUGAUUGAAUGGAAAUGACCGUGAGUGGUCUUGUUGGCAUAUAAUCGACUAGGUCGAUUUGAUCGAUGUUUCGAUCGAUGAUAUGAUUGCUUGAGUGCCUAUUGUAUAUUAUGCUGACUUGCAGGUGGGAUUUGAGGCCAAGGUAAGUCAUUUGCCCUGUGCGUGGUUAGGCAGCCUGUAGUAUAAUAGUUUACUAAUCUGGCCUUAAUGGGGUAGAACUCGCUGAGACAUAGUCUCAUCCCGGUUUGGGGAAAUCAUUUCAGGACCCCACUGAGGAGCUGAGGAGGAGGAAUCUGAGAAGGAUUUUUGGAAGAAGAAGAUAAUCCCGAGAGGGGCCUUGAGUACGGCCCGGGUGAACUGAGAUUCUAUUUUCUUUUGAGGUCUCCAUUUUGAUGUGAAUAGAGUUUAGAGUAAAAAGUUAUGAAGUGCUCUGGUUUGUGUUUUGUAUAAAAGUUUGGUUAUAAGUUUCAAUAUGAAAAAUAUGGCUUUGCUUUUCUAUCCCAUCGUUUUAUUGUCUGGGGAUUGUAACUGCUUCCGCAUGUGCUUAAUAAAAGAAAGGGUCGGCGAUACAUAGUCUUGGGAUAUCGCAUUAUAAAAUUGACCAAGUGAGAAGGAUGUGUCCGUGCCCGAGGAUCGGGGCGUGACAACAUGUAAUAUCGAUUGAAGGCGACGGACAUACCUUGCUUGCUAUAGAUUAAGUACCAUCGCAGUCUCAGAGGAAUCCUUUGAAGCCCUAGAAUUCCAUUCUUUAAGAGGAAGUAUACUGUUUCAAGAGGAAGAAAAAUGGAGAAGUGUAUUUUCUCUCUGAAACACUAUAGGUAACAUUAUCCUAUUUUAUUUUUAUUUUUUAUAUUGCAGUUAUUUUCACUUAGAAAAUAACUACCCUUUCCUCUUAUGAGCCCUUCACUUACGGGUCGGGUUUUGGCCCAACAUAAGCGAAUGGGCUUAAUUUGACCCAUCAAAUAAAAAACCAUCAGAUGCUAGUUUAGCUUUGUUAGUGAAGUAGAGUCGAAAACAAGCUUAUCAAGCACUUUAUUAAGUUCGAGUUGAGCUAAAAAAAAGGACCUUUCAUAUUGAACAUUGCAGCAUACAUAGUAAGACAAGUAGAACUCACGAGUAGUUUAGAAGACAAUCCCUCUCGAUUCGACUAUAUCCCUCUUUUAACUAGUUGCACAACUUGAUGCAAUAAAUUUUUUCACGUCUAAUUCGUUACAUGCAGAUAUAAAUUCUCUGAUUAUAAUUAAUUGUAAAAAAAAAAUCAUUAUAUGAAGAGUAAGGAAUCGACUUAUCACAUUUCCUUUUUCUCUUGGGGUUUAAUGUGGUUGGCAACAUGGUGCUCUCGCGAGAUCUGUUGGACCCAAAAUCGAAGGAUGCGCUCGAGUUCUACGAUGCCAUGAACCGGGUCACGGUGUGGGCCAGCAAGCCUAAUGUAGCCGACUUCAUGCCGUGGUUGAAAUGGUGGGAUCCACAGGGGAUCAAAACAAGCAUGGCAGAGGACAUGGGUCGAGCCAUGAAGAUUGCCGAAGGCUUCAUGAAAGAGAGAUUGGAGGAGCGAAAGCUAAGGGGAGAGAUGAGGACGACGAAUAACUUCUUGGACGCGGUAUUGGAUUAUGAGGGCGAUGGAAAAGAAGGCCCUCACAAGAUCUCUUCCCAGAACGUCAACAUAAUCAUUCUGGUAAGUUUGCUCCUCCCUUCCACGUUUAACACAGUCUCACAGAAGUAAUUAUCGAUUACCAUCUUAUAGAUAUUAGGUUAAAUUCAGUUUAUUAAGUGGUACAGUGAACUUAAUUGACAUUUAAACAAGAUCACAUCACACGUCAAGGACAAGUUUUAGUAGUUAAUAUUAAAAUAUGGGUGGCGCUAUUUUCACCCCUCAUGAUUUCACUCACUCUACCAAAAAGACAAAAUUGCUCUUAAUCAUUCGAUUGUAAUUUUGAUGGCUCAAACUUAUUUACUUUCCUUCUUUUUCUUGUUUUUCUUCUUUUAUGUAGGAUCUAUUUAUCAUAAUCUAUAUUUAACAUGUUUCAUUUUGGUUUAUUGUGGGUAGCCCAUGUAUAUGAAAGGCACUAUGUUUUCACUUUAUUAUUACAAUUUACUUAUGUAGACAUUAAUUUACUCAUGGAGAAAAUUUUCCAAUAAAUCAAAUUAUUUUCAACGUUGUCUAACAAAUUUGUUGAUUAAUUGACUAGAAAAUUUUUAACACAUAUACUUUCUUAACGCGAUAACUUAUUUAUAAACUUCAACAUUUGUUGUGCAUGUCACCAUUAAAUCAUUUCUUAUCAGUUUGCACACAUAUACAUAAAAUGGGAUGAUCGAUGAAAAAAAGAAGAAGAAAAAAUCCCUGUAAAUUUUUUUUUGAAAUAAAUUCUUGAUCGCAUUCUCCAAUGUGAAACUUUAAAAGAUAAAAUUUCUUUUUAAAAAUUCAAGUGAAGUCUCAUCAUAUUGGAAUAACAAAAAUUAAUAUCAUCCAUGAAGUGUUUUUGGAAAAAAAAAAAUCUGAUUAGAAAGGAUUUGAUGGUGAUAUACACAACAAAAGUAAAAGUUUAUAAAGAUGAGAUUGUUUUGAAAAAUUGUCUAUGUUAAUCUCUAGGUUAUAUGUGACAAUUAAUCCAUAAAUUUGCUCAAUAAUGUAAAAAAGAAUUAAGCUUCUCAGAAAAUUUAUUUUUGAUGUAACUUAUUCUGUGGAAGUAAAAUCUACAAAUUAAAAGAAAAAAAAAUGCCUUCAAUAUACACAUUAUAGGCAUACUAAAUAACUCGUCAAAAGUUUAAUUAUGGCAACUAGAUUCUAAACAAAAACAGAAUAAGAAUGAAAAAGAAGGAAAGUGAAUAAAUGAGGGUCUACCACUUUAAAUUGCAGUUAAAUGAUUAAGGGCGAUUUUGCUUUUUUUAGUGAAAAAUAAGGUGGAAUUAGUCAUAUGAGAGGUGGAAAUAGCUUGACCUUAAAAAUAAACCAUAAAUCAAUCUUGCAUUUUUGUGGAGCAUUCAAGCUAGUUAUUAUAAAAUGGGGAGAAGUACACUAUCAAUGUUAUAAAUUGUGUACGGAGCUCAUUUUAAUGCCAAAAAUUUCCAUAGGAUCACUUAAGUGCCAAAAUUUUUGAAAAACGAUCAUUUCAGUGCCAACAUCGAUCAGGCUGACCGGAAAUUCGACGUGGCAGUUUUUUAUUCAUUUUUGAUGCUGAUGUGGCUCGCCAGAGAAUACAGUUAGCAUGUAAACCACAAAACGACAUCAUUUGGUGUUUUCCCCAAGUCGAAACCCUAAAUCCCCAAAUCGAGAGAGAGAGAGAGAGAGAGAGAGAGAGAGAGAGAGGCAUGAUGGCGUCGUCUUCUUCCCCGAAGAACAACACUAGCACCGGCCACUCUCUGAGCGGAACUUGAUCCACCAUCUCCAUCUGUGCCCUCCUUGUUUCCCUCACACUCUGUCUUCUUUCUCUCUCUGCACCUUCGAGCCCCCUUCUUCCUCCUCCUCCUCCGCCCUCACCUCCUAUUUUCCCAUCACUUCUUGCCCAAGAAACAACCUCAGCCUCUCCUUGCUCACCUAGUCGAGCAACUACGAUGGAGGCCGAGCGACGGUGGUCGAGCACGGUGGCUGAGCAAGCUAGGUCGGCGAGGAUUGAACAAAAAAACCCUAAUUUCAAUCCCAAAUGAGCUGUGCGGCAUCGUUUUUGCGAGGCCAUCCACAUAUGAUGGCAAAACGACGUCUUUUUCUUAAGGUGGACGGAAAACGACGUCGUUUAAAAGGCUCCUCGAUUUUAAUUUUAAAUAGAAAAGCCACGUAAUCAUUUUGGCCGGAAUAUCUCGCCAGUAGCACCAAAAUGAUCGUUUUUUCUCCGAUUUGGCACUUAAGCGAUCCGACAGAAACUUUUGGCAUCAAAGUAAGCGCCGUACACAACUUAUGGCACUGGUAGUAUACUUCUCCCUUAUAAAAUGAGUGGGGAUUGGCCAAAUCAAAAUAGAAUGAUAAAAUCUAUAUACUAGUAGUAACUUUUUGUUAUGCACCAUUUUCUAAAAACUCAAGUGUUAAAUGUUUUCAUAAAUAGUAAGUAGUUGUGAAAAAGGCUAUUUCAAUUGUGGAAGGUAUCAUUGGACCUUAGUAAACAAGUCUUAAGCCUAGAGAAGAGGUUCGAUUAAGAUCGACAAUCUUAUUCAAAUUGGAACCCAAAAUGAGUAAUUCUUUUGUGAAUUCGUCGGCACCCUAAACAUUUGUUUGCCAAUUUGAAGUAUAAGAAUUGCUAUGUUUGAUCAGGAUUUUUUAUCAAGUGAAGCACGAUAACUUUUACUAUUAACCUGACGAUUCAAGAGAGUUAAUCUUCAAGUGAGAUAGAAUUUUUUAAUGAUGGCACACGUGUUAAGAAAACUCCUAUUAGAUUUUCAAGUUGACAAAACUUUUCUUUUUUCUAUUCUUAUUCUCAUUCUGAGGAAUACAAGACUUCUGUGGAAUUUUUUCAAAGUCUAUCUUACAUAAGAAGUCUGCUCCACUCUGACGAAGACCUAGAUUGAACUCAAGUGAAGAACAAAGACAUAAUUAGACUCAUGAUUAUUUUUCUUCCUUCAAAGAUUCAGUACAAAAAAGAUAUAUCUGUCUUUCUAGUUGAAAAUCUCACUUACCUUUUUGGAUAUUAUUGAUAAAAUCAAUCACGGAAUAGUAAAAUCAUUUUGGAAGGCAAGUUUAUUUGGAAAGAAUCUACUUAUGGAAAGCAAGAUUAUAAUUGUAUGGGCAACCAGGAUCAUCAGACCUUCAUCUCAAUCUUCAAACGACUCAAGAUCUCCUUGAUUGAUUCUAUCCAACAGGUUGAUUGGAAGAAUUUAUCUGGAAAGUACCAACGGUCACAAAGGCAUGGAGGAGUAUUUAAUGAGGUUUUUUGAGUCAUUUGAUAGAGAGCGUGAAAGCUAGAAUUCCAAAGUCUGAAACUUCUCAAAUCACUUGUUCUUCCUCAAUAGUGCUCAAACGUCUAUUCGAAAGACAAAGAAACACUAAAAAGUGAUUUAGUGAGAGAAAUAGAAAAUCUUUACUGAGUAGUCAGUAAUAUAUUGUUGUAAUUAUCUUUUGAUUUAUAGUGAAAACCAGCCAGAAGGCUAUCAGCGUAUGAGAGUAGACGUAAGCUUAAUCUAAGACAAAUCACUAUAAAUCUUGUGUUCAUUUUCUCUUCCCUAAACUCUUUUAAUUUAUUUGUUGUGAUAAUUUUAUGAAAUUUGAAUCUUUAUUCAAAGUCUAUUGUUUAACAGACUCAAUUUAAAAGAAAAAUAUUUUUACUGUUUCUGUAGAAAAUCGACUUUUACACCUAUUCACCCCCUCUAGGCGUUUAUACUAACUCUUUCAAGUGUGAGUAUAGUUUCCAAGAGCUUAAGCAGAAGCUGACUACUACACCCGUGUUGACAACUCCGUCUGGUCUUGGAGGAUACAAGAUCUAUAGUGAUGUGUCGUUUAGGAGACUGGGUUGUGUGUUCAUGCAGCAUGGCAAAGUUGUUGCAUACAUGUCCUGUCAGUUGAGACCUCAUGAGCUAAAUUACCUGAUGCAUGACUUGGAACUCGCAGUGAUUAUUUUUGCUUUGAAGAUUUAGAGACAUUACUUGUACGGAGAAAUAUUUCAAAUCUUCACAGACCAUCAAAGUCUCAAGUACCUAUUCUCUCAAAAGAAGUUGAAUAUGAGACAGCAUCGCUGGAUGGAACUUUUGAAGGACUAUGAUUGAGACAUCCUGUAUCAUCUUGGAAAGGCUAAUAAGGUCACAUAUGCGCUAAGUCGGAAGUCUUCAGUUGCGUAAAUGGUGAUCAAGGAUUGGAUUUUACUUGAGAGAGCUUGAGAUUCAGUUUUCAAAUUUGAAGUUGGCCACCUUUCAAAUCUUAUGGCCACCCUCAAACUUGAACCGAAAGUACAAAUAAGGAUCAAGAUGCUUCAAUUGAUAAACCUAGAGAUUCAGAAGAUCCUACAAGAGGUACCGAAAAGAGAAAUGCUAACUUUCAGAUUUCUGAAUACGGAACACUGAGGUUCUAAGGACGAUUAUAUGUGCCUGACGAUGUAGAGCUUAAGGAAGAGAUUUUGUCAAAAGCUCAUCGUAGCAGUUACAACAUUCAUCCAAGCAGUACAAAGAUGUAUCGAAAUCUGUGUCAAUACUAUUGGUGGUCUGGUAUGAAGGCGGAUAUUACCAAGCAUAUCGCUAAGUGUUUGACAUAUUAGCAAGUGAAGGCAAAACAUUAUAAGAAGGAGGACUUAUGCAACCUCUCAAGAUUCCUGAGUGGAAAUGGGAACACAUCACAAUGGAUUUUGUGACAGGCUUACCAAGGAGUCAGAUGGGCAAUGAUUCUAUUUGGGUAGUGGUCAACAGACUAACAAAGUUGGCUCACUUUAUCGCCAUACGAAAGGACAUUGCAUUGGAUAGAUAUGUAGAAUUGUACAUGCGUCAGAUUGUUGAUCUGCAUGGAGUGCCGAUGACGAUUACAUCAGACUGGGACCCGAGGUUCACAGCCGCCUUUUGAAAGAGUUUACAGACUGCCUUAGGAAUGAAGCUGCAGUACAAUACGGCCUAUCAUCCUUAAAUGGAUGGCCAAUUUGAAAGGACGAUUCAAACCCUUGAAGACAUGCUGUGAGCUUGCGUGUUAGACUUCAAGGGAAGCUGGGAGGAAUAACUUCAUCUUGUCAAGUUUGCCUACAAUAACAGCUACCAACAGAGCAUUCAGAUGGCUCCUUUUGAAGUGUUGUAUGGCAGGGCGUGCAGAACGCCAGUUUGUUGGGAUGAGGUCGGAGAACGAAAGAUUACAGGCCUAGAGUUGGUUCAGUAGUCAGUGAAUGCAGUUGUCGUUAUCUAAGACAGAUCAAAUACCGCUCAAAGCAGCUAGAAAAGCUACGCAGAUAAGUGUUGAAGACCAUUAGAAUUCUAAUUUGGUAAACACGUCUUUCUAAAGGUGUCACCAAUGAGGGGUACUUCGCACUUCGGAAAAAAUGGAAACUGAAUCCAAGAUACGUAUGUCCUUUUGAGAUUUUGGAAAUGAUAGGGACUGUAGCGUAUUGUCUUGCAUUGCCAUUGAGGUUGGCGCAAGUGCAUGACGUCUUUCACAUGUCAAUGUUAAGGAAGAAUAAGCCUAACCCAACCCACUUGCUAAAUAGAGUGUUGUAUGUGGAAAGACCGAUUCAAAUUGUGGAUCAGAAGGAGUAGGUUUUGCACACGAAGAUGAUUCCAUUGGUUAAAGUGGUCUGGCAACACCACGGUAUAGAAGGAGCAAUAUGGGAAAGUGAAGAUUUGAUGAGACGACAAUACCACCACCUUUUUGUUUAAAGAUUUGUAAUGGUUUAAAUUUCAAAGACAAAAUUUUUAUAAGAGGGGAAGAGUUGUGACAUUCUGAUUUUCAGGUUUUGUUUUCAAUUGAAUAAGUUGGGCUUUUCAUCGACGCGCCUAUAGUUCUUUUUCCUGAACUGAUCACUCACGAGAUAACUAGUCUAUCAAGUAAAGCUAUUAAGGAAUUUAAAUGCAAUAGACUUGAGAAUUCAACUAGAAAAUGACUGCUCGACCAUGCUAAUAUACAAGGAUCAUUACGGCACUAUCAAAAUUGAUCAGAGAUCAGAGUUAGAUCGAUUCGAUAGAGGUAUGUGAUUAAUGUGUUGGUGAUCCCACUUGAUUGCAAAAUUUCUAUCGAACGACACUAGACCAAUUUUUCUAUCAUUUAUGUACCUUGUACCCAUAUUUCAAACCUUUAGAUUUUCACAACAACCGAGAGUCGCCAAUGUGUCGAAGAUGUACAAUGUGACUCGAAAAUAAUCGACCAUGGGUCAAAAGCACUAAAAAUUACUAAAAGCUACUUGGUAAGUUAGGUCACAUUAAAAUCGCAUCUAGUUGAAAUUAACCAUGAAAUUGAACCCGAUUUAAAUUAUGUCAUGUCACAAUUCAUUUUAGGAACGUUGACUCAUACUCUGAAGAUUUUUCGGCAAAUCGGGAUUUUCGACGAAAAUUCAAAGUAAGUCUAUUUUAGACCGGGAAAAUUAAAGGGCCGUUUUUUAGCACACCACUGGCCAUCAAGUUGGUUCAAUUGGUAAGGAAAAAUAUGAAUUUGAUGUAGGCACCUUGGUUGAUUUUAUGGGGGUUAAUUUGAGCUCAAUUGGAGAAUUUUUGGUGAGGAAUUGAAUGAAAUUUGAGGCUAAAGGUCCAAAAUUCGUAGCUAGGGGGUGCUACAAUAUUUUGGACCUUUUGGGAGACUUCUUGAGCAAGCCAUGGUGCAGCAAAUGGCGGAGGAUGAUAGCCAUGCAUGGUGGGGCAUAGAACUCAAGCACUUGGGAUAUUUAGUUUGACUUUGAAGGUUUGUGCCCCCCCUCUUGCAACAGCCCUUCUUCUUCCUUUACUUCCCUCCUUUCUCCAUUGUUGUGCAAUUGAAAGCUCGAGAAAAAUUAGAGAGAGUCCCCCCUUGCCCAUUGACACCCCUUUAUCGUUGCCUGAGCAUCACCGUGCAUGCCUGCACGCCGCACCAUCGCGCACCAGCCUGCACAUCCGCAUGCCCAUUCUAGCCUUCUAGCUGUUGUUUUGAUGCCCUCCAGCCCCCGUCACAGCUCCCCUGGUUGCCGUUCAGCCACCAUAUGCUGCUAGAGCCAUCCGCCUAGUCCACCACUGCCACCAUCAUUUCGCCAUGCCCCUUUCUCAAGCCGAGUAGGCCUUUCGACCAGUUCCUCCAGCCCAAAGCAAAAGCCGAACUCUCAGCUUAGAGCUGAGAGCUUGUGGCCCGUUUUAAGGCCCGUGCGGACCCCGUUGGUGUUGUCGUAAGUUUGGUUGUCGCUCGCCUCCGCGUCUCCAUCACCGUGAACUCAUCAUAUUGCAAAACUAGUGAGUUUACUUGCUAAUCUCUACUUAGGGAGUUAAUUAUGCUUAAUGGUUUUAUUAAUUUAGGCUAAUUAUGGAUUAGGUGGUUAGUUAGUUUAGAUUAGUGAUUUAAUCAUUUAAUUAUGCAUGUUAGAUGGUUAGAUUAGAUUAAUUAUGGGCUAAUUAGAUUGUACUAUUUAUCUAGAUAGAUGCAUUAAUUUUCUAGACUCGUUUAGGUGGUUAGAUUAGCAUUUCCAGCUUAGGUUAGUAUUUAUUGGAUUUAAUUUGCAUUAUUUAAUUAUUUUGUAAUUUAUUUGAUUAUUUAAUAUUUUCCCGAAAUUAUACCGAGAUAGACGAUAGCCAGAAUUUCGUGCUGAUUGCAAUGGUAUGCUUAGUUUAUGCAAUUGAGUGUUAAUUUGUGCAAAUUGAGUGGUGAUUGUAAUUUCGAGUUAUUAUUUCAAAAUUAUAAAAUUUUGGUAUUUAAUCAGAAAAAAUUGGGCAUCGGUUUUUGAUGCCAAAACGGUUUUUAUGUACUAUAUUAAAUAGUGGGAUUUUUGAAGAGGAAGAUAUAGCAUUUUUGGCUCAAACUAACCGUGUACCACACACGAUUAUUUUUAUCGGGUGUUUUUAAUACGAAGAAAAUAUUCCAAGUUCAUUAUUUUAAUUGAGGCAUUUUAGUGCAAAGCACAAUGUUCUUGACCAGGAUUGAUUGAUCGUGUGAUGGCUAAGUGAACCCAUCCUCGAUGUGCGUCGAUAGGACGUUGCCCCUAUAUGGGAUGCCCCUGAACAAUGGAAGCCAGUCGCAGUAGAUUCUGGAUCGAUGCUCCUUCGGGAAUGCUGUCCCUGAUGUCUGUUGGUGGAUGUUGUCAUGCUUAAAGGAGUGAGACGAAGCCUGGCUACGCCAGAAGACCGAUGUGCGUCGAUAUAUUGUGCCUGUGCGGGCAGUAAUCGAAUUGGAACGUGUGAUUGAUUGAAAUUGAUGUGCCAAAUUAUGAAACAAAAUUGUGUCAUGAUAUGGGACGUGUCAUAAUUAUCUGGUCUUAUAAUCAGGACCCUUGGAUCGAUUGCAGUGAUUGUAUUAAUUGAAUCAAUCGAUUAAUGAUUGAUUGAUUGAUGGAUUGAUUGAUUGAGUAUAUGAAUCAUACUGACGUGGAUGAGGGAACUGAGGCGAGGUAAGUUAUUUGUAUUGUGUUUAUAGACUAUAUUUCCUUCCUAAUUGGAGUUUAAGGGGUGAACUUGCUGAGACAUUGUCUCACCCCGUCGUAGGCUCAAUUCUUUUCAGGUCCUUAGAUAGAGCAACGUCAUGUAUGCUAUGGGGUUCCAAGGGAGGUAGACUUCCAAUAUUUCUAUUUCCCAGUUCCUGGGACCGGCUUAACCCGUGAGCUUGUUGAGUCCACUGUCUGGGUCGAUGAGAGUCUAUCCCACCUGGUACCUCAUCAUUUCAAGGCGUGGUAUCUUCACAAGCCUGAUAGGAGUUAGGAGGGUCCUGUAGGUGGUUUUGACGGGCCUCUCGUUGGGAUAGGGGAGUGGAAAAUAGGGCACCCUCUGGACAUCAACACCCUUGAUGGUGCCAUGGAGGAACCGGAGCCAAGAACUUAAGAGCCUGGAGUUUAGAAUCUUCGUAGCCCCUUUUUGAUCUAGACUUCUAUACAUAGAUCAUUUUGUAGACUUUUGUAUAUAACUCAGUGUGUAUAUAAAAGUGUGCUGUGUUUAUGAGAUUAUUGUCCUGCUUUUCUAUCCUAUGUUAUUUGCUGUCAGGGGUUAUUGUUUCGCUUCCGUAUGUGCAUUAAAAUGAAUGGGUUCGCGACGCGUCUUGAGACGUCGCAAUUUCACCAACCACCGAGGGAUUGUGCGCGCUCGAGGUUUGAGGCAUGACAUAAGGCGUAUGCAUAAGCGGGAUGAUAUCAUACCCGAUUGGGUAGGACGAUGCCUGAUUAUGCUAGAUAAUCGCUAACCUUCGAGUUAGCCGUGGCCCUGAGUGGUUGUAAUAAUCUAGACAUAUAUGUGUGUGAAACGUGCAUAAGAUUGAUAUGUGAUUAUGUCUAGAUUAUGAUAUGGCAUUAACGCAUGAUUAUGAGAUGUUGCACAUUCUUAUUCCUACGUCAUGUGUAAUUUCUUGUGGGAAUUGCUUAUGUGUGUAUGUCCUGAUGGCCUUAGGAAAGUGAGGUAAUUGUUCAUGUUAAUAGUAAAGGUAAAGCUAGGGCAUUGCUAUUAAUGUGCCAUCAAUAGAUAACUUACACGUUUACGGCGAUCUCAAGGUGAAUAACUUCCCUACUUGAGGUCUAGAAAGUUUACUAAUUGAGUUUAUCUCAUUAUUGUUUGUUAAAUGUUUACAAGCCCUACGAAUGUUUGAGCCUUUCCGUCAGAUCAGAUUUAGGCUCCCCACUAAACAUAGCCAAGAAGUGACUGAUUAUUCAAUUGAGGGGACUAAUGCAUGUUACACGCACUAUGUCACGACCAUUAGGGUUGAUGAGGGACUCUCUAACUUAGUGAUUUGACACUUUGUAACAUGGUACUUUUGGAUAUCAGACAAUGUCCACAAGACCAUCUGCAGUUUUGAUUAAUCUCCGGAUGUAGGAGGAUCGGGGGGAGACAUUAGCUAGGAUGCAAUGAAUGUGGAUGUACGUGAUGAGGAUUUGUCCAAUCCAAAGAUCGACCUCGGAAUGAUCGUCGAGCCGAAGCCCUAAGUUAUGGAGCCCUUAGCGAGUUAGGUGAUAGUAGGGAUAUACAACACUUUUUGGAGCUGCCCUCGUAGUACUAGAGUGUUAGGUUACCCCGAGACCUUUUUUGGAGAAGGUUGUGGCCGCGCUUUUGGGCUGAUCUAACAUGGUGAAGCUAGUUGUGUUUAGGCUUGUUUAUUUAAGCCUUGUGUAUAUGGUUUGUACGGUUUAGGCUUGGUUAGGUGAUUUGUUAUGCUUCCGUUACAUAUAUAGUUGAUAAUGUGAAUGGGUCGGCAACGCCUCCUGGGACGUCAUAAUCAAAUGACUACAAGGUAAUUAUGUUGAGCAUGAGGUGGCGCGCCUCGAGCAAGUCAAGGUGUGAUAGUUAUAUAUCACAUUUUGGUGCCCUUGUGAUCACUGCUUGAUUGUCACAAUGAAUGCAUAUCAGUGGCACAAGUUUUGGCCACAAUAAACGACCAUUUAAAAUUGCCAAAGUCGCUUUGCUUGUUCAGCAGCUUUAUCCAAAGCAACAAACUCAAACUCCAUUGUGAAUCACGCUAUUAGAGUUUGUUUCGAGGAUCUUGACAAUAGUGUGGCACUUCAUAGUGUGAAAACAUAUUAGCUAGUCAAUUUCAAUUAAUUGAAAUCCAAAAUCCAGUUGGCAUCAUAAUAGCCUUCCAAAAACAGCUAUAUAUUUGCCAUGCUAUAAAACAUAACCUUUGGUUCUUUGCAAAUAAUCCAAUACUCUCAAAAGAGCAUUCUAAUUCUCAUAAGUAGGAUUACUUGUAUACCAUUUGAGUUUUCCUACUGAGUGCGCAAUAUUUGGUUUAUGCAGUUCACGAUGUACAUGAUGUUGCCAAUCAAAGUAUUCCAACUGCCUAAUAUUGUUUAUAGUAUUCUUUCUCAAAGUUAAGUGUAGAAGAAAAAGAUUGUUUGCAUCUUUAAUAUUGAACCCUUUAAACCUCUUAAUUACAUUUUCAAUACAAUGAGAUUGUGUUAAACCUAAACCAUUGGAAUUCUUUAGAAUUGUGAUGCCAAGUAUAACAUCCGCAAUACCUAACUCUUCAAUCUCAAAGUUUUUCUUGAAAACAUUCUUGGUGAUUUCGAUAACCUUAGUGCUAUCUCAAAAAAUCAAUGAGUCAUCAACAUAUAGACAAAUAAUUAACAUCAAACAGUUGUGGAUUUAGUAUAUACACAUUUGUCACACUUAUUAAUUUUAUAUCCAUUUUGGAUCAUCACACAGUCAAAUUUUUCAUAUCAUUGUUAAAGAGUUUUGUUUAAGUCCAUAUAAUAAUUUGACAAGUCUCCACACUUUGUGUUCUUAUGCUUUGACCUUGAAUACUUUAAGUUGUUCCAUAUAAAUCUCCCCAUCAAGAUAAUUAUUUAAGAAUGCAGUUUUCACAUCCAUUUGGUGUACUUGCAAAUUCUACAGCCAAGCUAUAGAAAUCAACAUCCUAAUUGAUGUUAUUCUUGUAACAGGUGAAUAAAUUUUUAAGUAGUCUAUGUCACGCCCCGAUCAUCAAGCACAUGCCCAUCCCUCGGUGGUCGAUUAAAUUGCAACGUCUCAGGACGCGUCGCCGACCCAUUGAUUUUAAUGCGCAUACGGAAGCGAAACAAUUACCCCUAACAACAACCAACACGGGAUAGAAAAGCGUGAAACAUAUUCACAACCAAAACACUUUUUAUAUAUACAAGACUAGUCUAAAGACAAAAGUCUAGCCAAGCAGAAAAGCCUACAAGUCCUCUAGGCACUCGAAUCCCCAACUAAAAACUCCGAGGUCUCCUGGGGAUUUAGGUCCACCACUGCACCACCAGGAGGGUCAGCUGUGCCCGUGCCAAAAGCAACUUCUAACACUGAUACUAGGACCUCAAAAUCCUGAAGGGGAUCCACUUUGUGUCCAUUGAGCCCACAAUGAUACCAUGCUUUGAAUUGAUGGGGUACCCUUUAAGGUAGAUCCUCAUCGACCCAGACGAUGGUCUUUACGAGUUCAUAGACCCAAACUCCGUGGCCCUCGAGGACAGGGAUAUCGAUGACUUGCUUGGUAAUCCUCUUAGGUUGGCCAAAACAUUCCGGAGGAACUGCCAUUUGAGGACCUGAAUGGCCUGAAAAGGUUGAGUGAGACAAUGUCUUAACAAGUUUACCCCCAAACUUCGACUAGGAAGGAAAUACGCCUAGAGGUAGCUAUACACACAAGUCAGAAGACUUACCUUGCCUUAGUUCCCUCCUGCAUGUUAGUACAAUUUAUAAUCUCAACCAAUCAAUUAAGUCCAAUUGAUCAUUCGAUCCAAUCAAUACCAUCUAUCAAUUCAAUCAAUUCGAUCACUACUCACACAAGCUGAAGUAUAUUUAUGCUCGCACAAGCUAAUAUAGAUGGUUGCUCAUACCAGCUGAUAUAGAUUAUUGCUCACCCAAACUGAUAUAGUAUACUGCUCUCAUAAGCUGACAUAUCAAUGCUCACAUCGGCUGAUAUAGUAUACUGCUCUCACAAGCUGACAUAUCAAUGCUUACACAAGCUGAAGUAUAUUUAUGCUCGCACAAGCUAAUAUAGAUGGUUACUCGUACCAACUGAUAUAGAUUAUAGCUCACCCAAGCUUAUACAUAAUAUAGCUCACCCAAGUUGAUAUAGUAUACUGUUCUCACAAGCUGAUAUAUCAAUGCUCACAUAGGCUAAUAUAGUAUACUGCUCUCACAAGUUGAUAUAUCAAUGCUCAUGUAGGCUGAUAUAGUAUACUGCGUUCACAAGCUGACAUAUUAAUGCUCACACAAGUUGACGAUUUAAUGCUCACACAAGCUGACACACGAUAAAUCAAUCUCGGCCAAGGACCUUGUGCUUUGCACACCAAUUUCUCAAUUAAAAUAAUGAACUUGGCCUAAUAUCAUUGUGUUAAAAAUAUCAGAUGAAAAUAAUCGUGUGUGGGUACAUGGUCAGUUUGAGCCAUAAUGCUAUAUCUUUCUUUUCAAAAAUCUCACUAUUUAAUAUAGUGCCUAAAAAAAAUUUGGUGUUAAAAAUCGACACCUCGUUAUUUUCUAAUUAAUUACUGAAAUUACAAAAUUUUGGGAUAAAUACCCAAACUUACAAUCACCACUCAAUUUGCACAAAAUAGCAUUCAAUUGCAAAAACUAAGCAUACCAAUGCAAUCAGCACAAAAUCUCAAUCACCAGCUAUCGGGGUAUAAUUUCCAUAAAAUAAUAAAUAAUUAAAUAAAUACAAAAAAUAAUUAAAUAAUUACAAUUAAUGACCAAAAAUGCAAACUUAGGUCGGAAAUGCUUAAUUAACCGCCCAAGCGAGCCAGAAAAAUUUUCGAACCUAUCUAGAUAAAUAGUACAACUUAUUUAGUCUCUAAUCUAUUCGUUCUAACUACCUAACAUGCACAAACGGAUAAUUAAAUCGAUAAUCCAUUCUAACUAACCACUUAAUCCAUGCUUAACUUAAACUAAUCACCCCUUAAUUGUCAUUAACUCCCUAGGUAGAGUUUAGCAAGUAAACUCACCGGUUUAGCGAUUCGGUGAGUCCACGACAAUGGCAACAUGGAGAUGGGUAACAAACAACCCUGCGGCGAAAGCAAGCGGAGACCGAACGGGCAUGAAAAUGUGCCACGAAGCCUUAAAGCCCUUGUUGGCUUUUUGGUUUUGACCUUGGGCCGAGCAAGCUGGAACAGCAGCCGGUUGGAGCUGAAACAACGAGGUGGAUCGGUGGCUGCAGCGAGCAACUAUGGGCAACGACGAUUGCUAGACGGCGGCCAAGGGGCUUUGAUGGUGGCUUGGGCAGCACGGGGGAUGGCGGGGUGGCUCGGGAUAGGUGGGAAGAUGAGCAAGAGGUGCAGACUGGCGGGGCGACGCGCGACGAGCUGGGGCGGCGCAAGUGGUGGCUUCGAUGGCUCGGUAGGUGUGCGACGGGCUAGGGGAGGGGCUGCUCAAUUUCUCUGCAAUUUUGAGCUUCUCAAAUGCUCUAUAAUGGAUAAAGCAAGCUACUGAAGANNNNNNNNNNNNNNNNNNNNNNNNNNNNNNNNNNNNNNNNNNNNNNNNNNNNNNNNNNNNNNNNNNNNNNNNNNNNNNNNNNNNNNNNNNNNNNNNNNNNNNNNNNNNNNNNNNNNNNNNNNNNNNNNNNNNNNNNNNNNNNNNNNNNNNNNNNNNNNNNNNNNNNNNNNNNNNNNNNNNNNNNNNNNNNNNNNNNNNNNNNNNNNNNNNNNNNNNNNNNNNNNNNNNNNNNNNNNNNNNNNNNNNNNNNNNNNNNNNNNNNNNNNNNNNNNNNNNNNNNNNNNCCAUUUGAACUAACUUGAAUUCCAAAGAUGCGAUAAAAAACGGUCAUCUGAUUUUCUCGGACAAAAACGACCCUACUUUGAAAUUUGCCAAAAAUCUCAAUUUGCAGAAAAAUCUUUGAAGGAUAAAUUGACGAUCCUAAAAUAAACCAUGACAUGAUAGAACUUUCAAUUUCUGAAAUCGGGUUUAAAUUCGCGAUUAAUUUCAAUUUGGCACAAUUUUAGCGUGACCUAACCUACCGGGUAGCUUUUAGGAAUUUUUAAUCCAAUUGACCCAUGUUUGAUUAUUUUCGAGCCACAUUAUACAUUUUUGACACAUUGACGACUCUCGGUUGUCAUGAAAAUCUCGAGAUUUCAAAUGCGGAAAUAGGUACCAAAAUGACAGAAAAAUCAAUAUAGUGCCAAUCGACGAGAAUUUUGCAAUUAGGUGGAAUCACCAACACUCAAUCACAUGACUUAGUCGAGUCAACCCAUCUCUGAUCUCUAAUUAAUUUUUAACUGUGCCGUAAUGACCCUUGCAAACUAGCACAGUUGAGUAGUCAAUUCUUAGUCGAAUUAUCAAAUUUAUUGAAUUAAAAUCCCUUAACAGCUACACCUAAUAGAUUAGUUAUCUCGUAAGUGAUCAAUUCAGGUAAAAGAACUAUAAGCGCAUCGAUGAAAAGCUCGACUCAUUCAAUUGAAAACAGAACUGGAAAUUCAGGAUGUCACAAUCUAGACACUCUCUUUCUUUAAACCUAUUGACAACAAGCCAUGGUUUGUACUUAUAUAUGGAAACAUCAACUUUAUGUUUCUUUUUGAAAAUCCAUUUAAUUCCUAUUGAAUUAUUUCCUGAUAGAUUAUCAGCGAAUUCACGAGUGUGAUUACUUAGGAAAUAAUUAAUCUCAUUGUCAACCACUUCUUUUCAGUCAGGUGUAUCUGGAGUUGACAUUGUCUCUUGAAAUGUUUGAGGCCCACCUUAUAAUAUGUAUAUUGGAAAAUCAAGUACGGAAUUUUUUUCAAUCCAUGACUUCUUGCCCCUUGAAAGUUCAACUUCUUGUUCCUCAACUUCAUCAUUCUCAAUACCCCUAUACUUUCAAAUAAUUGUAAGAUGAUAACCUUUCAUUCCAUAACUCAUAUGGAGUCUUACCUAUCUUCUUGCGGGGCACUUUAAUUAAAUUAUAGUUUGCAAUUAAAAAUGCAUCCCUUCACAAGUUCUAAGAUAAACUUGAACUUAAGAGCAUGGCGGUAGCCGUCUCCUUUGGAGUUUUGUUCUUCCAUUCAGUACCUCCACUUUACUGUGAAGUGCAUGAUGUAGUUGUUUGGAGAAUUAGUUUGGGGACACAACUCCAUCAAAUUUGAAGAAUUAUAUUCUUCUCCCCCAUCAAACCUAAGAUGUAACAUCCCGAUUUUUGACAUAUGAGAAAUUGUUGUGAAUCAGGUGUCUCAAUGGCAAGGAUAGGUCAUGGAUCAUUUCAAGAAUCGGCCAUGUACUAAUCAUGGAUCAAUCAAGGAAACGGUCGUGGACCAAUCCAAUGACCAUGUUAGUGGACUUGAGUAGUUCGGUUGACAGACGACUGCUCGACCGUAAGGGCUGAUCAAGGGAUGGUCACAUCUACCAUGGAUCAAUCAAUGAUCAUGAAUCGAUCCAAAUGGCCAUGUACUGAUCGUGAGUUAUUCCGCUAGGUCAUGUGCUGGUCAUGGAUGACCAUGGUUUGACUCGGUACAACCGUGUGAUGGGUAUGAAUUUGACUGAUCUCAAAAGGCCAUAUGACAAUCAGGAGUCGGUCUGGAUGAGGCCUAUGGCUAAUCUCAGAUCCGAUCUGCUUGGCCAGAACUGAUUUAAAAGCCGAUCAUUGGAUUUGCACCCUAAGCCACCAAUCUAGCUAAGAAGGUAAACAUUGCCUACAACAACCACACCGAGGGUGGCUUGGUCAUGAACCUCGGGUGUGUCGGAAUGGUCGUUAGGGAUGCACAAAAAAAAAAAAAUUCCUUGCUUAGUCCCAGUUGCACUUCCGAUGGCUUAUUUCCUAUGGUUGUCAUAUUACUUGAAUAUGGACAAAUUAGAACUCUCUACAACACACUAGCUUCUUCAAGAAGAAGAAUGAUUUACCAUUUCACCUAGAUUUUUCUAGAUUUGGCCAUGAUUACUAAUGAUUCGCCUUAGAGAUUGAGCAAAGAAUCUAGGCCAAAUAUCCCAAUAAAAAAGAGACAUCUUGGGGCACAUUAUGACUGGUCUAUGGGCAAGAUGCAACUCAUCUUUUUAGGGUGCCACCUAUCCAUGAUGAAUUUUCCCUUGAUAAUGAGUUAAGUGCUCAUGCGACCCAAUAAAAAGGAGACAAACAAACCUUCAAAUGAUUAUGUUAGGCCAUUAGAUCUAUACCUCAUAAGCCUAGGUGUCCACUCAAAGAUUUACUAAUGAUGGCUUGAGAUUUGCCUUUCAGAAGAAGUUGGUAAUUCAUGCUUAGGUGUCCUCUAGAAUCUUAGGCUAUGAUGACCCUAAAAUACAGCGUUGGUGAACAAAGCAAGAGCCAACCAAUUAGAAGAGGACAUUAGGCAUCAAAAGGGCUUAUGUGUCCCUUAGGACCAUAGGCACAUCAUAAGCCUAAAUUGAGCCUUAGAAAGCAAGCCAAUAGGUGAUCCAGUAAGAAGAUGACAAGUAUUCUCUUAGAACCCUAGGUGUACCACCUUGAUGGCAUAGCUGUGCCAUUUAAAGAAAUGUGAUUGGGUUGCUUGAAUGAGUAAUGGUGAGCUUGAUGCUUAUAAAUAAGAAGGGCUCCCAUUCAUUUCCAUCAAUUUAAGCCCUCUUGCCAUUCACGCCUAUUCUCCCCUUCCAUUCCUUUCUUUUGACCUCGUACCAUCGCUUCUUAUCAAGUCAUUCAAGCUAAUUCUCAAGGUUCAUCCAGGUAAGUAAGAUCCCUAUGUCUCUUCUAGGGCGAUCGUCUCCAUUGUCGAGUCUAGUUAGGUGCUCAUCCGUUAAGCCAUGGGUAGGAUGUUGAAUCUUUUGCAUGGCUUUGCUCAUGAUUAUGUUUAAACGUGUUUUUGAGCUGUUCAUGCCCGAAAUGAAGCUGAGGUUCGCUUAGGUUGAGUUCAACACAAGGCAAGGUCACUUAAGGCUAAAUGGCAUUGGAUCGGCAUUCAAGCAUGCCAAUUCUAAGUCUUGUUCGGUGUGAGUAUCCUAAGGCUGCAAGCUCUUGAAUUGACAUUGAGGUGUGCCAGUUCUAAGUCUUGAUUAGUAUGAGGAUCACUCAAGCUCGCGAGGUCUUGAUAAGGCACUAUAGCAUGCCGAUUUUAUGCCUUUGUUGGUGUGAGGACUUUGUGCUUGACAUUUGAAUCAAGACAUGACCUAAGGGUCAUUCAUGGCAUGAAGUAUGUUCAUGUCGGGUUGAAGAUGAGGUCCAUUGAGCUUAAUCUUCACGAAAGUGAGGUGUACCCAAGCCUCAAGGUCUUGGAUCGGCAUUGAGGCAUGUAGUUUCUGAACCUUGUCUAGUUCAGGGAUCGAAGCUUAGCAAUUGGUUCAAAUCAUAGAUCACGGGUCAUUCUCAACAUGUUUACUUGUGCAGUAUAAGAAUUCAUGACACACAAGUAUGGAUGAGCAAACCUUCAGGCCAUGCAUGUGUCAGCUAAGAGAAAAGAUAAGAACCAACUUGUAUGAUGUAUAUACGUCUGUACUUAAAGAGAAAAAAAAAAAAAAAAGCCCACUGCCACACAGCAUUGGUGGCAAUGCCUUGAUUGAGCCAGGAUGUCUGGGUCUUAAACCCAUAAGCCUAAAGAAGCUAGCCCAAAGAAGACUUGGUCGAGCUGAGAUGCCCUGAUCAAGACAAGAAGUUAGAAGCUCCAGUCAAGCUAGGAUGAAGAUAAAUAGAUUUGCAUGAAUGCCGAUUAUUGAUAAGUAUGAAUUAUUGUUAAGCCGAUGGUAGUUUUGACAUGGAUGGCAUGAGUUUAAAUAAAGCAUGACAUAUGAUUUGUGAUUGAUCUGCCAUCGACACUGUUUGCGAGUGUUAUACUUGUUAAGCUUUGAUGACAAGAUGUUUUCCUAGUAGAGAACUAAGAAUUUUACCUACUGAGUUCCCACGACUUACUUUCUCAUCUUUCAGUCUUGUAGGUAUGGAAGUCUCACGUCAGUUUUGGGAGCUGCAGUCACGUUCAAGGAGAUAGUAAUUUCUUUUGCCUUUAUGGAAACUUGUAGUAUGAUGUAAAAAGGAAAGAGAACCCCAUAGCAAAGAGGCUUGUAAAAGUACUGUUAUAAUAUAAACUAGUGUGUUUUAUGUAACAUUUAUCCCAAUUUUCUAGCAGUUGUUUGUCCGAGAGUGUUUAUUCACAUUUCUGUGUGUGCAUGAAAACAAAAUUAAAAGAAUCAAGACGGUGAUGAGCCUAAGACGUUGUGAAAUAACCCAUGUCACUCAAGACCCUAGGAAUGAAGUCGAGAUCGUGACAUGAGCACUUUAAUUCAUUUAUCAAGUUGGUUCUCGGUCUCAUUUUUAUACUUAACAAACGUGUUCAUAACCUUAUCUUUGCUAGUUAAUAGAUAAAUAUAGCAAAAUUGAGUAAAGUCAUCUACAAAAGUGAAGAAAUACUUUUUUUUCACCUCUACUUUCUACAAAUUUUAAAUCACAUAAAUCACUAUGGAUUGCUAUAGAGGUUCAUUCGAUCUUUCUACCAAUUUGAAUGGUUUUUUUAACAAACUUAGCCUCAACACAAGUCUCAUACUUGUGAUGGACAUCCAACUCAAACAUUGGAAUUAGCCCCAAUUUUGUUAUCUUUUUUGUUGUAGCAUAGCUUAUAUGUCGCAAUCUACCAUGCCAUAGAUAAGGAGACACAAUAGUGUAAACCAAAGACUUCUCAUUAUCAAUAGUCUUUGGGUACAAGAAUUUCGAGUUUACAUCAAUGACAACCACAUUUACUUUGAACGGGUCAUUACAUAAGUACCAUUUCCCCACAUACACCAUAUUUGGAAAGUACACAAUUAUCCAAUUCCAAUAUAAUGUUGAAACUCUUCUAGACAGGUAUGGGUUGAUUUACUUGCUAAGGGUGAAUUUCAAGAUCACUUUUCUUCUUCUAGCAAUAUUUGCUAAUGUGGAGUUAGUCAUAUAAAACUUAUAUUCUUCCUCAUGCUUCUUGUAAGAUGAAAACAGGUGUUUAUCCACGUGAUAUGUGGUACUUGUUUCCAACCACCAAUUAGUAUUAUUUAAUACCAAGGAUACCUCAUACACAACCACGACAAUCAGUCUCUCAUCCUCUGUUUAAUCUGUCAGAUUCAGCUACUUGACUACACUAUCGCCCUUGCCUUUGUUCAAGCGCUUUUUACAAUCCCUGGCCCAAUGGUCAAGCUUGUUACAAACAAAACAUGUCCCUUGGAAUUUCAAGAUUGUUCAUUCUGCUGGCAUUUUCCUUAAAAGAACUUUUUCCUCUUUGUAUCUUGCUUGGAAUUGGAAAACUCAAUAGUGUUGGCCUUUGGUUCAAUAAAGAGAUAUGCAUUCCACCUAUUGUCUUCCUUGAUUAUGAGGCACGGAAUAAGAUCUUCAAGGCUCAUCUCUUUCCGAUUAUCAUUCAUAUAUUUUUGAAAUCUAACCAGCCCAAAGGUAGCUUCUCAAUAAUAAAUGCCACUUGGAAUGAUUCACUAAGAACAUUUCCUCAACAAAGAUGUUCAAAAUCAUUUGCACUUCAUGGACCUAGUUCAUGGCAGAUUUAGAAUCCACCAUCUUGAGUCCAAGAAUUUGGCUACCACAAAUUUCUCAGUUUUGUAUUUCUUUUCUAAGGACUCCCAUAAUUAUCUAGUAGUUUCAAUGUUACAAUAAACAUGAUACAAGGAAUUUGCUAGGCAAUUAAGGAUAUAGUUUCGGAAUAGGAAAUCCUUGUGCUUCCAAGGCUCUAGCUCCCCAUGCAUUAUGACAUCUUGUUCAUCUAGACUAAUUAUUGAGCACACCUCUAAUUAUUGACUCCCAUAAUUAUCUGUUACCACUGCUUAAAGCCCACACUAGUUAACUCAUACAGUUUCUCAUUCGAUGUUAUUGGAGAAGGUAUCAUCAGAUUAGGCAAAGCUUGUUAAACCAUCUCUCCAAAAAUUGAACCAUGUACUUUUUUGAAAAACAGUCCCUAGUGUAUCGGUCAAGCGACUUCUACCGGUACCACCAUAGAUGCUUUCAGCCCGAAAGCUUGCAGCAUUUGUUGCCGUAACACUAGGCCAUGAGGUUUGAACCCACUCAUUGAAACGACCAUAUGAACGUCCUCGCAAACAUUCCGGACAUCAUUGGGUACUUGAUUAUUAUUAGUCAUCUCAAUUUUUUGAUAAGCCCAACAAACAGUAAAAGAUAAUCACCUUAAGAUUGUGGGAAAUAUUAAGACGUAUUGGGGAAAAUAGUAAAAAUUCCAAGAAAGCAAUAGCAAAAUAAACAAGGGUGAGGUUCGGCUAAUCAAAUCUCCUUAAGGCGAUUAGUUCAUGUCAAUGGUGCCAAUUAGUUUCAUGAACUAUGACUCUCAAAAUACAACACCUCAAACCCAAUUGUAUAAGCACUAUAUGAACAAGAUUCUAUCGAACACUUCUUUAAAUCAGCACGCUUAAAGAAACUACCAAGAAACUAGAGGAAUACUUUGAGGAGUUUUUGUUGUUAUUUUGAAUUAAGAAGACACAUCUAUUUAUAGACCAGGGAACUAGUUGUAGAAAACUGAAAGGACAUGAACUCAAGAGCCACACCGAUUAUGCACACAUUAGUUGAGCCAUUAACCCUUAAUAACAACAUUAUUAAAUCAGAAACUACAAGAGAACAAAGAGCCAUUAACCCAUAAUUGCAACAAUUAGGGCAUGAUCCAAAGAGACAUAACGGUUGCAUGUGAAUUGAAAAAGGCGUGAAUUGAAGAGACGUGUCAUUAACAUUGAGCCAUUAAAACCUAUGAUUACAAUAAUAAUUACAACACACUGUGCCCCCCUCAGUUCUUGUCACAAGAGCUUCUAAUUUGAAUUCAUCAAGUACGCCAUGUGCAUCAUAGAAUGCAUCCUUCAAUUGCUCAAGCCAAAAUUAGGUCACAUAAACUUGUUAUACAUGUGUCCCUGAGCACCCCGAUCUCAUGCUUGAUGCCCUAUAAAUUUCCAACUUUUUCUAGUGCUUGUCGAGCCAAAUCUCCAGCAAUGCUGACGAUGACAGAUGCCAUCUCUCUCUCAUAUAAUAUAUUAGUCGAGUCAUUCCAAGGCCAGAGAUUUCAGGUAUGUAUAACAAGUUUAUGUGACCUAAUUUUUAACUUCUUUGACGGAGUUGAGUUGUUGAAGGUAGGAUUCUCAUCAUCCACGCAAGCCUAUGUCAAUAAUGCAGAUAGGACCCACUGAUUUGGUUUGUCUAAGAUAUUUCGUGCUUCUAGAGUUUACUAGCUUAACACGCUUGCAAGUUGCAAAGGCAAUGAAAAGGCUGGCGUUGAAUUGAAAUCCAUGUUUAUUUAGAAGAUUAAAUUAACAAUAAUAACAAUAAAUUAAGAGUAAUAAAUUAGAAGGAUUGGACUAAGUUGCCUACGUUCACUCUUUUUCCAUAAAAAUAGCCGCCUCCUUGGAAUGUCCUAACCACGUGCUAUAUGCAAUACCAAUCAAUUGUAAAAAAUCAUAAUUGAAACUAUUUAAAAUGGGUAUAAUUAUCGGUGCAUCAUUUUCUAAUUAAAUCACUUUCCCCACAUAUCAAUCUUUUAGGAAGAAUAUGGCCAUUUUCAUCUAUUCUUUUCUUCAGGUUUAUUUGGAAACUGUUUCGAAAACUAUUCUCCAAAAUUUUUAAACAUUGCGUCAAUUCUCAACUUUUACUCUUGAUACACGUGGAGAGCGAUCUGAAGAGGGUUAAUGCGUCUCUAGUUUUUGGUUUCUUCAUGAUACAAUGGAUGUUGUUAUAAUUAUCAUUCAAUGAAAUAAUUUGCUUAGUCAAUAUAUAUAUGCUUACUGAUGUUCGUGGAAGGAUUCGUUCUUUAUUUUUAUUUUUCCCAAAUAAUAGGGAAUCAUUAUCUAAAUUAUUGGGAUGAAUUUUGGGUAUGACAAGUUUGGAAUCACAACUUAGGUUAUAAAACUAGUGAAUAUUAGCUAGCAUUAAUUCGGGCACUGUGACGUGCGAUUAGUUAGUAACUAGACGUGCGCACGUGCGUCACACACAAUACGUGCUCAUACAUUACGCAUAGCUACUCUUUCAGUGAAUAUAGAAAGUUCUAUAUGCGUAGGUAAUAUUAUCGACCUCUCAGUUUGAAACUAUUCUUCAUAUUAUCACAAGACAUUAGUACUAUUAUUUUACUAAAACAUUGCAAUUUGAUUAGGGAAGUUCACUCUCCUUGUUAAUCUCUCAUAUUUAUUUGCUUCCUAUGAGUAAAAUGCUUCUAUAUAGUUUAUUUCUUUCUUUAACUUUUCCUAUUCUCUAAGUAAAUGAAUAAUCUCUUCCCAUACAUUUUGUGAAUAAUCUCUUCCCAAACAUUGCAAUAACAAAACUUGCACAUUUUGUAAACUCCUAGUAUUUAGACAUUUUAUGCAUGUCACUCCUUUUCAUGAAAGGGAUAUCUUUUUUUGAGAAGAAAGAGAAGCCUUUUUUGCUGCAAAUUGCAGGUAUUCCCACUUGAGAUAUUUACUCGCGGGAAACAUGUAAACGAAGAACAAGUCUCGCUGGGGGAAUCUACUCCGAGCACUGAAAGUCCAAUCAUUGGACCUAAUGGACAUCCUGGGUGGACACAGGCAACCGCAAUCCAAGCACAGCCCCUACGCGACUGUGGCACAUCUCAUUUGACAAAUCACNNNNNNNNNNNNNNNNNNNNNNNNNNNNNNNNNNNNNNNNNNNNNNNNNNNNNNNNNNNNNNNNNNNNNNNNNNNNNNNNNNNNNNNNNNNNNNNNNNNNNNNNNNNNAACUAUCCCGUCAGAACCCACCACAAGGGAGAAAAAAUGAAGGUCAAGUGAACAAUAAUGAAGAUGCUAAGAAACAAAACUAUCUGUCUCGCUUACAUCAUUCUCUGAAAAAGCAAACUGGAGAAUGGGUUUUUACAUUGACUUGGAAGUCCUUGAAGGUUUCCUCAAAUUCUUGAUCAUGCCCAAGUAGGGGGCGCAAUUGGAGAAAUUUCUAUAUUCAUUCCCAGCCGGUAACAAAAAAAAUAUGAAGUUCUGCAAGCUCUAAAUUGGAUUUCAAGAGUGCAAAAAGGUAAUUAACGUUAAAGAGAAAACGAACAAGAAAAAACAAAACAAGAAGAGAUCAUUCCUAGCAAGGUUUUUCUGUCUGCUCAAGCAUUUGGCUAAAGUACACUUCAAGUGCCAAAAGUUGGUAUAAAGGGACACUUAAGUGCAAAAAAUUACAAAAGUGACACUUAAGUGCCAAAAUUGGAAAGAAAUGGAUCACUUAAGUGCCAAUCUAGCCAAAAUCCGGCCAAAAUGCUGAUGUGCGCAAUUUUCGGCAAAGUAAGUGCAAAACGGCGUCAUUUUGCAUGCUGACGUGGCCAGAUAAUGAAAAAAUGACGUCAUUUUGGUGCUAACAUGGUAAAAAUUAAUAUAAAAAUUAAUUAAAUUUAAUUGAAAACUAAAUUUAUUUAAAAAUUUUAAAAAUACAAAUACAAAUAUAUAUAUAUAUAUAUAUUUUUAAAAGGUGGGAGGGAGGCGGUGGCAGCUAGGGCUCAACCCUCAGCUGCCUCCCUUUUUAAAUAUUUUAAAUAUUUUUAUUUUAUUUUACAAAAUUUUAAAAAAUUUAAUUUAAUUUUUAUAUUAAUUUUUUCCCACAUUAGCACUAAAACAACGCCGUUUGUACUCGCUCGCCGGAAAAUUGACAUAUAAGCAUUUUGGCCGGAUUUUGGCCAAAUUAAUACUUAAGUGAUCCAUUUUGCUCCGAUUUUGGCACUUAAGUGUCCCUUUGUACCAACUUUUAGCACUCCAAGGGUCUUGGUGUCUAAGCAUUUUAUUUAUCAUUUUGAUAGUGUUACUUUCUUGUUUCCAUACUUGUAUGAUCAUCCAUCGCAUGUAAGUGGUUUAAGACCAAAUCAAUCAAGGCUACUUGCAAAACAUUUUGUGAAAUAAAGUGAAGGUGCCAAAGGGAGAUAGAUUUAUCUAGCAUAAUCAAGUCCCUUAUCCAUGAAAUCUCUAGUUCACAAAAAUAAAGUGUUCUCUCACAUUUUACUCGGGUUUUUAAUCAACCAUAGUAGACUAAUGGCAAUUCUUAAAUGAAUUGAAUUGGAUGUCUAAAUAAUUUAAUUAAAACCCCAAAGUUGUGAUUGUUGGGGGUUUGAGAGAACCCGCAUUAGACAAUGGUACCGUCUUUUUAAUGAGUUACCAUUUGUACUUGCAUGAUAAUCCAUUAACUUUCUCUUAGUGGUCCACCUCUAAGAAGGUCAUGACAAUUGGCAAUUAGAGAGUGGCAACUAAAUUAAAGAAGGAAAAGUGAGCUUGUUGAAUUAGAGACGAGUUGACCGAGCAACCGCAUGGAAACAAUGAAUACACACUCCUCAUUCAUCCGAUUGCACUAAAAUGUUGAGGGGAGUUAGUCAACAAGCGGACGAAGCUUGUGUAAAAUUUUUAGACCAAACGGAUAUUGAAAAUUUCAGUUUUGAAGGCUUGACAACAUUGUCUUUUUGUCCAGGCAUCUUGGUGCAGAUCAUCCAACAUUCCUUGAAAAAUGCAAUUUAGGAACUAUUCUUGGAAACUAGCACNNNNNNNNNNNNNNNNNNNNNNNNNNNNNNNNNNNNNNNNNNNNNNNNNNNNNNNNNNNNNNNNNNNNNNNNNNNNNNNNNNNNNNNNNNNNNNNNNNNNNNNNNNNNNNNNNNNNNNNNNNNNNNNNNNNNNNNNNNNNNNNNNNNNNNNNNNNNNNNNNNNNNNNNNNNNNNNNNNNNNNNNNNNNNNNNNNNNNNNNNNNNNUUUUCCCGUAGAGCCGAGGUUCUUGCACUACAUUGUCCCUAGUCGAAGAGUAUAGGAGAUUCCUAAUAUUCAUCAUAUGCACGGAUGACCUAUGUGAACUGAAACCUAACUAUAAAUGAAAUAUCAUGCCUCUAGUUUAUAUGUGCAAAACGAAUGCCACGAGAAAAAUGAAUGCAAUGUUGUAUAAACUGAUUGUUUUGUUUUUAUCAUGGUCAAAUUUAUGAGAUGCAAAUUUAUGAUAAAUUCAUCAGUGAAAUUCAAGUGUCAACAUCAAAAAGUCCUUUAAAUAGUGAAGAUUGGAAAAUUCGAUCAAAUUGAUGAUUGGACUUAUAUAUAUGAUGUUUUUGAAAAAGACAAGCCAUCUUACUAAGGCAAAAAUUGUUGGAGUUAUCCCACAUCGAUUAUGGAAUUGUCUAGUGGUUAGUUUAUAAAUAUGAGAGAAAGUCUCGCCCUUUGAGUAAACUUUUGAGGUGAGAGAAGUGCAAGACUACCAAACAUUGGUGUUAGAGCCAAUAGUAGAUUGGCGGCCCCCAAUUUGUUCAAGAUAUCUCAAGAAAAGGAAUCUAGUUACCAACAUAGUUUCUAGGCAGUGUGUGUUGUGGUAUAACACAAUCCCAAUGGUAGUCUUCAUGGUUCGAUUCCAAGAAAAAAAAAACAUGGAUAAAGGUGAGUGUUGGAGAUUCAAGUUAAGAUAAAAAGAUACCUAAGUUAAGGGGAACAAACCUAACAAUGAGCUCAUAUGUGAUGGGGAGAUUGUUGAGAUAUACAUGUGAGUUAUCUCAAAGAAAGGAAUCUAGUGACCAACAUAGUUUCUGAGCAGUGUGUGUUGUGGUGUUGCAAUGCGCAAUCCAAUGGUAGUUUUCAUGGUUCGAUCUAAUGAAAAAGAACAUGGAUGAAGGUGAAUGUUAGAGAUUCAAAUUGAGAUAAGUUAAUAUAGAAAGAUACCUGAAUUAAGGGGAAACGGACCUAACAUUGAGCUCACACGUGAUGGAGAGAUUAUUGAGAUACAUAUGUAAGUAGGAAUCUAGUGACUAACACAGUUUCUAGGCAGCGUGUGUUGAGGUGUUGCAACGCAAUCCAAUGGUAGUUUUCAUGGUUCGGUCCAUUGAAAAAGAACAUGGAUGUUGGUGAAUGUUGGAGAUUCAAGUUGAGAUAAGUUAACGUAGAAAGAUACUUGAAUUAAGGAGGAACAAACCUAACAUUGAGCUCACACGUGAUGGGGAGAUUGUUGACAUACAUAUGUAAGUAGGAAUCUAGUGACUAACACAGUUUCCGGGUAAUGUGUGUUGUGGUGUUGCAACGCAAUCCAAUGGCAGUUUUUAUGGUAUGGUCCGAUGAAAAAGAACAUGGAUGAAGGUGAUUGUUGGAGAUUCAAGUUGAGAUAAGUUAAUAUAGAAAUGUACAUGAAUUAAGGGGGAACAGACUUAACAUUGAGCUCAUACAUGAUGGGGAGAUUGUUGAGAUUCAUAUGUAAGUUGUGUUAGGGAAGUCCCAUAGCGGAGAAUUGAUGCAAUGUAAAGUAAUUAAUAUAUCUAGUUGGCCAAUAACUCAUUGCUUUAAGCUUUUGAGUGAAGAUAUGUCCAAUUAGAUAUGUUAAUAGGCUUAGACUUGUGCUCCUUCUUAGCAAUCUCCUAGGGUAAAGAUAUUGGACAUCUAUUAUACACUUUCAACAAAAAUAAAUACAUAACUAUCCGAUUUUGAUAGGACAAAUUAGUUGAUAAACCAAUCCGUGAAACCCAAGAAAGAACAAGACAUCAUAAUAUUUGUGGUACUGAAGUAAAGUUGUAGGCCUUAAAUGCACAAAUUAAGAGUUACGGAUUUGAUUGCAUAAUUCGUGUAAGUUGUUUGACCAAAAAUGAAAUUCCAAUGAAAUAAGAAUCAAAUUUAACCUAAUACGAUGAAAUGGAUGGAUCACCAGACUCUACGCGACCAGCAUGUUUACUCCUAUUCAUAGCCAAAAGAUAUAUCAAUGUUUUCUCCUUUUUAUAUUGUGGACAGCAAAUAAUAGCAUCUCCUGCUUUUUCUUUAUUGUUUUGGGUUGCUUUCUUGUGAACAGGAUAAGAGUGUAUAUUAAUAUCAUGNNNNNNNNNNNNNNNNNNNNNNNNNNNNNNNNNNNNNNNNNNNNNNNNNNNNNNNNNNNNNNNNNNNNNNNNNNNNNNNNNNNNNNNNNNNNNNNNNNNNNNNNNNNNNNNNNNNNNNNNNNNNNNNNNNNNNNNNNNNNNNNNNNNNNNNNNNNNNNNNNNNNNNNNNNNNNNNNNNNNNNNNNNNNNNNNNNNNNNNNNNNNNNNNCCAGAACCUCCACAACUUCCGAGCCAAGCACGGGCCUGUGACGUGGUUGAAGCUCGGUUCCGUGAACACCAUGGUGAUUCAAUCAGCUCAGGCCGCGGCAGAGUUCUU